GUGGGGAGAAGGGCAGGAUGUUUUUAACAGAAUGUGACCUCCCUGGCAUACUAGAGGUAAGGAGAAAAAAAUUGCCGAGAUAACUGUGAAUAUUUUACAUCCCUAGAACGUAGCUUCUAACCAAGCCACAUGAAGAGAGCAGAUUUCUACAUGCUGCAUAAAAACCCAUGCCUCCUAGAGCUUUGGAAGGUGCUAGCCACGUUGGUUUGGCAUUUGUUUAGAUUUGAUUAGAAAUCAAUGCUCUUCGUGCGAUCAUUUUCAUGCGCGCAUUCUCUUUUUCUCCUUUAGAAAGCAAUAACGUUUGUGAAUGGGGCAGUGUGGAGAAAUCCUAAGAGAAAUAGCAUAAGAGCAUUUUGGAAUAUAUCCCGGAAAAGAUAACUUCCUACACAUCUGUAGAGACUCGCCAGGUUAAGGUAAGGAAAAAAAAAAUUAUACAAAGUAGAUUCGAGUUAUUUCAUUACGUCACAUUGGGUUGAACUUUGGGAGAAAAAUGAGUACCACUGAUGCAGGAUGGAUGUGGGGGUGGGGGGGAUGAGGAGGGCCCACCUUUUUGCCCCUCCCCCUUUCAGGCAUGGAUCUGGUAGCCCUGGGUCCACUGUGACAAUGGGUGGUCACCAGGGGUUGUUUCUAAUGCCAGCUGAAGAGCCAUGGAGAACGAGUGCGGGGGGGGGUGGUGUGGAGGGAAGACAGAUUAUUGCGUUUGGGAGGCACUUCUGUUGAAACCUCAAUGUGUUCAAUAGAGCAAAUGUUACUUGUACAGUAUGGAAUUUCUUUUAGGUUUAUAUUUGCACUGGGACUGACUCAUUUUCUAUUUAGGAUUCUUAAAAAAUCACUUUUAUGGUGCUCAGAUGAGAAGUACAUCUGUUGCUUACAUAUAAUAAGCAUCAAAUACGAAGACAUGUUCAAUGCUGGAGCUGUUUGUUUGUCGCUAUAGGAGACCUGCGACAUAUGCAUGCCGCGUGUCUCUUUUCUGGAAUACAGGCACUGACAACUCAAACUUUAUGGCUUUUCCCUUGAGCAAUAUCAGUUUUUGUUUUUUUUUUUUAAGUCCCCAGCUACUUUAGGUCACUAAAAGUGCACAUCAUUUAGAACUUUCGAAUGAGUACUUGGAAUGAAGUUCAAUAGUAUGAAUUGGAUUGGUCACUAUGUAGUAUUUGGGAUUCUGGAUGAGUUUUUAGAGCAAAGCAGAGCUCAUUUAUUUGUUGGUAGGUUAUAUACACAUAACGUUAGCACUACAAUAAGACUGUCUUUCCAGCAGGCUUGGAAAUCAAGCUGUUAGUUCCCAGGACUCUGUCAGUUUCACGUUUGUGAUUGUGUGUAAAAUGAAACAGUUAUAACGGAAUAGAAGUUGUGUUAGAGUGAGCAUUGCAAUGGAGGGAGGGCUUCUGGUUUUCUAACAAUUGGUGGGAUGCACUUGUUGCAUACGACUUGGGGCCUUGAUCUUUCGCACUAUUUCAGAUACAUUGUUGUCAAAUUAACCGGAACGGUUCCUUUAGAUCAACUUUGAGUGAGUAGUGCAAAAAAAGCGAUUCUCCUAUAAGCCACGUAAGCCAUGUUUGUGCAGCUGAUUUAAAAAUUAUAGCAUUCCUUAUAAAGUCAUCCCAGGCUAAGUAAGUUCAAGGUAACAUAUUGUUUUCCUUACUGAUUUUACAACCAAACUUUUAGAUGAAAUAGUGUCAUUACUUUGUGUUGGUAUAAGUUAUUACUCUCUGGGAAAAGCUUUGUCUCCAGCAUGAAAUAAAAAUUAAAUUCAGAUUCUAAACUUUAAAAAAGCUUUUACUUAAUUAUAUAUUUAAACAUUUUUAAAUUAAAAUACAGCUGUGUUCAUCAUCAUGUAAGAAACAGCUUGUGGAGCAAUGUAGCUAUGAUAUCGGGUAGCAAUGUGGGCUGGUGAAACCCCCCCAGCAAGUACCGGAUUGUUUCCUGAAGCCAUUUACAGGCAAUCACCAGCAGAGGGCAGCGCAGAGCAAUGAACUCCGGCUGUUCAACAGUCUAAAAAUCUAGAAGGAAAUUAUCUGUAUAAAAGUAGUACUUUUUGGAUAACGCCCCCCCAAUCAUAGAUCUCUAAAAUUACUUUUUAAAAGCCUCAAAUAUGUUAACCCCUACCUAAGUUUCUCACCAUGAAAGUGUUGAAGUGUGAGGACACAGUGAUUUCCUGGUGGACCUUGGAGGUAUUUGCACUUUGAUUUUCUUUUUCACUUAUUUUAUCACAAAACACAGUGUGGGAAUGCAAAUACCAGCAAUGUGCACAAAUUUUCGUUAUAAAGCUUUUCAGUGUGAUUAUUCUGUUGAACAACAUUGGAAAAAUCAUAAAUUCAGAUUCAGGCAAUGACCUUUACCAAACUCAGCGUCUGAAGCAAAAUGCAACUUAGAAAGAUUUCCCAUUCAAUCUACAUUUCCUUGAUGCAAAAACGAUAGCACAUUGUAUAAACGCCAAACAUGUCAUGUCCGUGGUCUUUAUGAAAACAAACAAGCAAAACAACCCAGUAGCACAUUGUGCUGCUCGUUAACUUCUUUUCCUCCUUAAAAUUAUUACAGCAAACGUUUGACAUUUUGUAAAAAAAAAAAAAAAAAAACCCACAUGUGCUACUCAAUAUUUGACAUAUGUUUUACACUGGAAGUCUGGGGAAAAAAGACAUAUUAGACUGGAAGAGAGUUGUAAAGAAGUUAGACGAAUAGCUUUAGGAAAGCAUGUUCUAUUUUGUUACAAGGAUGUUAUAAAAGCCCUAGUUUAAUGGUUUAUGCAUAGAUGUUUAGGGACUCUAAAUGUCUUUAUACUGAAUCCUGUCAUUUGAAAGCUAGCAUUUAAGAUUAUCAUUCUUAUAGGCUAAUUAAGAUAUAAAACACUUUCUCUUUUCAAAAGUUCAUGAGCACAUAACACACUGGGGCUACUUUUACAAGCCAAGUGUCCCUCUUAUGCCAUUAGCUUUCUUGGAUUUACCUUCUAAAUGACUUUGGCUCAAAUUGACUUCAGAUAUUUGACAUAUCAAGUAUUGUUGUCUUCAAAGGUUUCCCAGGCAACUGCAACGAUUCAUCUGGUUCCAGUCAAAAGUGCCCUUGAACUCUCCACUCACUUCAUUUCCUGGUGUGAGUAAUGUGUGUAGGAAAAGGAGGAACACCAAAGACUCCUUGUAAUAGGCUAAUGUGAAUGGUACGGUGAAGAGAUGGAUGGAUUUCACAGAAAAAUCCACUUGGGUGUUAAGAGUUGGCAGGCUUUGUCAAGCUUUCGUAUUAAUUUUGGGCGGAAGAUCACAAUCAUGAUCAGCCCCCUGUGUUCUGGGUUCGCUUCACUCCUCCUCACAGUGAGGAUAGAGCCCCAAACUCUUACCUAAGUCCCCCCAACAACUUCUUCAAGUACAGAGUGCUGGUCCACUAGAGAGCUGUCACCUCUGAAUCUCUCAGUGGGGCCUUGGGAUCCCCGCUGACUCAAUCACACUGACCUUACUCUCUGUCUUAGGUCUACUUUCACUGUUUGUUUGGUUUUUUUAAUUUUUUUUUUUAAUUUUUGAGAGAGAGAAAAAGCGAGCAUGAGCAGGGGUGGGCCAGAGAGAGAGGGGGACAGAGGAUCUGAAUCAAGCUCUGAGCUGACAGCAGAGAGCCUGGUACAGGGCUUGGACUCACAAACUGUGAGAUCAUGACCUGGGCCUAAGGUGGAUGCUGAACCGACUGAGCCACCCAGGCACCCAUAUCUAGCUUCACUUUCAACCCAUCGUGAAGCCGUGAGUAGAGGCUUAUUCCACCAUGCUUCGAGGGAGGGUUUUAUAAUUACCACCCAAAUUGUUCCAGAGAGCAGAGAGGGAGGGAGAAGCUGGAAUCCCUGAUCCUGUGGUCUGUAAAAGGUUCCUCUGUUUAGCGUUGAUUACAUUCUGUGAUUUGUUUAAAAUAGAAUAUUUCACCUCAUCUAGGCAGACCGAUCAGUUAGAAUGUCAUUUUUUUUUCUUUACCUUGGCUCUUGUUUUCACAACUGAUUGACUGACUAGUGACUGGAUCGAUUGACAAAUGAGGCAAUAUAAUAUACAGUCUGGUGGAACUAUGUAAAUCAGAGCAGAUUGCUCUCCAAGUACUGAGCUUCUGCCGAGGUCCCCUGUGGGCUCCGCGGUGAACUCCAAGUCUAGAGAGCCUCAACAAUGAAUCGUCUGUCACCUCGACUGGGCAUGAAAGCAGAGCCACUACCUCUUCCGGUCCCCACCAUUCCUUUCUUCCUGUAUUGUUAUAUUUCGUUCUGUUUGAUACACUCACUGAGACAUGAAUGUCCCACUGAAAUGUGUCUAAAUAACCAGAUUUUUAUUUUUUAUUUAUUUAAAAAAUUUUUAGUGUUUAUUUGGGGAGGGGGGGAGAGAGAGCGAGAGAGAGACCAAGCAGAGGAGGGGCAGAGAGAGGCAGGCAGAGAAUCCUAAGCCGGCUGUGCACUGUCAUAGCAGAGCCCGAUGUGGGGCUCGAACUCAUGAACCGUGAGAUCGUGACCUGAGUCAGAUGCUCAACAGACUGAGCCACCCAGGUGCCCCUAAAUAAGCCGAUUUUUAAAAAUUUAUUUUGGGGUCUGUAGGUAAUUUUAGUAAAGAUUAUAUAUAUGAAACUAUAUGUAUGUGUGUGUAUACGUGUGUGUAUAUGUGCGUGACUAUAUAUAUACACACACACAUAGACUACCAGCCCAUCUACCAGCUACAAUUACCAUUGUGAUUAUCAUUUCGAGUAAUCCUUGGGUUGUUAAAAUUAACGUAGCUAAAUGUAAUUUUGUAGUAGGAAAUGCAGUUUUCAGGGUGUGAAAUAAUAGUAAUCAAUUUGAAUAAAUAUUUGCUAUUUGUUUUCAUAAAAGUUUAAAUCCGGAAAAGAGAACUCCGACCAACAUAGGAAUAUAGCAGGAUCAAUGGAACAGGUGGCAUGAGUCAUAUCCCUGGCUUUUAAUUAAAACGGAUGCUGUGGAUGUUGGCAGGGACCGGGCUGCACAUAGGUAGUUUAGAAUUUCUGAAGCUGAAAUCUGGUUGGAGCGCUCUUAAUCAGAAGGAACUUCUUUUGAUAAUUUAUAAUCUAUCUGUACAUCGAGGAGCACUGAUGAUAUAGUUUUCAUACCUAAAUCACAGUUGAAAAAAUUCAAAGAGGUAUAUUAAUCCUUAGAGUGGGCAGCUGUUCCCGAGCCAAAGGAUUUUUGUGCAAAGCUAAUAUGUAUAAUAGAGAAUCGGUCUUUCACUGUACAGUUUUGUCAUAUUUCAAUAACUGAAUGAAUAUUCUGAAUUAAUAAGCAGAACGUUUGUACAAACUAAAGACUACUCUAAGCUCUGCAUUCAUUGAUGGGAACCUUAAGCAAAUGUUUCUUUUUAUCAGCUUGUUCAAAAGGCAUAAACAAUGUUAUGGCUCUGAAGUGAUAACAUAUCAACCGGUAAAAUAGUUAACUAGGUCUGGAACAGGUAAGGAAAAGUUAUGGGUUACAUGCCGUUUUGAGUAUUUCGAAGAUCCUGAAGAAGCGGUUUGUUUUUAGUCUGUAUAUAUUUAUACUUUGUCUCUUACAGAAAAGAGUCUGAGCAUUUAAACGUAUACGCAGGAUUUUUUGAGCUUUGUUGUGUUUUUUAACUUUGGUUAAAAAUUAAACAUAAGAAGAGAGGGAGGCAAACCAUAGGAGACUUUAAUACAGAGAACAAACUGAGGGUUGAUGGGGGUGAGGGGCUGGGGGGUCGGGGAAAAUGGGUGGUGGGCAUUGAGGAGGGCGCUUGUUGGGAGGAGCCCCGGUGUUGUGUGUAAGUGACGAAUCAUGGGACUCUACUCUUGAGGCCAAGACUACACUGUAUGUUAGCUAACCUGACCGUAAGUUAAAAACAAAUUAGACAUACGUUGGUUGCAUACGUCAAUAGAAAAUAGAGAAAGGUGGUAGAAAUAUCAAAGGAUGAGUCCAAGUUCUCGAAAUGCUAAGAUGGACCACGAGGGGAAGAUGGGCUUGGCUGGCCACCUUGUGCCACACGCUGCCUACUGUCUCCCACUGAGGUGGGUUCGUGGAAAGAGAAUGGAGAGCUUUAGGGAUCAUACCUUGUUUCGUCUUCCUUUCCGCCUCCUUCCGCGUCCCUCACAUCACCUGCCGUUCAUCUCUUAAAUGUUAGGAUGUCAUGAAACCAGAGGAGGAAUGAUCGGAAUAUUUGCUCCACAGGCUUGCAGACGCCUCAACUCCUUUUAUCUCUGCAGCGAACAGCCAUUCAUUCUCUUGACAGGAGUCCAAGCCUUUAAUAUGUCAGGCAUUGGUCCCAUCUGAAUGUGUGACUUCAUUUAAUUCUCUCGAGAGCCCUUAGAGGUUGUGCUGGUUAUGUCCAUUGUACAAGUGAUGCAACUGACUGAGCCUUUUGGAGAAGUAAGGGAAACUUUUCAAAAUCAUAAAACUCGUCAGUGCUGGAGUUGGGAUUCAAAUCCCACACAAUAGCUCUCCUCACUGCUGCUUCAGAAACAGACUUGUCUCUGAGGAGGUUGUGCUUUGGUACCGACGCUCCAAAGCUUUUUUAUUUUGAAUUGAUGUCAGACUCACUCAGAAAAAGUUGUAAGUACCAAAGUUGUGAGCGUGAAGAAUUCCCGAAUGCCCUUCACCAAGAUUUUCCAAUUGUUAACAUUUCACCGAGUUUGCACUCUCUCUCUGUGUUUGGUGGAUAUACACACACACACAUAUAUACGUAUGUAUUAUAUAUCAUUUUUUCAAGAAACAUUUGUGACGAGAUGUUGUGAUAAGAUCUAGACGUGAUGCCUCCUUUCCCACUUAAUGCCAUUGUGUUUUCUUAAACACAUGCCCAUUAUCUUAACUUUGUACAAUGUGAUAUCGAGAUCAUGACAUCAGCGGUGAUAGAAUCUGUACACUUAUUUCAAAUUCGACAGUUAUCCCAGAAAUGUCCCUUAUGGAAAAAAAAAAAAAAGUUAUCCAGAAUUCAAUGCAGGAUUAUUUAUUAUAUUUAAUUGUCAUGUGUUUUAGUCUUUUGAUCAGGAACACUUCCUCAGUUUUUAUUGGUCAUGGCCCUGACAUGUUUGAGGAGUAGAGGCGAGUUAUUAUACAAUAUACCUCAGUUUGGGUUUGUCUGAUGUUUCCUCAUGAUUUGAUUCAAAUUACUCACGUUUGGAGGAACACCAUGGAAGAGAGACUGUGUUCUUCUCAGUGCAUUAUGUCAGGAGUCAUUGGUGGGUUUCAUUACUGGUUUGUUCAAUUGGCUAAGGUGGUAUCUGUUCAAGUUCCUCACAGCAAAGUUACCAUUUUUCCCUUUUUUAUAAAUUAAUAGGUCAUGGGGAGAUAUUUUAAGACUAUGAUUCUGUUUCUUACCCGACUUUUAUCUCACUAGUUUUCAUGUAUUGAUGAUUCUUGCCCAUAUCAGUUAUUAUUAUGAUGGUUGCCAAAUGGUUAUACUUUUUUUUUUUUUUGAGCUCCCUUACUGAGGGGUUUACUGUUGGUCUAGAGAGACACAGUAUCUCCUGUGUUUGGUCUUUUGUGUGGUGUGCAGUUUUACUGUUAGCCUACGACCACAUGCAAUGCUUACGAGACUUAUCCCAUCAGACCCUCACAUCUCCAUUAUGUAGAUGCUCUUAUAUCCAUAUUUUAUAGCUGAGGAAGCAGAGUAGCAAAAAACCAGUUGGUAGCAUUUUCAGGAAGAAAAUAUUAAAAAUUGAUCCUUAAAAUAUCACUGGGGUGCCCAUACUAAGUUAAUAGAAUGAGGUAUGAAAAUCACAAAAAUGUAAGUUAAAGAAAAAGACACAAGAAAUCACAUCAUGACUUUUAAACGUUGAAACUAGAAAGCAGGGAAGGGAACAAGAGUCCAUCUCAGUCUUGUGUUUGAGCAAGGAGAGCUAGUGAAUGAAAACCUGAAAAAUUGUGUUAUCAUUGCCCAGCUUGGAGAGAAGUCUUGGUGGGCAAAUAAAUGUCCGCAGAAAACUGUGGACAGCUCCUGAGAGCUGAACUUCAAUGCUUUUUCUAGGCUGAAAAGAAAGCUCGCAAGGGAAGGCAGAAAGAUGAGAAUCAUACUAAAGCUGGUCUUUACCUUAGCAAAUAACAGAGAGUUAGCAGCGUGGAAGACAAAGGUGAAAAGAAGACACGAUUCUGCAGGGAGCAGGACCCCAAGGGAUGAAGGACAGAGGAUCUUCAGCUGAAGUCCUUCUCCCUCCCUAUAUACUAAUAACCCAGCUCAUCAACCCAGGCAUUUUCCUGUCUUAAUUUCCCACUGAUGAGGAAGGCCCCUGGAGUGAAGGCCUGAAAUGGGGUGAGUGGAUGCAUGGACUGGAUUGUGUAUCUUGUGGCUGCACUGAGCCAUGGCAAGGAUGCAUGGGCCUCUAGGAUGUCGACCAAACACUGAUUCAGAAUUUUUUUUUAAAUGUUUUAUUUAUUUUUGAGAGAACGACAGAGCAUGGGUCGGGGAGGGGCAGAGAGAGACACACAGAGAAUCAGAAGCAGGCUCCAGGCUCCGAGCUGUCAGCACAGAGCCCGAUGCGGGGCUCGAACUCACAGACCGCGAGAUCAUGACCUGAGCCAAAGUUGGACACUUGACCAACUGAGGUACCCAGGCACCCCUGCUUCAGGAUUUUUAAACAUAGAGUCCUGGUGCACCAGCCAUGCAUACCCAGACCUAGGGGACAACUCCUUCCAGCCCCUUCCUAAUGUUGUUGAGCCCAACAAAAGCCCCAGAAUAAGAAAUAACUUUGGAACGUGAGCUCCGAGGAGCAGGUUGACUCAUGUCAGAGACAGUAGGGUGUAUAAGUAGAGAAUUUAUCCAAACUGUCUCAAGAAACAAAAGAUCUUGAGAAGACCCUAUAGUUCAACACAUAUGCAAUGAGAGAAGAGGCUGUGACCGCCAAGCAAAACAUUAUGGAGAAAAGGAAAGAGAGAAUGAGAUCGGAUGGGAAGGGAAGAGAAGCGGACUAACGGGGAAUAUAACUUGUAAGACGGGUGGUAUUUCUGAAAUCCACUCUAGAGGCUUUCUGGACCAAGGAGGUGAGUUGUACACAUACAUCUACUUCUGCUCUUCCCCAGAUCCCCACUAAGAUCACGAGACAUUUAAAAAUUUGGGGGGGGCGGGGGUGGCUGGGUGGCUCAGUCAGUUAAGCAUUGGACUUCAGCUCAGGUCACGGUCUCACCGUUCGUGGGUUUGAGCCUCAUGUCAGGCUCCAUGCUGGAGGCUCGGAAGCCCGGAGCCUGCUUCGGAUUCUGUCUCCCUCUCUCUCUGCUCCUCCCCUGCUUGUACUCUGUGUCUCAAAAAAAUAAAUAAACGUUAAAAGAAUGUAAAAGUAAAAUUUUUUGGAAGCUAGGAUACAGAUGAAUCAGGGUAAAUAGUGUAACACCCCCCACCCCCCAAAUCUAAAUUCUAAACCAAUGGGUAAAAAGUUGAGAGCGCACUUAAAACAAAAUCCCUGAAAGUCUCCGAAAUUGGGAGUGCUUGGUGAUUUUAGAAGUGGAGAGUGACAGAAAGCAUCUAAAAUAAGGGGCCCCAUUUGCAAGUCCACAUAAAUGGAGUGGGACCUCCAGAAUUGUCUCUUCCGUGCUGUACUGCCUGGAGGCUAACCCCUCAGGGAGACAGAGGACACAGGUUUCUUUUUCUUUCUUUUUUUUUUUAAUGUUUAUUUAUUUUUGAGAGAGGGACAGAGUGUGAGUGGGGGAGGAGCAGAGAGAGAGGGAGACACAGAAUCUGAAGGAGGCUUCAGGCUCUGAGCUGUCAGCACAGAGCCCGAUGCGGGGCUCGAUCUCACAAACCGUGAGAUCAAGGUUUCAUUUUUGAAAUUGGAAACGCAAGAGUAUCUCUCUCCGGAAGGACCCAAGUUACACCUGAGUUUCUAUACACUGAAGUCAAGUCGACGAACAUUCUAGAGGCUGAGACAUUCUCACUUAGCCCCCACAGAACGAGCAGCCAGGCCUUUCACACCCAGAACGAUAGUGGAAAAACUUUCCCUGGAACUUGACCGAGGAGAUGGGUAAGAAAGAUCCUGGGGAUACUGACAAUGGAAGACCAGCUGCCCCCUCUAUUCACAGUUUAACAAGUCCCACUCAGCCCCUCAAUCCUGCGGUCUGGGGUGUCCACACUGUAGGUAAUGUCCACACAUUAAGGUAACAGAGAGGACCAGAGGACGAAAAAAGCCCCCAAGCAAAACCAGCAAAUGGCGCAACAGCUCGGAGGCAAUGGAAGCAAUAAAGAGAAAGGAAACUUGAUAAAAAAAGAGUCUAUUAUUAAUAUUUCCUAGGAGACACAGUUAUGAAACAAGACAUCUGGAGAACAGCAGAACUCCUGGAAACAAAAAAACAUGGGAGCAAAAUAAAAACUCACAUGCAAGGGGAAGUGAGAUGGAAGGAAAGUUGGAGUGGCCGAGAUUAUGGUGUUAAUUAUGGUUAAAUAAUCUGAUUUUUUCAAAUUUUACAAAAACAUAUAACCGUGUGAACGUACCCCCAGGAUGUUUCCUGGGGCUUCUUGGGCCUUUUAAGGUGAGGGGCCAUGAAGCUGAAAGCUUCAAAGUGUUCAGGAAGUCCAUCCUUGACAGUAAUUGGUGAUCAUAGCUAACUCGUGCAAGGGACUCUUUUAAGCAUUUCAUCUCCGUGAACUUGUUUAACCUGCUCACUUCUCAUGUGGUAGCUGCUCUUGUCUGAAUUUUACGUACAAGGAAACAGACGCACAAGUAGGUUAAGUAACUAAACCAGCAUUGCAAAGCCAGUGAGUGGUGUAGUUGACAUUUAAUACUGAAUAUAAGCACUUAGCCACUAUUCUAUUCUGCUUCUACAGGAAAACAAAAAGUUGGGUAAACAGGGAAACCAAUCAUAAUUGCUGCAUUCUCAACCCUGAAUGAUGAUAUUAGUAUGACCAUUCAUAAUUAUGAAUGGACAAUUAUGAGAAAAAUUAAGGUAAAAUUAUGUCAGAGGAGGUGGGGAAGGAUUUUGCAUGUACUAGGUAUAAGAGGAGAAAGGAAAGCUAAAUCUUAAAUCCAGAGUGGAAUUUCCAUAGUUAAUGGAAAAAAUUAAAAUCAAUUCAAGCAUAUUAUGUAAAAAUAUAUGGGUAAAAAAACAAAAGAGUUAACUAGAAGAAAACAUGGCAGCAUCUGAGAAGGGGGAAGGAUGGAUAGAGGGCACUUUUAUUUAAAAAAAUGAAACCUGGGGCGCUUGGGUGGCUCAGUCGGUUGGGCAUCCGACUGCAGCUCAGGUCAUGAUGUUGCAGUCUGUGAGUUUGAGCCCCAUGUCGGUCUCUGUGGAGACAGCUCGGAGCCUGGAGCCUGCUUCGGAUUCUGUGUCUCCCUCUCUCUCUGUCCCUCCCCUGCUCAUGCUCUGUCUCUCUCUGUCUCAAAAAAAUAAAUAAAAACAUUAAAAAAAGUAAUAAUAAAAUGAAACCCUUUCUGACUUUAUCUAGACUAUGUAAAUGCGUAAUUUUGUUACAAAUAAAGAUAAUUUAAAAUUUGGGGGGGCGGUAAAAUAAAAGAACUUAAAUAGGCCAUUAUUCAGUGAAACAAGUUUGAUUAACAAAUACACAUAAUUUAAAGGAAACAGAGUCUGGUGUUAAAAACAAAUCGAAGACCUAAAAAUACCACCAAAGGACUGAUAAAUGCAUUAGAAUAAUCAAGAAACAGAGUAGCAAUUUGUUUGAAAACCAGAUGGGUGACAGAGGAGAUAUUUGACACAAUUCCUUUGAAUGCAGGAAAAAAAGGAGACAAGCAAUUAACCAAAUAAAAUUAAAAUGGAGGGCAGUCAGUGCUGAUGCAAAAUUAGAAUGAUGCUGUCCAGAAAAAAGUAUCAUAGGAGAAAAAUGUCCUGCAACAAAUAAAGGACUAAUAGAAAGAUAAAAUAAAAUUAGGCUGUCCUUGGACUCUUUGUGUGAUUCAAGGAAAAGGCGAUAGAGAAAGUUUAGGGGGAAGUAGAACUCAAGAAUUUAAAUGGCUAGGCACAUUGUUGUUCACAUAAUACAUAUAACAGAUAAACAUUUUAAAGUUACAUCAACUAGGAGAAUUAGCUCCUUUAAGGUGUUCAUGAAGAAAAUACUUGAUCAUAAAGGUCAGCCAUUCAGCUGGAGUGAAGGGGUAGGGAUGAGCAUGCAUUACUUUAAAGACCAAACGAAGGUGUGUUACCCCUCCAAAAAUGGUGUUUGCAGAACAAAAUUGAGGUGCUUUAAACUCAGAUCAACAUAGGGGCGCCUGGGUGGCUCAGUCAGUUAAGCGUCUGACCCUUGACUUUGGCUCGGGUCAUGAUCUCGUGGUUCAUGGGUUUGAGCCUGGUGUCCAACUCUGUGCUGACAGCACGGAGCCUGCUUGAGAUCCUCUCUCUCCUGGUCUCUCUGCCCCUCCCCUCCUCGUGCUCUCUCUCAAAAUAAAUAAAUAAAUUAAAAAAAAUUAAGUUCGAUCAACAUAAUCCAGUUAUUAAUAUACAUGGAGAGUUCAGAGGACAAGAGAAGACGAAAGAUAAGGGGGAGUAUUUCUUCAUUGUUUGUAACCAGGAUAAGAGUAGAUUUUGUUCAAAACGGGUGAGUCGAUAUGAUUUAUCUGAAACCAAACUGAUUAUCAAACUACUACGCUUUUGAAAGAUGUACAGUAAGCACUAGAUAUUAGACUGGAAGCUGUUCUCUUCAGUGACUAUGUUUGGUGUCUUUUAGGAGGGAAACGCCUGCUCUCUCCCCAGAGUCUGUGUCCUUUUACAUUUGUAAUGUGCCAGGGUAGACAUCAUUUCCUGUUUGACGUUGUGGAUGUGUAAGUCCCUUAAAACCAUACUAAAAGUGAGAAAUUUUGUUUACCAUUGUAUUUUCGUUUGUGCCCAUUCUCUAUGUAGAUACAUACUGUAGGCGUGCAUAUUCUGUAUAUUUGCGUACUUCCCACUUCCAUAAGCAUCUCACCAUUUUCAGUCAUUUGGUAAAAGGUCUUCAUGAGUUUAGCUUCAUAGGUUUAGUUUCUAGGGCCAUCGAGUUUGCCCGAAUCCCCAAAUUCCAGAAGAGUAGAGAAUACUGUCAUUUCAGGCACACUUAUCCUCCAGGGGGGCAGGGUCUGGCUGGUGCCAACCUUCACACUGUUCUCCUCUUUGAAUCCCAAUCUGUAUGUCGGACUCUUCCAUCCUUCAGGAUGGCUUCUUCUCUUGGAACGCACUCUCUGUAAGCUGACUUCUCUCUGCUGUUGAAUUUUGUGUUUCUGGCACACCUGAGCCACACUCCAGGUCUCCUCAUGAGGAGCUGGGCUUACCCCUAGAUAUCUCCAUGGCCCCAUUGCUCCCUCACUUCCUGACUGAAACGUUACCCUCUUGGACAUGUCUUCCCGGACCACCCUAUUAAACUGAAACCCUCUACCCCAACUCCUACCAACUUGUCCCACCUGGCUGUUUCCUUUCCCUGCUCUCCAAAGCACUUCUCUUUCUUUAAUGUAUAUGUUUUGCUCAUCUUCGUUGAGCAGUAAGGUUGUGUCUAUUUUGUUUAUUGCUCUGGCCCAGCUCUUAGAAGUCCUUGGCACAGAGGAGGUGCUUAGUGAAUCCCUGUUGAUUGGUCCCCGCCGGCUGGAAGAAUUUGAAAUCCUGCUCCCACACAGCCAGGACACCCUGUGACAUCCAUAGUUAGAAACUUGCUCUGACAGUAUUUUUAAAUGACAGACUUUCCCGGUGACUCUCCUUACCAAGUUUCCGGCUCCCUUGCCUCAUGAUCCCCUCUUUGUGCUGAUCCUUUCUGGGUCAGGAGUCAUCGCCACCAUUGUAUUUCUUUGUUUCUUUUCCCUUCGGUUGACCACCAUGUUUAUUUUUUGAAGCCAACGUUUUAUACCAAGCACAGAAGACUAGUUUGGGGGAAAGGUACAAUUUUCACUCACUUAACAGUAUUCUCUGGGCUCUUUGCUGAAGGAGUUUUUUUCCUAGUUGGAGGGAAAACAAGCAUGUGGGUGAGGCAUGCCGUGAAGAGCACGGACAGUGCAGUGAGUGCUGGGCCGCCCACAUGUUCUUUUUGGGACAAGAAUAAAUUUGUGUGUGUGUGUGUAUGUGUGUGUGUGUGUGUGUAUGAAUUUGUUCAUUUAUCCUUUUAAGCCUGUCAUUUUUUUUGUUUCAUGUAUUUUUUUCGUAAGUUUAAAAAUAAAAAAACUAAUUAAAAUAUAGUUGAUACACAGUAUCUCAUUACUUUCAGGUGUACAACACAGUGAUUUGGCAACUUCAUACCUUAUGUGAGCUCACCGCAAGUGCGGCUGCCAUCUGUCACCAUACAACGUUAUCACAGUACCGUUGACUACAUUCCCUGUGCUGUGCCUUUAUCCCCUUGACUUAUUCAUCCCAUAACUUCCCACUUCUCUUCUCCCAUUCUGCUCGUCCCUCACUCUCCUCCCCUCUGGCAACCCCCAGUUUGUUCUCUGCACUUCUAGAUCUCAUUCUGCUUUUUAUUUUUUCAUUUCUUUUGUUUUUUAGAUCCCCCACGUCAGUGAAAUCAUAUAGUAUUUGUCUUUCUCUUUCUGACUCAUUUACCUUAGCAUAAUACCCUCAAGGUCCAUCCAUGUUGUUGCAAAUAGCAGGAUUUCAUUCUUUUUUGUGGCUGAGUGAUCAUUCCAUUGUAUGUAUAUAUACCACAUCUUCUUUUUCUUACAUCUAUCAACGGGCACUUGGGUUAUUUCCAUAUCUUGGUGAUUAUAAAUAAUCCUGCAAGAAACACGGGGUUGCAGAUACCUUCUUGAAUUAGUACUCUUGUUUCCUUUGGGUAAAUAGUCAGUAGUGGAGAUACUGGGUCCUGUGAUAUUUUAAAUUUUUUGAGUAACUGUCAUACUGUUUCAGGAACAAAAUUCUUUUUUUGUUUUUAAUUUUUUUUUUAACAUUUAUUUAUUUUUGAGACAGAGAGAGACAGAUCAUGAACGGGGGAGGGUCAGAGAGAGGGAGACACAGAAUUUGAAACAGGCUCCAGGCUCUGAGCUGUCAGCACAGAGCCCGACGCGGGGCUCGAACCCACGGACCGCGAGAUCGUGACCUGAGCCGAAGUCAGCCGCUUAACCGACUGAGCCACCCAGGCACCCCAGGAACAAAAUUCUUAAACGUAAAUUCAGUGUUCUGACUUCCCUUCCUGCAGUGUUUGAAGAAGGUGAGCCUUGUAGGGACGUUCUUUUGUCAGCAGAGCUGGAUGGGCGUAGGAAUUAAAAAAAAUAAUAAAAACACCUCUGAGAAGUGAAGAAGUAAAGGAAAGAGAAGGUUGAGAAGGGGGCUAGACUCUGAAAAGAGCCGGCUCAGACAGGGGUUGGAAAUGAAUGGAUAGAGGAGUCUGAAUUCCUCUCACAAGAUGUGAGAUAGGACCCAAGGAUAUUUUGAAAACAUUUUUCUGUAUGUUUUGAGGCUUACUCCAUACCUUAACCUUCCCAGUCUACAGUGUGAAGUUGUCUGAAGAUAUUUCUUUUUUAUAUUAAGAUUGGAGUAAGGAAGGACAAUUUAUAGCAAGACUCAAAACUCAACCACCCACAAAAGGCAGGUUCGAUAGGUCAAGUUGACAGAAGUUACCAAGGGAAUGGCUGCAGUAAGGGAGAAGGGCGCCCAUGUUUGUAGCUGGACCAUGUUUGUAGUUCAGCCCUUUGCUGAGGUUGGGGGAGGGAAGUGGUGCCUUUGGGACAUUGUGGUAGAGGGACACCAGGCAUUAAGGGGUGUUGUGAAAUUUGUGGGUUAGGAGAUUGAUAUGAUGGGGAUUAUAUUUAGACUAUGUUCACAGUAGCCUACGACCUCUUUUCUGAGUAGGGGGAGAGAGAGCUACACGUGUCAUUGUAUGUGGAGGUGUGCAUUUGAUCGGAAGUAUUAUUAAUGGUCUUAUGAUUUUUUUCAUUUCCCUUAAAUACAUAAAAUUAGUGCCCUCCUGGGUGUGAUUUUGUUUUGUUCUGGAAUAACAGUUUUUUUCUAGAGGAAAAAAGAUCUCCAAUUUCACCCGGUAAGUCAAUAGAAAAUGGGAUUUACAAAUUGAAAUGCAUUUUGAGGCAACUUGUUCAGGACUGUAAUGCUGCCCACAUGACUUCCCUCCUGUCUACAUUUCCCUCCCCUGGAAGACUCUGAAAGAUUUCCGUCACAGCCCUAAGCAGCACUGGCCAUGUUUUCCAAAAACACGAGUAUGAGUACAUUAUUCGUAACAUCUACCUGUCUUGAGAUGAUUAAAUCAUUUUUUUUUUUAAUUUUUUUUUUAAUUUUUUUUUUCUUUUUUCAACGUUUAUUUUAUUUUUGGGACAGAGAAAGACAGAGCACGAAUGGGGGAGGGGCAGAGAGAGAGGGAGACACAGAAUCGGAAACAGGCUCCAGGCUCUGAGCCAUCAGCCCAGAGCCUGACGCGGGGCUCGAACCCACAGACCGCGAGAUCGUGACCUGGCUGAAGUCGGACGCUUAACCGACUGCGCCAUCCAGGCGCCCCGAUUAAAUCAAUUUUUAAUAGCUGUUGGAGUUGCACAGAGAGCUGACCUUGGAGAGGAAGUAGGGUUUCAGGGCCUUUGGGAGGACCUACUGCUUGCCCAGAACUUCACCCACCCCGUGUCAAUUCCACAUCAGAUUUGUAUCUGGCAUAUUAAGGCCAUUAGUUCUGCAGUAAAAUUGUUUUCUCUAUGUUCAAGCAAUAUCUGAUCUAAAAUUCUGGCUAACAUCCUGCCACAUGUUGUACUUCGUCAUGCCUGUCAUUCACCCUCACCCCUCCAUCACCCCCGUCGCCACCACCGCUCACUUCACCUCCUUCACCACCACCACCUCCAUUGGCAUCAGCAGCUAUUUCUUGAAGUCCUCUUUGCCAGGUACUCCGCUAAGCUCUUCGCAUGUGUGUUCCUAAAUCCUAACAGAAACUCUCUGAGGUAGAUGUUCUUAAUUCGAUUGUACUUUCAACACCCGGCACAGAGCUUGGCCCGUGUAAGAUCCUUAGUAAGUGCGUGUUGAGUGCGUUUUAAUUUUGCAGAUGAGGAAAUCAAGGCUCAGAGAAGUUCAUUGAUCUUCUGUGUUCAAACAGCUAGUCCCUGGUGGACCCAGAAUUCUAAGCAACUGCGGUCCUUUCCUCUCUCCCACCACCUAAACCAUCCAGGUUUUACACCUUAGCUUCUGCUCUUCCCUCCGCUGCAGUGUCCUUCCUCAUCCGUUCUGCCAACCAAAACCCUUCCCGGUGCUGCUCAUUCUUCAAGCCGUAGUUCACAUUCUACUUCUUCCCUAGGCUUUUUCAAAUUUCACCAUUUGGCACGGGCUCUCUUUCCUCCGUGGUUUCAUGUCCACCUUAUUGCGCUUCCGCCGGACCACUGAAAACGUGUGUACUUCGCUUACCGGUGUCUGUGACUGCGUCCGUCCCUAGCAAGUCAGCGAUGGGCGAUGGCUGUAUUUACGGCUCCUUCAACGUCUCGCCUCUCGUUUAGCGUGGCGAUUUGCAAUCUAGGUGUUAAAGAAACACUUGUGAAACCAGGAGAAUGCGAGAAAGCUCCGAGUGAGCGGGUGUUUCGGCCACAGGAAGGGGGCCCUGACACCUGCUGGGAGAGAAAGGAAGUCGCAUUGGCCAGCUGGUCAGGGAGGGCACCAGAGACUAACUUAGCUAGUUCACGAUGCGCAAAAGGCUGGUCCUGGGUACACACGACAUCUUUUGUAAACAGAACUGUUUGAUUCAUGGUGAACCAGAGAGAGGAAGAAACAACAGGUGCUGAAGAUGAAUAGUCUGUUGUUAGCCCAUUUAUUGACUGGAAACCAAUCCUGGACUUUGCUUCUUCCUGCUCUAUCAAGUGGCUUCGGCCCGCGUGUAAUUUUUACUUUUUAGUACCGUCUGCACCUGUGGCCUUUGGACCUAAUGUUUAUGACAGAUGGGCCGGGCCGCGCUUGCACCGUUUAGUGGGUAGCUCUCCUUCUGUAGCACUCCAUGCCCCUGUCGGCUGUGGCAUGGGCCCAGUGGGCAUGUGUGUCGGGAAAGGCCCGUGUCUGGAUCCGUUGUUCAGCUGCUGUCCUCCGAGUCUAGCUUUCCCUGUGCCGGGGCCACUUAUUGCCCAUCGUCUCUCUUUCUUGCCAGGUCAUUGUCCCUCAAAAUACAGGACUCGAUGGCAGACAUUCACCUCAGAUGUCACAGUUGGACACGUUUCUCCUGUUUCUCAAUAUUUUUCUUUAUGGCUAUUAUUUUAGGAGAUUUCCGGACUAUUUUUGUUCUUCUCUUUAACAAAGGUCUAAAUGUACCUGGUACACCGACAUGAGAGGGGAGCCUCCUUUUCUGUCUUGAAAGACAGAGCGAUAUGUGUGUAAACAAAGCACUUUGGACUUUCUUAGGGAGAGUCACCUGUUGGCUUCCUUGGUUUUCCUCCUGACAGACUGGUAAGUCCUAUUUUAGACCAGCACAGAGUAAAUGUUUGCUUAGUGGACAUGCAGACAGGUGUCUGGCCUUGAAGUUAUGUCAGCCUGAAGAAACAGACCAGAUGUCAGUGCCCAAACACCCCCUCCUCUAUCCUAACUUCUCUGCAAAGCAUCGUGCUUGCAGGAAGAAAGGGACCCAUUUUUCUAACCAUCAGUUCUUUUUUCCUAGAACGGCGCAGUGCCAUUUAGUACCUGUCUCUAGUCAAGCAGAAGAGAACAUUCUAUUUGGACAAGAGAGGAGAGUGGCAAAGUACGUCUAUUUAUAUAUCACCACGCCGCAGGAAGGUCGGCACAGAGCCAGCUUUGACAACUUGGCCGGGUGGCCUCCCCACUCUGUGUGCACAUGCACACGAGGGGCAGAAGCUGGAGCUCUCCGGGGGUGAACCGGUUUUCAUUCCCACGCCGUUACUUUCUAGACACACGACACAAAGCAACUCCCCUCUUUGUGCUUAAGAUGGAAGGAGUUCACGAAUGUAAAACACACAGCAAGCGCUCAAAGCCUUUAGCGAGGAUUGUGUUUGUCAGGAUGUGUGUUGAUGUCACCAAAGGUGAUAGGGUAGUUCACCCCUGCAUCCUCGCCUUUUAUAGCAUCAUAUCCCAUCACCCAGAAGGCUUGCCCUGGUCUGUUUCUGGGAUAUGUCACCACGUGUCUAAGAAACAAGCCAUUUCCCACAAACCUUCUGUUAGUUUCACUGGGCUCCCUGAUGCGCUGUCUUCCUUCUGGUGACUUCUCCUCGCGCCACCAGAGCCUGCUGAUGGGAGAGCAUCAUCUGACUGCUGAUGGGAGAGCAUCCCUGUCUGAGCCCUGAGUGCCUCUCGUCCCAUCCCCGUGGGUAUCAGUGCACUUUGCCGGCGUCUUCGCAACCAGUUCGGGACCCACGUCUCCACCCUGACUCCAGCCUCCUGGCUCCCUCUUUACCACCCAGCUCCUGGUGUGCACCCCGGCCUUCCGGCCCCACACUGUUCUGGGGCCUUUGACUUCUGCCCAUUCUUUCACCAUCUCACAGACACCUAGCACGCAGCACUGGUGACUCCGUGUCCUUCAGGUUUUCGUUCAAGGUCAUUUUUGGAGAAAGGUCUUCCCUGGCCUGCCCAUCCAAGUAGCUCUUCCUGUUCUUCUCUGUCUUGCCUCCUCCCAUCUUUCCUGCCAAACCCCAAUUACAUUACUGUACUUCGUCAUGCCAGAAAGUGCUAUGCAAAAUCACCAUUAACACCACAGGGCUUACUGGACAAGAGGUCAGAGCACAGUACUCAAGACUGUCAGUGACACAUUAAAAGGGACACAAAAAGAACCCGAAUAAAAAUGCUAGCCCACCUUACCCGUGCUGAACGGUUCAGCAACAUGGGUCAGUGCCACGAGCACGGAGGCGCUUUGCCACUGGAAGGUCACGUCUGAGUGUGGAAGUUGCAUCGGAGGUCCGCAGACCGUUAGUGUGUCAUUGCCACGUGGGGGAAGGAGGGCGUCUGAAAAAGUUGUCAGGUGAGAUGUGGGAGGUGGCUUCUAACCAGAGGACGGCCGCAAGGCCAGGUGCUCAAGGUGUGCGAGCGUGCCUUUUGCCUUCCUGGUUGGCCUGGCUCUGCUGCGGGUGGCUUUUCUGUGUUCACUCAGGGCUCCUUGCACAGACAAUCGCCCGUAAGCAGGACAAAAUGUGCCUUCUGUUCCUUGAGCUCGAAUAGCUCCCUAUAUAUCAACCACAUGGGAACAAAUUCACACUUUCAAAACAAGCGUUAUAGCAAAACAGAUUGUACCUGUAGUGGUUUUACUGAUUUGUUUCCACUCUCCCCCCCUCCCCCACCCCUGCCACAAGACUGUCCUCCCCUUGAAGGCAGAGCCUGCACUUGGCUUUGUCACCAUUACAUACUGUACGAUGGUGCUGGUGUCGUGGAGGGACCAGUGAUUGUAAAUCAGGUGACGAUGUGAAUUUCAGGCUGAUUCAGCUGAUUAAAAAGAGCGAGCUAUUUUUAGUCACUGAUGGUCACGCUUUUACUGACAACCAUAGAAGAGAUCUGUGUUGACCACUCUGGGUUUUCCUUUUUCUCUUCUUUUUUAACAUGAUGUAAAAUAUUUUAGGUGUCACAGCAGCUGCCUAAGCCUAAGCGUCUCUGGCAGGCAAAUCAGUGUAAUCACUUCUCUGCUUCUAUCAUGGUAACUGCGAGAAAGAUGCACUCUUUAUCCCUCAUACAGCACCAACCCUGAGAAAAAUCAGCAUCUUGUGCAUCCUUAAAAAGCGGUGGAAUCAUGAGGAUGAUGAAAAUGAAAUUUUUGUUUUAUGGAGAAGCAACCUUCUCCACAAAAUAUGCAUGACCUAUAAAAGUAGCACAGUCUCUGAGGGAGAGGAAUUCAAAACAAAGUGGAAAAAGACAGACUCCUUAAGAGAAGUUAUGACAUCACGUUGCCCAGGGCAUCAAAGAAAAUGAUUCUGAAUUUUGUUUAACCCCACAUCUAGGGGAAUGCUCUAGUUGGACAAACAUGUUGAUACUAGGGACCAGCUCGUAUUAAGAUACUUCUCCGUAAAUGGAGGUCACUUGAACUCUCAAAGACACAGGAGAAAAGCAGGAAGAUGCUACAGAUAACCUGAAUGAUAAAUCUGGAAGAUUAUACUUUUCCAUUAUAUCUACCAUUAGUUGAGUUUUCAAAAUCUAUGGACUUGCUCAGUUUAGAGAUAGAAGGCAAAAAAAAAAAAAAAGAAGAAAGAGGGAGGGGAAAGGGAAGGAAGGAAGGAAAAAAGAAGAAAGGAAGGAAGAAAAAGGAAGAAAAAGGAAGGAAGGGAGGAAGGAAGGAGGCAGAACAUCUGUAAACCUAAUUAACUUCCUGUGGAAUGAUGGUGACGUACUUAAAUCUUUUUGUUUUUAUUGAAUGUAUUUCUCAAAGUGCUUGCAUUUAGAAAAAGUUACUUUAAUUAUAGUAGUUGAAUGACAGAAACAUUUAUCUUUCAUAGCUUUUUGUGAGUUUGAGGAACAGAAAGGGUAUAGAAUGGUAAGAGUAUAUGCUGUCAUCUGGGGACAUUGGGCUUGUUUUCCAGACUCUAAAUCAGUGAACAUGAUAGGACAGUUGAACAUACAUUGGGCAUAACUGGGUUCCUUGCUUUGUAAUUUUUUUCAACUAACGCUAUCUAAUACAAAUACUACCAGGCACUGAGCAUGCCUUAUAAACACAAUUUUCAUUGGCUGUCUGAAAUUUUGUCUUAUUCUGUGUAACCAACCCCCUACUGUUGGGUUGGACAUUUCCACUACCUUAGUUGUUCCGUGAUAAAGAAGGUGAUCAGUGUUGGGGCACCUGGGUGGCUCAGUUGGUUAAGCCUCCGACUUUGGCUCAGGUCAUGAUCUCAUGGUUUAUGGGUUCGGGCCCUGCAUCGGGCUCUGUGCUGACAGCUCAGAGCCUGGAGCCUGCUUUGGAGUCUGUGUCUCCCUCUCUCUCUGCCCCACCCCCACUCAUGCUCUGCCUCUCUCUCCCUCAAAAAUAAAUAAACAUCAAAAAAAAAAUUAAAAAAAAAGAAGGUGAUCAAUGUUGUGCAUCUUUAUCUACAUUUUGGGUUCAUUCUGCGUGAUCAAGUCUCAGGCGUAGAAUUACUAGGUCAGAGAGUGUGUCGAAUGAGGAGGCUGGUGAGGCACAGGAGAGGCGCUAACAUCCGGGAGGGCCCUUUCCUAGGACAUGGCAGAGAGUGACAGAUUUUCCUGAUUUAAGUGUGGAAAUCUCUCCUGCGGCACCCUGGACAGGGUGCCUCCCCCCGAAUACUUUCAGCUACUGGGAUUGUCAUGUUCUUCACUGGAAUAAAUGCACAGCAAUUACGUAUCUGCCUCAUUGCGUUAGCUUCGGGGAGGAGUACUUCCAACACACCAACUAGAAAACACCCCAGUUUUCUCCGUUUGUUUACUGUCGCAUCUGGUGAGGAUUCAAGGAGCAGGAGAAAGCCUGGCAGAGCAGGAGUGGGCCCAGGGAUCCAGUCUGAGAUCUUUUAUUUGUACGUUGCAGCACGGUUUACCCACCCGUCUCAGGUGGCCAAGCCCAUGUUUGUGCUGGGUAUCACAGACACGGGCAGUCGCACUUAGUUCUGCACUUCUUAGCCAUGAUGGGACUUUGGGAGAGAAUCGUUACAUCCCUGCCAGCUUCUACAUAAUUUCUAUUCUGUCUUUCCAGUUUAAUCUGGCCACAGUCCUAGAUGUCAGUUAUUCUCCUGCUAACCCCUCUGAUUCUCACGUUUCUGUCAUGAAAUGCAAAGAGGACUAUGGGAGGGAUUAAAUGAGACAACUUCUAUGAAAGUACUAGUCAACGUAAAGUAUUAGUACUAGUAACCUGAGGUUUCCUUUCAAAUGAAUGAACUAACUGUAAGUCCAAUUUCUUUCGUAGCCUCCAACAAUUCCAAGUGUAUUUACUGAUACCCUGCCAUCGUCACAGCACUGAAGAUAUCCAGAGUGGCUUGUGACAUGAUUUCCAUUUUUAAGGGCUCGAGUGGCGGUGAUAGACACACACACACAUGCGCACACACACACACUGUAACACGCAUGAAACCAAGGAGCGUGGCAGAAACUGAGAAGUUUUGCAAGUGGGGCAUGAAUGUGCAAAAAUAAAACCAAAGCAGUUAAAGUUACAUUUGGGGAAAGGCAUCUCUGAGAAGCCUCUCCUGAAGAAGUGAUAUUAAAUUAGUCCCUGAAGAAUGUGUAGGCUUUUGGACAGACUAUUAUGAGGACAGAGGGGUGGGGUGUCAUUGUAGAUUUGAGAGAUGGCUUGCCUUAAGGUGUAUAGCUAUGAAAGAGAACGCCUGACCUGGACAUGGAAUAUCAAGUAGGCUGAGGGGUGUGUGUGUGUGUGUGUGUGUGUGUGUGUGUGUGCACACCUGUAUCCGUAUGCAUGUGUAUGUGUGUUGGGAGGUUGGGUGAAGUGGGAAAGAAGGAAAGAAGUGGGGGGGGGGAAUUGGUAGGAGAUGAAGUUGGGAAGGGAGUCUAGAGCCUGAUCGUGGAUUUCCUUGACUGUCUUAUUCCUGGGAAUUGUCUGUAAGUUGUCCAUUAAAAUGCUAGAAAUCAUAGUCAUAACAUCUGGGAGGCACUGAGGGAUUCUGCUGCUAAAAUCAAAACUCUGUUUGGCUUCUACAAAAAAUAACCAUGAUGAGACAUUCAUUUCUAGGAACUAUAAAUAAGUACUAAUUAUGUCUUCACGUGUAGUUUUCAGCAUACUAUGUAUUUAUGUUUUGAGAAUCUCAAUCCUGACUCACGCACUUGACGAAUCCUAAAGGUGCAGGUGUUCUUUUACUCCACCUUGUGUUCUUUUAUCCCUAAACAACUAACAACAGGAGGUUGCAUUUAGGCCCGCAGCCGCCCGCUUAUCUUUCUAAUACAGUAAAGUUAAUUUCAAGACCGAACCCUGAACUGGAAGUCUUCCUUUGAGCUGACUCUUCCCUUGGAGCUUCAAAAUAUAAGAGGUCAAGUGCCUGCUCCUGGUUCAGUGGUGGAAAAAGAGAACUCAGGCUUUGCAAGGGAAAGGUUUACUGGAAAGCGUGUACUUUGAGUUUGCAGACAAGCUGUCUGUGCCUCUUCAUCAGAAACUGGCCUCUGACUCCCUGAACGUCCCCCUCCCCAGGGGGUAUGUCCCUGUGGGUCACCUCUCCCGAGGACUCUGUGGUCUGUGUGUCAGGGCCUGAGAAGCUGUGUUUCUCUUACAUGCAACACAUUCCUGUUCUAGAUCUCUACCCUCACCCCCUCCCCCAAAUAAUCUAAAUAAAUUUCCUGGGAGGAGGCUCUCUUUCUGUUCGUGGCCACUUAGGAGAGACUAGACUCAUCCUAGAAGAUUGCUCUCGCUUCAUGUGAAAAAUCUCCCCUUCUGCUUCUCUUUCCUUUCAUCUCUGUUUUUUCUCUCGGUGUGUUUUGGACAAGAUGUUUUGUGUCUCAGUGAUUCCAAGCACACAAGCUGUUCUGCCAUACAAAAAAUAAAAAUAAAAAAAUAAAACGCCUUGCAACACUCUAAAGUAAAUCACUCGCCUUCAAGAUUAAGCUAAAACGUUUCCUUGAGCUUCAUGCUUCAUGUCUGAACAUCCUACCACUUAACUAAGAUAACAGAGUGUUUUUAUUUUGUGUUUGCUUCUUGUUUUUUUGUUUUUUGUUUUGGGUUUUGGGUUUUUUGUUUUUGUUUUUGUUUUUUUUGCCAGUAAACCAUAUCUGUACUAAACCAGGGCCACCUUUUAGUGAGGAUGGGGCAGGAGACUGCCCUCUGCCAUCCAAACAUGCCUCUAGCCCUAUUUAUUUAUGAGAAGCUUUGUACUGGAUACAAACUGCCGUAAAUGGUAUCCAGCUUUGUGGACGACAUCACACGGUCCCGGUAAUCUGAUAGAAGGCUUUAAAUGGAUGGGCGGCUCUGCCAGUUUUGGGUGCCAGGAGGUUUUGGGCUUUGAAAGAAAGAAACAACAAACGAACCCAGAUUCAGAAUCUCUAACUACUGUUUAAUCACAGUGCCCUAGAAAACAUGGACCAGACAUGCCUGUUGCAGAUCCAUAACUGUGUGUGCGCGCGUGUGUGUGUGUGUGUGUGUGUGUGUGUGUGUGUGUUUAAUGCAACAUAUAGCCCUCUAAGCUUACUUGGCAUGUUCAAGUUAUUAUAUUCUUUUAAGUUUCAUGAAUAUCUUUUUUUUAUGAAGAAGGCAGGAUUAACGAACAGUUUUGGACACAACCAAUCUACGUGGUUUGUAAUGGGCUUCGAAUAUAGUAUUCCCAGUCUGGAAGCAGUUAGAGAUUUAAGAAAAUGCUUACAGGUUGGCCUCAGAUGGGAGAAUGCUCGUCCUGAUUAGCAAGAACACAUACUAAUAACACCCAGUGCUUAAUAUUAAUUGAUUACGUUCCAGGAUCUGGUACAAUCUGCCCAGCAGAGUAUGAUAAUUAUUAACAGAAUGAGUUAUUAUGUUGUAGUUAGGAGAUGAAUCCAAGAAUCUCUGUUUUGGGGGAUAGCACAAGACAUUAUGGCCAGAUUAGAAUACGUAUAGCAUGUACUAAAGUAGGGCGUGUGAGAGGCGGUUUCGAAAGAAAACUAAUCCGUUGUUUCUAACUACUACACAAGUCGUUGUGAAGUCCUUGAAGACAGGUGGUAAAAAUGAAGCUCCCUCCCUUCAAGGAGUUUGUCUCCUUGUCACCAAGGAGGUGAUGCUACAAAGAAGCAGAAAUAAGGUGUAUGUCCCAGCGUACCAACAGUCCGUGUUGUGGGGAAGUGCUCUGGAGCCGUCUGAUAGGAGAUCACCGGUAGGAGCUACGCACAGGUUUCCAAAAUGAAUGUGAUGUGUGCUCGUUUCUAAUCCUUGGGUAGCGAGUACAGCUUCUCUACCUCUGAGUUUCUGGAUAAAGACAAUUAAACUUCAGAUAGCAGGAAUAUUGGGGGGCAGUGAAUUCCAUGGGACUUCACGAAGCCACCUCCGAUGUGGACUUCAUUUGCAACCUGCUUCUUCUCUUAACACUCGUUCUCUAUGCAAUCGGGAGAAAAUACCAGAAGGAGAGAUGGGGUGUGAGGAGCGGCCCUAACAGUGAGUGUUCGCAGCACCCCACCCCUGCAGGCCCGGGUCACAGCCUGCACUUUCUCUGCAUGACACUCUUUGUGCACUUAAAUGCAUCGAUUCCUUCAUGCAGUCAAUAGACAUUGAUUGAAUGUUUACUUCCUAUUGAAUUGUAGACCCUGAGAACCACACUUAUCUUACGUCCUGCUUUAUCCCUAGUUCCUAACGUAUUACCAGGCCUAUGGCAGGAGGACAAUUUUUUUUAAAUGAAUGAGUUUAGGCAUUGACAUAUCCAUACUUGUCAGCUUCUUUUGGCUGACUUUGGAUGAUAUAUCACAGGGGAAAAUAUUUCUAACCCUGAGAGUGGGAUUCACCUCUACUGGUUUUGGAAAAAGAUAGAAAAAAUAAUACAGAAGCAGAGUUAGAAAAAGGACCCAGAUGCGUUCUUCUGUGUGGAGCAAUGUAACAUCCUAUUUCAGUGCUGCAUAUGGAACACCUCUAUGUACCUGUUAGUAUAAGCUCACAUCCGUCUUACAAAUAGAUGUUAUUUGUCCUUUAAAGGACAGCGGAUGGACAGCAUUACUUGGUGUGGCCGCAUUUGAUGUAAAGUGAAAUUGCUUUUUUUUUUUUUUUUUCAACGUUUAUUUAUUUUUUUGGGACAGAGAGAGACAAAGCAUGAACGGGGGAGGGGCAGAGAGAGAGGGAGACACAGAAUCGGAAACAGGCUCCAGGCUCUGAGCCAUCAGCCCAGAGCCCGACGCGGGGCUCGAACUCACGGACCGCGAGAUCGUGACCUGGCUGAAGUCGGACGCUUAACCAACUGCGCCACCCAGGCGCCCCUGCUUUUUUUUUUUAAGUUUAUUUUUAUUUUUGUAUAUUUUCAGAGAGACAAAGAGCAUGAGCAGGGGAGGGGGAGAGAGAGAAUCCCAAGCAGGCUCUGCGGUGUCCAUGCACAGAGCCCAAUGCGGGGCCCAAACUCAUGAAACCACGAGAUCAUGACCUGAGCCGACAUCAAGAGUCAGACACUUAAUCGACUGAGCCACCCAGGGGUCCCUAAAGUGAAAUUUAUGACGAGAAUAAAUAUGUGAAGUACAAGAACUGUGACACAAUCGAAAGCAUGAUGAAAAUCACACAAAAGGAUUGCAGCAGUUCACGAUUAUUCUAUUGCCCUUCGUGUGACAUAGGCUGGCUUUGCUGGUCGACAAUGUUUGAUAUCACCUUCGAGAGAGUAAAGUAACAAUGCCUGGUGCAUUCAGUAUUUGAGUGGCACUGUUGCCUUGAAAAUUACUGAGAGUAUAGCAUUUUAAUUCAAGUGCUGAGUCUAUAUUAUAAUCUAAAAGUGUUCAGAUUAAGUAGUUACCCAGAUAAGUAAUGGCACAAAAAGUGGUUCACCCUUCAUAAUGUUCCACAAUGUUUGAAAUACUUUGUUCAGGUAGUAUGUGUAUCAUUAUAUAUUAUAUAUUGUAUCAUACAUGAUCCAAAAGUCUUCUAUAAAUAUAUAUCUAUGUAUAUUCAUAUGACAAAUAAAUGUAUGUGAUUUGUGCAUAUUGUGUAAGGUAUAUAUAUUUAAAAGGCCUCCUAGAAAAUCCUUCAGUGCGAAAAACACUUUAAGUGGUGACGUCUUCACAUUGACCAUUAUCAGCUUGUAUAUUAGUUUUAAUAACGGAACUCAGGAUCUCCCACUAUACUUAUUACACAGGUUGUUUGGAAGUAACAAGAUGCUUAAGGUGGGAUUGAAAUCUACAUACCUGAUGAUCUGCUCCUUUUUUUUAAACAUGAAUUCCUGCCUUCCUGGCUAAACCAGAGAAAUAAUGCGACACUUAGAGAACAUUAAAAAUUUGUUUUUCUUGACAUGCACACACUUCGCUUUUGGGUUUAACAUUGACCUUCUUUGUCAGUGACUGGUGCCCCUUUGUAGCAUAAAUAGUUCGUGGCUCUUUCUAAGGCUGGAUUUCCCUAAUGAAUCACAACAGGAAAUUUUGUCCUCUCCCUAAUUCUUCUAGCUUUUCCUCCAUACCAUUUGACCUAUUUCAAUUCUAAGACAGUAACUAAUUAAACAUCCUGAUUUAUCAAUUGCUACAUACAUCUAGAAUCACGAGGUUGUGUUGCAAUAAAUGAAUUAGAGUAGAGGCAUUAUCAACAUCAUCGAAAAAACAUUGCCCAAAGCUAGAUGUCCUCUGGGCAUUUUAUCUGAAUGGUUAUGGCCAUUUACUUUACGUAAUGAAUUUUUUGUUAAGUUGAAAUAUUUGAAUUUUUGUUAUAUGUAGCAAUACUUUGUGUGGUCUUCAUCACUCACUCUUUCUAUGCAUUAAUAAAGAUUUGAAAUGUACGUUUGGCACGGUAAUGCUGUUCCCUUGGUCUGGCUUCAAGCGUAAGUGGCAUUCUUGUUAGCUGUUAUCUAAGGUCGGAAGAGGCUAUCAGUGCUUACCCCAGAUGAACUAUCAGUUCCGAUAGCUGCACUGCAAGUACUUAAUAAGGACUAAAAACCCUGAACCCAUUAAAGUUCCCGUUGACUGAGAUUAAAUCUACGGAGGUAUUAUGGAAGGUUAGGCAAUCGAUCCAUUACCUUAGAAUUAGAUCACGUAGCCAGGGAUUCAGCCAGACCAGUGAUAGAGGUGCCACACAGACCCCAACAGUGUGAUGAUCCAGGCUUUGUCCCAGAUGCCUGGGAUUUAUGACGAGCAAAACAGACAGACUGUCCCCUCAGGGAGCUUGACAUCUAGUGCAGGGAAACAUCAUGAUUAAUAAAAAUAACAAAUAAGUAAAUCACACAGUAUUUUAGAAGAUGAUGACUGUAGAUUUAAAACAAAAAGUACGGAAGGAAGUCAAGAGCACAGUGGGGGAGUGAAAGCAGUUUGCAGUGUAAGUAUGGAAAUCAGUGAAGGCUAUGUAGGAGAGGGAAGAUCUGGACGGAGACCUGAAGGAGGUGAGAGGAUUAGCCAGGUGGUUUCCUUGGAGAGGGGUGUCUUAGGUGAAGGAGAGUGAGCAAAAGCCACGUGGUGGAGUUAGCCCAAUGUGUUGAAGUGAGGAGUCCAUUGUGUUGAGCUGUGUGUGUAGAUAGAACAAGAGGAGAGAAGGUCAGAAAGAUAGCAAGCCACAGACCACAUGGAGCCUUAGAGGUCACUGUGAGAGCUUUGGCUUGUACUCUGAACAAAAUGGGCAACCGUUGCAGGUUUCAGGCACAUGCAUACUGACUUUGGUGCAGAGAAUCGGUUGUAGGAGUUGGGACAAGGGCAGAUGCCAAGAAACCCGCAACGGGCUGCUACCUCUCCGGAGGAGAGAUGUUGGUGUUGGGAAUUUAAGUGGUAGUGACAAACCUGGUAUUGGUGGCCAGAAACUGGAUGUCCUCUGAAGGUAGAACCGGUAGGAUUUCUUGAGCAUUGAAAGUGGGAUGUGAGAAGCAGUAGAUCCAAAGCUUACUGCUAACUUUUCACUUGAGCAAUUAGAGGGAGGAAUUGCCAUCCCUUAACAUGGGAAAGGCUGUGGUUAGAGCUCAGUUUGAACACGUUGAUUUAAUAUGUGUGUGUUAGACAUCCUCCUGGAGAGAUAAAAUAGGUAGUUGAUGAGAGUCAGGAGUGCAGGAGAGAACUCUUGGCUGGAGAGAUGCAUUUGGAAACUAUUGGCGUAGAGAGAGUAUUUAAAUCUGUGCCAUGGCUGUGGAAUUGAAGAUUAGAGAGGAAGAGGACCAAGGGACAUUUUCUGGGGCAUUCCACAGUAAAGAAUUGGGGAAGCAGGAGGAACCAGAAAAGGGAACUGAGAAGAAACCACCAGGGACAAAGAAGGAAAACAAGAGAAUGUGUUGUUCUGGAAGCUAAAUGAAGACAGUGCUGUCAACCAGGAGAGAGUAAUAACUGUGUCAGAUACUGUUUAUCAUCCAGUGAGAUGAGGACUGAGGAUAAAUCACUGGAUGAAGCAGAUUGACAUCAUUGGGAUCUUGGCAAGAGCAGUUUCAUAAGUGGCCAAAACCUCAUGGGAGUGGAUGCGAGCGAAAAUGGGAAAGAAGGAGGUGAAACAGGAUAGAUCUAAAAAAAAAAACGAUUUGGGUUUCGCUCAGAAAGGAGCGAAUAAAAGUGAUGGUGGCUUGCAGGGAAAGUGGAGUCGAGUGAAGAUUUUCUUUUGUUUUGUUAUUUUGGUUUUGAGAUGAAAGAAAUAAGACCAGGUUUAUAUACCACUGGGAAGGACCCAGCAGAGAUUGAAAACAAAUACGGAAGAUGGAGAGAGAGGGAGACAGAAACAGGGAGAGAGUGAGAGAGGGACUCAGAGAGAGAGAGAGAGAGAGAGAGAGAGAGAGAGAGAGAGGGAGAGAGGUCCCUGAGGACAUGAGAGGAUAUGGAAUCAGGCCAACAAAAAGAGGGAUUGGCUUUGAGAGGGUCUCGAGAAUUUAUUUAUAUUAACCAGAGAGGAGGAAAGGUUUUUGGAGGAGAUGCUGUGGGUGACUGGAGUCUGAAUGAGUUUACUGGCGCUAUUGGAACAAAGUAGCUCAAACCGAGCUAGAAAACAAUGCAGUUUUGUUCUCUCAUAGCUCCAGAGGCCAGAAGUCUGAAAUCAAGGUGUCAGCGGGCAGGGUUAGUUCUUCCCAGAGGACUCUGAGGGGGGAGUGUGUUCCAGUCUUGUUUCCCACCUUCUGGUGGUUGCUGGCAAUUCUUGGCCUUCAUUAGCUUACACGUGCAUCACGCAAUUCUCUGCCUCCAUUGUCACAUGACAGUCUCUCUGAGUGUCUCCUCUGUGUUUCUGUAUCCCUUGUCUUCUUAUGAGGACAUUUGGUCCUACGAGAUGUACGAACCACCUUAAGGUAAAACGACCUCGUCUCAACUUGAUGACAACUACAAGGAUCUUGUUUCUAAACAAGGCCAUAUUCAUAAAUUCUGGGUAGAGAUGCAUUUACACAGUUUCUGGAAGUUCUCUUCGGGUUGCUUGUGUUUUCUCAGUGAAGUAGAAAGCCAGGUCAUCAGCUGAGGGUGAGGAGGUCGAGGGGGUAUUUAAAGACUGGGGAGUAAGAUGAAGCCUACGGACAGUCUAAGAGUAGGAAAAUGCACACUCCAGGGGAAUGUAAUUUCCCUGCUGCUGGGGGCCGCACUUGAGAUUUGUGAUCUUGAAUUCAGUGGGACCUGAGUCAGCAUGGUUGUGUGUGUUUCUCCAGCCACGUACCUAGAUGCAGGGACUGAGUAGGCACAGGGUUGAAUUUACUGGGAUGGUUCUGCAAAAUAGUUACAACAAAGUGAGGCAAAGGCAAGAGAGUUGGGGCAUGGAUAAAGGCUCUAUGAAAGUAACUGACCCUAAGACUUAAAGUAGAGAAAGAGGAGAAUGAAGACACCAGGACCAUCAAGCUUGGUGAAAAAGGCAAAAUGUCCUAAGGGUAUUGGAAGGUGGAUGGGCUGGAGGCAUUGGAGGUGAUAGCUUGGCAUGCCGUAUUCAUGAAUUUGGUUAAUGGGGGGAUGGUCUGCUGGCUUUGACUCUGGGAGGGAGCACCUGAGGCAAAGUGAAUAACACAGUCAUUGGAGGAGAGGAUACAAGAAACUGAGAGUCCAGGGGGUGGGAAGCGUCAUUUACAUAAGUAUUAAAGUUACCAAAAAUUAAGGCGGUGGUCAUAGUGACAGUUAACCAGGAGCUAAAAUCUUCUGGAAAUGAGGGUAAAUUAUUGGAGUAGGUAGAUAGCAGUGAAAUCGAAGGUGGUGUGCAAUGUAACUGAUAACAGGAGACUCAAAAGUGUGGGCUUUGGGGAAGCGGGAGGGCUCUCAUGGUCUGAAAGUGGCAAAAAGGAAGUGCGAGGAGGCCAGGCCAGUUGGAUGAUUCCUCAGCCUCUUUCCCAUGUAAACAAGCUCUUACGCGUCUUUCCAUGAGAGAGAAGAGGCAAAAGGAGCAACUCUGGUUGUAAGUAGGCAAAGGCCCCAGAAGUCAGUCCUGCCUGAUCUAGUGUCCAGCCCCGAGGCUCGUCUACGGAGCCCCGUGACCCCCAGAUCAUGGCACUCUGCUGAGGGGAGUUGAAGAGUAAGCUCUGUGAAAUUUUUCAUGAUGCCCUUUUUUAUUCUUUUUUUUUUUAUUUUUGGAAAAGUCAAAUAUACACUGUACAAUAAAAAACACAUACUCAUAACCCAGAUUUAUAGCUAUAAUCAUUUAUGUUAUAUAUAACAUACUUAUAUAUUAUAUAUAUAUAUAUAUAUAUAUAUAUAUAUAUAAGGGGGAGAGAGAGAGAGAGAGAGAGAGAGAGAGAGAGAGACAUAGUGAUCAGGAGAGAGGGAGAGAGACAGGAUUUUAAGCAGGCUCCACACUCAGCACAGAGCCCUACGGGGGGCUCGAUCCAACAACCCUGGGAUUGUGACCUGAGCCAAAACCAAGAUGCUUAACCAACUGAACCACCCAGGUACCCCACUAUGAUUAUUUCACCUAUUGACUUUCUUUUGGCUUAAUGUUGGAGAAUUGUAAAUGCAUAUCACAUCAUUGUACUUAAUAUACCUCAGUACACAUCUCCCAAAAAGGACAUUUUAAAGAUAAUCAUGGUGACAUAAUUAUGGGAGGGAGUAUAGCACUGUGGUUGGAUGGUAAAUCGUGUGGGUUCAAGUCCUGCCUGAACAAAGGGAUAACAAGAGAACGUACCACUUAGGAUUGUUUUGCGGAUGGACGAUAGAUAGAUAGAUAGAUAGAUAGAUACUAUCAAGUACGUGUUGGCUCGCUUUAUUUCAGUUUUGUUGUGUUAGGAUUUUAAUCCACACGGUCUGACACCAGAGCCCAAGCAUGACCCUUGUAUAAAAACACACUAUAUUUUAUAAAUUGAAAACGAGAAAUAUAUUCCUCCUUUUAGAUGUGACUGGAUCAGUUCACGUAGUUUAUCACAAAGACAAAAAUAAUGAGUGGUUGGUCUGUUGAGGCAGGAAACCAGGGGGUGUUGUCGCCAACAACCUCUCCGUCCUCAAGAGGGAAAGGGCGUAUGCUAAUGAGUAAGAACUCCUGACGGUAAGGAGGCUGCUAAUGAAGUGAUCACCACUCCCAUGGAUUCAGCCCCAGGGAGAGAGCUGGAGGGGAGUCCCUCCGCUCCAGAUGUGAGGCACCACAGGGAGGCCUGCUAGCUGCUAGGAAAUGAUUGUUUCAAUAAUAUUUUUCGGUGUUUCCCUAGAAUAUAAGGUGGAGGUAUUUUGACUUCAUAAUCUGUAACAUGCAUUGAUCUGUGUCUCUUUUAAGACCAUGAGAGGCCUCAUUCCAGGUAAGUCAUGGGUUACAGGAGUUUCCCUCUAAACAACUGUAGCUCAUUGGUGCUGAAAGGAAGCCUUACACGUGGGUGUGCACACGCGCGUGCACACACACAUGCACACGCGCGUGCACACACACAUGCACACACACAUAUACAUACAUAUGUCUGAUAAACUUCCUGGUCAAAGGUCAGAGGGAGUUUUCUGGUGAGGCCUUUAUUUACUUCCCAUCCUUUUGUCUCCUAUCUCUAAGCUUAGUCAGCGUUAGUCCCUCAUUUUACAUUCUCUUGGCCGUCACUGGAAAUCCCUUUAUCUCUUGGUCAUACCCUACACCCCAACCCUGAAUGGCAAUAGUUCUAGCCAUCUCUUAGAAUAAUCCCAAACUCAGAAUCAAAGAUGUCAUUCACCCUGAGCAUUAGGUCAAAUGGAUAACCUAUACUGUGUAUGCACACGUGUGUCUGUCCAUGAAGAAUGUGUAAGUACAGACGGUGAAGGGCACUUGAAGUCUCAGUGAGUCUGAUGAGACAAAUAUCCUUCUGUUGGUAAAUUCUGCCACAUUAUAUUCCAAGGAAAUACAGAGAAACCCUCCAGAACAUUUUCAGGCAAUUGUCUAAAUAAACCAAGGAACAUUAUUCAUAAACAUUAUAAGGGUGAAUUUAGCCUUUGAGCAGGAACGGUGAUUAUUUUUAUUAUUAUCUCACCUUCAAUAGUCACACAUUUAAUGAAAAAGACCAUUAAUAUCUAGUUCAAUUCAUGUUGUGUAGCUGGAAUCAACACACUUAUAUUUUUUAUCUUUGGCUGAGUUCCUUUCUUUCGUUCCCUUUUUAUGACAUUUUAAAUGUUGAAUUGGGGAUGAGCAGAAUUCCAUAUUGUUUGCCAUAUGUAUUAGUUAUAGGUUUGGCAUCUGUAAUAGAGAUUUAUAAAAAACAGUGACUUAAACAAGAUAGAAGUGUAUUUCUCUCUCAUUUAACUGUCUGGGCAUAAGUAGGCUGGUAUGUCAUCAAAAUCUGGGUGCCUUGAAUCUUUCUGCUCUGUGAUACCAAGGGUUUUGCUCUUGUCAAAGUCCCAGAUGGCUUACCAGGUCAUUUGGCUUAUCACAUCUCAGUUAGCAGGAAAGGAAAUAGAUGGAAAGGAGAGAAUAACCCUCUUCCCUUCAAGGGCAUGACUCGGAAAAGUACACUCCCCUUACCGGUUCUUCCCUUUGGCCAGAACUUAGUGACAGGAUCACAGCUAAAUAUAAGGGAGGUUAGAAAAGGGGUCUCUAGGGUGGGAGACCAUCUCCUUGGUUAACUUCAAGUGUCCUCAUAUAAUGGGAAAAGAGGAGAAUUGAUCUGGGGGGACAAUCAGCAAUCUCUGACACAUCAUAGAAACAUAACUGCUUUUAUUCAGAUGCUGAUGGAUAGGAUAUUAAUAUCACAUAGCGUAUAUCUUUUACUCUCUUUGGCAGAGAUGGCUUUUGGUCACUGGAUCUGUUUCCCCUUUCUUGGUAAACAGUGGUCCCUGGAAUGCGGUCUUUAAGCAAAGGGCUACAUUUAUCAGCCUUUUUGCAGCUGGGGAUGGUCAAGUGACUAUUUCUCAACAAGGAAUGAGAUACGAGAUAGGAGAGCGUGCCCCACCUAGGCUGAGGUUGUAGAAGCAGAUGAGGAGGCUUUAGGCUCUAAGGGACGGUGGGGCCACAAUAUGGAAGAAGCCUGGAUCCUUGAACCACCACGUGGUAGUGAACUGCCCAUUGAGCAGCGACUGUUACUUGGACGUUAUGUGAAUGAGAUCUAAAUGUCCACUAUGUUUCAGCCUGAUGUAUUCGGGAGUCCUUUAGUUAAUGUCAUGUUAGCCUACCCUCAAAAUAUGAAAGGAGAUGGGCUCCCAGUUGCUGUUGACUAUCAUAAUCAUUGUGCUGUGGAACUAAAUGAUCCACAAGAAACACCAGAAUUUUGAUUUUUCUAAGCAGCUGGUGAACAUUUUUGGGUUGUAACAUUUCUCCAAAUUUUGUUGUUAUUCACAAAUUCUCCAUUUGUUUGUGAAUUUUGUUCUCUGUCAAAACAUUUAAGACUAUUUUCCAUCUUUUAGAAACUGAACAGCAGUUUUUCUGACACUGGUUUUUCUGAUGAUAAAUAGUUUUUUUCUUCUAUUUUUGCAUGUUGGGAUGCUUAAUGAAAAAAAAGCAGAGUGUACACUGGCAGGCAGGAAUUCUAUAGAAGACUCGCUACUAUAUUUUCCACAAGAUGUUGGCAUUGGCACUUAUUCUUAGAGACCGAAUAUUACGCAUCUAGGAGAUGAUAUUUAAAUUCAAGGUGAAAUAUAUGAUCUGAAGUCUUAUAAAAUGAAGAAACAACCAAGACCUUAUCUUAACAUUAAACUCCCAAGUGAAAAUAAUGUAAUUCUGUAGAAACGUUAGCUCAGAUAUCUCAUCAGUAACCUCUACUAGGCUACUAAUUUAAACAAAACCAAUCAGAAUAUUUCCAAAGUCAAGAAAACAUUACACUCAUUUGUUUCCCUCCUCCAGAUCGGAAUUCUGGAUCAAAGUUAAAAUCAUAGACUUCAGGAAAAUGGAAGGAAUCAGUGGCUAACGGGUCAACCCCCAUAUUUUAAUGUUUGUUCCCCUACUCCAAAGGCUAUCAGUGUAGUAAGAUUUUUUAAGCUUGAUUUUGUAAGUAAUUUCAACCAUUGGUAACACUGAAAAAAAAAAGUCCAGGAGAGGAGUCCAAAUACUAAUUGGUCUCUGGGUUGUAUAAUCUUAAGCCAUUGCCCCUCUUUCAAGAUACUCUCCUUGGACUCUUUAAUGUUUUUGACAGUUAAAAUGUGACAUAAUGUUCAGCACACACAUUUCCUGGAAAGAAAAUUGCAAUAUGUAUCAAUGACCUUUAUAUGUUAGGCCCUUUGAUCUAGUAGUGAUUACAGUUUCUUACUAUUGCUCCCAAGGAUAUUUUAAUUCCUUAAUUAAUCAGUUUAUUCAAUCCAAAUUUAUUGAGACCCACUAUUUUCCAGGCACUUUUUUAGGUCUUGGGGAUAUAGUAUUAAUAAUACAAAAUCUCUGUCAUCAUGUGGUUUACUUUUUAAUGGUAAUGUGACAAACAAAUCAAUGAUUGAAUAUAAGCAAUAAGAUAAUUAAUAUCAGGUAACAUUAAAUUCAGUGGUGGAAACAAGAGCUGGAUAAGGAAAUGGCCAGUGACGGAGUAGGGUGGAGGUGCAUGUUCACAAAUGGUGGCGAAGGCCUCCUUUAGGAAGGGGCAUGAGCAGUGAAACAGUGAAAUGAAGCAAGGAGACAAGUCCUAUUGAGUAUCGCUAGGUGACUCUUCAGGCAGGGGCAAUAGGAAGUACAGAGGUUGUAAAAGAAAAGGAGCAAGACUUAUUUAAGGAGUAGCAGGAAGUCCAGUGUGACCGGAGCAGGAAAUGAGAUUAAAAAGAGAGGAGUCAAGUCUUGUAGGGCCUCUGGGCCAAGGUGAGAACUGUAGGCAUUGUUCUGAGUGGUUGAAGAGCCUCUGAGGAGUUCGGAGGAGAAGGACACACACGAUAGAAUUUAUGUUUUAGAAAGAGCACAGCGCCCACUGUGCACAGAGAGCCAGUGAAGAAAGCAUGUAGUUGUUCAGGCCAGAGAAGAGGGUGGCUUGGGCCGGUGCAGGGGGCAGAGGUGGUGAGGAACCCAUGGGGAGUAUGGGUUAGCAUUCUGAGUGCGGAACCCGUUGUGAUUGAGGUCCCCGAGGCAGAGUCCCAGGGUUCAAGUCCCAUCUUGACCUCCUAGGGACAGUGUGAUUCUGGACAAAUUCUGUACCCUCUCUGAGUCUCAUUUAUCUCAUCUGGAAAGUGGAAACAAUGAUAAUUCCUUCAAAGGCCAUUAUGAUGUCUAGUGAGAUAAUUCACAGAACACACUGAAAACUGUGUUUGGCACUUCUAAGUAUAAAUAUCUGUAAAUCAUUAUCUUUAUUAACCCGUUACAGUAUAGUCACGAAAAUAAAUAAUCUAAGAUUUCCUAAAAAACCAGUUUCUGCCCAUAAGAGAGUCAUUUGCUAUAAGAAAUAUUAUUAUAAGCUGUAUUUAGAAUACUUUUGGUCAUAUAAUAUUUUUGGAGAUAUUUUUGCCAAGAACGUAUCCAUUUCCUUUGCUUCUGUUUAGAGUUGAUUUCUAACCUAAUUUUUGGUUAUACUUAUAUUUAUGUUUAUACUUAUAUUUACAUUUACAACCCUAACUCAAUUCCUGGUCUUUAUUCCAAGGAGAUAAACGUAUCCUUCGGUUUGGGACUGGUGUGUGGUGACUGAGCAGAAGGAAUCAGGCUGCAGAAUCCGGGCUCUAAGUAAGUCACUUAGCUUUGUUGAAAUUCAGAUUUUACACCUGCAAAAUAUAUUACAGUGUUCAGGCGAAAGGAACGGGUAGACAUGCACAUCAUACAAAGCAUUUUACAGAUGUUGGGUUUUAUUAGUUUGUGUUGGUUCUCCUGUCAUCAUAUUUUUGUGAACAAAAUGUCUGACGGAACUUUCUGUGGGAAUACGUUGAAGAAACAUCACACUGCCGUUCCUGUGGGUGGAGGGUGACACCCAUUCUCCUCACCACUUUCUGCGGUCCCUCACCAUCACUGUAGCUGCCCCAAUCUUGGGCAAGAAAAAGAUCAUAAACUCACUUAACAGCCAGCAUAUGUCUGGCGAGUGCCUCUCAGCUUGGUGAAAAUACAUGUUGGUGUCAGUAGUUUGGGUCUUGAUGAUAAGAGAACAUUUGAAAUGUCUUCAUUUCCUCUGCAUAAAGCAAUCUGUUAAUUUCUUUCAAAUAGUGUGUGAAGUGCUUAUGCCCCCAGAUUAGCAUUUCCAGGUUUUCAUCCCACAAGCUUGUAUUGAUCACGCAUACCCAUUUGGAUGCAAGCAGUCCUAGGGAGGAGAGGAUUUCGAAGGUCAUGGGAUGGAGCAGGAAACACAGUCUCCUCCCCAAGCUUGGCUCUAACUCACCAGGAACCAGUCCUUUUUCCUUCCAGAGCUGGGCUUGUGAAAUCUUCUUUGAUUUCUUCAUUUCGCUGUCUUUUUUUCCCCCGGCCACCAUAUGGGCCGGUCUACCAGAGGACAGAAAUAAAGAAAAGCAAAAGGUAGCAAUUAAAUUAAGAAAUGGGUGUAUUGAGACAGCCGUGCAAUAAUAAGGGGUCAUAAUCUAAAACUUACCUAUAAAACUUUGUUUCAUCCCUUGUUUUACAAAGAAGGAGUGUAAAUUGUCUGAGACUCCAGCUUCAAGACAGUUUCUGAAGUGUCCGCAAAGCUCCGGCAGCAUGCCCUUUGUGCCCUUUGCCCUGUCCCAUCAGGCUGGGAGGAUUUGGAAAAGCAACGUCAGGUCUCCCAUGUUUUGCCUGAGUCACGUGACUGUUGCCGGUGAUUCCCAUACUUUCUUGCUCUGCAGAGCAACCUUCCCAGAAACGUGUAUUAAGCGCUGAGAUUUAAGACCAGCCUCACUUUUCUAAAACUGGAUUAUAAUUGUCAUAAAAGUUCUGGAAUUAUAGAAAAACUAUACACACACGCACACGUACACACAUACACACACACACACAAGUAAUAUCCACCAUGAUAAUAUUUGGAAUGGAUAAUGAUGCAUUCCUAGAAAAAACCCGUCUACUUUGCUGGGUUGUAAUCAAACUAAGGGCUGGGCGAGUUCGUUAUUUGUGCCUUUCAUCUAGCUGAGGAAUGUGCUUAGUAAAUGUCGAAUGCCUGAAUAAAAAGACUUUGCUGGUUGAAAUGUUAUAAGCUGAUUCUGAUAUUUCCAUAAAAACAUAUCCUUGCCAGUUGAGCCAUCCAGGAGUAUAAUGGCAUACAUAAAAAUAUGGAGCAUAGACCUUUCUGUGGUGUGCGGAAUUCAAGCAGAGCCUGUGAUAGUGACCAAUCUUACACAAUUGUGUUGUUAUUAAUUAACAGGCUGAGCACGAGACAGAAAUAUAUAAAAGACUAAAAGGAAACAGCUUGGAAGAUAACCCUAAGUAAUCCAAAGAUGGGCUAAUUCACCAGAAACAUGUAGAAAUGGAAAUGUCACUCUUAAUAACAUCGCCUCAAAAUAUAUGAAGCAAAAGAUAGCAGAAUGUAAAGGCGAAAUAAACAAAUCUACAGUCAUUGUGGGAGAAUAAACACACCUCUUUUGUAACUGCUAGGGUUUGUACUUGAGGAUGGGUUUUGAAAGAUAAGGAUGGAUGCCUGACUCUGGGGUUGAAGGCUGUGGAUCUUGGGUGCCAGAGACAUCAAGUGUAAGAAUGAGUCUGCAAGGUAGUCUUUGUGCUCCGGGCUCAAAGGGCUGGAAGGAACAAUCUGUGGAAUCUACCAAAUACUUUACAUUCAAAUAACUAAAACUUAAAUACUCCUAUGUCCCAGAUUGUGUUCUCACCAAAGCUUUAGGAAGGACACGGAAAAAAAUUAUAUUUGCUGAAUUCUGUGGGGGAAAAUUUAUUACAUAAUAAGGUCUACAAAGAAUUGGCCUCUUACUAUGUGUGCCGGGCAUCCUUCUAAAUAUGAACUCAUGUAAUUCUUGCGCUAAUCCUAUGCCUAUAGGUUGCGUGAAGUGUCAUUGUAAUUGCCUAAUUUUAUAGAUGAGGAAACCCAGGCAAACGGAAGAUAACUUUGCCUGAUGUCACAAAUCGGUGGAAACAACAGUUGAACUGAGGCAGCCUGACAGCAGUAGACUGCUGGAUGCCAAUUAGAUAUUUCUUGGUUUGGUCUGAUUUCCGGCAAAAGAGUUUGGUGACACUGAUUUUAUCUACCUUUAAAAAUACGGUAGCUUACGUUAUUUAUAGUUACACAACAUAGAAUGUGACAUAAUUCUCACAUGUCUGGGAAAUGCCAUCACAUUAUUUGCAAACGUGACCAUCAAUGCAGCCUGUUGGCUAACUUGAAUUGACUGAGAAAACAUUCCAAGUUCAUGUUCACGACCCCAUCAAAUAGCAUGAGAUAAAAGCUGGUUUUAUAAUCUUUCCCUUUUUAUAGAAUAAAAGCUAGGUAAUGUUUUCAGAAUUCUGGACCAGAAUAUUAAUUCAAAGUGCUAAGGAUAUGGAUGUAUUCAUAAUUAAUCUAAGACUGAAGCAAACCCUAUAGAAAAAUCAUCUUCAGACAUAUUGGGUUUCAUCCUGAAAGAGAAAAAAAAAAAAGCGAAGUGUGAAAGCAACAAAUGCUUGGAAUUGCAGAGAUGGAAAUAGAGAACUGAUCCUUAAUCAGUUAAAAUGAUCACUAAUAAAUGAAAUCUAGAAAUAAAAUCCCACCUCUCAGCAUGAUCCCCAAUACCAGCUUCUUUUCAUAAUUAAAGACGGUAUUCUCGCUCAUGUUAACUCUUUCUUCCUCUUUGAGCCUCCUGUGUCUUUUUUAGCACCAUUUAGCUGCAACACAAAGGACUGAGACUUGAAAUCAGAGCAAGAAAGUUUUUACAAGGGAUGGAAAGAUACAGACUAACUCAUGCUGCUUUAUGAAUUAAUAGGGAUGUCUCAAAAACAUGAACAAAAGGAAUUAUUUAAAUGUCAUCCCAUUUAAGUGGUAAAUUCUCCAUGACAUGUUUUUCAGUUUAUUGGCAGGGAGUGAACUGAUGGACCUUGUUUUGCAUGUCCCCUCUCCCUUCUCCUACUUCCAUUUGCCUUCUAUGCUUCCAUAUGUUGGGACCAAUCUGUUGAUUUCACCAACACUCUCCCAUCCCCCUUUAAGACUUCAGUGAAUCAUAGACUCUUUGAUGUGAUCAGAAAUUAGGAACCUUACUGAAUAUACAUUGUCUUUUCAUAUAAAUGUCUCUCUGAUCCACUUCUUGGCCCUCUGGUUAUUGAAAGUGCGUUCAUUUAAAAAACAUAAUUGGCAGGAAUCGUUGUUUUUAUAACUAAAUAAGGGAAACUGCAUAAGCUUAAAAAAUGUUACAGGAUAGCAUUUUGGGAAAACAUACCAACGUGAAAUAUACUGUGACCAAGACUUGAUAAGAUACAUCCCAAUCUUAUAUUCAUUAUGUGGUUUUCAAUUCAGGAAAUAUUCAAUACUGAGAGAAAAUUCACAAUGGAAAGCUCUACAAUUUUUCCUUUGAAAUCCUCAUGCACUUUAAGAAGAUUGGAGAAAACACAUUUCAGCAGGCUUUGGCAGUCGCUCAAAUUUGUGUGCUCUAAGUUUAGAACCAAACUCAAUCUGCCCCCUGUUCAAGCUCUGUUCUGUGCUGGCAAAACACCACUUGCUUGUUCAGAGGGAGAAGGAAGGCUUUGUAAAACUCAGAAAACUUACUGGACAUUAAGUAGCUCCCCAACAAUUAUGUUAUCCUCAGCUUAAGUUGAAUUCAACACAUAUGAGUGACGUUUUCCUUACAACACCCGGCUAUAAAAUAUAUAGAAAAAUACUUAGCAGCACUUAUUGGGGGUUUAGCAAAACUCAGUAAUGCCUAAAAUUUUCCCAAGGUCACUUGGUUUUCCAAGAUGCUGUAUAUAAGAUUUUCCAGCUCUUAUUUCUGUUUUGUCAUCACAUCUCCUUUCAUAUUUUGAGGAAAUGUUUGUUUAGGUAUAAUAAUUUUUUUGCACCAUUUGAAACCCAAAUAUUGCAAUACUGUGUUAAGAUGCGAAAACUGAAAUGUGAAAAGAUGUACCAUAAUCUAUUUAUAUUUAAUUAUGUAGACUGAAUUAAGUAUGCAUAUAAAUAUUUUAAACAUAUAUACACACAUGCAUAUAUGCUUAUAAAAAAUUCAGCCUAAGUACUUCCUAUACAUUUUUAUUUUAAAUUGUUUUGCAUACCAACUCUCUGAAGUCUGAGAGCCAGAUCUAUGUAGUUCUAGGUAAAAGACACUGAAAAGAUUGAUAGCUUAAGAUUUACGGAUUUGGGACCAAGAAGCAAGUUAUUUUGCUUCUCUGAAAUCUUUAUGCAGGUAGGAGUUGGACUUGAUAAUAUUUAAAUGAGCUUCUUAUACUAAUUUUAUGUGACUCAGUGAUUCCAAUGAGAAGUUUGAAAAUGGCUUGAUUUUAUGAUGAACAAUGUACAUUUUAAUUGGAUUUGGUUCUUUAUUUGUUGCUGUAUCUAUUCUUAUCUCAAGUGAAUGCAAGCCAAGCUGAACAUUCCGUGUUCUCUCAAAACCCUUUCAGACUCUUCACUGUGUACUUUUAUCAAUCAUAAUGUGUAUCAGCCAAAUUUAAUUACAGAGAUCGCAGUGUGUGUUAGUAGGAUAUGUAGGAAUUUCAGCGGUGUCGUCCCAUACCCUGCUGAAUUCACCCUGCCCCCAUCGCAGCAUUUUAUAGUAUACUAGUUAUGAACUAGUUAUAUGUAUUAUAUUAGUAUAAUCUCUGAAGUUAGACUUUUUUGGCUUAAAAUCCUGGUUCUCCACUCUAUGACUACUUGACUUUGGGUGAGUUGUUUUAUCUUUCUGUUCCUUAAUUUUUUUUUAAGUUAAUGUUUGUUUAUUUUUGAUAAAGGGAGAGGGCCAGCAAGGGAGGGCAGAGAGAGAGAGGGAGACACAGAAUCCGAAGCAGGCUCCAGAGCCUGACGUGGGGCUUGAACUCACAAAUCAUGAGAUCUUGACCUGAGCCAAAGUCAGAUGCUUACUUCACCGACUGAGCCACGCAGGAGCCCCUGUUCCUUAAUUUUUUUUGUCUGUAAAGAGAAGAGAACCUACUUCAUCGACUAGUUCUAAGGAGUUUAUAGUUUCGUUCUCAAAGUACUUAGAGUAGUUCCCGGCACAGAGGAAGUUUUCAACAAGUGUUAGUUAUUUCUUUGCUUCUUAUAUGUCUACCACAUUAGAACAGAAGUCCUAUAAGAGCAGGACACUCAUCAAUCUUGUUCAUCAUGGUCAUGGUUACUUUGCCUUCUCUUCCUCUUCCUCCUCCUCCUUUGCUUUAAUUGAAGUAGAAAGCACAUAACAUUAACCCAUCUGAAAGUGUACAAUUCACCGACAUUUAGUGUAUUCACAGUGGUGUGCAAUCAUCGCUUCUGUCUAGUUGCUUAAAUGUCCUUAAUCAUGUGGAGGAAAUUGUCUUCUGUUUCUAGUUUGCUGAGUGUUUUUGUCAUGAAAGGAUGUUGGAGUUUUCAAAUACUUUUUCUGUAACAAUUGAAAUUCGCAUGUGGGAUUUUCUUUAGUCAAUGUAAUAUAUUACAUUGAUUGAUUUCCAUGUGUUCACUCUUGCAGUCCAGGGAUAAAUUCUACUGGGUCAUGGAAUAUAAUCUCAAUAUACUACUAUUAUGCUAAUAUAAUAUACAACUGUACUACUAAUAUAUUAUUUGGUUUGCUGGCAUUUUGUUGAGGAAUUUUGUGUAUGUAUUCAUAAAGGAUAUUGAUCUACAGUUUUCCUUUGCUAUAACGUCUUUAUCUGGCUUUGGUAAUGCUGGCCUUAUAGAAUGAGCUUGGAAGUGUUUCCUCCUUUUCUUUUUACUUGGAAGAGUUUGAGCAGGGUGUAAUAAUUCUUCAAGUGUUUGGUGGAAUUCACCAGUGAAGCCAUCUGAUCCUGGCCUUUUCUUUGUUGGGAGGUCUUUUUGAUUACUGAUUCAAUCUCUUUGUUUGUUAAAGAUCUAUUCAGAUUUUCUGUUUCUUAUUAAGUCGGUGUUGGUAGUUUGUGUAUUUCUGGGAACUUAUUCAUUUCACCUAGUUCAUCUAAUUUGUUGGUUUGUGAUUAUUCAAAAUAUUCUCUUAUAAUUCUUUUUCCUAUAAAGUUAGUUGCAGUGUUCCCACUUUUAUUUUUUAUUUUAGUAAUUUUUUUGGGGGGGGGGUGUCAGUUACCUAAAGAUUUAUCAAUUUUGCUGAUCUUUUCAAAGAACCUAUUUUUGGUUUGGUUUUGUCGCUUUUUUUCCCUUGAACUUUCUUUCAUUUAAUCCACUCUAAUUUUUAUUAUUCCCUUCCUUAUCCUAGCUUUGACUUUAGCCUGCUGUUGUUCCCGUUUCUUAAGACAUAAAGUUAGGUUAUUGAUUUGGGAUCUCUUUUCUUUUUAAUAUGAACAUUUAAAGCUAUAAAUUUUCCAUGAACACUUUUUCACUGAAUCCUAUAGAUUUUGGUAUGUUGUAUUUUCAUUUUCAUUCAUCCCAAAAUAUUUUCUAAUUUCACUUGUAGUUUCUUCUUUGACCAUUGGUUCGUUGUUUAUGAGUGUGCUGUUUAGUUUCCACAUAUUUGUAAAAUUUCCAGUUUUUCUUCUGCUACUAAUUUCAACUGUCAUUCUGUCGUGGUUGAAGAAUGUGCUUUAUAUGAUUUCAGUCCUUUAACACUUACUGAAGGGCGCCUGGGUGGCUCAUUUGGUUAAACUUCCAACUCGUGAUGUCGGCUCAGGUCAUGAUCUCAUCAUGAUCUCACGGUCAUGAGAUUGAGCCCUGUGUUAGGCUCUGUGCUGGGCAUGGAGCCUGCUUAGGAUUCUGUCUUUCCUUCUCCCCCACUCACACUCCCUCUAUCUCAAAAAAAAAAAAAGAUUAAAAAAAUUUAUUGAGACUUGCUUUGUGGCCCAACAUAUGGUCCGUGCUGAGGAAUGUUCCAUGUGCUCUUGAGAAAAACGUGUAUUCUGCUGCUGUAAGGCGGAGUGCCUUCUCUCUUUAAGUCUGCUGGGUCUGGUUGACUUACAACAUUGUACAGCUCUUUAUUUCCUUAUUGAUCUUCUGACUGCUUCUCUCCAUGUUGCAAAUGGGGAUACGGAAGUCUCUAGCCGUUAUCGUAGAACUAUUUCUCCCUUUCAGUCUUUCAUUUUUUUCAUAUUAUUUUGGGAUCUGUUCUUAUGUUCAAAUAUAUUUAUAAUUAUUGUAUCUUGACGGACUCAUCUUUUCAUUGAUGUGUAAUGUCACUUUUGUCUCUUGUGACACUUUUUGUUCAAAAGGCUGUUUGUCUCAUAUUAGUACGAACACCCCAGCUCUCUUUUGAGACUGUGUUUCCUUGCAUUUUCUUUUUCUACUCUUUCACUUUUAACCUGUUUGUGUCUUUGGCCCUAAAGUGAGUCUGUUAUAAGCAGUAUAUAGUUGGGUCAUUUUUUAUAAAUCCAUUCUUCCAAUCUCUGCUUUUAAUUGAGGACUAUAAUCCAUGUACAGUCAAAGCAAUUAGUGAUAAGAAAACUUCUGCCAUCUUGCUACUCCUUUUCUAUAAGUCUUAAAACUUUUUUGUUCCUCAAUUCCUCUAUUACUCCCUUCUUUUGUGAGUAAUUUUUAUGUUAUUUGCUCCUGUCACGUUUUUCUAAGUGAAGUAUAGUUAGCACACAGCGUUAAAUUAGUUCAGAUGCACAACAUAAUGAUUCAACAAUUGUAUACAUUACUCAGUGCCCACCACAAUAGGUGUGGCCACCGUCGGUCACCAAAUAAUGUUACUGCAGUCUUAUUGAACGUAUUCUCUGCUGUACUUUUCAUCUCUCUGCUUAAUUUUUUUGAGUGUAUCAUUUUGAUCACUUUCUCAUUUCUUUUCUUUUUUGGUACAUCUUUUAGUUUUUUCUUAGUGGAUACACCGGAGAUUACAAUUACAAUUAACAUAACUUUAUAACAAUCAACUUUGAAUUAAUGCCAACUUGGUUUUAAUAGUGUAAAAAAGCUGCCUCGUUACAACUCCACCCUUUAAUUUUGUUAAUGGUAGCAAACGACAUCUUUAUACAUAGUAUGCAUAUUAACACAGAUUUAGAACUUUUGUUUUCUGCAUUUGUGUCUUAAAUCGUAUAGAACAAAAGAGAGGAGUUAAUAUACCCAAAAUACAAUACCCCUGAUUUUGUAUUUACUUGUGUGGUUACUUUUACUGUUACCUUUAUAGCUUCACAUAACUUUGAGUUAUCUUCUAGCAUUCUGUCAUUUCAGCCUAGAAGACACUACUUCACAUUUCUAGUAGGGCAGAUCUACUAGCAAUGAAUUCAUUUAGUUUUUGGUUACCGCCUUUAGUUUUUAUUGACUAGUGCAUUACCGUCUCCUUCAUUUUUGAAGGGUAGUUUUGCUAGACACAGAAUCUUUCCUGGGCAGUUUUUUGCUUUGAACCCUUUCGAUGUGUCAUUCCACUGACUUCUGGUCUCCAGGGUUUCUGAAGCAAAAUUGGUUGUUAAUAUUAUUUGUGUCCCUUGUGUAUGACAAGUCACUUCUCUUUUGAUGCUUUCAAAAUUCUCUUUGUCUUUUGCUAAUUUGACUAUAAUGUAUCUUGGUGUUGAUCUCUUAGAAUUUAUUCUGCUUGGAGUUUGUUGUGCUUUUUUGGAGGUGUAGAUUCUUAUCUUUCAUCAAAUGGAAGGAUUUAGCCAUUUUUUCUUCACUCUUCUGCAUAUGUUAUGCAUACGUUAGUCUACUUAAUGGUGUCCCAUGUAUCUCUUGGGCUCUCUUCAUUUCCUGCCAUCCUUUUCUCUUCCUGAUCCUCAGAUUGAAUAAUCUCAGUUGUUGUAUAUUCAAGUUCACUGAUUCUUUCUUCCCUCUGAUUAAAUGUGCUGUUGAACCCUUGUAGUGAAUUUUGCAUUUCACUUAUUAUAUUUUUCAACUCCAGAAAAUUUCUAUUUGGUGUCUUUGAUGAUUUCUAUCUCUUUAUUGAUGGUUUCUAUUUGGCAAGACUUACUAUCUUCAUUUCUUUUGGUUCUUUGUUUAGGUUUCCUUCGGUCCUUUGAACAUAUUUAACUUUUAAAACCAUAGUCCCAAGAAAGAAAACUCACGACCAGAUAUUUUCACUGGUAAAUACUACCAAACAUUUACAGAAGAAUUAACCCCAAUACUCUUUAAACUCUUCAAAAAAUUGAACAAGAGGAAACAUUUCCAAAUUAAUUUUGAGGCCAGCUUUAUGCUGAUACCAAAUCCAGACAAAGACACCACAAAGAAAGAAGAUUACAGGCCAAUCUCCAUGAUUAACAUUGAUGCAAAAAUCCUUAAUAAAAUACUAGCAAACUAAAUUUAACAGCACAUUAAAGGAUCAUACAAUGUGACCAAGUAGAAUUUAUUCUCUUUGAUGCAAGGGUGUUUUAACAUACACAAAGUAAUUCAUGUAAUAGGCCACAUUAACAUAUCAAAAGACAAAAAUCAUAUGAUCAUCUCAAUAGAUGCAGAAAAACAUUGGACAAAGUUCAACACUGAUUCAUAAUAAAACUCUCAACAAAGUGGGGUUAGAGGGAACAUACCUCAACAUCAAUAAUGGCCCUAUAUGACAAACCCACAUCUAACAUACUCAAUGGUGAAAAACUGAGAGCUUUUCCUUUAAGAUCAGAAACAAGACAAGGGUGUCCACUCUCACCACUUUUAUUCAAUGUAGUACUGGAAGUCUUAGCCACAGCAAUCAAAUAAGAAAAAUAAGCAAAAAGCAUCCACAUUGGUAAGGAAGAAGUUAAACUUUGUGAUAGUUUGUGAUAACAUGAUACUACAUAGAAAACCUUGGGGCAUCUGGUUGACUCAGUUGGUUAAGUGCCUGACUCUCGGUUUCAUUUCAGGUGAUGAUUUCACAGCUUCAUGAGUUAGAGCCCUGCCUUGGGCUCUGUGCUAGCAGUGCGGAACCUGCUUGGGAUUCUCUCUCUCCCUCCCCAACUGCUCACUGCUCCCAGUGUCUCUGACUCUCUCUCUCUCAAAAAAGAACAAAAAACAAAAAACAAAAAACAAAAAAAACACUUAAAAAAAAGAAAACCUUAAAGACUCCACCAAAAAGCUAUUAGAAGUAAUAGAUUAAUUCAGUGAAGUUUCAUGAUACAAAAUUAAUAUACAGAACUCUGUAGCAUUCCUAUACACCAAAAACAAAGUAGCAGAAAGAAAUAUUGAGGAAAUAAUUCAACUUACAAUUGAACCAUAAAGAAUGAAAUACCUAAGAAUAAACUUAACCAAGGAGGUGAAAGACCUAUACUCUAAAACCUAUAAAACAUCAAUGAAUGAAACUGAAGAUGACACAAAUUGAAAGAUAUACCAUGUUCAUGGAUUGGAAGAAUUAAUAUUGUUAAAAUGUUCAUAAUACCCAAAGCAAUCUCAGAUUCAGUAAUUUCCCUGUCAAAAUAUGAAUAGUGUUUUUCAUAGAACUAGAUUUCACAGAAAAGUUUAAGUGUCACAGAUCUCACUGCAAAUCAGUAGCUUCUUUAAUCACCAAGCUUUCCUCUGAUAUGUUGUAUGUUUCGGGCUGGAUUUAGAGUUCUGUAAAAGUUGAUUCUGGAAUUUUUUUUCUCCCAGCUCAUUGAUUGUCUUUAGGAGGGAUGGAACUCUGGAGUUCCCUAGGCUGCCAUUUUAAGUCUAGCUUUUUAUCUUCUUCUUCUUUUAAUGAUAUUUACUGUCAUCAUUCACAAAUGUGGGUAUCCUAGCACACAGAUCCUCUUUCUGUUUGUAUUCUUGCAAACUACUCCUCUUUUGUAAUCCUGGGGAGGAGGUCCACACAGGCCCCAGAGGCAGGUUCAAGGCCAUUAGGUAGGCAAUUCCAUAUGUCUAGUUACCAGAGCAUGGUCUAGAGGGGAGGGUUCUGGCUCCAAGUGGGAACAUCAUUUUGGCCUGUAGAUUCUUGCUAAGGAGGAGGUAUGUGGGUGUGUACAGGCAGAGAAGAAACUAGAUCUUUCCUAAAUCUAAGAGUAGGCUGGGAUGUCCAUACUUCUGUAUGCAAGACCCCUAACCAUGUGGGAAGGGAAGGGAUGGGCCCAGUAGUUCUGUAUUCUUGACAUCCUUGUAGAGUCUUGAGGAGUCUGAAAAUUCUCCAUUUGAACAUGGCCUUCUAGGCAUGUAGGAAAGUAUCAUUCUUUUUUUUUUUUUUAGUGUCUAUUUAUUUUUGAGAGAGAGUGAGAGAGCUCAAGCAGGGGAGAGGCAGAGAGAGCGGAGACAGAGGAUCCAAAAUGGGCCCUGUGCUGACAGCAGUGAUCUCAAUGCAGGGCUUGAACUCACAAACCACAAAAUCGAGACCUGAGCCAAAGUCAGAUGCUCAACCGAGUGAGCCACCCAGGUGCCCCAGGAAAGUGUAGUUCUUAAUGCAGGAGAGUGGAACAUAUUUUAAUUAACAGUCUUUGAAUUUGAUUCAUAACUUUCAAAUAUUUAGAUAUGUGAGGAUCCUGUGUUUGUGGUCUUGCACCAAGCAUUGCCAAGUUAUAAGUGGGCUGUGUAGAGAUGUUUGUCUUGGACCCUCUGAAGUUUGACACUGUUGAUCUCUCUCUCUCUCUACCUUGCUGUACUUCUUCAUGGUGCAUCAGGGACAUCAUACUCUUGAGUUUCCUCCUAUGUCACUGGUAGCUUUUCUCACUUUCCUUUCUCACCAAGUAACAUUGGAGGGCUCCAGGGCUCAGUCAUUUGUCUUUGUCUCUUUUCUAUCUACACUAAAAAUUUUUUUUAAUUCUUAUUUAUUAUUUUUGAGAGAUAGAGAGAGCACAGGGGAGGGGCAGAGAGGGAGGAAGACACAGAAUCUGAAGCAGGCUCCAGGCUCUGAGUGGUCAGCAUAGAGCUUUACAUGGGACUCAAACCCACGAACCGUGAGAUCAUGACCUGAGCUGAAGUUGGACACCCAACCGGCUGAGCCACCCACGUGCCCCUCUAUCUACAUGUCUAUUGUUAGAUCCCCAGAUCAGACUUCUCUUCUGAACUCAAACACAGUAUAUCCACUUGCUUCCUCAAGGUUUUCACUUGGUUGUCUAAUAGACAUCUCAACUUUGUCUAAUGGAUAAGACACCUGUUCAACCUCAAUUAAGGACAGUCUAUUCUUCCGGUUAUUCAGGCUUAAAAUAUUCUUUUUUUUUUUUUUUAAAGUUUAUGUAUUCAUUUUGAGACAGACAGAGACAGUGUGAGCAGCGGAAGGGCAGAGAGAGAGGGAGAGAGAGAAUCCUAAGCAGGAUCCUCACUGUCAGUGCAGAGACUGAUGUGGGGCUUGAUCCCACAAACCAUGAGAUCAUGACCUGAGCCAAAAUCAAGAGCUGGACACUUAACUGACUGAGCCACCCAGGCACCCCUUAAAAUAUUUUCUUGACUCUUCUUCCUGUCUCUCAUACCACACCCAGUCAUUCAGGAAAUUAUCUUGGCCUUGACCUCAAAAUCCUGUAUUUUGGAUCUUACCACUUCUCACAACCUCACUAGCAUUACCCCGGUCCAGGUUACCAUCACAACUUUUCAGAUUGCUGCUAGAGCCUUCUGACUAGACAUCCAGGUCCUACCCUCAUCCACUACAGCUGUAGUGAUUCUGGUAAAGCUAAGUCAGAUUGUGUCACUCCUCUUCUCAAAAUAUCCAAUGACUCCCCAUUUCAUUUAGAGUAAAAGUGAAGGCCCUUUCAGUAGUUCAUAGGUGAGCAUAUCACCCAGUUCUGGCCAGUGAGAACCAAGUAUAGGAAACUUAUUCAAACUUAAAGAAGGUGGGUUCUCUCUUUUGUGCUGGAUUUGAGGCUAGAGGAUAAAAGCCUGGAUUUGGAGGAAGGUAUUUGCCAGGUGGGGUUGAUCUGCCUGGGAUGGAAAUGCAGAGAAAAAUGGCUGAGAGACCGGAGAUACUUCCUGGACUGUGCAGCUUCAUUACUGGCCAAUAAGUAACACUGCUUGGCUUAAAGCAGAUGCGUAAGGAGUUGUGUUUUCUAUCUUCUGAGACCAAGACUCUUGACUAAAACGGGGUUGAAGGAAGAGGCAGAAAUUGACGUUCACCGAGCAUUCUCUUUUGGUUGGACAUUAUGCUCGGUGAGUUACACUAAUUAUCUUAUGAUAUUCAAUCAUUCCUUCUCUUAUUUGUUUACAGUUUUAGUCCAUUUCCCUUACCUAUAAUUAUCUUUCCAUUCUUCUCUGGGAAAUGCUUUAAAACACCUGAUCAAAACUCUUAUUUCCAUCAAAAUACAUUUACUUUGAAUCCCAUUAAUAUUCAUGUAAGUAGUUCAUUUCUCCAUGUUAAUUCCUAGUUGCUCAUACAUUUUUUUGUGUGCAUUUGUGAGAGUGUGUUUCUAUUUAGACUGGAGACUUUCUGGUACCAAAGACAAUACCUUGUAUUUCUUCUUUAUCCCAUCUCAUCAUCUAGUACCGUUAUUUAUUUUUCCCAAUGGACUUCUCACAUGUUAUUUGUUAAAAAUAUUAUUUGCAACAGGAUACUACAGGUUUUAUGGGCGCUUUAAAAUAAUUUAUUUACAAUAAAGCUUCUAAGAAAGAUUAUGUUUAUUUUACACUUCUAGAAAUGUAGACAAAGACAUGUAAAGUGCUGAGAAUAAUGCUAGGUAUAUGAUUAAAUACUCAAUAAAUAUUGUUGUUGUUGUUGUCGUCUAAGAACUCUCCCACAUUGGCAUUUUCUAUUUGUCUUACAGCACAUAAUUCUAUCUUAUGAUAUGCCCAUGUAUGAGUACAUCUUACUCCAUAUAGUAUACAACAGACCUGUUGAGGCUGGGCCACUUGUCCUGUGAGUGUUAAGGGAGCACAGUGUGGAAGAGUGGAAAACACGUGAGCUUAUUUUAUUUUUAAAUUUUUUUUCAAGAUUUAAUUUAAAUUCUGAGUUAACAUACAAUGUAAUAUUCGUUCCAGGUGUACAAUUUACUGAUUCAUCUCUUAUAUACAACACCUGGUGCUCAUCACUAGAAGUGCCCUCCUUAAUCUCCAUCACCUAUUUCACUCAUCCCCCUACCCGUGUCCCCUCUGGUAACCAUCAGUUUGUUCUCUAUAGUUAAGAGUCUGUUUCCAGGUUUGCCUCUUUUUUCCCACCUAUGUUCAUCUGCUUUGUUUCUUAAAUUUCCCUGGAACAUGGGCACUAUGUUUUCAUAUUCAACAUGUUUUAUUCCCAUUGCCUGGCAGACAGUAGUUGCUCUCGAAAGUCUUGCUGAUCCAAACCUCUUAAGCAUCUUAUGUCUAUCUUCACGUGGAAAAUCGUUAUAGACUUGUCUGAAAGAGUUCAUUAAGCUGCUGCUGUUACUUUCACUUAAAAUAAAUUCAUAUAUAUGAAUAUAUAGAAAGAGGAUGCACACAUAGAUUCUGGGAAGCAUGAGCAUUGUGUAUCUUUAAAACCCUGAACAUUCUGUGGGAUUCAUGACUAUGUUUUUGCUUGUUUAAUGAAAAAGUAGACCCACUGGAAGACGCCGAUGUAUCUGUACUCACUCUGUUGCUUGAGUAUUGAGAAAACCUUACAUCAAGCAACAUGUGGGUGAAUCAAGUGCUUCCAGAAACCAGAGUCUCAUGGCCUUGCUGGAGCCAGGUGCAGCUCAGGCUGACUUUGUCUCCAUUGUCUCUCCAUCACAUCCCUCUCCUCAAGAGUCACUUUUAGCAGACAUCGUGAACUGUGCCAAAGCAUAUGGGUGUACCAAGAGGUGGGGGGCAGGUGCUCUGUUUGGCAUCUGAACCUGCCAAAUAGACUACACUUUGCAUUUCUGGCUCUUUCAUGCAUCCAGUUUCCAACUCUAAGAGCUCCGCAGGUUUAGGUUUUCAUCAAAGCCACAGGUACAUUGUUUUUCUGAAUUUCCAUCACUGCUACUUGAAUACAUUUUUUUCUGAUUCCUAUAAAAUUGAUUCCAGUGUUUAACAUCUAUUCAGACCAGCGAUUGAAGUAGCCUCCUCAGACUCUGUGACUGUGUGACAUAAAAAUUAUUUGUUUUCUGUACAGCCUUUAGAUUCUAGGUUUCUAAUUGAUUAUUCUUUGUUGUGAACCACCCCAAGAGUCAAGCCAUUUUGCCUCGAAAUGAAUCAACCUAGAUUAAUGGAGUUCUAAUUUGAAGAUAAAAGAAGUUGGCCUCCAAAAUCUUCACUCACUUCCAUACACACAAAUAAUAUGACAAAUAUGUGAAGAGCACAUUUGACUUUUUAAAAGCUUUUUCUCUCUCCCACUUGAGGUAGUAUAAGUAGCAUUAGUUCCACUUGACAAGGCAAUCCAGGCACGUGUUUGCUUUCAGAAUUAUACAGAAGAUAUGUAAAAAACAAUGUCAAAGAUGGCAAUUAGAAAAGAUGUCCUUAUGUUACGAGGGUGCUGGUAUAUCUUAGUCUCACUGAUUCAGUAUGUAUUUAUUGUCCUCCACUGAGGUAAAACACACAUGCAGUUAGGCCUUUGUCUUCAAAGAAUCUGUCAACGAUAAUGUGGUAGCAAGGCAUAAGUGGAAAAAAUUACUAAUAGGUCUGAAAAGUAAGUCAAAGCCCUCUAGAGAUUUAGCAGAGGUAACACUUUUCAUCGAUUGUGGGAGCCUUCCUGGAGGAAAGAUCACUUGAAAAGAGAGUUUAUUGUUUUCCCAUUUCAUCAGGUGUUGACAUACUUCAGAGUCACACUGAGUUGUCCUGAAAUAAUCCAUUUUGUGCCACGUUUGCUCUUCUACCAAAUGGUGCCUCAGAGAAUGGAUAUAUUUUGAUAUUCAUUUAUUAAACAGACACUUCUCAAGCAUCUACUUGGAGAUGCCAAGACAGACAUAUUUCCUGUCAUGGCUCUGAAGACCCUUAUAUUUCUUGGGGCCAGCAGUCAAAAAGCAAAUAAAUAUGAAAAUAACAAGUAAAGAUGGAGUAAGUGCUGUGAUGAAAGUUCAAGAGAGAAUUGUCCAAAGGCCCUGUGUCUUUGCCCUCCCCACCUCAUCUGGCAACACGCAGGAUUGGCUGUAGUCUAUCUCAGAAGUUUGAAAUGAGUUUUCAAGACUUAGACAAUGAGUACAUUUGAUUUGGUAUGGUCAUGUUUGCCAAGCAAAGGGUUGCUGUCCUUCAUUUCACGUUAAAAUAGUGAUGGUAAAAAGUGCCUUCUGAUAUUUCCAUAGUGCCUAAUUCUCUAGCUGCGUGGGUCUCCACUCUAUGGAUCUGACCCUGUGUAUUUAUACCCAGCAUAUCAUAGUUUGUCUCAAGGUCAAACACAUCACAGAAGUUUAUUUGCCCUGGGUGUUUAGAAAACUCUUUCUGGGGCAGUGAUCGACUGUGUUCCUUUUUCCCUAGUGGACUAUAAUGAUUGGAACAUUGAAUAAGAGCUUCUAACAGAAUAAGGUGUUUUUAUGUUUUGUUUGGUUUUUUUUUUUUUUUUUUUUUUUACUAAUUCAUUAGGUAAGAACCUCAAUGGAUAUUUUAAAAGACAAACUUCUGCUUUUCUGUCUUUAGAGAACUGGGUGGACGUUGUCCCUCCAAAUUCAUUGUCCACGCUGCUCCCCUUGAACCCCACCCUGUCUUCCCUGCUCCUUCUUCAGAUUUCAGGUCGGGUUCUGUGGAUGAGAGCCUGGAGAAUGGGAAGGGGGUGACGUUGGUGUCUUUGACCCCUGAAUGCCUCUGGCAAGAGCUGCCAUGGAAAGUGUGUACCUCUUCCAGAAAUCACAGCUCCUCUUAGGAAACCUCCCCAGGGAGCUGCCCUCUUCCCCCACUCCUUCAUGCUCUAUUUUACUCACCCCUUACCAUUUCCCCUACCCCGCUCACACCUUCACAGUCUCUUAACACUCUUCAAAUUAUCCAGUUUGAGUGUACCAUCUGUUUCCCACCAGGGCUUCUACCGAUACACAGGAAAACUAGAUUCGUGAGUUGAACUACUUAUUUGUGCUGGAAAUCAGAAAUUUAUUUUAUUUUGGCCUCUGCAAGUCAGUUUCUACUUAAUAUUCUUUCUUUCUUUUUGCCCCAGGAAACAGAGUUAAAUGACAAUUUCAUUUCAAUUAAAAAAACAUUAUAAUACAAGGUCAUGACCAGUUUGUAGUCUGCUUGUUGGGAUGGGCUCUCACUCUACGAAACAUACUUUUGAGUAAGUUACAGUGUUUAAAAAAUGGAGUGAUACACUCACAUAUUUUAUUGGUUAGCAAUCAAUUUAGCCGAGAGAAGAAAAGACCCAACAUAAUCCGAUCAAGAUAGAAAUGAACUUCUCAUCUUCAUAAAAUGUAGAACGCUGAUAGUCCAAGAUAAAAAUGACAGCUUCAUUCUUCAAAGCCCUUGGGGACACAAACUGUCCACCAUUUCUCCAGCCAGGAGGAAGAAUAAGAGGCAAAGAAGAAGGGAGAGUCAUGAUGCAUGUCAGUUGUUCUUAAUAAAGAUGCUCGGAAGCUGCCCAUGCCACUUCUGCUCUAGUGUCAUCCAGUGCCAAAGUCUCAUGGCUGCAGCUGCCGUUGAAGCUGAGGGACACAGUCUUCAUUCGGGGCGGCCGCUUAUCCAGCUCCUACUACCCAACUGGGGUUGCUGAAUGGUUUCUAUAAAGAGCAUGACAGAAAUUAGUUUAGGUCUCGUGGACUAUGUAUAGUGUCUGGUUCUCCUCCUCCUCCUUCUUUGUCUCCUUUUUAACUUCCCGUUUCCUCUGUUCCUUCUUUUUCCUUCUUCACCUCCUCCUCCUUCUUUCCCUUCUUCUUCCAACUCCUUAGAAAUAUAAAAACUCUUCUUAGCUCAUGGGCCACCCCAAAACAAGUUUCAGUCCAGAUUUCACUCGGAAAGUGAAGUUUGCCAUCCUCUGCCAUAGAAGAAGGGGAAACUGGGAAUACCUAGCGGUCUCUGCAUUUGUGGGCUGUUAGGAUAAGCUGCUGAAACAGGUGACUCCCAGAUUUCACCGGUUUAAUGCAAUGAGUUGAUUUCUCUGUCACAUCACAGUCCAACGUGGACUGGUAAAGAAUGUGUGUGAGGAGGGGCUUCUGUGCCCUGUGUGGUCACUCAUGGAGCCCGACUCCUCCCACUGAGUUGUAGGCACCCUCUGUGUUCAGCUGGUACAAGAGGAAACCGAGAGGAGAGAGAAGGUACAUGUACCCUGAACUGUUGACACAGAUCAUAUUCCCUGAACGGUUGAUACAUACCAUAUUCAUUGUCAAGACCUGUCCCCUGCAGCCCUUGCCCACCUGCACGUGUAAAGGGCCUGGAUUCAAGACCCAUUUCAGAAAAGAGUUUGGUGCUCCAAAAGAGGGGGGUAUGUUGUUUAAUGAUAUGGCUCCUUGGUUUCUUCAUCUAUACAAUGAGGAAUGUAUUACUACCCAUUUUAUACAUACCUAUAUUUUAUUUUAUUUUAUUUAUUUAUUUUUAACGUUUAUUUAUUUUUGAGACAGAGAGAGACAGAGCAUGAACGGGGGAGGGUCAGAGAGAGGGAGACACAGAAUCUGAAACAGGCUCCAGGCACGGGAUCUGUCAGCACAGAUCCCGACGCGGGGCUCGAACUCACGGACCGUGAGAUCAUGACCUGAGCCGAAGUCGGCCGCUUAACCGACUGAGCCACCCAGGUGCCCCAAACGUACCUAUAUUUUAAAGAUGUAAGUCCGUUCACAUAAAGAAUUUAGACCAGUACGUGGCCCACUGGCAGUGCCAUUUUAAGAAGGGAGUCUACACAGUGAGGAAUCUCACAGCCUCUGAAGCCAGACUAGGUGGAUUUGAACCCCGGCUCCUCCAUUUGUCCCGGAUCCCUCCCUAGAUCCCUCCAGGUGGGUCCUUUAGCAUCUCUGUCUUGAGCUCUUCAGUUUUCUUUUACAGUUGUUAUAGGAGUUAAAUACAUAAAUAUACAAAAGUACUUAGAACAGAGCUUGGAACAUAGGGAGUAGUCAUUAAGGGUUGACUACUAGUAUUGCUCUGUAUAUUUUUAUGAAAUUAAUUUUUAGACUAUGUAUUGACUCCCCAACAGGAAAGACAAGGAGUGGUCACUGUUCUUUCUCCUCUUCUCCCCUCUUUUCAUACCAAUGUUCAGUGAUGAUAUUUUUAGCUCUUCUUAUAGUUACCUUUGACAAUUCACCUAAUUCACUUGAGGUGCUCUUUCUGUUCCAUCACCUUUUGCCAUUUUCUGUUGACUCCCUUCUUUAUAAGGUGAGAAGCGGCCCUUCUACCUUCGCCUCCACUGUCCUGUCUUCCACGAUCCGUUUCCCAUCAGCAUACACUGUUAGGAUGGCUGAGAUUGUACGUGUGUACAUGCCAUCUGCAUGCACGAGUUUCCUUGCCUUGUUUAUGGACUUAUGAUAAAAGGUGAAAAGUAAUAAGCACUACUUAUGCCAUUAUAACCCCACAAAUAGUUUUAUUUUAGGCCAAGAGGCACUGUGCAGGCACUAUGCAUCUACCUGCCUGUGCCAAAUGCCCUGGUUCUCUAAGGAGAUUGUUUCCAGUAUCAAGGUCAAAUCACAUCUUUUCUUACAUACACUCCCCCUUUUUUCCCUUAAAACGAAACCACAGCUUAACCACAGUUGUUUAGUGGGACCGUGGGUCUUUUCUGUAUUUUUGGCCUUUUCAGAGUUUCUGUGUGCUUCCCCCCCACCCCCACUCCAGUCAUUCUGUUUAUUUUAUCUACUCUCUUUUCCUGGUAGAGAUGACUCUUCCUCCCACUGCUUUUUCCUACAAUAGCACCAUUCAUUCUAUUCAGCCAUACUGUCUCUGACCCCUUGAUCCCUUACCUAUCUAAAAAUGUCUUCAUUGAGCUUUCACUCUGGAAUAAAGUUUGGUUGGUGGUAAAAUUCCGAGGUACAAGACAUUUUUCCUCAAAGCUUUUAAAGUAUUGUCCUACUAACUUGGCAACAGUGUGGCCAAUGAGGAGUCCGACGCACUUGUAUUUGUCAUUACUUGGCAGUUGACUCCCCACCCUCACCCCCACCCUCCACGGGAGCUCUUAGUGCUCUGAAAUUUGACAAUCAUGAGUCUGGGGUUCAGCAUUUUUCAUCUAUUGAACUUUGGGCCUUUGUAGUCUGGAAAUUCAGCUCCCCCAUCACUAUGAGAAAUUCUUUUCUGUUAUUUUUUUGCCUUCACUUUCUUCGUUUGUUUUUCUAGGGCCCUUAGCUGAAUAUUGCAUCUAUUGAACCGGUCUCAUUAAUAUUUUCCAUCUUUUGUCUUUUUCCUUUAUGUAACUGAGAAUUUCCUUUUUCUUGACUUUAUGUUUUAGGCUUUCUCUUCAAAUUUUUAUUUCAGCAAUUCCAUGUUUAGCUUUUAAGACUUUCCGCUUAUUUUCUUAUUUUAAAAAAUUUUACAUAUAAUCUUUAUCCUCUUGUAUGGAGCCAAUAAUUCACUUAACAUCUUCUUUUUUUAAUGUUUAGUUAUUUAUUUUGAGAGAGAGACAGAGACAGAAACAGAGGGAGAGAGAAUCCCAAGCAAGCUCCACACUCCCCAUGGAGCCCAACGUGGGUUCCGUCUCACAACCACAAGAUCAUGACCUGAACCGAAAUCAAGAGUCAGAUGCUUAACCAGCUGAGCCAUGCAGGCGCCCCACUUAAUAUCUGUAACUUUAUUAUAUAGCAUAUUCACUUUUUAAUUUCUAUUCUGUACCCUGAAUUUACUCUAUUUCCUCUGGGGUCAGUUUUUUUAACUUGUAUAUUUAGUCUUUUUCCUACAAGAUCGUUUUCUUAUGGGGCUAAUGAUCUGUUUGUAUUUUAUUGGGUAGACAAUGUACCUUUUCUUUGCUAUUGCAUAUUUAACAUUUAAAAAAAUCUUUAUUCUUUUUUUGAGAUUCUAUGUAGAGUUGGGAAAGGAAGGGUUUAAUGAUUAUGAAUCUUUGCUUUUUGUUGAGGAGAUAAGAAAUGGUUAAGUUGAUGGUCCUACCAAAUGCCAGGACAGGAAGGGUCUUUUUUCUGGAAGUAGAGAUACAUGCAUUAGAAUGCUUGGAUCUUCCCAGGCACUUUAUUCAGAUUCCUCAGAGAAGAGCUGUUAUAUUUUAGCCUGACUGGAAAUUUCAGCUGCUUACACUCUGUGGGCACAGUUGAGGAGUUUGGGUGGUGAUGGGAGCCACUGAUGUAGCUGAUCUAAAUUAAAGACGUGAUCUUACCCUUAUUUCUUACUCCUGUUCACACCUCACCUAUCACUCUGAGAGUGUGGAGUUUGUCAGAGAUACUUGGCCAGACCUCUUCUGCAGCCCCCUGAUCACAGAUCCUAGGACAUAGUCUUCUCCAUGCAUUUUGUGCAUCAAUCCCCUCCCCUCAACUUUCCAUCUUCCAGAAAUGUGUUGAAGUUGUUGCUGAUUGGCAGACCCCUCUCCGGUUACCUUUUCUGUUCUUUCCAUUCCUCUUAUCAGCUUUAACUUUCAUUUAAUUGGGGUGUCAGGAAAGGUAAGAGGCAAAUCCCACUGACUAGUUUGUUUUCCAGAGUUAGAAGUCUAAAUUAUCUUUUUCAUUGAAAAACAAGUGAUUUUUUUUCUCGUUCAAGAAUUAAAGAUUACAUAGGGGUGCCUGAGUGACUCAGUUGGUUACAGGUCCAACUUUGGCUCAGCUCAUGAUCUCACAAUUCGUGAGUUAGAGCCCUGUGUCGGGCUCUGUGCUGACAGCUCAGAAGACCCUGGAAGCUGCUUCGGAUUCUGUGUCUCCCUCUCUCUCUCUGCCCACAUUCUGUCUGUCUGUCUCUCUCAAAAAUAAAUAAACACUAAAAAAAUUUUUAAAAAGAAUUAAAGAUUGUUAUAAUUCUCUAUAUAUUGAGACAACAUAGUAUAUUACCCAAGUACAUGAACUUUAGAGUCUGAGUAACUUAAGUUCAGAUUUUGUAACUGCCACAUUUGUGCAUUUUGGACUUCUUGUUUGUAAAUGGGAAUAAAAAAAAAAUACAUACAUACAUACCUUAGAAUCAAAAGGUAGAAUAAAUAUAAAGCAAUAAACACGGUUUCUGACCCAUGGAAAGCUUUGCAUAAAAUUAGCUUUAUUAUCAUUUGUUAAAUCCUUUUAACUUUUAAAGUUAAAUAUAUAUGUAAACUACAUGUUCUGGUAUGUUAUUGAUUAAAAUCAUCUUUCAUUAGAAGUGGCAGUUAUUAUAUGGGAUUUUAAUCAGGUUUAAUAUAUUGCUCCAAGGAGAUAAGACAGUCUCCAAAGGUCUUGUUUAAAAUGAAAUUAUUUUAACAUUUCUCUACAUCUUCAAAAAAGUUAAGACUCUAGUACUUUGUUACACAAACUCCGUAUUAGCUUUGGGGAAAAGAAUAAGGUUUCUUUUAUGAUACCUGGCUCUUUAUUAAAUGGCUUAAAUGUUUAGAAUGCUUUGGGGGCAAUUAAAAUUACACAUAAAAGGAGUCUUAAUAACUUUUUGAUAAUAACAAAAGUUCUGACUAAAUUUAAAUUGAUUUUGUGCCUUAGUAUUAAUAGCUGUACAGCUAUUAUACAGCUAUUAAUGAUGAUACAGCUAUUAUAAUUACAGCUAUUGUAAUAAAUGAGGGAAUUAUUUUACUGGUUAAGCAUUACAUUAUCAUCUGCAUAAAAUGGUAAUUUUUUUUGCUCCUUGAAAAUACUUUAUUAGCAUAUCCAUACUGUGUGUUUAUGUUAGCUAAGAAGAGAAUACCUUCUCAAUAGAAUGUAUUUCCUUUAAUGUAGCAGGAAGUAUUAACACUUUGAAGUGAACAGAUAAUUGGCUACUUAAAAUACAUUUAAAAGUAUUUGAAGCAUGUGGAGUCUGGAUUUUUAAAAGAAACAUUUGCAAAUCUGUAAUUAAAUAAGGUGAUCACAUUCUUCUACUUGUUAGCUUGUGAAGCAGUAUUCAUCUAUCAGAAAUUGUUGAUUCAUAGCCGUGGUUUUAAUCCCUUUGGUGAUACCUUUAAUUCACUUACAAAUGACUCUCUGUGUGAAAGGUCACAGCCGAUGUGUCCUAUACAGUCCUUUACGGCCAGCGAUGGUUCCACUGUGUGUGAGGGAUUUGGGUUUUGGCCAUGGAGACAUUGCUCCUAGGACUAAUGGAACUUUUAUAAAGCCAGCACGGUCCCUACCGUUUGUUCUUCGGGGAGAUUUUAUAACCAAGCUUUAAUGAUAGAAAUGUCUAUGGUUGGUACAUUCAAGGACAUCUUUCCCAGCUCUGUGAGUAAAAGAUAUGAUCACCUCAUAUAAAGUAGGAAGGGGAGACGAGGAGCAUGAACCUGAACAGUGCAUCUGGGAGCAGUUCGAGGCACGGUGCUUUGUAAAAUAUGGUAGUAAAACCCGACUCUCCUGAAGCUUUAUUGUCUGGCGGGUUAGUAAUGGCCUGCUUUAUUUCUGCACGCAGGGCAUUCACUUCCACUCGGUGCCCCUACCUCUGCCCUGGCUAAAGAGCUUUCCUUCCCUGAAAACUGAUUUCGAACCCUCCCAUCCCUUGUUUAUCGUGAGUAUGUUUCCGUAUCCCACUGACAAAUAAAACACCUGCUUGCUUAGUCAGGGCAAGAGCUCUGGAGCUGUUGACAUUUUGAGUCAUUCUAUUUUGAUGAAUACAGGUAACGUGUUUCCAGAUUGCUGCCUCAUCCAUAUGUCUCCCCCCCCCCACAGAAAUGAAAGUAUACCUUGUUCUUUGGUUUUACCUGUCACUUUUUUAUGACACUUACAAAGGUCAGCAUCAGAAAUAUUAUCGCCGUGUGUUAUAUAGUUGUAUGGGAGUGGCAGGGAUAAACGUCUCAUCUCGGGGAUCUUAUAAAGUGUUCUCAGGAGAAAGUAGCAAAAUGAGGUGGAUAAAGCAAGCUGAGUCCUGGGUUCUAGUUCUUUACUAUUCAAAACGUGGUCCCUGGAACGGCAGCCUCGGUAUCUCAGCGUCCGUUCGAAAUGCAGCAUCUCAGGUGCUUCCAAAUCCGCCUCAUAGCAGCGCCUUGUAGGAGGUUCGUGUGUAUGCUGAAGUUUUCGAUGCACUGUCCCAGCUGACGGACUCACGGAGGUGGUCCUGGAAACCUUCGAUAAGAGAUUUUACAGCAUACUAUCAUAAUACUCAUGCCCUCAUCCUCUCUGGAACGUUAUCAGCACUCCACAAAUGUUUGCUGAAUGAACAAACAAAAGACCUAAGUUGCUCUUUAGCAACAGUUGUUGGUCUCCUAGACUGUGUUGGGCGUUAGAGUUCUAUGAAAUCCCAUAGAAGAUCCUAGAGUUAGUCAUUGUGUGUGUGUGUGUGUGUGUGUGUGUGUGUGUGUGUGUGUAUCUUUCAGCUUCAAUUUUUGUUCUGGAUUCCUUCCUUGAAUAAAGUUUCUUUUCUCUUUCUUGUUUGCCUCUGAGUAUAGCACGUUUUCAAGGAGGGUGGUCUUUGGAGAGCUUUUUCUUUAAAUAACAGGAGGGUGGAUAUUCUUUUGCAGCUUAUAGGGCAUCCUGCCUCAUGCUGGUGCCCUCCAUUAUGCCCUCCAUGAUGGAGCUGGGAGUCCAUGGGUCCCUGAGGCCGACAAGGGAGCCACACAGAACCUUAGGUCUCAUGUGUGGCACUGUAACGAUGGGUGGGUAGAGCCAGGAGAAUCUCACGAAUCCAUCUAGGGAGCGUGCAUCGAGUGUAUGUUCUCAGUCAUAGCAAAUUUCUGACCACAGACUUUUGGGGAAUAACCAAAAAAUCUGAACAACAGUCUAAAUAUUAUGAAAAUUCUAAUGUUGGUCCUAUAAACUGAUGGGAGAUUGUAUCAGUCUAGACUGCUUUUUGUUCUCGGAAGUUACCUUAGGUAGAAAAAGCACCUUUCCUUUGCUGGGAAGAAUUCUGGAGAAUAGUACCAUAGUCUUGUUUGGAAUCUGCCACUGCAAAGGCACUGGCACUUUUAACAAGUGAUGUCACUAUUUUCCGGGGCCCCUGGGGAAUUCAAGUUAGGGAAGAGUAUAAAUUAUAAGUAUGCUGACAGCAUCUCUUAUGGAACUUGAUGCAAAGUUAAGACGUUUAUUGUUUUCACAAUCAUAAUGCAACCACUGUUUUAAUCUACUGUGUUCAUCUAGUUGUUAAUAUAAUAAGCCAUUGGAUUCAUAAUGAAAGGACAAAAUCUCAGUUUGCCCUACAUCUCAAUUAAGAUGUGUCAGUCCAGAUAUUGUCGCUCUUCACAAAUUGGUUAGUAAACAUGUGGCAGAUGCUGUAUUAGUUUUCUAUCGCCUCCAUAACAAAUCACCACGAAUGUAGUGGCUUAAAGCAACACAAGUUUGUUUCUUAUAGUUUUGGAGACCACAAGUCUGACAAGGACCCACUGGGUUAAAAUCGAAGGGUUAUUAGCAAGGCCAUGUUUCUUCCUGUAGGCUCUGCUUCCUUGCUUUUUCAGCUUCUACAGGCUGUCCACUUUCCUUGGUUCAUGACCCCUUUCUUCACCUUCAAGGCCAGCAAGGGUAGAUAGAGUCUUUUCACAUCGCGUCACUCUGGCCUCCUCCUAUGGCCCCCUCUUCCACUUUUAGGGGACCCCGUGAUUACACUGUGCCCACUUGGAUAGUCUGGGAUAUUCUCCCGUCUCAAAGUCAGUUGAUGAGGAAGCUUAACCCCAUCUGCAGCCCACCCUCCCCUUGAUUCCUCUGUGCCGUGUAAGCCAACAUACUCCCAAGGUUCCAGGGAUUGGGACGUGGACGACUGAAGGAGGCGAAUAUUCUACCUACCACAGAGAUUUGGGAAGAAAUGAUCUCAAAGUCUUAGCGAAUUUUUAGAUAUUUUUAGGUUACUUUCUUCAGUUUCUUAAGAAGUCGAGCCCUAUAAUUUGCGUCUUUUUCAACUCCUCGUCAACCAUUUCAUCCUGGUGAUUUGCCAGGCAAAAGGGCUUUGACUCCUCUCUUUCUGUGUGAUUGAUUUCGGGAUCCCCAAAGUAAACAACAACAAAAUAAACACACUUUUAUCAGAAACGGAUUGUAAUGCAUCUGUGUGUCAAUCUGGGAUGUGUGUCUAAGCUACACCUUUGCCAUGUGCGCUGCAGGGGGUAGUUAGGCUGGGGGCGCUUGGGGGAGAAUAGACUUCCAUUGUAUUCAGCACGAUCUAGGGCAACUGCCAGAGUAAUGCACUCUUACAUUUUUAUACUUUUGGUCACGGGAUUCCAGGAAAUCUUACAUUUUCAGUUAUGCUUAUCUUAAAUUCAAGAAAGAGAUACGAAGUACUGUAGCUUUGAGGUGUUGCUCAGAAGUUCCCUGCUAAUUGUUCUCGAGGUUCCUUCUAGGACGCUGUAUUCUUUGUCUCUUCUCACCGUACAGAUGAAUUCAGCGGCAAUGGGAGACAUGUUUUUAAGUUGUGCUUUGGAACCAAGUGGAGAACAAACAGCACCCUUCUUCCUGGUACGGAGAGCACCAGAGUAUGUCAUAAGAAAUGUGGACCUUUGCAGGCGUUGAGAGAGGUGGUCAGGAAGAGGACAGAUGACAAGGCGAAGGAAAUCAAAGUGCUGUAGCAGCAGAUGCUCUUUGGGAAUCAACAGGAACAGCCCAUUUCUGCUGGUUUUGGGUACAAAUGAAAUUCCGUCCAGGUGACCUCAGAUGUCACAGACAUGUAAUGAAGAAGGUGGGAGUAGACUUUCUGAAACACAAAAGUGUGGCUCUUGUUGAUGUGGUCAUAGAGCCGCUUGUCUCUGCUUUUGCAGUAUGGGAACCAAGUGGGUGAGGACCAGAGAAAGAAAAAGUGAGGAUUUCUCUAUUUAUUCAUGGGAAUCAGAAACAAAUCCAGGCUUUAGAACACCUCAAAAGCACACCAGUGAAAUGUGCCAGGAUUUGAAGACUCAUUGUUGUGGUCUUGAUGAUAUUUCUGUGCUUUAGCUUUAUGGAGAGUUUGAAAGAAUUUCGAUGUUGGAAAAUGUCCUCACUCCUUCUUAGAGUCGAUGCUCAAAGUCUAGCUGGAUAGGUCCACCCUAGCUGUGUGCCAAAAGAUGAAAUCAUUUAAAAAAAAAUUUUUUUUUGUUUGUUUGUUUCAAAGCAGAUUUGCAAUGUUAAAUUGCCUCUACUUUGAGUUAGUAGCCACAAGAAAUAAGACUUACGAGAAUCCCUCUUAUCUUACGUGUAAACUAACCUCACUCCACACAACUUAACACUUUACAGCAAAAUUAAUACAGGGUUAAAGGCAAAGCAGUGUAACUUACAGAGAACAGCAGUGGUAAAACAUUAUUUGGCAAAUUAUUUAAAAUGUUCCUAAUGCCAAUAUCAAAGGGUGAGAAAACUUAAUAGGCGUAGGAAGAGAAGAGCAAUUAAAGGUGUCAAAAGAUCCACAAAAAUCAGUAACAUCCAAGCAGCUAAAAUAGAAUUUAAAAAGAGGUGGAGGAGGAAGGGAAAAAUGACAGCAGUAGCCUCCAUGUGGCCAUGAGCAAGGGCCCCAGGCUGGCCCCAAGCUGUGCAAAGUGGGGAUCGAGGGUGCUGGGGGAGUGAGCUGAGCUGCCCUUGGCCUCAGGCCACAGACCCUAGGCCCAACGGCCUCCAUUGAGCUGUGUUCAAGUUCAGUGCCUCAAGGGGAAAACCCAGGAGGUAAAUCUGUCAAACUGAGAUCUCCUGAGUGAUGUCCAGACCUUUGUUGGAGGCAGGACUCUAAAGUAGUGCCCCAGAGCUGUCCCUCCUGCUGUCCAUGCCUGGCAUGAUUUCUGGGGCUAUGACUGGGAUGGCAUCGCCUCCUGUGAUUAAGCUUUGUUGUGCAGCGCAGAGAGAGAGCAAGCAGGGCACGUGACAGAUAUUUUCCAUUGUUGACUCUGAAGGUGGAAGGAGCCACAUGGUAAGGACUGAGCAUGGCCUCUAGGAGUUUUGGGGCAUCCCCAGCUGACAGCCAGCAGGAGAACAGGGGUCUCGGGUUCACCAGCAGGGGACCGAAUCUUGCCAUAGUCUGGCUGAGCAUGGAAGAGACCCGCCCCCCCCAACCCCCCACCAAGGCCCAGAUGUGCCCAGAUCCUGCCAGCACCUUGGUUUCAGUCUUGUGAGACCCCGAAUGGAGAGCCCAGUCACUCUGCAUGGACUUCUGAUCUAAAGAACCGUGAGCGAGUGCAAAUGCAUUGUUUUAGGUUGCUGAGUUUGUAGUAAUUUGUGAUGCAGCUGAGAAAAACUAAUACACUCUCCACAUUAAUUUUAUAAAGUAAUGUUUCAUUAAUGGAAGUCAUGAAACUCCUUUUCUGUCCCGAGUGUUUCUCUGUUAUGACCAACUCAUAAAGUCUUUGAAAUACAAAUUUUAUAUAUAUUUUUAUUGUGCAUUAGGAACCACCAGAAGAUACGCCAUUAAAAAAGAAAUUCCCUGAAACUGAUAUAGUCAUAUUCCCUACAUUUUAAAAAAAUUCACCUGAGAAUCACAUUUUCUUUUAAAAGGUGCUGUGCAAUCCAUGCUGACGUUCUUUUUUUUUUUUUUUUAUAAAGUUUAUUUACCUUGAGAGAAGGGGAGAGAGAGAGAGUACAUGCACGCGAGCAGGGGAGAGGCAGAGGAAGGGAGAGAGAGAAUCCUAAGUAGGCUCCACGCUGCCAGCACGGACCCCGAUGCGGAGCUGAAACUCAUGAACCGUGAGAUCAUGACCUGAGCUGAAUUCAAGAGUGGGACGCUUAACCGACUGAGCCACCCAGGAGCCCCCAUCCUGACAUUCUUGCAAUAUAGAUGUAGUCACCACAUGUAAAGGGCAAGGAGUAUAGUUGUACAUCAGUUUGACCUUGAAAUUUGGGUGACAGAGGGAAAACCCAUUAGGUGGCAGCUAGUUACACUUAAUCACAUGACUGUCGUUCAAAGAUUCCUGCAGGGUAACGCAGGGUUUUGUGCACCUCGUGUACCUAAGGCCCAGGUGCCCUGGGAUGCAGUUUAGUGAUGGCUUCACUGUAAAUGGAGAAGGUUUUGGCAUCCUUUUUAAAUGCUAUCAGCAAUAAAGCUCAUGGCUUACCCUGAUCAAAUGAGUUCCAAGUCAGCCGUACCCCACACACUGCUCAUUGGCACUUUCGUGCUGCGUAUGUGCAGAGACUGGGUAACGGAGUGACUAUCUGGUGAAUGGGGUUAUAGAGAUAAAUAGCCCUUCUGGAUCUUUUGACUCACUAGUGGGAUCGUUUCCUUCUAAACCCAUGUUCAAAGCAGAUUUGGCUCCUUUCGUCUUUCCGCUCUUCCAGGGUGGAAAGACAGAAAGAGUACUUGCAGUUUCCACUAGUAGACAGGCAUAAUAAUAAUCAAAGAACAUGAAACUGAAGCCAAAGCCUUUGCCAGACUAAAAGAAACAAAUUGCACCGAAAAAUCAUCCCAGACUUACUGGCUGCGGCCGCGGCAGCUCUUGUUAUUGUAUCUCUCAGCCCCAUCUUUCUGUUUUUCUUAUGGCAAAUGUCACAUUGUUGACUUUCCAUCAUGUAAUGUCAGAAAGAAUGAUCAUUAAGCAACCUUUUGAAAAACAAACAUCUUUACUUGGUUCUGAAAGAGUUGGAAUAAAUAAAUUUCUGAAAAUGACUUCCCCGUAUUUCAGUGGAGUGAGCAUGUUAAAGUAUAUGUUAUUCUGAAAGCAGUGCUCGACUUGUUACAGACAUUGCCUUUGUGUCAAAAUCCUAUAAAAUGAAGGUAUUUUAAAGGCAGGAAAAAUAUUUUAUGCAUGGCUGAGGAUUGUGACAGAGACUACAGAGGGGGCAUAGCAGACGACACUCUGAUGUGCAGGGCUCAGAACCCCACCUGAGUACAUGGUCCUGGGAUGGCGGAAGGCAUCCCACCGCGUAUGUGUUUUCUGUCAUGAGAAUUUCUUUCUGAUUUCUAAAAUCAUUGAAAUAUAAUUAACAUACAAUAUUGUGUUUGCUUCAGGUGUAUAACAUGAUGUUUUGACAAUUCUGUACAUUAUGUAAUGUUCACCAUGAUAAGCGUGGUCACCAUCUGGCACCGUAUAAGGUUAUUGGAAUAGUGGGGCGCCUGGGUGGCUCAGUCGGUUAAGCAGCCCCGACUUCGGCUCAGGUCAUGAUCUCGCGGUCCGUGAGUUCGAGCCCCGUAUCAGGCUCUGUGCUGACAGCUCAGAGCCUGGACCCUGUUUCGGAUUCUGUGUCUCCCUCUCUCUCUGUCCCUCCCCUGCUUGUGCUCUGUCUCUUUCUGUCUCAAAAAAAAAAAAAAAUUAAGGUUAUUACAGUAUUAUUGAUUGUAUUCCCUGUGCUGUAGUUUUCAUCCUGCUGACUUACUUAUUUUGCAACUGAAAGUUUACCUUUUAGUCCCCUUUAUCUAUCUCACCCAGCUCCCCCCGUCUUGACACUUCCUCUCUGGCAAUUACCAAUUUGUUCUCUGUAUUUAGGAGUCUGGUAUCUUUGUUUGUUCAUUUCUUUUGUUUUUUAGAUUCCACAUGUAAAUGAAAUAGCAUGGUAUUUGUCUUUCUCUGUCUGACUUAUUGCACUUCGCAUGAUAUCCUCCGGGUCCAUCCAUGUUGUUCCCAAAUGGCAAGAUUUUAUUCUUAUUUAAGGCUGAGUAAUAUUCCAGUAUACACUGGAAUGUGUGUGUACAUACGUGUGUGUGUGUGUGUGUGUGUGUGUACGUCUACUGGUAUCUGCUUUAUCCAUUUAUCUGUUAAUGAACAUGUAAGUUGUUUCCGUAUCUUGGUUAUUGUAAAUAAUACUGCAAUAAAUCAAUAAACAUGGGAUCGCAUAUAUCUUUGCAAACUAGUAGUUUUGUUUUCUUUGGGUAAAUAGUAGUGAUUUCCAUAGUGGUUGUACCAGUUUAUAUCCCCACCAACAGUGCACAAGGGUUUCCUUUUUUCUCAUCCUCACCAACACUUACUGUUUCUUGUCUCUUUGAUUCCAGCAGUUCUGGCUGGUGUGAGGUGAUAUCUCAUUGCGGUUGUGACUUGCAUUUCUCUAAUAGCUGGGACAUUGAGCAUCUUUCCAUUUGCCUGUUGGCCAUCUAACUGUCUUCUUCGGAAAAAAUGUAUAUUCAGAUCCUUUGCCCAUUUUUUAAUCAGCCUUUUUUUUUUUUGGUGUUGAGUUGUGUAAGUUCUUCAUAUAUUUUGGAUAUUAAUCCCUUAUUGCAUAUAUCAUUUGCAAGUAUCUUCUCUCAUUCAGUAGGUUGCCUUUUUGUUCUGUCAUGAGCAGUUUAUGUGGAUCAUUGACAGGCUAAAAAGGAAGAUUUCAAUAGGUCUUACUUGCUCCUCUUACCCCAUCCCACUCCACUUUCACCCAGACAACACAGGAAACAUAUGGGAGGGCUUUUCCUAAUUUUUUUUCUUCUCCAGUAACACUCAUUGCUGUGAUCCAGCUAACUACAUUUAUCUUGCCUUUCUUCUUGACUAUGGAAGGCAGAAAGUUCAGAUUUGGCUCCUGAGAUGGCUCUGUGCAUUUUGUUGUAUUUUCACCUAAAUAAUCCAAGAAGUAAGGCUAAUAUUGAUGAAGAAUUCCAUUCAUUUCACUUUUGUUUAUUAGUGACUCUUGAUGUAGGAGUUAGUUAGGUGAGGGCAUGAAAGAAUGUUCUACAGGAAGGAUGGACAGUUGGGACUGGAGAGGAGGAGAAUGCAGAGGGAAAUGAGGCAGGAGAGAUAGGAGUGGCCAGAUGGGCAAGACCUUGGGGCACGUAAAGAUUAUUGCCCGUAUUCACACAGCAAUAGGAGUGUCCUGAAGGACUUGAGUCUGGGGGUAAGAGGAUCUGAAAGGAAAGAGCAGGAACCUAAGACAAUCAGACAGGAGGAUUGUCACAAGUCGUAGCAGGAGGUGGUAUUCUCUUGGACUUGGGAGAGAUGCAAGGUUGUAGUCCUAGUUAGGUAUUUUUGUCAACAAGAUGGAUGACAAAUUGAGUAAGGUAGAUCGCAUGAAGGGAGAUGUCACAGAAGAUUGCUGGGUUUUGGAAUGGUUCUGUGAUUCCCUGGAACUGAGAAUCUUGGAAAAUCACUUUAAAAAUUUUUUUUUUCUUUUUUUUGGAUAAAGGGCUCACAUUCCAUUUUGGAGGUAGUAAAUGUAGGGUUCAUAUUAGACACCAGGUGAUGUCCAGGAGGCACAAAAGAGCUGAUGGCCAUAUCACCCAGUGGUAUAAACAUUUUUUUUUUAAAUAAGGUAGAACUUUAGAAAUAAAAUUCUCUAGCAUUUAGGCCAAAGAAUCAGAAAUUUGAGAUCUCCAAUUCAAUUAUAGAGGCUCUCUUUCCAAAUACUGUAACCUUGUGCUUUAUCCAACAAACUGUGGCAGCGUUUUAAUUUCUGUGACCUCUGGAGAGAAAGAAUUGAGGGUGAGGAGGGGGGUGGGUAAAUUGGCUCUGAAAUAGCUCUGUGGGUUAGGGAGAGGAAAUGGGAGCUUUGGUAGAUGAAGAGUUCCUUUGAGUUAUGAGACAUUGCUGAGGGAAAUGAGUAAUGUGGAGCAGGUGAGCUGGUCUGAUCCAAACCUUGGAACUGUAACAGCAUACAGAGCCAGGGGUAGCUUUGAGAAUACAUAUAUUUCUCACAGCUCCCUUUGGAAAAGUCCCGUAGUCCUCAUAGACCUCAAUGCCUGGGGACAUAUUUUAACAGAGUCUUAAAACUGGGCAUGCUGAUUUCCUAGAAAAAUGUCUUCUAAACCAUGCGGGACUCGAUCUCACGACUGUGAGAACAUGACCUGAGCCUAAAUCAAGAGUGGGACAUUAAAUCGACUGUGCCACCCAGGCGCCCCAAAAAUGUCGUUUUAAAAAGUUGUAAAUUGGGGCGCCUGGGUGGCGCAGUCGGUUAAGCGUCCGACUUCAGCCAGGUCACGAUCUCGCAGUCCGGGAGUUCGAGCCCCGCGUCAGGCUCUGGGCUGAUGGCUCAGAGCCUGGAGCCUGUUUCCGAUUCUGUGUCUCCCUCUCUCUCUGCCCCUCCCCCGUUCAUGCUCUGUCUCUCUCUGUCCCAAAAAUAAAUAAACGUUGAAAAAAAAAUUAAAAAAAAAAAGUUGUAAAUCAGGGGAAAUAAGGUGAUUUCACAUUUGAAAUCAUACCAUCAACUGAAACAAAGGAAAACUAGAAAAUAGAUUUUGCUAUUUUCAAACAUGCUCUAUUUUAGUGAAAAUUUAUUUAUUUAUCUAUGUAUUUCAUUAAAUCAGAGAAUGAAGGAAGCAGGUAGAGGUAAGUCAAUAUUGUUAACGAAAGUACGGAAGAAGGUUUCAAAUGAUACUAAAUUAGGUAUUCUGUGACAUCAAAUAUCUUGCGGAGACUAUAAAAUAAAAUUUUAAAGGAAGAACAGGUGUUUGUCUUCAGGGACGUCGAAAUACAUUUUAUCGCCCUACGUGAGAGAGCAAACAGCCUCUCUGGUGAGAUCUGAGAGUUGCUGUGUAGAUAGAUAACAAGGGUUUCUCUUGGGGUUGGGUGGCCCACUCUCCAAAAACCAGUUCCUUUCUCAGACACGGAGGCCAUUGGCUUUCCCUGAGGCCUUGCAGAGACUUGUUUAUUUGCUCUGAUAAAAAGGAUAACCGAUGCAGUUAUUAAGAACAAGUCAACCUAGAAGCAAGAUCUUUCGUUCGGCGUGGUGACAUUUCAGUAGCAAGAGAAUCCUACUUUCUGGGGACUGAAGGGUUUAUAUAUUGUGCAUAAUAGUUAUUAGUGCAAGAGAACCCAGUUGCAGAGUUUAUGAGAAUGUAAAGAAUUAGAAAAGUAGGUUCUUUUUUUUCUUUUCUGGAAGUUGUCUUUCUUGUCUUUGGCUUUCCUUUUUUCCUCGCCCUCCAAUUUUCUUUUUCUGGCAGGUCUCAACAUUAUCAUUUUCUGUCAUUUGCUCUUUUCAAGAAUCCUAUUGUUCUCAGUAUUCUUUUCUUUCAAAUCAUCUUCUCCUGUGUCCUUUCAACCGAAACUACAACCUGUUCAUUCAGCCCAGUGGCUUCCUCGGUAAGAAAUGUCUGACUAAUUGGCUAAAUAUAGGCGCUCCUGCUGAGCUGGUAGCUUUCUUUAAAGGAUUCUCAGUGGUGUUCUCUCAGCCACUUGUCUUUUCCAUUUAACCUUUCUUUUUAAUAGAAAAUGCUAUCGAAGUCUUAUUCUGGUAGAAUGAUUCGUUACACACGAGACUGCAGAAAACUUUCCCUUGAGAAACACUUAGGACACCCUGGUUGGAAGAAGGUCCUCUUUAAGACUGCAAAUACGUACCUCACGCUUUACGGGCACGUCACUCCUCAAAACAAAGCUGAGUCUGUCGUCUGCCCAGGCAGGUGCAAAUUAGUUCAGUGGAUGAGAACUUGGGUUCUAGAGUCAGACGGACCUGAGUCUGAUCCCUUGUCUGUUGUUCACACGCUUUAUGUGUCGGGGUGACUUAUCCAACCUCGCUGAGAGCCAGUUUUCUCAUCCCCGAAAUGGAGAGGAGAAUAGUAAGGUCCUCUAGGGUGGCUGAAUGAUGAGGACUGUGUUCCUAGCACAUCGGCAGGGUCCACUGAGCUCUGGCUAAAAAAAUAAGCUGCAUCGUGUGAGCCUCGGUGGAAGUGGUAUCUUUAUUGUGCUUUCUAGAGACAACAAGAAUGAAUGAGUUCUAGGUCCGAGUGCUUAUGGUUUUACCACUGGAAAAUUCUCUCCUCUUAAAUUGAAUGUGGAUGAAAACACUGAGUAAAGUGUAAGGAUUUCAAGAUGUUUCUCAGAGAAAAUUGUGUAAUCACAGCUCUUAGAAAUGAAAAAAAUGGAAAAGAUACAUCAAGACGGUACAAAUUUGGACUGUGCUCAAAACUAAGUCAUGCAAUCAAUUAAAUAUUUUUGCCCUAUGAGAAAUAUUUCUCCAAAAUAUUAAAUCUACUUUGAUUACUGUUUAGAGCACUUAGGAUACUAUUUAAUGUAUAUUUAACACAUAACAUAUAACAAUGAGUGGCGGUACUUUAUAGUGGGAAAAACACAUUUUGUUAUGCUGGUCACGUGUAUUUGUGAUAGUUACGUACAUGCACACAUGUUUUUUAGUUGUAGUAUCAUUUAUCAGAAACUUUUUUGUGGUUUUUCAGUGUGAGAGUAGGAACCCUCUCCCCACUCCCCAAAAUGUUUACCCAGCACCAGCUGCAUACAGAUUUGACUAGGGUAGCUGAUAUAGAUUAUUGGGAUGAUUAGAUUAGGCCAGCUACUCACUAACUAUAUAAAACCGUGACCCUAAAAUUAUGUCUCAGUGGCUUUACACUUGAAGACACGCACUUGUCUCCCAGGAAGGAACUGUUAAACCAUUUGGUCAGAGUUGUCGGUAAAUUCAACGAUGCGUCACUCACUCGUCACUCCCUACGUUUACUGUGAUGCUGUGAUUUUGCAGCCGUUUUGCCAAAUUUUAUGUAUGUAGACUUAAUGUCCUACCUAAAAGCGUGUCAGGCUUAUCCCUCUUCAUUUCCCAUUGCAAAGACAGGUUGGAGGUGUUAGUGUUUGGUCACUUGUGUAUGCGGAGGUGUGUUCAUAUAUGUGUGCGGAUGUUUACCAUGGUCAGGAAAUGACUCCUUAAUAAAUCCACGUUGCAGUCACAUGUACGCCUUAAAGUGACUUAGGAGAUAUGUGUCUGUGUGUUCUAUAACAUAAAUGUGUUCUAUCACAUAAAUAUUAUAUUUAUAGACGUAUAUAACAUAAAUGUGUGUUAUAUAACAUAAACACAAUAAAGAUGUAAAUAUAAAUAAGUAUAUAAAUUUAUAUACACAUAUACAGGGCAUAAAUACAGGUAUUUAUUUGUACAUGUUUCAGAGCUUUAAGUGGACGCAAGCCGAUACCAUAUACGGUGUGCUGGUACAAAUCUGCCUCCUCCGGCCAAGGUUGCGGGCCCCUCAGAUGGCUUGGCAAACAAGAGGUUAAUGGAGGGGGAGGAACAGACAAAGUAAAUAAAGUCAGUUAAUUGCAGGAAGCGGCCGAGCAGCUGCAGCCAGGGAAACCGUUCUCAAGUAGCAGCCAAUGGAACCGGGGAGGAGUUAAGCAGGAAGUGCUCCCCUCCCGCCCCACCCCCAGUUCUCGUUCUUUCUGCCCUCUCCCUGAGCGGCUCUGCCUUUCUCUCUGGGUCUGCCUCUGGGGCUCUUCCCUUUCCCUCCCGGCCUCUUUUUCACUCCCCCUUGGUCCCUGCCUCUUUGCCUUUUUUCUCUACGAGCGUGCUGAGACGUGCCGCACUCGGUGGUUCGCACAAGCAGCGCAGGGACCCUUAAGCAUUCUGCCCCCUCUGGUUCUCCGCGCAUUGCCUCACCCAGCAUUCGCGCAAGGUGCGGUCAGGCUGCACACUUCCUGCCCAAGCGUUACCUGUCAGGUGAGCACAGGGCCUGCCCCGACUGUGACAUCACAUCCACAGAAGCUGUGUGAAUGACACCAACACAAACCCCAACGCCGCUAUCAAGGCAACUUGAUUCAUGAUAGAGAAUGAUACAGACUCCGUAUAUCAUACCAGAAAGUGACGGGGCCGGCCACUUAUUUAUCCUUUAUUCCAUAUAAUGAAUUCUGUAUCAGCCACUCUUUGAGAAAGAAUAUUUGAUAUCAGAGUUCUGAUUACGCUUUUAAUUUUUGUAGAAGAGGUAUGUUGGCCUACAGCCUAGAAGACUCCCAUUAUUAUUAUUAUUAUUUUUUUGCCUCUUAAAGCCUCGGCUAGCAGGGGAUUUCCCAAGUAUUAAUUAAUUAACUCCAGGCUCUCCUGGCAAAAUGCCUUGAAAGGGAUGGCCUGUCCUGAGUGACCCUCGUGUGUACUCUAUGCCAGUGAUCAUUAAACUCACAAAAUCGUCUCACCUGGUUCCUCAGGACAUUAAAUGAAGAUAACAGGAAUAAUAAACUUGCCUAUUAACAUAAAGGAAAUAUUAAUCUACUGGACACAUAAAGAAAACGAUGCAAAAUUCCUUCUGGAUCCUGGGGCAAAUGCCUAUUUUAAGAUCAUUUUUAAUGUUUGCCGUCCAUGAUUCGGUAAGAGUCUUGAGAGGAACAGAGCUCUAUGACACUCAGUCAUUUACAAAACAUGUAAACGCACAGGACAAAGCGCCUUUGUAGCAGACGGUUGCACUUCGCGGUGCUACACAAACAUUCGCUAGUGAAACAACCCACCGUCGUUAGCCAGGAAAGCAGGCUGUUGGCCCUUUCAGAUGCGGAGAAGCAGAGGUAGGGACGUUUUGCAACCUCUUUAAGCCUCUGGAGAAGCGUUCGUAGAGAUGGGGUUGGAUUCAACCCUCCUUGGUUCCCUUAGAUUUCAGGAUUUCACUAACAAGGAACGUUCCUCGAGAAGACCUUCUGUUGUGAAUGCGUGUAUUUAGAUGUGCCACAGGCCGCAUAGUGUCCCCAGCAGGCCUACCACCACAAAGAGCGAGAACUCUAUUAAUACCUUUAACUCCGAAAGACCAUUCCCAACAAACACAAAUACACAUACACACUUACACGCAAUAACACACACACACACACACACACAAACACCAAUAUAUACGCCCAUAACAUCCCCCUACGAAGAUUUGCCUAUGUUUUGGUCCCUGGGAUAUAUUCUGUGAGAGGAAGAGAGCUGUGUUGAUACCAAAGGGGAAAAAAUGAACGGCAAUGAAUGAAUAAUUAGGGCACAAGAGGCGAUGCUGAAGAAGCAAUGAAAUGUGGGAAGGGAAAGUUCUGUUUCAUGAAACAGGCACAUGACAAGUUUCAAUGUGAAUGGCUGGAAUGCUUGGGAGGAAGCCAGAACCACCAGAUAGAUAUGACACAUCCUUCACCCAGCAGACUGAAACUUCUCCUGUUUAUCAGCAGUCGGUCUGGCACACUUACAUCCACACUCAGUCCACUUGCUGAAAAAUGCUGGCAUUUUAUAUUGGAAAAACUGAAAUGUAAGUUAUUCCCAAAGACUUGCAUUUUUAUGGUGAUUCUGUUAAUUGUUGUCAUUCUUGGGGUGGAAGGAAAUCACAUAUGUGCCCAGGAGAAUGUUGUAUACAGUGGGCAGGAGGUCUGUGUGCUGGUGAGUGUGUGCUACGAGGCACUACUUAACCGGCGUUGGGUGACAGCUUGGGUAGCAAAUUAAAAAUCAUCGGGGUUUGGGGAUGCCUGGGUGGCUCGGUCAGUUGAGCGCUGACUUCAGCUCAGGUCAUGAUCUCACGGUUCGUGGGUUUGAUCCCCUCAUCGGGCUCUGUGCUGACAGCUUGGAGCCUGGAGCCUGCUUCGGAUUCUGCGCCUCCCUCUCUCUCUGCCCCUCCCCUAUUUACACUCUCUCUCUCUCUCUCUCUCUCUCUCUCUCUCAAAAAUUAAUAAAUAUGAAAAGAAUUUUAAAUCCUCGGGUUGUGGUAAAUUCUGGAGAGGUGAAUACCACGUGCUAAAUUGCAGAGGUGAACCAUGGUACUCUAUCUCUCAAUAGAGGUCAGUAAACGUCAGGUGUGGCUAGUAUCACCAUUAUGAGACAUAGAGUGGGAAGUUAUCUCAGGGAGCAAACCUGUAUCGAGCACCUACCUUUUCUAAACCUCAUAACCAGGCGAUGAGGACGCCUUGCCCUAUUAAUGAUGUUUUACAAAUACCAGGUUAUGAAGUUUUGGCAAGAACAUCCAAUUAAUAAGUCCUCAUUCUGUCCCGUGACUCUAGGUUGCUCAUUACUGAACAGCUUAGAAGAUAGGAAAAUUAUUCAGGCUUAAUUAGUGCAAGGUUGUAUGUCUGUGCUUCCCAUGUGUGACUCAAAUUUAAUCAUAGACCGAGAGUAGGAUAGAUACUCAGAGAUAGUUAAUCCUUCCUGGGGCCGUUCUCUGAAAUUGCUAAGGCUAGGGGAUGCUCAGCUUUGUUUUCUUGAGUUAAGAUUUUUCCCACAUUCCUGAAAGAAAACGUUACUAUUCCCAUUUUCCAGAUGGAAUAUGGGCACCCAUAUCCAUUUCAGUUAUAAAGCCGGUCACAAACAAAAAGAUCUCCAAACAGGAAUUAAUGAUCAUGGCAGAGUUGCCCAUUAAGUUUUCCUACAGAGGUAUUUCAGGAACCUGAAUCACAGCUCAAAUGGAGUGCUUUGUGUGUGCUCCGUAAGAGGGAGGUAUUGCACUGAAGCAAGUGUUGGCUCAACUUCAUAAUGAGAAACCUGGAUACUGAUGGGGCUUAGCUUUGAUUGGAUUCUGGAACUUAUUGCACUCAGCUGGGUGUAGUCCAGCAACUGGGUGGCACUGGCACGGGGAGGCCGGCUUCUGCAACAAUUACUGGUCAAUUGCAAGUGAUUAUAAUGGCACUGUGUCUAAAACAAUAUGGAAAAAAAUGCUGCCUGGAAAACAUGAAACAGUGGUGCUCCACAAGGGAAUGAGCAAGUUGCUGGGCAUAUCAGGGUAACAAGAGAUUUGGGGGAUUUGAGUUGCUGCUCUAGGCCACAGGAAGAUGGCGCUUCAAACUAAAGCUCCAUGGUAUACUUUCUUCUCCUUCGGAGGCAGACAAAACAAGUCCCAGUGGCUCUACACACGCCAUCUUUCUUGGUGAGUGGAGAUGGCUGGACAGACUGUAAGAAGCAGGGCCGGCCAGUCUUGCCCUAUGCAUCAACCCAAGAAACAGGAAGAAGCAACAGAAAGUACCUUACUGCAUCUAAUUUCGCCUUCACCCAAACGAGGCCCGCCAUUGGUAUGGAAGAAGGCAGAUUGCCAGAAAUGAUUGCAUUAGGAAAACAUUCUUGGGAUGCUUAGGAGUGAAUGCUGGGUAGACUUGACCAGUAGAUGGGGGCUCUGAUAUUUGCAGAUAGCAGAGCAGAGUUGCUAUUUUUGCCUUUGUGGCCUUUAUUGCUUGUGAGCGAUAUGGCCACAGGAGGCCACCGUCACCUGUGGACCAAGCGACUGUAACACCAAGCCCAAAUGGAGACUGUGGGGCUCCUUCCCAGUAGCAACCCGUGGCGAGGCGUGUAGUUCCCCGUGAACACUGCCUCUCUGGCUUCCGCAGGAUUUGGCCUGGAUCGGUGGACUCUUCGUGGGCUGCUGAUUGACUGCUACCAGCCCCUGUGACGGUUUCCUCACUCCUGUGAGAAAUUGUGACAUAUUCAUUCUUGGCAGUCACCAUCUCAGGCGUUAAAUCACUUUCCUCAAAUUUCCCGAGUUCUGACACAUAUAAUGGGCUUGGUAGGGGAUUUGCAAUAAUUCUUUUUCAGUAUUUAUGAAAUUGUGCAGCUCCCUAUGGCUUCUGGGCCUUUAAGCUGCUUUUCAGAUAUCCCUCCCAUAAAUUUUCCAUGAUUAUCACUUCCCAGCUUGAAAAUAUACAUCUUUAUGCAUUGUUAUUGGGACAAAGGAGGCACCAUUGACUUUGCCUUAUGUUAUUGAGUUUGUAAUAUGUCUAUAGCCUCACCUGGCUAAAAAUACAGUUAGCUAAUGGUCAUUUUAAUACAGAAGGAGUUUCGUAACUAUGCAUCUUUCAUUAUUGCAAAUGUGAAUCCUGUGGUUUUAUCCAAUUGUAAAAACCUACAUACACGAAACCAAAGGUCACAACAAUGAAUGUUUUCUACACGGCGCACCUACAGUUGCCAGAAAAGUCUUGCUUUUAGCGUGCUGUGCCUCCGUCUACAAUAAAUUCUCUCAUUGGCAGUUCUUGUAAACUCCCUCUGUCCUCUUCCCUACUGCUACGUGCAGAAUCUAGUUGUCACCACUUUGGAAAUGGAACUAGACGGGAAGAUUGAGACUUGCCAAUCAAAUUUUAACCUUGUUUCUGGCAUUCUUGCUGCACUGAUAGAAACAUAAUAGUUGGGAGUAUGUCUGUUGUAUUUUGAGAGGUGUAGAGAUUUCUGAAAUUUUGUCCGUGCUUUGGACCGUGUACCCCAGGUAACCGAGGAGGAGAGUCUGAAGUCAGGUUAGAAUUCAACCUAAGGUUUUAUGAAAAAUGACCAGGUAUUCUUUACAGCUAUCUCAGAAGCGGUAGAUGCCACUAUCCUGAAAUAUGGAAAAGGGACAUUUGAGAGGCCCUUAAGGUUCGUUGAGACUUCAACAAACAAGUAUUAUGUGGCCAGCUGCCAGAUGUGAAUAUUUAAUCUGUUUGGGAAGUUAGAGUGGUUUGUGCAGACUUUUGGGGAGAGACCCUCAGUUAUUUCUAAAUGAGGCUGGGUUAGAGCAGGAAAGGGAAUAGUGGCACAGAAUCCUGUCUGGAAAGAGUCUGGGCAAGGAUUCCUCGUUAAUGUAUCUGGGAAUAGGGAAGUUAAAGAAGCAUAGAAUUUUGUACUUGAAUUUUAAGAGAAAGCUGCCGAAGCCCAGAAAAGCCAGUGUAAGCUUAAAAAUACAAGGGCAUUAUUCUCUGUCCUCGUUUUACUGUUUCCUUUUUGAAAAUUAUGUUGCUAUUAAUUUAUUAGUGUGGUAUAAUCAUAAUUAUAAUAAAUGACAAUAAUACACAGACACCUUGUUCUAAUUAAGUGUUCAGGAUGUACAACUAUAGCACUUAUAGGGAAUAUGUCAUUCUUAGAUGUACACUUGACCUUUGAACGACACAAGUUUGAACUGCGGGGAUCUGCUUACGGAUGGAUUUUUUUUUUUUUUGAUACAGUACUAUAAAUGUAUUUUCCCUUCCUUAGGAUUUUCUUAACAUUUUCUCUUCUCUAGCUUACUUUAUUGUAAGAGUACAGUAUGGAAUAUGUAUAGGACACAUAAUGUAUGUCAGUCGACCGUUUGUGUGAUUGGUGAGACUUCUGGUCAACAGGAGGCUGUUUGUAGUUGUGUUGGAGGAAUCACACAUUAAAUGUGGAUUUACAGUUGUGUGGGGGCACCCCAAACCCCUGCCUUGUUCAAGGGUCGUCUGUAGUAACACCAGAAACUGACCACUCUUACAUGAGACCCAAUGCAAAAAUAUUACUUUGUGUUCUGUCUUAAGCCGUAUGGGAUCAGGUGCUCAUAGAUUCCUCAGUCAGGAAUGCUGAACCAAUUCUCUUCCAAAUGGUCUCCUUAGGACUUUCCUGUUCCUGACAGUGGCGCCAUCAUUUUCUCAGUUAUUCAGGGUUGGAACUGCUUCAAGUUAGUCAUUAAGCGUUACAAUGAUUUCCUUUUACUGUCUUUUAUUAUACUUUUCUUUUUUCUUUCUGUCUACCCUGUUUCCACCCCAUAUUGGGCCUCGGCUGUUCUGAUCAUCUCUUAGUUGUUUCUCUGCCUCUCUCCCUGCUUCUUUGCCUCACAAUUUGUUCUGAAUAUCGCAGGCUGGUUAAUCUUCAUAAAGUAACAUUUGAUCAUGUCGCUACUCUCCUUAAAAUUUCUGCCAGCCCUCUGUUGCUUAAUAAUUAAGUCCUGUGUCCUUAAACUGGCAUUCAAAACUUAAAAAAAAAUGCCCACCUCAAUUUUCCAAACUUAUUAUCCAGAGCUUUUACAAAAAAGGUCUAGAUUACUCUUUUGGGUCAUGCGUGUCUAGGCUUUGAGUCCGGAUUUAUCACAUAUCUGUUUUAUUACUUAAAACAAGCUAUAUCAACUCUAGUAGGCAUCAUUAAAAAACAUAGCUUGUUGUAAGUAACCAAACUGAUGUGACAAAAUUGGACUUAAAGUCUAGGUCAAAGGGAGCAUCUGUGGUUUAAGGAAGGGUGGGAGUCAUGACUCCUCGUUUCUUCCUCUCCUGCUUUCAUAUGAUUUUAUUAAAAGCAUUAUUCUGGACACAUUGCUCUGGGUUCUAGAACCCAGCUCUUCCCCCCCUCUCCCCUGCCCCACCAUCCCUCCAUCUGUAGAGUUACUGAAUCACAAUCACUUUAUAGAAUUUGAGUCUUGGUCAGGGGCUCCUUCGAGGAGCUGCCUCUCAGGAAAUUCGUGUGACUGUCACUGCGCCAGACCCACCGCAGUGUCCAGUGUGUAAUCUCUUCCUAAGAAAUAGCUGCCAAUCAAUUGAUUAGGGAUAGCUACAGAUUCCUCUGGCGGCGAGAGAUGAUGCAGGAUUUUCAAGAUACUUCAGUAACACACCAAAUCAUCGGUUGGCUUUUAACAAAAAUGAAUUCAAUUGCAAAGGUGACUCAGUAUUCUUUGGAUAUUAAAACAAUGAGUGCGUUAUCGAUUGACUCUAGUAGAAAGAAGUGCCUUCAGGUGAAGGAGCAAAGCACGGCUGUGUCAUCAGGCUGAAGUCUGUCCCUGAAGCAGCAGAACUAGUGAUUAAUCCUUAGAGAUGAGAUACUGGGUUGGACGACAUUUUAUGGAAGAACGUCAAGAAAUAAUGCCACUCGGUUAUCUCUAUGUUAAUUUACUCUUUACUAUAUAAUUGAAAUAGUUAUUUGAAAUAGUGACAGAACUUUACGUUAAGUUGUUUUAAUACGACGAAAUUCGUCAGAUACCAGAGUCAUAAUUUUUAUAAUUUUAUUUUUGUUUAAUGUACAUACGAUACAUGAAAGUCAGCAAGAAUAUUCGUUAAGGCCUAUUUGUAGCAAGCUGCAGAAAUCCAAUCUGAAUGAAUUUAAGUCAGUGAGAAGGGGACAGAGAACUACUAGAAGAAUAUCUGAAAAGCUUAUAAGACAGCCGAGCCUCCAGGAGGACAAGGAUCACAGGAAAACUGGAGAAAGUACCUUACUCACAUGUUGCCAAGACCUUCUCUCCCUCCUCCCACUCUGUACUGGCUUCACUCACCUCUCCCAUCACGGAACAUCUUUUUCCAGAAUUCCAGAGAAGAAUUUUAAUUGGCCCAACUUUGUUCCUUCCUUCCGACCCCGUAAACUAGGCCAAAAAAGCAACAUCACUUGCACAAAACGGUUGCCCCCACAGUACCCACGUGGGCGGGAGGGCAAAGUGGGAUGCUGGGAAUAAAGCAAUGUGACUAGUUUAAUAAGUCUUAUUUUAUGAUUACUUUUUAUUUGAGAGAGAGAGAGAGUGCGUGCACAUACACACACACACACACACACUCGAGAGUGAGCGGGGGAGGGGCAGAGAGAGAGAGAAAGAGAGAGAGAGAGAGAGAGGGAGAAUCCCAAACAGGCUCUACACUCUGCAUGGACCCCGACACAGGGCUUGAUGACCUGAUCUGAAACCAAGAGUCAGACCUCAACCAACUGAGCCUAGUUUAAUAACUUUUAAACAUACACCUUAAUGGAAUUAUUUAGGAGUCAACCCAGCAGUUCUCUUCAGUGAGUGAAGGUUUGAAACAAAGAACAUCUUUCUAUUUAAUGGUAAUUCCAAUGAUAUAUUUUGAGUGUUAUGACAUUGUUAUGAGGACUCUCACUGUAUGUAUACAUCUCUGUAAGGAAUUUAAAAAAUAUGUGAGAUGUAUUAAAUUUUGUUGACUUACUUGUUUAAAAAGUUGUUUUGGCCACCGUGUCUGAUAAGAAUGGUGAAACUCCUAAGUGACAUAGUAACGUCCAUUCUAGAAACACAGGAAGAUAAGCUCCCUGCUCCUUCGGAGGCGAUGCUUUCACAGUUGUUUGCAGCUAGCUCCCACCUGAGUCAGCCCAAAGGAGCACAACAGACAAACAACCAUGCUGAUCAUCUAGAUGAUUUAAAUAGUGAUUGAUUUUGUGGAGCCGCUAACAUUUCUUUCUGGUUUUCAUCAUCCAAGUAUUUCACAUUGACAGAAAAAUGCGAGGAAGACUCGAACUGACGUUUAAUACACGCUACACACAUACAAACAUAUUAAUAGUUUGCCAAAUGCCUUUAGAUCUUUGCUUCCUUAAGCAAUUAAAUGGUCAUGCACAGUUCCAGGCUCUUCUGGGCUCCUCCCUCAUCCCAACCCCUUGUCUCCCUCCCAGAAAUGAUCCUCACCUUGCAAUGGGAGUAUGUCUUCCUGUCCAGGUUUUUAUAUUUUCCCCACGUGUGUAUAUAGACACGAACAAUGUCUGGCACCAUUUUUGUGUAAGUUUGGAUAUUUGCGUCGUUGGUAGCAUGUUCUAAAGGAAUCCCUUCUGCAACUCGAACUUUGUUUUCACUCUGUAUUGUUUCCUGAAUUGAAGUGUGUUGAAACAUGGUGUCACAAGGUAAGUUAGCCUGUUAUUUUACCGCUGAACAACAUUCCAGGGUAUGUCCCUAUUGAUGAGGACGUAUUUAGUUCUACUAAUGCAAACAGUACAGGAUGAGCAUCCUUAUGGAUAUCUUCUUGUGUAGAGUCUAGAAUUUCUCGAGGCUAGAUCUCCAGCUCCUGGACUGAUGGCCACUGGGUGUAUGAGUCUUUAACUUCAGCAGGCGUUACCAAAUUGUCUUCGAAGUUGUAGUAAUAGACGGUAGUGCCUGAACUUCCUUAUUCUGCAUCCUCACCAGUAUUUGGUAUUGUGAUACUUUUUAAUGUUCGCCAGUCUGAUGGUCUCUCACUGUGGUUUCGGUUACCACUUUCCUGAUUAUUAGUGAAUGUGAGCAUCUUAGUUUUGAAGUAUUUGAGUGUCUUCCUGAGUGAAUUGACUGGUAACAUCAUUGGCUUCUUUUGAAAAUUGAGUUUUGUGUUUAUUUCUGUUACUAAUUUGUGUAAGUGUAAGCUCUGAGAAAAGAAUUCUAUGUGACUUAAUAUGCUUUGCAUAUAUCUUCUCCCAGCAUACAGCUUAAGUUUUAAUUUUUUGAAAAAUUUUUAACGUUUAUUUAUUUUUGAGAGAGAGAGAGAGAGAGAGAGAGAGAGAGAGAGAGAGAGAAUCCGAGGUAGGCUCCAGGCUCUGAACUGUCAGCACAGAGUCUGACUUGGGGCCCAAGCCCAUGAACUGUGAGAUCAUUACCUGAGCUGAAGUCGGAUGCUUAACCUAUUGAGCCACUCAGGCACCCCAAGUUUUUAUUUUUUAAUCGAAUUUUAUUAACAUGUGUUCAAAAAUUCAAGAGAACAAAGAUAAUACAGUCUGCCUCCCAUCCCUGCCCUCCAGCCCUACAGGUUUCCUCCCCAGGGGCUACCUAUAGGAUCAGUUUCUUGAGUAUCUUUUCUAAAGUAGUCUUUGCAUAUAAGUGUGUACAUACAUAUGCAUACAUGCAUGUAUGUAAUUCUUUUUCAUUACACAGAUUAUAGCAAACCAUACAAACUGUUUUAUACUUUUUAUUUUCACCUAAUAUAUUUUGAAGUGAAAUAAAAUUUGGCCCCCAGAUUUUCUUGACGUUCCUUUCAUUGAGAAACGAGGGUUGUAUGGCCCCUCUCCUUGAAUUUGGGAGCAUCUGUGACUGCUUCAACCAGUCACGUAUGGCUGAGGUGAUGCAAUGUGAUGUUCUUUCCUUUUUCUUGUUGUUGUUAAUUUUUUUUAAUGUUUAUUUUUGAGAAAGAAAGAGAGAGAGUGUGUGUGAGUGGGGGAGGGACAGAGAGAGAAGGAGACAUAGAAUCCAAAGCAGGCUCCAGGCUCCAAGCUCUCAGCACAGAGCCCGACGUGGGGCUGGAACUCACGAACCGCGAGAUCAUGACCUGAGCCAAAGUCGGACACUUAACCCACUGAGCCUUCCAGGCGCCCUGUGACUUUCAAUACUCAAUCAGAAAAGGCCCUGAAGUUUCCCCUGGUCCUCUUGGAAUGCUCACUCUAUGGGGAAGCCAGUGGUCAUGGAAGAAGUCUGCCUAUCCCGAGACCACCAUGCUGGAAAAUUCACCUGCAGGUGCAAGGGUGAAGGGCCCCUGGGGACUGCCAGCCACGUGAGUCUACCUGUGGAACCUUCAGAUGAUGCCAUCCCCAGCCAGCAUCUGACUAAGCCACACCAGAGCACCCACCUGAGGACUAAGUGCCUAGUGAGCCCUUCCUGAGUUGCUGGCCCCAAACUUACGAACCACAGAAAAUACGUGUUGUUUUAUAUUGCUAAGCUUUGGAGUCAUUUGUUACAUAGCACUAGUAACCAGAAUCAUUAUUAUAGAGCAAAAUAGAACUUAUGGUGAACAUUUUUUAAAAAUUACAAAGGAACAUAUAUUGUAGUGAUAAAUAAUUGAAAAAGAGAAACAUGCUUUAGACGUAUUUAUGCAUCAGAAACCUAGGCCUGGAAUGCUCAAAGACAGAAUGGGAAAACCUAUAAGAAGAAACCAAUGAAUCCUUAUAAUAGGAGAUAACGGACAUUUUUCUCAGAUAAUAAUGGACUUAGGAGACAAAACCUAUAAGAAUUUAGAGGAUGUGAGUGACAUGUUUAACUAACAUAAUGAAAAGAAUUCUUUGCAUAAAAUAAAAGCCAAUGUGCAUUUUUUUCUAACACACAUGACACAUUGACAAAAAAAUUGACAAAAAUUACAUCCCACUUAACUAAAACUUUGUAUAGAUAAAAAAAAAUUACACACAGACCACUUUUACUGGCAAUUAAGAUGGAUUUUGAAAUCUGCAGUAAAAAUGUGGUCAAAAUCUGUACAUACCUACCAUUUCUAAAGAAUUUUCUCAUGAGAAAAGUCAAAUGGAGGUGACAUCCGCUUAGAAGUAGAAACAGUGAAAGCUCUAGAUACGUCAGCCUGUAGAAUAUCACCAAAUCAGAAUGCAAGAGGGGAAAUUCAUAGCCUUCAGUGAAUGUUAGACAAAAAAUACUGAAAAACAAUGAAUUAAAAUUUUACGUUAAGAACUUUCAUUUUAAAAGUUAAACAGACGAUUCUAAAGAAAGUGGGAAAAAAUGAGGACAAUAGAAAAAGUUGGGUUGACCAAUGUAUUAGUUCCUAAGUAAGGCUGGUAUAGCAAAUUCCCACAGACUGACUGUCUUAAAAUGACAGAAAUUUAUCCUUUCACAGUCUGGAGGCCAGAAGUCUGAAAUCCAGGGGUGGGCAAGACCGUGUUCCCUCCAUCGUUCAUAGUUCAUAGUGGAGGGCCCUUCCUUGUUUCCUGCCCUCCCCCCCCCCACUUCUGGUGCCCAAGCAUCCCCUGACUUGAAUCAGCAUCGCUCCAUACUUUGCCUCUGUCUCCCCAUGCUCUUCUCCUCUGUGUCUGUGUCUUCUCUUCUGUCAUUUAUGAGGACAUUUGUCAUUGGAUUUAGAGCCAAGUUGGAUAAUCCAGGAUAAUCUCAUCUGAAGAUCCUUAAGUUAAUUACUUCUGCAAAGACUUUUUUCAGAUGUGCUGCUGGGGAUGAUAAUGUGAACGUACCUUUUUGGGGGCCACCAUUCAACCCUCUACAAGUAAUCAAAUCAAAAGGUGGUGUUCAAUAAUACCAAAUGCACUAAAUUAAGUGAUUACUCAAAAGUUCAAAUUAAGAGACUAAUUGCACAAAUUUAACACUCACUCGUGGUAAACACUCUUUGUGAGUUGGGAGGAGAAGAAAUCUUUCUUAACUUCAUAAGAGAUAUCUUCCCGAAUUUCUGAUCAGGGUGAUACUUUUGAAAAAUCCUCAUUCAAAUCAAGGAUGCUCACCCUCACCGCUACUUUUCCACGUGGUCCCAGAGAUCCUUGCUAAUGCAUUAAGAUGAGAAGCCCGUAAGAUGUAGACUUCUUGAGCAGGAGCCAUACUGUUUGGGGUGGCCAAAUCGAAAACAGGUGCCAAACUCUGAAAAGAAGACAUUCGCAAGAGAAAAAUUACUGGCUUUUCUAUACAUGAGUGAUAGUGACAUAGGACAUAUAACGAGGAAAAAUGAUUAUGUUCUUACUUAGUAACAGUGAGUGUAAAGUGCCUACAAUAAUACCUAAGCAAAAUAACCAUAGUCUUUAUGGAGAAAACUAUAAAAAAUUAAUGAAAUCUAUAAAAUAAAACGUGAAUCUAGAGCUGUAUCACGUUCAUGUAUUAUAAAACUGUCAAUGCUACACAAAUCAUAAAAAGUUUUGCAAAAAUUGUAAAGUUUGCUAAUGCCGAGGGGAGGGGAAGGUCUGGACCCAGAGCUGCCAUGUGCUCUGAGAAAAGACUGAGCCAGCACAGACACCUGGAUGGCAUUUUGGCAGGAACUGUUAGAAUUCAAAUAGGCAUCUCCUGUCACCUGGAGAUUCCACUACCUAGUAUUUGCUCUCAGGAUAUACUUGCACAUGAACAAAGGGAGGCCCAUUUAAUGAUGUUCAGACAACCUAAAUGUCCAUCCUCUAGGGAACAACUAAAAAAUAAAUGUUGAUACAUUUGCAUGAUGAGACUAAUUAGCAAUUUAAAGUUGACCUAUGUGAUCUAAUAUGCACAUACCACUCGAAACCUCUGAGUCAUAGAAGAUGUCCAGUAUCAUGCUAUUCACCUAAGAAAUACCAAACACCACAGUCAUCCUUUUUUUUUUUUAGAUUUUUUAAAGUUUAUUUAUUUUGAGAGAGAGAGAGAAUGAGUGGAGGAAGGGUAGAGAGAGGGGGAGAGGAUCGGAAGCGGGCUCUGUGUCACAGGAGGAUGCCUGAUGCGGGGCUCAAACUCGCGAACUGUGAGAUCGUGACCUGGGCCAAAGUUGGACACUUACCCGACUGGAGCACCCAGGCGCCUGAACACCACAGUCAUUCUUAACAGGUCCAUCUGUGCAUGUAAGAAUUAGUAGAGAAGACUCUGGAAGGGUACACACCAAACUCUUCAGAGCGGUUAUGUUUCAGAGUGAUGUCAGAUUUCAGUAUCGUCUAUAAUAAUUUUACUUUUGUUCGACCAGAAUACCUUAAAAAUAAUAAAAGAAAGAACAAACAAUGGAGCUGCCCAUACCAAGAAAACAUGGGAGAGAUUUUUAACUAAAAAGAGUCAAAUUAAAAUUUUCUUGGCAGGAGUGACUAAUUGCAGUUAUUUAUAAAAUAUACUGUCUUCCACCAACUUUUAUGAGCACUACUCUGUUCUGAGGACUGUGCCAGGUAUUUGACAUCAGGGAGAACAGAGGUUGGAGGUUGGAAGCUUUUGGAGCUUUAACUUGUUGUGGAAGAAAACUGACCAUAAAAUAAUAGAAACAUUCAUUGAAGAGUGUGUUAGAAGCUGAUGAGUCCUAUAGACAAAGAAACAAACGAAAGAGGUUAAGGUGGAUGGGUGGGGGGGUGAAAUUUUCAGUAGACAUGUCCAGGUGUCCUCAUUGAAGCGGUGACUUAUGAGCGAAGAUUUGGAAGGGUGAGAGAGUCACCGGGUGAAUAUCUGGGGUGUUACUGGCGUACCGCAUUUCCCAAGGUGGCUGGGUCAACGAGGGAUUAUCAUAUGUGUUUCAGAUGCAUUUUCUGUAUAAUGAAGUCUCUUAAUAAAUUAUCUCCUCUAUUUCAUACCACGUCAGAACAGAAGGUCGCCACAGAUGUAUGGCAAUGCCUUAUUGAUUCCCUUAUUGAACGGAAUCGGUUUUAUUUCUGUAUAAGCGUUCAAUGGCAUAUAAUUAAAUCAAACAUUACUUUGACCAUUUCAGUUUAUUUUACCUCUCGAUCUGCAAUAUAGGAUCACAGCACUGGCCGCAUAUGAAAAAGGAAAUCAGAUGUCUUUUCAAAACGGAGCGUCCCCGUGAGCAUUCCGGUUUUACGGACAGUGGUCGUAGGCUCCCCCGCCCCCAUUAGCACCUCCAUGCCAUCACCAGCGGAGGGGGGAGUCCACACCCCUCCUUCCUGCCAUCUGUGUCCCACUUCACUCUUCUUCAGAAAGUGAGGUCUGCAGCACUUAGGAACAUCCCACCUGUUUGAAAAUCAAGGCUGGGGGGCUCUCUCCAGGGUCGGGAUUUUCUCUGUGAGGUGGAUAUAAUGGGUGGGUUGGUCCCUGGUGCUCUGACUCAGGAGGGAGAACACAAGCAGAGGAAGGACAGUCUCACAGUAGUGGGAGGGAAGGGGCAAGUGGGGAAGGGCUCUGGGUGAUGCUGGAGGGGAUUGGAGGUGGAGAUCAGGCUGGAGAAUGAGAGGCUGUGGUUGACCUGUAGGUCUAAAGUGACAGGCAUUUUCAGUACACAGGAGAAAAGGGUCAUAGACAAAAGAGAGAGGAGAAGCUUGGUUGUAAGUGGCUUAAACAGAAUCGGGACCUGAAGCAGGAUUAGCUCGUAAUCUAAUCUGCUUUGGAGUUACCAUUAGCCAAAGUGAGUUCGAGGUCAGUGUCUUUGAGCUAUAAAGAAAACUAGGUUUAAAACUUCAUUCAGGAACAGAGAUAGUGAGGCAACACCUCUGAUGUUACCUCCCCGGUAGCAGGGGCAGAAAAUUCCUUGUUGAUCCAAGGGCUGAGCACAUGGAAGGAUGUCAUCUUCUCUAGAUCUGUAUCCCCAUUCACUCACCAACACUUGGCACCAGUGUUCGUUUUCUAGAAGCUGGGGUGGUCUUCUGGGAGCAGGGGCUUAGCAAGUUAGGUGUGCAAGAGGUUAACUGGGGGGUUGGGGGUUAAGGCCUGUGAAAGAUAAAAGGCAGAGGAAGUAGGAUAGGGAGGGGAGAGCCUCAGACAGUUGCUGCCCUCCACCAACCCACUGGGGAGCUGGGUACAAGGAGUGCCCCUGGGCCAAGGCAAAGCCUCAGUCUAGGCAGACACCCAGUAGGUGCCCUGUGGUGCUCUGUUGUGCGUUUAUCAGCUACUGUGGCCUGGGAAAGGCUGUCCUCGGCGCGACGGCAGAGGUGGGUCCUGAGGGUGGUCACAGCAGGGCCAUCAGCUCUGUCCACUCCGGACUCACUUCCUGAGGGUGAAAGGGAACUCUUUGCAGAAGGGAGAGCUGAGCUGGGCCUCUCUUGGCUGCCGCGCCUGUGUGUUGUGUCUCCACUUCUCAGUCCGCACCCCCGGGGUCCAGGAGUCUCCCUUUCUGGACACUUUGAGGAAGGAAGGCAGUACAGCUGGAGAGACAAAGAGCCGUGUUCGGUUCCUCUGAGCCUGCUGUCACCUCUGCUGGUCUGAGUCACCUCCCUGAUGGUGUGACCCAACCUGCUCAGCCUCUGAGCUCCCGGUCACCACACACUUCUCAGGCCAGGGCCAGUGCAUGUGUCCCUUCACAGUAUAAUUGGUCAAGGAGCGCCAGGAAGUGCUCGGGUGGACAGAAUCCCACACAUAUUCCUCUUGUCUCAAUUUAUAAACAAGCAGAGACAUUUUCCUGCCUUGGGAGUCCGUCAGCUGGGUCCCCUUCUGCCCCACACAACCACAGGUGCAAGCUUGGGGACAGGCCCUGGAUUACUUGCAGCAGACGUGACGUGCCUGUUCGUGCAGUGGACGUUUGCCCUCGUGUCUGGCUCCCGGUCAACCCUAGACGUUCCAGUCCCUCUCCGGAAGGGCUGCGGCUGGGCAGUCCGGCUUGGUUACUUGGUGGGUCUAGGACCCGGUUUAUGAUGGGUGGUGCAGGACGUAGGUACCUGGGGUCCCAUGGCAAGGGGGCCCUCCACCAGGACCUAAUGAUAACACGUUAGGGGCUGUUUUCCGACGUGCAUACAGUCCUCCGCUGCAGACAGCGUGUCCUCGCUCCAGAAACUCAGGGGCCAGCUUUCUGUUUCUUUGCUUGGGAUUGACAUAUGCUGUAUAGUCCACCUUUUUUUUUUUUUCCACCACUGACACCUCCAAGCUCAUGGGGUCUACAGGUCAUAUCGCCAAAGCAGCAAGGCUGGCCGCUACCAGUCUGGAUCUGUUGCAGAACUCAGUCCUAUUCCAAACCCCGCUCAGGCUGCCUUUCAUGUUACUGGGCACGUGGACUGGAGAUGCAAAUGAGUACUGUUGCUUGCUCCGUGCGAAUGGUGUUUCUGAUCCUCCCUCCUGAUGGGGGUAGAGAAGAAUGCACUUGGUAACGUGGUGGCCAUAUACCAGAUGUCUGAGGCCAUAUCCGUCUGCCCUAGCAAAGACACUCCAGGAUCUUUCUGGUUUCUGUAGGAUCCACCCUGGUGAAUUGAAUGGAGGUAUGACCGCAAACACCACCCUGCGUUCGUGAGAUGUUCAAGAGUAACGCUAAUCUCUAUCGCCCUCUCCUCUUCCCUGAGUGUAAUAUUGUUUUUUGGUUUACUAUCUUAGCUUAGGGUGGGGGUUGGAGGUCAGUUACAGCGAUUUCCUCUGACAGAACGUUGCACUCUGAAGGCAUUAGCUGCUGGAGGCAGCUGCUGACAGACCAACGGAAUGGGGAGAUCUUUCCUGAAGGGUCAUUGGUACCACCCUCUCCACAUCUGUGCGUCCUGACCUCAGGGUGUGUGUGGACCACUUGAGAAGCCUGGUAGAUGGAACACGGAUAGAAUAUGGGAUUAGGGGAAAAGCCAUCCAGGCUGUCUCAGCAACUGUUUUCUUGUUCGAUUUGGGGAAGUUAUUAAAUAUGUCUCUACUAGUUUCCUAAAUUAUAAACAUGGGCGAGUAGCCUAUACCAUGUCUUAUGGGGAUCCCGAGAAAGGUAAAUGCAAUGGAUCAUGUAGACAUGCUUCGAUUUAACUAGCAAUGAGCCCACACGCACAUACACGAGGCAUUAUAUCCGUGAGCUUGUCAUUCACCCAGCUGCUCCAUUCAUGAGUGUAUCGUGUUUUCAUAUUUCUGGAUAUUGUGCUAAAUCCAUUUAAUAGAGCCUUACAAGUGGGGUCACUAACCCAUUUUUUUGAUGAGGCAACGGAACCAGAGAAGUCUCUUGACUGGUGACACAGGCAGGAAGUGAGACCAGAAUCAGAAUGACUCCUUGGCCAGGGGUCUUGGGAGAUGCCCCACAAGCAAGGAUAAUGUUAGGUAAGCUUAGGUCACAUCAGCUAAAGGUUUUUAAGGUUUAGGGGAGAGAAAAUAACGAGAGACUUGGCACGAAGCCCUUAGACACCCAUCUCUGCUCCCUCCUCUCCGCUGAGCCCCUCAGGAAAGCUCCCUGAGAAGCUGAUACGCAUUCACACAGAAGCUGUGUGAACUACAACCCUGGGACCGCUCCUCCAACUGCCCCUCCCCCCCCCUCCCCCCCCCCAGUCUUUACUUUUCAACCACUUUCUCAGGAGAGGAUCUAGAAGUUUUCUGUCUCUGUAUCAUCUCAUGUCUGAUCUGUCCAGAAGUCUCUGGUGCUAACUCCAAAUAAGUCUCCAAUCCGACAGUUUGUCCCUGUGGCCAUCCUACCCUCCCAGUCUGUGAUUUCCCUCCUGACCCUCAUGACGACUUCAGUAGCUUUCCUCGUGGCUCCCGGCCUACCCUGCAGCCCACCGCCUGUGCCCUGCACAUCUGUUGGGGAAAUUUCAAGAGUGACUCAGUCACAUCACUCCCCCGUGCCUAGCAACCCGUUAUUCCUUGCUGCACCUUGAUUGGAAUCCAAGCUCCUUGGCAUGGCCAACAGGUCCACCUGCUCAUCUGUGGUAAACUGAGGCUGUGUGAGAAGACGAGGAUGCUGGGAAAGGUUCCCCCAUUGAGCGGCCCUGGAAUGCGAAGACAUUCAUGACCAUUGCAGUACAGUAGGCAAGAAAAAAAUGGGUUGACCUUUCAACAUUCCACUUAUGUUUGCCUCUGAAUUGAUUCUUUAUUCAGCAGUAUUUUUUUUCCAUCAAAACAAAGCACAGAAUACCACAAUCAAACAACCUUACUCCACCUUGCCUGCUGACGAUUUGUCUAUAAUUCCAAUGGAAAAAAAAACAAAAUCAAAACUGUCAUAGAAACAGGGGUUUUAGAGUGGAAAUAUUGAGCAACCUUCAGUUUGAGAGAACAAAGGACAUGCCAGUUACACAGCAUCACUUACGUUCAGAAGGCACAUGUGUAGGUGUUUGGAUAACUUACUUGUGUAGCUGACGCUGUUCUAUUAUCACAAAUGGAUGCGGCACAGAGUCUUUUAGUUGCCUUAUCUGUCUUCGAUGUUCCUCACACUGAUGAUAUCUAUAGCAACUGCGAUGCAUAAUUACCAUGCCGUCGCCACUCCCGUUAAACUGCAGGGAAGAAAAAUGAAGUCUCUCGUUCUCUUUCUCUAAUCUGUAUCUCAAGCGUUGCAGUGCCAUGGGUUGCAACCUGCCACAAAUGUAGGAUUGAAAAUACAUCUGGAUUAAACACCGAGUGAGGUUUUGAAUGACCCAGCCUCCAGACCGAUGGUCUCUUGGAAUUCGGGAGGCAAAAUAAUCACUUCUUGCUUUCUGUCUUUCCAUCAUCUGCAUAUGCCGUAUACAUUGAGUAUAUUGUAGACUGUGAGGCAGGCGGAAAAAGAAAGGAGUUAAUGACACCCAGGUUUUUAUACAAAGGGCUUCUGUUUCUGAGUCCUGGGUGGGGAAAGUGAAAUAGUUUGGUUUCAGGGAUUGAGCUUCUGACCAUGGAAUCCGUAUUGUCUUGAAUCUGGCUGGGUCACCAUGUUACUGGUGCAGAUACAUGCAGACAAGAGAAUAAGGCAGAAAGAUGUCAUAAAACCCCCUUGCCCCACUCUACACACCUGCCACUUGGGUACUACUUUCUUGAUUAUUUUAUGUCUAUGCAUCACUUUACUAUCAUUUAUCAGUAUCUUUAUUGAAAUAAAUUCAUUGUUUAAAUAUUAGUCUCACACUAAACAACAAUAUCCACAUAUCACAGUUUUAAUGCACUUCUUGUGUUUCUAAUACGUUUGCAAGGGGCACAUAGCUGACUAUUCUGUCUGGGGUAGUCACUGCCACUCAACUAGCCUUCAUUUCUGAUGUCUUUACUCUGAUUUUCCUUCAUCAAGCCUAUCAGUACCCACCCUUAUGCUAGGUCUUUAUUUAUGUCUUUAGUCUUUACUGCUCAUCAGAAGGAAGGUAGAAGCUUUGUCUUGUCCUGGUGGCUUUUCUCUCUGUGUCUACUCCAGUGACUGGUGCACAGUAGGCACUUAGCUAAUGUGAAAGUAAAAUAUGCUUCUCUGUAUAUCGUGUUUAGUCCCGGCAGAUUUACAACACUUAAAAGUCUUAGCUUAGAUAUUGAGUAGCCAACUACCCUGGCCACAUUGAGCCUACAAGGCUGUCUGGAUGGGAAAUGUGGGGGUCAUGGUGGACGGUGCUGGCCAACUUUCUAGCAUCUCCCCUCACCCGUGGCCUCAGGGGCUGGGGGGAGGCCUGACUGGUCCCAGGUGGCUCUUCCUCCUUGCUGAGAACAAGUUCAGAAGUGCCAGCCUAAGCCACGCACUCCCUGGUCACAGUUUUCCUUUCAGAAGCCGAUACAUGACUCAGAUCCAUGAAUGAAAUGCAAGGAGAGGUUCCUGGGAAAUGGUUCUUAUUCUUUAGAGCCUCCCGCAAAUCAUGCACUAUCCCUCUGAAAUGGUGUAACAGGUAGGACACGAGAAAGGGGUCAGGAGACCUGUCUUCAUACCGCAGACCUACUGUGUGAGCCUCUCUGAACCCACAUUUUUGAAGCGUAAAAUAAUAUAAUUAUCUGCACGUUCAAAUUUACAAUUAUUUUGGAAACGGAGUGAUUGCAAAAUGUUUUACAAACUAUAAAAUGCAAACGACAUCCUUUGUUUUUAAAAAAAAAAUGGUUGGAAACAGAUAGCUUGGGGUCAGCACGUCUGCACUCGUGAUCUGUAUGUACUCGUCCGCCCGACUUUACCGUGCCUUUGGCUCACCAUGGGCAUUGAGAACAGACUAGAGUGAAUGUAUACAAAACCGUGUCUAGAAAUGGUGAAGGACAGUUGGACGGGUUCAUUCUUUUUAUCCGGGCCUUCCUGGCAGAGUCCGUAUGACCUUCAACGCUUCAAGGUGUGUCACUGGCAGCAAUCUGGGACAAAACAGAAGGCCCGUAAAGUCACUUUGAAAACAUUUUAUGGUCCCGCUUCAGCAAAGAAACGCCUGCCACUCGAGUCCCUGUUUCCUUCUCCUUUCACUUUUGUUUACACGUGGAAAAUGAGUUUACCCUUGAGGUGGAAAACAGCAAAAUAUCCAACAUCAGAGAACGGUCAAUUAAGUUAUACAUGCAAAAGGUAUUAUGCAACCGUUACAUGAUUCUCAAAAACAGUUUUGUCAACAGGAAAUUGCUUAUACCAUUGCGGUGAGUGAAACAAUACCCAAGCACAUACACAUGUAUGUGCGCAUUCGCACAUAGAAAAUGAAAUGGAAGGGCUGUGUCAGGAUCUUAACAGUGAUUACCUUGGUUGACAAGAUCAGAGGUGAUGUUUCUUACUCUUUCGAAAAUUCCGCAAAUGUCCGUUUAUUGCUUUUACAUCCAGAAAAAAUCGAGUUAUGGAAUGUAAACUUACGCAGUGAGUGAAGGAGAUGUCAUUCUAUUAUGGUAUCUUUUUUUAAAGUAGUCUCGACACCUAACGUGGGGCUCAAACUCGUCACCCAAGACAGAGAGUUGCGUGCUCUUCCGACUGAACCAGCCAGGCACCCCAGUGCUAUUAUGAUAUCGAAUCUGCAUGUGAUUCACUGGCCUCCCUAGUUACUCAGGAUUACCUUUUGAAAAAAAAAAAAGAUUGUUGUAUUUUAUUUUAAUUUUGUUGAGAUAUAAUUGACAUGUAAUCGCAAUAUUUUAGUUUAAGGUGUGCAAUCACCAUUUGAUGUUUGUAUACAUUGAGAAGUGAUCACCAAAAUAACUUUAGUUGACAUCUAUCACCUUCCAUAGUUAUAAGAACAAUUUUUUUCUUGUGAUGAGAACUUUUAAGGCAUACUCUCUUAGCAACUCUCAAAUAUACAAUACAGUAUUAUUUUUUUAAUAUUUAUUUAUUUUUGAUAGAGAGAGAGAGAGAGAAUGAGCUGGGAGGAGCAGAGAGAAAGGGAGAGAAAAUCCCAAGCAGGCUCCACACUGUCAGUGCAGAGCUUGAUGAGGGGCUCGUACUCACAAACUGUGAGAUCAUGACCUAAGCUGAAAUCAAGAGUCAGACUCUUAUCCAACUGAGCCACCCAGGUACCCCUACAAUACAGUAUUAUUAACUUAAGUCACCAGGCUAUACAUUACAUCCCCCAGGCUUACUUUUUUUACAACCAGUAUCUUUGGACCCCUUUCACCCAUUUUACCCCACCCCCCACCCCACCCACUGCCUGUGGCAACCACCAAUCUGUUCUCUGUAUCUAUGAGUUUUGUUUUUUGUUUGUUUGUUUGUUUAAGUUUCUGUAUAUAAGUAAGAUCAUACUGUAUUUUUUUGAGUUUGCUUAUUUCACUUAGCAUUCUGCCCUCAAGAUCCACCCAUGUUGUUGCAAAUGGCAAGAUUUCUAAAGAUUUACUUUUUGAUGUAGAACUUGACAGAAUACCCCAAAGUAUGACUGACAUGACAGAAGAAUUUUUCAAGCCCUUAAGAAGACCAACUAGUGUUCAUUGUUUGCCUUCCCCUCGGGAUUUCAUUCGGAUCACGAUAUCAUGGACCUUGGAAUUUGAGCAAAUUCAGAGAACUUUACUUAGGGACUCACUUUAUGGGCACUGCCAACUUCAUGUAAUUUAUGACCUAGAAUCACCCCAGUAUAUUUUCUUGAGUCAGAACUCUAGCAACCCACAACCUGGAUUUUUCUGUUGUACAGCCCAAACCUCCAGUUUGAAAGCUGGGCCUGGGAAGCACACCGGCCCCAGUUUAUAUUUCAAAUAAACGUUGGACUUCUAGUUUACCAAAUCUAAUACCUAAAUAUACCUAACCAUAUUAUAAAUUUAUGUAUGUAAAAUAAACAUAUCUAAUGUAGUAUAUUUAAAUCAACUCAAUAUAGUGUCUAAAAAAGAGUACAUCAUUGGUCGUUCUAGUACUUAAAACUCUCACAUGUUUAGCAAGUAGCAGAAAAUGCACAAACUCGGCUCUAAUCAUUUCCUAACGAUUGUGUUUGUCUGUUUUGUGUUUUACUUGUUAAUUCCGGGCUCGAGAGCCUCUACUUGAUAUACAUUUAUCUCCCAUAAAAGUCCUGUUGCUUCUAAAGCUUCAUUCUCUCUCUCUGACUCCUCUGUUCAUUGCUCCACUGUACCCCCUUGUUGAGCUCCAGAGCCACUUGGUCACCCUCCUUCUCCAGAUCUCAAUUUGGAUUUCCCACCCGCACCUUUGUGCUUUUAAUCCAGAAUAGUGCUUUGACUCUCUGUCCUAUGAGAAUUCUCACUGAAUCCUAUGCGUUUUUGUCAUCAUCAUCCAGGCCACUCACCACAGUGUGGGAUAUAGAUUUGAUUUGUACCUAUUUCUUGUCACUUGUAUUAUAAUCAAUAAUUAAAUCAGGUAAAUCUGAAGUUGUCGGGCCUCUGAUUUCUGCUGCCACUAUCUCUGUCCUGUUUCAGGCCUUCAUGCCUUCUUUCCUGGGCUAUAGGGAUCCUGCUAGGAGACAAUUGCAAUAACUCAGACCAGAGAUUGUGGUUCGUGCACCAAACUGGUGGAUAGGUUUCAUGGAAAUAGUGGGAAAUGAUCUCAUCUGGAUAAUGGGUUUUGGAGAAAGAGCAUAAAGAUUUCCUGACAGAUUGGACAUGGGGAGUGAGAGAAAGAGAGAGGUCAAGGUUAGCUUCUAGCUCAGUUUGUGCACUGAGCAGCUGAAAGGAGGGGCUGUCAUUAAUUGAGAUGGGGAAGACCGCGGACAGAGUGCAUAUGGGGAAAGGAAGAGGAGGAUUUCACAUAUGGAUGUGUUACAUUUGAGAUGUCUGUUUCACAUCCAGAAGGAAAUGCAAGUAGGCCACUUACUGUACAAGACUGGCAUUGAGAGGAGAGAUUCAAGCGAGAGCCACAACUGUGAAAGUCAUUAGCAGAGACAUCAUGCUUAAAACCUUGAGACUCGAUGACAUCAAUAUAGAAAGGAGCAUCAAGGGGCGCCUGGGUGGCUCAGUCGGUUGAGCGUCUGACUUCGGUUCAGGUCAUGAUCUCGCGGUCCGUGAGUUCGAGCCCCACGUCGGGUUCUGUGUUGACAGCUCAGAGCCUGGAGCCUGUUUCAGAUUCUGUGUCUCCCUCUCUCUCUGACCCUCCACCGUUCAUGCUCUGUCUCUCUCUGUCUCAAAAAUAAAUAAAUGUUAAAAAAAAAAUUAAAAAAAAAAAAGAAAGGAGCAUCAAUAAAGACAUGAGGGGUCCGAGGACUGAGCUCGCAUGAACUCCCACAGACACAAGUGAGAUUGACGGGGAGAAACCAGCAAAGGAGGAGAGGUUAUAGUGCCCACUGAGUGAGGAGGGAAACCAGGGGGGUUUUCAGAGAACUGAAGUGAGAAAAACUAUUCCCAGAGCUAAUGCAUCAGUUUACUUUAGGGUAAAGCAUUUUCUAGCCAUAUCACGUGGAUGUCACCUAAGACGCAUUUUAUUCUUGAACUAGAUGGGACCAGCAACUAUUGAUGAACCACGUUCGAAAAUUUCUAACCUGUGUUCAAGCUUUAUCUAUAAAAAGACAUGCUGUCUCAACAUUUCAGUACAUGAAGCACUUCUUAAACUUUCAAUGACACAUAUUACCUAAAUAUGAUAUAGCAUGGAAGAAAAAAGAGUAAAUGCAAAUAAAGCAUGCUACAGACUGAAUGUUUGUGUCCCCCGCCCCCCACCCCAAGUCAUAUGUUAAAAUCUUAAACUCUGGAUGUGAGGGUAUUCAGAGGUGGGGGCCUUUGAGCAGUGAUUAUUAGGUGAUGAGGGUGGAGCUCUUACGAAUGGGAUUCGUACUCUUAUAAAAGAGACUCCAGAGAGUUCCCUUGCCCCUUCUAUCACGUGGGGGGUGAUAUGAGAAGUUGGCUGUCUAUGAACGAGGAAGUGAGGCCUCACCAGACACUGGAUCUGAUGGUACUUUGGGUUUGGACUUCCCAGUCUCUGAAAUUGUGAGAAAUAAAUUUCUGUUGUUACACCACCCAGUCUGUGGCAUUUUGUUAUAGCAAAAUGUCUCUCUCUUUGUCUCUAAGACAAAGCAUAAAAAAAAAUUAUCCUGAAUCCAAUAAUAUGAAUAUAACCAUUUAUUUAACUUGUUUAUACAUUUUGAGGUAAUGAACAUCAUUUUGAUGAGCUUUUAAUAUACAUAUGUAUAUCUUUAAAAAAAUUUUUUUCAAUGUUUAUUCAUUUUUAAGAGAGAGACAGAGCAUGAGUGGGAGGGGCGGAGAAAGAGGGAGACAGAAUCCAAAGCAGGCUCCAGGCUCUGAGCUGUCAGCACAGAGCCUGACAUGGGGCUUGAGCCCAUGAACUGUGAGGUCAUGACCUGAGCCAAAGUCAGACACUUAAUGGACUGAGCCACUGAGGCACCCCUGUAUAUCUUUUUGGAUAAUAUAAAAUAAUUUCCUUCAGGUGAAUUUCUAGAAUUAAUAUUUCUGGAUCCAAAGAUUUUGAAGAAUUCCAUUUAACUGUUUAAGUUGAUAGAAUCUGUGAUGUAUUUUAAUUCUUGGAUGCUAAGUUUCUUCUAUUGUUUUUCACUUCAUAAGUAUAGAUGUGUGCAUGUGAGUAUAUAUGUACUUGCACACUGAUUUUUUUCAGAUUUACUUGAUAUGUAAAAAUCUUGCUGGCAUUUUAAUUGGAAUUGCUUUAAACUUGUAUGAAAAUUUAAUUUUAAAUACAUAGAUUUUUUCAGCUAGGAACAUAGCAUGCUUCUUUUUUAAAGUUUAUUUAUUUUCAGAGAGAGAGAGAGAGGCAGGGAGGAGAGAGAGAAUCCCAAAAAGACUCCCAUUGUCAGCGCAGAGCCUGACAUGGGGCUUGAUCUCAUGAACCGUGAGAUCGUGACCUGAGCCGAAAUCAAGAGUUGGAUGGUUAACUGCCUGAACCACCCAGGCACGCCCCCCCGCCCCCCAUAGCAUGUGUCUUUAUUUAAUUAAACUUACUGAACAUCCCUUAGUUAUUUUUUAUCCCUUUCUUUUAUAUGCCAAAGUAAAGAUUACAUGAAUAAUACAGAGGACAUUUUUUCCAAAUUGUUGUAGAGUAAAUUAUCUAGAUGAUGUCCUAUCACCUCAAAUACUUUAGUAAUUCUUACAAGUAAGGGCAUAAUCACAACAUAGUAAAUUACCAUCCAAAUCAGGAAUUUAACUUGUUAGAUUUCUACCAUGCAUUCCAUAGACUCCAUUCAGAUACUUCCAGUUGUCCCAAUAAUGUCUUUUAUAGGAAAAUAAUCAAAUCUGGGAUGAAGUGUUGCAUUUAGUGGUAUGUCUUUUUAGACCCAUUCCAUCUGGUAUAGUUUCUAAGUCUUUCCUUAACUUCCAUGACUUUGGCACCUGAAUAUUAUAGACGUUUUUAUACACCCUCUGUCAACUUGAAUUUGUUUCUUCAUAUGGACCUUUGGCAGGAACAUCACAGAAGUGUUGCUACAUCCUUCUCAUUGCAUCCUAUCAGGCGGUGAAUGAUUCUGUUUGUCUCAUUACUGAUGUCCACUUAGAUCUCUUAAUUAAGAUGUCUUGUGGGUUGGAUUAUAUUUCCCAAGAAGAUAGGUUGAAGUCUUAAGUACCUGGCACCUAUGAGUGUCACCUUAUUUGGAAGUAAGGUCUUUGUGGAUGUAAUCAAGCUAAGAUGAGGUCAUGCUAGACUAUUAUGGGCCCUGAAUCUAAUGACUGAUUAAUACAAGGUAGUAUCUGCCAGAUUUCUCUACAACAAAAUUACUUUUUAAAUAGUAAAUAUGCUUUUUCUCACCUGAGGACUGUCUCUGAGAUUAGGUAGGAAAGUCCCUUGUAAAACUUCUACUCACCAGUUUUUAGCAUCUAAUGGUGCUUCUUCCUUUGUUAUUUAUCUUCAUUAUGGUUGUCAAAUGGUGACUUUUCUAAUGGCAUCAUUCCUUCUAUGUGUAUUUGUUGGCAUUCUACUCUAAGGAAGAGAUUGUGCCCUCCAUUUAUUUCUUUGUAUUUUUUUACCUGUGUAGAUUCACCAGUCAAGGGGUUAUAAGUUGCUAUUAUUACAGUGAUGCUCAGAUUGUCCCAGCAAGAAAACUCCUUCCAAUGGGUUCCUAUGCCCUUUUGACAUAUUCCAUUAUUCUUUGACACAACAAAACGGUUCACGUCCACUCUGUACUUUUCUGCCCCUGCCCUGGCCUUGUAGUCAGCCUCUUCUACAAGGAGCCACGGUUCUUUUUAGUGGAGGAUAUUUAAGAACCAGGUCUAGGUGCCACGUGUACCCAUUGCUGUGGAGGUGUUGCUGCACGCAGGCUCUCUCAGGGAACAGUGUUAAGAGGAUACAUGCAUCAGGGAUGCCCGGGUGUCUCGGUCAGUUAAGUGACCGACUCUUGAUCUCAGCUCAGGUCGUGAUCUCACAGUUUGUGAGAUUGAGCCCAGAGUCCAGCUCUGCACUGACAGCGUGGAGCCUGCUUGAGAUUCUCUCUCUCCCUGUCUCUCUCUAUGCUCCUCUCCCACUUACUCUCUCUCUCUCUCUCAAAAUAGAUAAACUUUAAAAAGAAAGAAACAUACAUCGAUACAGGCACACACAUACCACCGACAUCUGUAUGUGUUUCUCCAUCUAUUUAUAUACAUGCUGAAGACCAUGCUUCACACUCAGUACCUCCAAUUUGAGUCCUGCAACAUAGGGUUUAUUUUAUUUUCUCCUUUUUCAUACUUAUAACCCUUUCUCUGACAGUAAGAUGUAUGGCUUCCAGUAUUUUGUUAUUCGUUUAACAUCCUUGUAUUUAACCAAUCUCUUUCACUGCUUCCACCUCCAAAGCUUUCCCACACCCUGUGUGGAAUGCUUUUGUCAAAAAUCAAAACAAGCUGCUUCUGCUUCUCUGUGUAGAUACACCCCAAAGGUUUGGAGACCCCGAUGGACCAUAGAUGCACUGCAGUGGGAACCUCUUUUCACAGGAGGCAGCCAGGCCUCCAUGAUCCAUGCACUGUGUGGAUACCACCUUCACCUUGACUCCAAUAGCCUUGUCAUGUUGUGAGGAAGGAAGGAAGGAAGGAAGGAAGGAAGGAAGNNNNNNNNNNNNNNNNNNNNNNNNNNNNNNNNNNNNNNNNNNNNNNNNNNNNNNNNNNNNNNNNNNNNNNNNNNNNNNNNNNNNNNNNNNNNNNNNNNNNNNNNNNNNNNNNNNNNNNNNNNNNNNNNNNNNNNNNNNNNNNNNNNNNNNNNNNNNNNNNNNNNNNNNNNNNNNNNNNNNNNNNNNNNNNNNNNNNNNNNNNNNNNNNNNNNNNNNNNNNNNNNNNNNNNNNNNNNNNNNNNNNNNNNNNNNNNNNNNNNNNNNNNNNNNNNNNNNNNNNNNNNNNNNNNNNNNNNNNNNNNNNNNNNNNNNNNNNNNNNNNNNNNNNNNNNNNNNNNNNNNNNNNNNNNNNNNNNNNNNNNNNNNNNNNNNNNNNNNNNNNNNNNNNNNNNNNNNNNNNNNNNNNNNNNNNNNNNNNNNNNNNNNNNNNNNNNNNNNNNNNNNNNNNNNNNNNNNNNNNNNNNNNNNNNNNNNNNNNNNNNNNNNNNNNNNNNNNNNNNNNNNNNNNNNNNNNNNNNNNNNNNNNNNNNNNNNNNNNNAAGAAAGGAAGGAAGGAAGGAAGGAAGGAAGGAAAGAAGGAAGGAAGGAAAGAAGGAGGGAGGGAAGGAAGGAAGGGAGGGAGGGAGGAAGGGAGGAAGGGAGGGAGGGAGGAAGGAAGGAAGGAAGGGAGGGAGGAAGGAAGGGAGGAAAGAAGGAAGGAAAGAAAGAAGGAAGGAAAGAAGGAAGGAAGGAGGGAAGGAAGGAAGAAAGGGAGGGAGGGAGGAAGGGAGGAAGGAAGGAAGGAAGGAAGGAAGGAAGGAAAGAAGGAAGGGAGGAAGGAAGGAAGGAAAGAAAGAGGGAGGGAAGGAAGGAAGUAAGGGAGGGAGGGAGGGAGGAAGGAAGAAGUGAAGGCAGGCAUACUAUGUCUCAUCAUUUUUCAGUUGAUUCUCUUAGAUUUUCUAAAUCGCUCAUAAUAACAUCUGCAAAUAAUGAUAGAUCUCUCCUGACUUUCUGAUAUUUUAUCAAAUUGCACCUCUGGGAAAAUGUUGACUAAUAUGAAGCUAAUCUAUUUUGUCUUACUUAAAUGGAAAUGUUUCUAGUGUUUCAACUUUGUGCAAAUAUUGGCAGUUUGCUUGAGAUCGACUUUCUUAUAUUAGAACUAAAUACUAAUUCUUGUUUUACUUAGCUUUUGUUAAGAAUAAAUGUUGAGUUGUAGCAAAUGUAUUAUUGGCAUCUAUUGAGAUACUAGUUUGACUUUUUCCCUAUCAUAUAGUGAUAUACUCAAACACAUGAAUAAAUAUCUUACUAUUAACACAUCCUCACAUUUUUAGAAAAGAGACUAAUUGUUUAAGGCGCAUCGUUCUUUAACUUUAUGACUAUUUUAAAUGUGACUAUUUUUCAGGAAUUUUAUAUCAUUUAUCGUGCUGUCUUCUUCAUAUGUUGGUGUCGGGGUUAUACUAAUUCUGGAAAAUACAUCUAAAAGUUUUCCUCUCUAAUUUAUGCUUCAAAACACUUAAGUAAAAUAGAAGUGACUUGAAUUGUGGGCAACUUGUUUGUAAGGCAUUAGCUCACACGGCCAUUUUGAAAGGAAGAAGGUGUACCUCUAGGACAACUUUAAGUAUUUCUUCCAUUGUUGGCAAGCUAUUCAGAUAUUCUGCUUCUUCCUGAUAACAUUUUAGUCAUGUGUAUUUUCCUGAAGAAGAAUUUGUUUAAUCGAUACUUUUAACUUUACUUUCAAAGAGAGCUGUAACGUUUACCGUCUGUUCAUUCAUGUGCAUGUUCUUUUUAAAAUUUUCUUUCAAUGUUUAUUUAUUUUUGAGAGAGAGACACACACACAGUGUGAGUGGGGGAGGGGCAGAGAGAGAGAGGGAGACACAGAAUCCAAAGCAGACUCCAGGCUCUGAGCCGUCAGCACAGAGCCCGACGUGGGGCUCAAACUCAUGAACCGCGAGAUCAUGACCUGAGCCGAAGUCGGACGCCCCACCGACUGAGCCACCCAGGCGCCCCUCAUGUGCAUGUUCUUCUGUAAUACAUGUUGUGCAUCUUACUUCUCUCUCUUUUGCUCACAUCUCUCAGGCAGUUCUACCAGAGGUUUGUUUUUUCAGGGCUCAGCACAUUGCUCUGUAAAGGGCCAGGGAGGAAAAUAUAGUCUUUGUGGGCCAUACGGCCCCUGUCACAACUGUUGGCCUCUGCUCUUAUAGCAUGAAAGUAGCCAGAGACAGGACAUAAGUGAAUGAGGGGGGCCGGGUUCCCACACAACUUUAUUAUGGACACUGAAAUUAGAAUUUUGUAUAAUUUUCAUGUGUCAUGAAAUAUUAUUCCUCAUCUCACCCCCUGCCCCAAAUAUUUCAAAAUCUAAAAACCAUUUGAACUCCAGUAUAAUACAAAAACAGGUGGCAGGCAGGAUUUGGCCUGGAGGCCACAGUUUUCCAGCUCCUAAGCUAUUUCACAGAUUUGGGCAAAAAACAAACAAACCAAAACCCACUUACAUUCCUUUAUCACACCGAUAUCUAAUUCUUUGUUCUCUAAGUUACUUGACAUUGAAUAAUUUAGUCAUCCCUUCCAUCUACUUCUAUUAAUGUUGAUUUUUCUCUGUCUUCUUGAGUUAAAUGUUUAGUUUUUCUCUCUUAUUUUUCAUGAGUGUUCAAGUCUACAAAAAUCUGUAUAAUAAUAUAACAAACAACCGUAUCCUUAUUGCCCUGCUUAAUAAGUAAGAGAUUGCAAACAGAGAAAAGCACUUCCAUGGUUGGCUGCCUGGUGGACAAACUAACUUUCAUACCCUCCCAAUGGAAACCAUUUUAAAAAUAAAAAAAAUGCUGGAUUAAUUGUGUUUUGAAAUCUAUCACUGAGCGACAUAAACAGAAGGAGCCAACAGAAGGUUGAAAACAAUUUAAAAUCAGGGACCUCAAAGGGUUGAUCAAAAAGUGUCAAAGCAACAUUGGCCCUGGGAGGGUUAUUGCCAACUCUUUGUGAUCCAGAGCCUCUGUUGUGAUUCCUAAGGGAACACAGAGGGAAAGAAUUUCUCCUGGGCUCUCCCGAGCAAAGAGCUAGGGCCUGAGGGCUGCCCCUUAGGAGAGGAUGAAUACACGUUAAAAUAGCACGACUUGAACUGGCUCUGUGGGUGAAAAAAAUCACCUCCUGUGAGUACUUGUAACCCAGAGCGGCUUUCACACCCCCUUGGAGCCUGAAUUCAUCCCACCUAUGUGGCUGAAAAGCUGGAAUUGAGAGUUUAGUAUAAAGUGGAGAGUUUAAUAUGUAGAGUUUAAUAUCAGAUAAUGCUUUCAGGUGAUUGGCAGAAAAGCAAAUAAAAACCUUCUCGGAGCAAUGCUAUUUUCAGGUUGGUUUGAAAAAAUUUCUGCCAGGCACAUGGACAUACAUUUUAAAGUCUCCAAAGGAAAUUACAGAAAUAACUAAGCAUAACUCAGUCUGAACAUGGUUAAGAUAGUGGAACUAUCAGAUUUAGAAUAUAAAAUAAGUAGGUUUGGGGCGCCUGGUUGGCUCAGUCAGUUGGGCAUCCAACUUCGGCUCAGGUCAUGAGCUCGUGGUUCACGAGUUCAAGCCCUGCGUUGGGCUCAGUGCCGACAGCUCGGAGUUUGGAGCCUGCUUCGGAUUCUGUGUCUUCUUCUCUCUCUGCCCCUCCCCCAGUCAUACUCUGUCACUUUCUCUCUCUCAGAAAUAAAUGAAACAUUAAAAAAAUUUAAAUAAAAUAAGUAGGUUUUAAUGUAGAAAAGAGUGGCUUGAAAAUGAGAGAAUGUUGUGUGAUAUUAUAAAAUGACUUUGAAUAUUUGAAAAAGAAGAGGAUGAAGCAACUAGAAAUGAAAGAUAUGAUUUUUUUCAAGGUUAUAAACAGCGAAUUAGACCACACUAAAGAGAGAUUUGAAUUCAUGAAUAGAAGUUAGACUAAAAAUAUUGCCCAAAAUGUAACCCAGAGAAAAACAAAGAAAUGGAAGGAUGAAGAGCUGGCUAGAGAGAAAAUGACCAAUGUGUUAUAUACAUGUAAUAUAUAUUUCACAUAAAGGUAUUUGUAUUGAUAUGUGUGUAUGUGUAUAUGUAUAUAUGUGUAUAUAAUAAACAUACAUGUAUAUAUCAGAGUUCCAGGGGGAAAAAUAGUGUGAGGAUGAGGCAAAUAUAUUUUUGUGAAGAUUACAAAUAUAUUUUAUAUUUGUAAAAUAUAAUGGCUAGUAAUUUAUUUUUUAUUUUUUUUAUUUUUUUUUUCAAUGUUUAUUUAUUUUUUGGGGGACAGAGAGAGACAGAGCAUGAACGGGGGUGGGGCAGAGAGAGAGGGAGACACAGAAUCUGAAACAGGCUCCAGGCUCCGAGCCAUCAGCCCAGAGCCCGACGCGGGGCUCGAACUCACGGACCGCGAGAUCGUGACCUGGCCGAAGUCGGACGCUUAACCGACUGCGCCACCCAGGCGCCCCUAAUGGCUAGUAAUUUUACAGAAUUGUUGAGUGAUACCAAAUUCCAAAUCCAAGAAACCCCAAAAUUUCAAAGCCAAUUGCAAAGAAAUGUACACACAAUUAAAACUUCACAACACCAAAGGGAAUGACCAGUUAGAAAAGGGAGAUCACUGGGACGCCUGGGUGGCUCAGUCAGUGAGGCAGCUCAGGUCUUGAUCUCGCAGAUCGUGAGUUCGAGCCCCAUGUGGGACUCUGGUGCUGACAGCUCACAGCCUGGAGCCUGCUUCAGAUUCUGUCUCCCUCUCUCUCUGUCCCUCCCUUGCUCGUGCUCUGUCUCUCUCUCGCUCUCAAAAAUAAACAUUAAAAGAAAAAGGAAAAGGAAAAGGGAGAUCACUUAUAAGGAAAUAGAAAUUAUACUGACAGCUGAAUUUCUAGCAGUAACAGUGGAAGCCGGAAGAAAGGAAAAUAAUGCUUUAGUGUGCUGGGAGGGGCCAAAAAAGCAAAACGAUAUUUCAAGGAAAUAAGACCAUUGUUAAUUAUAUAGAAACAAUAUCUCUGGCGGGAAGGAUGAGAUUCCAAAAGGAGUGUGUGUAAAGGCAAUGGUAAACACGUAGACACAAUUUCAUAUUGUGAAUUUUUCUGCAUCUCGUGUUGUUUAGUGGCUCCAUGCAUCUCUGUUUUCCAGAAUUCAAUUAGAGGAGUUGAGUGCUAGACUCAAGUCUCCACCUUGAAAGAAAAAUUUGCUAGUUGAAAAAAAGUUCUAAAUAAAUGUAAUGCAUGGAUGUGGCACACAAGUAAAGAAAAAGCAGAAAAAUGAAUGUAAGGUAUCGGGGCGCCUGGUGGCUCAGUAGGUUAAGCGUCCCACUUCAGCUCAGGUCAUGAUCUCACCAUUCUCCAGUUCGAGCCCCCCGUCNNNNNNNNNNNNNNNNNNNNNNNNNNNNNNNNNNNNNNNNNNNNNNNNNNNNNNNNNNNNNNNNNNNNNNNNNNNNNNNNUCUCUCUCUCUCUCCCUCUCUCUCAAAAAUAAACAAAAAAAUAAAUGUAAGGCCUCAUAAUUUAUCAAUUAUUAAUAUUUCAUUAUAUUACUUUUAGUCUUACGUAUCGAGACUUUUCGCGUCGUUAGAUUCAUGUUAUAAUAAAAUGAGGCUUUUUCCAUAAUGUUGAAUAUUCUUCAGAAAUACCCCCUCUCUACCGCUACUUACUGUAUCCUUUGAGUGUGCAGUAAAGUAUCUGAGGGUAGCUACAUGCUCACCAAUCCCAUUUCUUCUUCUUGGGCACACAGGUUAUUUUUCCUAGCCUUCUGGCAUUAAUUUUGGGCCAGUGAUUAUGUUCUGGCCAGUGACAUAACAUGUAGAACUAAAGUAUAUCACACCCAGGGAAGGCCCUAAAAUACCUCGCGGGAUCCUCCUGUAGCUGAAGGCAGGGCCAGCGGAGGGCUCUGAUGAUGCCCUCAUGGUUGGCCAGGAGUCAGGAUCUAAAUGUUCUCAUAUUGGUGCUGAUCUAGAAGUAGACAGCUGGGGCCAGAGGACAUAAGAAUCAGGUUAUAGAGGGACACCUCGGGGGCUCAGUCGGUUGGGUGUGCCAUAUGGGAAUUAUAAUUGCCUAGUGCAAAAUUUCACUGUGCUAUUUAAAGGCAAUACUACAGGGGCGCCUGGGUGGCUCAGUCGGUUGAGCGUCCGACUACGGCUCAGGUCACGAUCUCACGGUUCUUGAGUUCGAGCCCCGCAUUGGGCUCUGUGCUGACAGCUCAGAGCCUGGAGCCUGCUUCCGAUUCUCUGUCUCCCUUUCUCUGUGUCCCUCCAUUGCUCACACUCUGUCUCUCUCUCUCAAAAGUAAAUAAACAUUAAAAAAAAUUUUUUUUUAAAGAAUGAGGUUAUAGAAUAUAACACAAUCAUCAUUUGGGGAAAAUAGCUAAAAAAAAAAAAGCUUCUAUACUGCUGUCAACUAAUUUCAGAAGAAAAACCCCAAUCUUAGGUAACCUCUAGUUACAGCUCUCAUUAGCUCAGGUGAAACCAUUUAUUUAUUGUUUGUAGUGACCACACCCUUUCCUGGGCAUCCAGAGCAGAUGUUUUAGAAAAAGUGCCCUAACGGCACUUUCUUUUUUUUUUNNNNNNNNNNNNNNNNNNNNNNNNNNNNNNNNNNNNNNNNNNNNNNNNNNNNNNNNNNNNNNNNNNNNNNNNNNNNNNNNNNNNNNNNNNNNNNNNNNNNNNNNNNNNNNNNNNNNNNNNNNNNNNNNNNNNNNNNNNNNNNNNNNNNNNNNNNNNNNNNNNNNNNNNNNNNNNNNNNNNNNNNNNNNNNNNNNNNNNNNNNNNNNNNNNNNNNNNNNNNNNNNNNNNNNNNNNNNNNNNNNNNNNNNNNNNNNNNNNNNNNNNNNNNNNNNNNNNNNNNNNNNNNNNNNNNNNNNNNNNNNNNNNNNNNNNNNNNNNNNNNNNNNNNNNNNNNNNNNNNNNNNNNNNNNNNNNNNNNNNNNNNNNNNNNNNNNNNNNNNNNNNNNNNNNNNNNNNNNNNNNNNNNNNNNNNNNNNNNNNNNNNNNNNNNNNNNNNNNNNNNNNNNNNNNNNNNNNNNNNNNNNNNNNNNNNNNNNNNNNNNNNNNNNNNNNNNNNNNNNNNNNNNNNNNNNNNNNNNNNNNNNNNNNNNNNNNNNNNNNNNNNNNNNNNNNNNNNNNNNNNNNNNNNNNNNNNNNNUCUCUACCCUUUGUCAUUUUACUGUUGGGUUUAGAAUAUAUUUUUUCAAAUCCAUGAACUUUUCAUAUAUUACUAGCAUGUUUCCCACUUUAUUGGUAGCUUUUACAGUUUAUGGUGUUUUUGAUGCAAAACUUUUAACUUUUUAAAUCAUAGGAAGUCAGACUUCUAAUUUUUUUGGUGUUUAUGANNNNNNNNNNNNNNNNNNNNNNNNNNNNNNNNNNNNNNNNNNNNNNNNNNNNNNNNNNNNNNNNNNNNNNNNNNNNNNNNNNNNNNNNNNNNNNNNNNNNNNNNNNNNNNNNNNNNNNNNNNNNNNNNUGCAGGUGGGAGUUCAUAUUUAACAUUAACAUUAAAAAUAAUUUUAGAAAACAAAAAUAUAAUUCUGCUCGUUGAUGGUACGCUUAUUGAGCAAGUGCUAACCGCUUUACGGGAGCCGCUUAAUUUAUCCUUGCAACAGUCCCACUUGAGAGAUGAGGACAAGGACCUACAGCACUUUCAGUGACCAGUCUAUGGUGACGGGGCUGGGGGGGGGGGGGGGGGGGGGGGGGGGGGGGGCNNNCGGGGGGAGGCGUGGGGGGCAGCUUACUCCACACCCCCGCGCUCCCACUCUUGGCUUCUGGGCUGCCUGGCAUCUUUUUCACGGAGGCGUGAGGGUGAUAUCUGUAGAGUCAAGCCGGUACUUUAUUGUACAUAAAUUCUUACCCAAACUCAGUGCAUUUCAUGAAGUAUCAUUUCUGUUCCGUUUCUCUCUCUGACUCCUGCAUUACCUCAUUAUUAAAAUAUGGGUGAUUCUCAAGGAAAUUAUAUGAAAUGUCACUCUACGUUAAGCUUUUAGCAUUUCCUCAACCUAAUUGCAACUUCAUCUUUUUUUUUUUUUUUUUUAAUUUCAGUGAUACCUUACUGACAUUUUCUUUGCUAAUUGACUCUUGGGAAAUUUUGAAUGUCCAUCCUUUUUAAUUGAGUAGUUAUUUGCACACUUGUCUUAGAUCCUAUGGUGGGUUACAACCUUUUUUUAAGACAUAGGCUUUAUCUGUAGCACCUACACUGUUUUCUCGUGCUUAUUCAGUAGAUCAUUGUCUGAUUUGAUUCUUUUAAAUUGGAGCAUGUGGAUUGAAUUUAGUUUAUUUAAAAAAUACUAUUGUAGUGCCUACGAUACUACCUGCCGGAUUUUGUUUUGAUGCGCACAGCCACUUAGUAACGCAGGAACUAUUACUGCCCCUUUCUCGAGGUGGGGAAAUAGAGGCACAGGUGAAUCGGAAUUUAAGCCCAGACGGCUGACUCUGGCCUGUGUGUUCUGUAUUCAGUGCGCUAUUCAGUGCUACCCAAUCUGAUGAUUGGAGCGUUAGGUGGUUGGAGAUGGCUGGUAUUUGAUGUUACCGUAGAGGCCGUAAGACUUCACUUAGACAGAUGGUAAAACACAGGUAGGCUGAGAGAGGGAGUAAGAGCUUUCCCAGCAGAAGAAACAGCUUACAUAACACGGCCAAAGCAGGAGCAUGUCGUUUGUGGAAAUCAAGCAGACUUCGAUGGCGGCUAUCUGUUGAGAGAUCACAUAACUUUGGGGGGGAAACAUGUUACCGACAAGUCCUUGUUAUUUUAAAAAAUAAUUUCUGAUCCCUACUUUUUUCUUUUUUUAAUCGGGUCUCAGCAAUUUUACAAUUCCACUCUCCCCUCGUAUUCCACUAUUUUUUUUUCCCGCUGUGUGCACAAUGCUAAAAAGAAAAACGAUGCCAAGCGGCAGGAGAAUUUGCAUGUUAAGUUUGGCUUGCAUUUUCCAGGCUGGGGUUGUGGCAAGUUGAGGGAAUUAUGUGGUCCCCAAUUUUUUCCAACAAGACAUCAUCGUCGAUUAUCUGGCUGCCAUCGCUCAUCACGGUGCAGCUGCUCCCCUGUUCUGUUUGUCCUAAGCUCUCUCGGACUCUGUGGAAGUCAGAUGGAGGCAGGGCAUCCCGGGGGGCAGGCUGGCUUAACAUAGGAGACAGGUUGGGCGUCAGUGAGGAGGCAGGCAGGACUGGCGGCACUGGUCUGCCUUCUGCAAACUAUUUUCUAUUUGAUAUGCUAACACAUUGCUGGGGCUGGUCUUCCUUAAUGCAAAAGGAAAAAAAAAAUAAAGCUUUUUUGUGGGAGACUCGAAAUGGUCCCCCGAAAUCUCUUUCCUUGUCGGUGUUUGACCUUCCUGCAGACGUCCCGUGACCGUUCCAUUUAGAAAAGGGGGAAGUUGGGGAGAUGUCAGAGAGCGAGAGAAUGAAAUUUUGCAUCAGGUAAAAUUUCUGCACAGAUAUUUCAGAAGGAUUCAUAAUUCUGUGGCUGUAUACAAAUGAUCCAUUUUGUUAAUCUGAAUUUCUAGGGUCAUUAAAAUUUUUUUCCUCUGCUCUGGCGUAGUUUAUUACUUAGAGAGAGAGGGGGGGAAAAGGCCAGUUUAAAACCAGGUAAGGCAAGAAAGCUGACAAAAACAUAAAUUAGAGGAAGAACUUAAUUUAAAAAGUGUCAAAAAGGAUAGAUAGUCUUAGUUCAAUAAUAAAGCUUGGUUCAAGAGCCUUCUAUCUUUAAAUAAAGCGUUCAAGCACUCUAUUACCUGUAUACAACCAAUCUUUGAUUUCCAAUCUAAGUCUAUUUUUGCUUCUCGUGAUUAGCAUACAAAUGUGAAAAAAAGAAAAAAGUGGCUACAUGCGUGACGAUUAGGACAUGCCUUUGACUUUAAUGUCACUGGUUUGUCAGGUUAGAGGUAAGGAAAUGAAUUGCUGCUUGACGGGCUCCUUAGAGGUAAAUCUCGUCCGAAAAUGACUCCUAUCCGUCUCCUUUUAUUCGCAUUGUAAGUUCAUCACGCGAACCGCAAGCACAUAAGCUUAUAUUUGUUUUAAAAGAAAUAAAGCGCGAUAGCAUACGGCAACUUGCGAACGCGGGCAGGCUGUGAGCUGUGGGCAGUGCUGUCUCCCUGCUCGGUAGCUGUGGGUGCAGACACGGCCUAAACGUGGGGCCGUGGGUCAAGAAUCGUGCGCUCCAGACACAGGAAAUGAGAGGGUGAAGCGUUGAGACAAGGCUCACGUUGGCUGCUGGCUCAAAGACAGGAGUGCCUGAGGCUGAAGGAAUCUUCCCUGGGCUUUAUCUCUGGGCCUGGUGUUGAAAGGCACCACCUGUCUGCAGGCUUUCUGAAAAUGGCACCGCAUUUACUCCUGUCUGUGUGGCGGGCAAGCCCGCACACCGGCUAAAAGGGGAAGCUCCCUGAUAAAGUUGCUCCCAAGGGACACGUGUCACCUCCCUGCCUACCAGUUUCCCCUGAAUCUUCCGGGGAACCUUCUCCAAAGAGAGGGUCCUCGACCGCGAGAGGCUCUGGCUGGCUUCCGGUGCCUGGGGUGUGCUGAAACAGCAAGCUUCCUGGCGGGGUGGUCCCGGGACGGGGGGCCUUGCGGAAACAGAGUUUCGCCUACAGCAUCGGUGGCUGCUGACGGAUGGCCCCAUUUACAUCAAAGGCAGUUAUUAUGCAUGAAACCGCUCAAGCAUCAUUUGUUUCAGGGAGUUCAACCAGUCCAUUUUUCAGUUCCCUUCUGGUUCAGGGUCAGAAGCAAAUGAAGGAUCUCAGGCUGGCUUCACUGAGGGCCAAUGAUACGUCCCCUGUAUUUACAGCAAAAUUGUUUAAAGAGUAUCAGACUUAGAGUAUGGGACAAUGUCCUUUCUGUCGGAAACUGUAAUAGGGCUCGAGCCCCUAUUCACGCUGCACACAGAUAAACUAUGCCUGGGACUCACUCGGACACUCACGGUUGUACACGUGUGAACAGUGUGCGGUAAGGAUGCCCACCGUGUGCAAAUACGUGUGGAAAACCAGGCCACGGGCCACUGUUGGAAAUGCCAAGUCAGUGAAUUUGAACUUAAAGGAAACCAUCUUAUUUCACUUUUUCAAAAAGUUGUUUAGAGAGAGAGGGAGAGUGUGUGUUUGUGCACGGGGGUGCUGCCAGGGGAGGGGCAGACAGAGGGAGAGGGAGAGAGAAUCUUAAGCAGGCUCUACGCCCAGCACAGAGCCCGACAAGGAUCGUGACCUGAGCAGAAAUCAGGAGUCAGGUGCUUAACUGACUGAGCCACCCAGGUGCCCCGUAUUUCGCUUUUAGAUAAGGCUUCAGGUUUCAUUCCAGGACAAGAAAUGACUGAUGUGGGUUUGGAGCUCCACUCAAAAGAUCACUAACAUUUGUACAGUGCGUUGUACUUUUAAAACAAUAUAUUAUGUGUAAGAGUGAGUAAGGCAUUAUCCGCACUUAUCAUCGAGGGAACCAAGUCUCCAAGAUGUGUUAGCACUAAGCAGGUAUGAAAGGACAUACUGAGCACUAUACAUGUUGUGUAAGUUACUCGCCACGGCAGCGUAAGUUGUGUGUAUGAAAUGUUCUUGCUUUUUUCCUUUUCCUUAAAUGGUCAGCACAGCCAGCUCUGUCCACACAGCAGGUGAGGGAGCUCCUCGGUGCUGAUGGCCGGGACCUCCAGGACAGGGUUGAACUGUGCAUCUGCCUACAUUUUAUCUCUCCUGCUAUCCCAUAUUACCUUUUUAGUAACUCUCUAAGGGAUCAUGAAAGUUAAUGGAGAAAUACAACACUUCCUAUAUAAUUUUGCAGAAGUGAGGCUUCUGUGACUUUGCACAUGUACCAAAAUCACAUUUGGGGGAGGGGAUCUGUAUGGAUGUAUAAAUGUCUACCCAUAUGGAGUUCAAAGUCCAGAGGGAACAGGCAUAAUUCUUAUGAUCUUCCCACCUUCUGCAGAUAUUGUUGAGGCCAUGACAGAACGAUGUAUUUUAAAAAAAAUUGUUCAAUGUUUAUUUUUGAGAAAGACACACAGAGUGUGAGUGGGGGAGAGGCAGAGAGAGCGGGAGACACAGAAUCCAAAGCAGGCUCCAGGUUCUGAGCUGUCAGCACGGAGCCUGACGUGGGGCUCGAACUCACGAAACUCACGUGAGAUCAUGACCUGAGCUGCAGUCAGACAUUUAACCCACUGAGCCACCCAGGUGCCCCGAUAGAACGAUAUUUAAUUUGAUGGGUUCCGUGUGCCUAUUUGUUCAUAGGAAAGAGGCCAAGAUAACUUCAUUAUACACAGAUCCCAUAUCUGAGAUUUGCUUCCUUUAUUUGAAGGGAGGAGGCAGAGUUGAUUGACAACCUAAUUUCUAAGCAUUAGUGUCUCAGUAUUACAAAACCAAGGCUCUGUGUUUAUUUGCUUGUGUAAGGUUUUGUAGAUGAGCCCCAUCAUUUAAAAACACUCAAUUGUAAAUCUGAAUAAAAGUAAAAACAAUUAAACUCAAUAGACACGCACUGGCAUUAAAUGCCUCCCUCAGUAUUCCCGGUGAUCGCUGAAGGGAAUGUCGAGCCAAGACUGUUCCCUAUAGGACGGCGUGCCGUAGCCUUAUUCAUUUUAUGUUAAUAACGCGGUAGAGUCCAGAGUGAGAAGAUCCUGCCCAAUGGAUACACACCUGAGGCUGCUUAAGGCAGUAGGUGAAUAUACUCGUAAGAAAUCAUACCUUCCAGUGUCACAUCACAUCUGCUAGCAGAUAUUUGGUGCCCACAGAAUAUAUUUAAUGAAACAUUUCUUCUGUUGGUCCACACACGUGCACAAAAUGUAGCCAGUCCUGUUUGUCUUGGUGCUGUUGUAUGAUGUGGUCCCAUCUGGCUUCCAAAUCCAGCACCUCUUACAUCAGGGCAUUUCUGUGUGUAAGUGAAGCGAUGCUGCUUUAUUAAUGCACACGAACAGGUGCUUCUUAAGCGCUGUGCCAGAAUGAAUGUGGGUUUUUUUUUUUUUCAGCAUUAUUGCACGGACCACUAGAAAUGGUACCAGUGAACAUAUUUCUAAAUUUUGAAGUUAAAUAUUUUUCAUGAGAAGAGAGUUAGUAGUAUCUGUUUUGGUGAUUUUCAGUAAAUACCAGAGAAGUUUAUGUACAUUUCCAGUCAUUGUAUGAAUACUAUGCAAAAGAAUGGCGAACGGGGGCGUCGGGGUGGCUCAGUUGGCUGAGCAUCUGACUCUAGAUUUCACCUCAGGUCAUGGUCUCACAGUUUGUGGGAUCGAGCCUCACGUUGGGCUCCAAGCUGAGAGCGCAAAGCCUGCUUUAGAUUCUCACUCUCUGCCCCUCCCAACGUGCUCUCUCUCUCUCUCUUUCAAAAUAAAUAAUAAAUAAACAUUAAAGAAAGAGGAUGGAGAACAUACUUAUUCAUGAAACUGGAAAGUUGAGAAAUAGAAAGGAAACACACUAUCAUAAGAGUUAUUGUAAACCAAAAGAUGAAAACAUACGAAAGUAUUUUGAGCAAAAAUCAGCAGUUACAGAUCUUUAAAGUGGAUGAAUUCUUCUGGAGUAUAAUUAAUGUAAAGUGUUUAUCAGUGGCAUUAUUACAGUGAUACCACAAGAGAGAAAUAGUCAAGUUUGCUUUAAUAUUUUACUUAGUUUCUAACAGUCUGAAACUUUUUUUGAUAAAUAGUAGGUUAAUUUUGUUUUUCCAAAGCAAACCACAGCAAGCCUCACAAGCACUCAGGACCUCAACAAACUAAUUGAGCUUCCGUGACGCGCCGGGUCUGGCCAGCCACUGUGGGCAAUUUAACAGAGCAGUGAGACAGCUCAGAGAUAGAGCACGUGUGACCUGUACACCGAAGGGAAGGGCAUCUGCCAAAAUACUGCAGUUCUUUUAGCAAAUAUUUGAUAACACCUACUUUGUGCUCAGCACUGGGGGUGAGACAGCGCACGAGGCUGAUGGGGUCUUCUGCCUGGGACCUCAUAUUGUGGUGGGGAGGAGACUCUGAGGUGAUGGUAAGUAUCAGGCAGUGAUUGGCACUGAGAUGGAACUGGCAGGGUGUUCUGACGGAGAGAGAUGAGGGCAGGGACUGAGGUGGUACUCUGGAGGCUUCACUGAGGAGAUGCCGUCCAAGCUGGUGAUGGGCAGACAAUAGCAUCCAGACACGGUAAAACGUGCCCUCGAGGGAACGAUCACGCACAGCCCUAGCAUGGGGCCAAGGUCAUAGGGAGCAUUACUCAGCCUUAAACGUAAGGUGUUUUUUUGUUUUUUGUUUUUUUUGAGAUUAAACCCCGUUUUUAUCAUCUGUAGCGAGGUAGCUUCUAAGUUGUUUUCUGGCCAGCAAGAGUUGGAAUCCUUUGAUUUUGCGGGCAGGUUGCUUGCUACAGUUCUGUUAUGUCUCACUGUAGUAUAGAUGCCAACAGAAGGUUCCCUAACGGCCACUCUGAGGAUCAUCUAGGAAAAUAGGAAACGAUUUCAGGACUUCCACCCAAGGACGCGGCACCCAGAGCCCGAGGCUGUAUCUUGAAGAUGAUGCUUCCCGCCUGUCCUUACCACCCACCAAAUCUGAUCCCUCGUUCGAAGCCCAGAGAGCCUGAGUUGACUCCUGUAAACUCUGUGUGAAUUAAGUUGUAAUAUUGAGGAGUCCCUGCCCACUCGUUCCAAUAAUGCAGCUUCUUCACUGCUCUUCUCCCCCUUUGACCUGUUCUGUCCAAAUUUCGUCUUGUACUGCUGAGUCUGCUCUGGACAAUAUAUUUUUUUAAAGUUUAUUUAUGUGUUUUGAGAGAGAGACAGAUGGAGCACAAGCAGGGCAGGAGCAGAGAGAGCAUGUCUGUUAGCGUGGAGCCCGAUGCAGGGCUCAAACUCAUGAACUGUGACAUUAGGACCUGAGCUGAAAUCAAGAGUCGGACGCUUUACUGACUGACCCACCCAGAUGCCCCUACUCUGGACAGUAUUUUUGAUGGCCUUUUUGCUGUUUUGAGAGUUAAUUACCACAGUCUUUAUCUUUCAAAACUUUCUGGUGAUAUUAGCACUACUUUUCAGGCAAUGCGGAGUGACAAUCUGUAUUUCUUUGAGACGCUUUUCUCAUCAUACUUUCUCAUUCUGGCCUCAUCUUGUGCUCUAACGCCCUCCUCUCUUUCUUCAGUCUUAUUUACAGAUUCUCUAAAGCUAUAUGAGGAUUCGGUGUUCCUACCUGAUGCGUCAAAGUCAGUGGCUUCUGCUGCUGAUGGAAUGGUUGUCCCCUGAGAGGGAGUUUUUGAUCUAGUCACAAGAGAACGCCAUUAGGUUCAGGUCUGAAUGGCCAAGUGGCCAUUUAACAUCUACUUUUUUCAUAAUGUUUGCUGUGGCUUUUUCUCAGAAAGGUUAGCUGGGGGAAGAAAGUUUUUCAAAGUGCUUAUAUAACAUGCUUUAUUUAGUGACAGACAUGUCAUGGCCCUUUCCUGCCCUCCCUCCCACCAUGGUAGUUGCCCAUAGCUCCUUUUACAGCCACAACCCGCUAUGUCGCUCUGUUUCUGGCUGACCAUGAGACAGCUGCUUGAAGCUGUGGGGUGGGUCCCGGAGCCUUCAAGUUGGUCUCUAAUCCUUCUUUGGAAGCCCAGAAAGACUGAAUUGACUUCUGUAAAAUUUGUGUGUUUUAAGUUGUAAUCGUGGGGGAGAGGGGAAAAUGGGUGAUGGGCAUUGAGGAGGGCACUUGUUGGGAUGAGCACUGGGUGUUAUAUGGAAGCCAAUUUGACAAUAAAUUAUAUUAAAAAUAAAUUAAUUAAAAAAUAAAAUAAAAUGGAGGUUAUUGCUCUGAAGAAAGAAGUUGUAAUAUGUAGGAGUCUCUGCCCACUAGUUCAGAUAAUGUAACUUUAUUUUAUAAAAUGCCUUGUAGUUUCUAGUUCAGAGCAUCUGUUGUGCUGGAUAGGCAGAAAAACCUAACUUCAAUCCUACCCGGUCUUCCCGACCCCACAGGCUGAUACAGUGCCCACGCUUGGGGUAGGAGUGACCUACUUUUCGGUCCACACAGUUUACUUGAUAUGUAGCCCCUGAGACCUGACCACUCCCUUUUCCAUUUUUGCUAUGCUGUCUCCCUUUCUCUCUACCUCUUCGGGGGGAAAUUCUAUGAAGAGUUAGUUUGAGAUAUUUAUUUGUGUCUAAAAGAUCCCUGACGGGACUAUGCUUUUAAAUUGCAUCUUUGUGGGGCGCCUGGGUGGCGCAGUCGGUUAAGCGUCCGACUUCAGCCAGGUCACGAUCUCGUGGUCCGUGAGUUCGAGCCCCGCGUCGGGCUCUGGGCUGAUGGCUCAGAGCCUGGAGCCUGUUUCCGAUUCUGUGUCUCCCUCUCUCUCUGCCCCUCCCCCAUUCAUGCUCUGUCUCUCGCUGUCCCAAAAAUAAAUAAACGUUGAAAAAAAAAAAAAAAUUAAAUUGCAUCUUUGUUUGUUUGUGUAAAAUAAAGUUAGAAAAGUUUUCCAGCCCUCCCCUACCUUGUCUCUAAGACAAGGAGCACAGAGACAUCACCUUCUUUCAUACAAUUUAAUACAAGGACAAAAAAGAAACUCAUUUAGAGAGCAAAACGUUAUCCAGACAAUCUUACUAUGUGCUGUUAGCAUGUAAUGUAAUUAUUUAGGACAUAUUCAGCAAUCCUUGCAAAAUUUUUGGUAUCUUGGAUAGAUUGAAUGUACAUUAAAAUUGGGGGAUGACUAUCAUUUUAAUAUCUUCUAUUUUAUCUGGACCUUUAUGUAUUUUGAUGUUAAUCUUUUAAAAGGCCUCCUAGAGGGGUGCCUGGGUGGCUCAGUUGGUUGAACGUCUCACUCUCAGUUUUGGCUCCGGUCAUGAUCCUGGGGUCGUGGGAUCAAGCCCCGAAUUGUGCUCUAUGCUGAGCGCGAAGCCAGUUUGGAAUAUUCGGUCUUUCUCUCUCCCCCCACCCCCCCCCACCAUUUGCUCGCUCUCUCUCAAAUAAUAAAUAAAUAAAUAAAUAAAUAAAUAAAUAAAUAAAUAAAGGCCUUCUAGAGUAGGUUUUUAUUUUUGAACAGUUUUCUUAUAAAAUUCAGUAAUAUGUUUCUGCCAUAGAUAUUGUGGAUAAAGUGUUUGCCCAGUCUUUCCUUUAGACCAGUGGUUCUCAAACUUGAGAGUGCGUCACGCUUAACCAAAAUCACCUCAAGGGCUUGUUAAACCACAGAGACUUGCAAGUCUCACUCUCAGAGUUUCUGAUUCAUAGGUUUGGAAGAGAGGGUAAGAAUUUGCAUUUCCGAGUUCUAAGUGAUGCUGGUUCAGAGCCCAAACCUUGAGAACCACGGAGUUGGUGAUUAUCUAGAGGCAGUGUGGUUUAGUGAAAUGAGCAUGCGUUUUGGAGUCAGACAUGUCUGGGUUCAAAUGUGAGGAAAAUCCCGAUUGCCUGGCCAUGCAUAAUUAGUGCAGAAUGAAGGCAACCGCUCUUCCUGUGCUCAUUAGCAUAUCCCAGCUAGUGGCCAGCUAGUGCAAUGUUUAUAAUCCUCAUAGCCUGUUAAAUUAAAAGAAUUUGCAACAAGGAACAAAUGAUAACAAUGAUGAUACAAAUGCUUUAUAUUUAUGUGGAAUUUACAGCUUAAAAAUUAUCACGCAUAUAAGGAAGCAGCAUGGCACAGAAAAACUAUGGAACUUGGGUCCAACACCUGGAUUUGAUAUCUGCUGUUUUAUGCACAAUGAUAUGACUUUAGGCAAGGCAUUUCAUCUCUUGAAUGCUAUUAUUUCUUACAUGUAAAAUGGAAAAAAAAAUCAUGCCAGCUUCAUACAGUACCCAAUACCAGAUGCAAUGUUUUUUUUUUCCUUUUAAAGUUCACCUUUUUCUGUGUCUAAAUGUGGACAGUUGGAAAUUGACUAAAAGCCAACUUCCUAUGAAGGGAUUUUCAGUUGUAUAUGAUUUCUUACAUUGUUGUGGAGUAACAGAAAGAGAAUCAACCUCACAAGUGGCACUUAGACUUGUCAAUGACCAUUUCAUAGGAAAGACUUGCUUCUUGAGGGAAAGAGCUAAUGAACAUCAAUAGAAAAUUGUGGUAGAAAUUGGAUAUUUUCCACAGACCCUGAAGGACUAGAUAGUAUUCUCUGGGAUCAGUGGGGGGAUGAUCAUUUCAGGUUAUGCUCUAGAUCAUUCAGGGGGCUCUGUGUCUCCCCCCCCCCCAAACAUAUGUCUUCAGAGUUAUGAUCUCUCCCUCUCUCCCAGAACAAAAGCUGUGUUUAUUUCUUGCCACCAACAGCUACAUGUAUGAAAAGUUUGGAAACGCAAGGUUUGUUUUUGUUUUUGUUUGUUUGUUUUCUUGCCAUGCAACCCCACUUCCUCCCAGUCUAGGUCAGAGCCUGGCAAUCUGACCUCUCACUUUUAAGAGAGGUUGGACACGAGGGAGAAAGAGAAGGAAAAUACCAGGUAAUUCUGUUGUUGAGGUAGACACAUCUCUCUCUGCAACAGAAAGUUAAACGAAAGAAAUGUGCUGGAUAUGUGGGAUAACAAUUUCUAUGUUCAUUACGUAUUUCUAGACUUUAUUUCUAAGAGUAGAAGACUGGAAAGGGAGAAACGACCAAAAUCAUAGCCUUCAACUUGGACCAGAAUCAAGCCUGGUGGUAAACAUGAAUAUAAGGAUAAAUAAUCAGUUUUCUUGUGUAAUAGAAACCAAGUCCUGAGACGCUUGGAAUUGAAAGAGAUCUUAGAAGCACCACCCCGCCCCCUGCCAUCCACCUUUACUCUUGUAGAAAAUCUUCUCUGAAACAUCUCUAUAGACAACCAUACAAACUUUCCCCACACGUUUCCAACAAUAAGUUAGCAUGUUCCAUUUUCAAAUAUCUCUCAUUGUUCAAAAUGUCCUUCUUGAGGGUUGGCCAAUAUUCUUUUUCUUAUUACCUGAAAUUAUUGUCUUUUUAAAUGUUUAUGUAUUUAUUUUGAGAGAGAGAGAGAGCACACAAGCAGGGGAGGGGGCAGGGAGAGAGAGAGAGAGAGAGAGAGAGAGAGAGAGAGAAUCUUAGGCAGGCUCUGCUCUGUGAGUUCAGAGGCUAGCGCAAGGCUCAGUCCCAUAAAUCAUGAGAUCAUGACCUGAGCCAAACUCAAGAGUUGGAUGCUUAACCCACUGAGCCACCCAUGCAGCCCAUAUUGUCUUAAUUGUGCCUUCUGAUGGGAUACAAAAUGUAGGAGAAAAAAUGCCUUCCAGAUAUGAUAAGCAAGUUUCCUAAAGAUAUUUCCAAACAAGAAUGGGCAACUCAUAAGUAAAGCUACCUUUGAUUUUUUGGGGGAAGAGGGAAGUGUAUUUUCUCCUUUACUCUAAUCCCUAUUAGGGUUUGCAGAUUCUCUAUUCUAAUCCCAUCCUUCCUUUUUUCUCAGUGCUUGAAACCCUGAUGCCCUGCCCUUUGGGACUCAUAGUCUGUCAUCAGUAAUAUUCUUUAUAACCUCAUCUUCUUUAACCUUCUGUUCUAACCCAAACCUUGCUUUCCUCUCAGGACAGUGCAUCCCCUGCAACUCUUGAGAAGUGGUGGCUGUUUUCUCUCUGAUAUCCAUCAAGAUAAUGGGCAUAGAGGGAGACGGGUGUCCUUCUUAACCCUCAGGUCCCUUCCCACCGUCCCUGCCAUUGUUGCUUCCAGAAGCAUUCUCCUUGUCCCUCCCUAAACAGCUACAGCCCUGCAUCCUCACCCAGGGACAGCCAUCUGGACGUCCCUCCAUCACUUCCUCUGAUUCCUUGAAGAUUUUAGCUCCAGGCUCAGAGUCACGCUCUUAGACAACUGGGUGAUUUUUUUCAGGGUGAUUUCAACAUCCACAUAGAAUGUAUGUCAUAGAUGAUUCCUUUCAAAACCCUAGCACUUCAAUUCUUGGAUUCAUUCCAGCCACUCCCUCUCAUGGGUGUGCCCCUGGCCAGGAACCAUGGUGCUUCGUUGUCUCACUUACAAGAAUCUCUUCUGAGCACCCCGCCUUCUCUCUCCCAAGCAAGGCCAUUCCAGCUCCCACAUCCUCGGACUGCCGUGGGGACCCAAAUCUUUUACCACCGGUCACCUAACUGUCUGUGGUCAAACUCUCAGAUCAUGUCCGUGCAUAGCACCCCGGCUCCGUGCCCUCUCUUGCUUCCUCUUACUCUCUUGAAAACAAACAAACAAAAAAUCUUUGGUUAAAAACUUGAUAAAAAAUCUUGGUUAAAUAUUUCUGCCUUUUUGCAUCUGCACCAGUGUGGCUGAAUGGGCCUGGAUUGCCUUCCAGCCAGGCUGACUGAUCUGAUAUUAUUUUAUUGUAUUUUAAGUUUAUUUAUUUAUGUUGAGGGAGAGAGCAAGCAAGAGAGGAGCGGAGAGGGAGGGAGAGAAAGUGUCCCAAGCAGGCUCCACAGUGUCAAGGCAGAGCCCCAUGUGGGGCUGGAACCCACAAACCGUGAGAUCAUGACCUGAGCGGAAACCAAGAAUCGGACGCUUAACUGACUGAGCCACCCAGGUUCCCCUGACUGAUGUCAUUUUGAACGAGACCGCAAAUCUCAGCCCCGACUCCACAUGCCCCUAGUUUGUUCAUGACUCUCCUUGUAGAUCUGUGUCUCCAAACCUCCAACACCUCUUCCUUCGUCCUCACUCUUAGUCGAUGAACUUUUACCAAGAAACUGCCGCCAUCAGAAGAGAACUUCUGCAGGGGCGCCCCGCUGGUUCAGUCGGUUAAGCGUCCGACUCCUGAUUUGGGCCCAGGUCACGAUCCCAGGGUCAUGGGAUCAAGCCCCGCAUCUGGCUCUGUGCUGAGCGUGGAGCCUGCUUGGGAUUCUUUCUCCCCCUCCCUCUGCCCCUCUCCCCUGCUCUCAAUCUGUCUCUCUGACAGAGAGAGAGAGAGAGAGGGAGAGAGAACUUCUGCAAGCUACCAUCUACCAACCUGACUAGCAAACACUCAGCUUUCCUGUGUCAACUGUCAGUGCUCUGAUCCAAGGCCAGCCCGCACUUUCCCACUACAUCCUGUCCCAUCUCACCGGCGCAAGGGCAUCUCAGCACACCAGCCCUCCUCCUACGCUUCCUCUUAGGUCCCUCCCCCACACCUUCCUCUUGGAUCAUCACCAGCAGCAUAGAAACCCUCUAUCAUUUCUCCCUUUUUUAUGAGACUUUCGGAAGCUGCCUGGACUACCCUUCUUUAACCUUCCUUCACCUUGUGCCACACUCCUCUGCUUUCCUUGCCAGCAGACCUCCUCAAAAGACUUGUAGGUACCCCCUGAACCCGAUUCCCCAUCCCUUCUCUCAGACUUGGCUUCCACUCAGGCGUUUGCCCAUCAUGCUACGUAAACUGCUCUUAGAGUCAACGGUGACGUUAACAUUGUCACACCUCAGUCUUGUCUUUGCCUGAAUAAUCAGCAUAUAAUUGUGUAUGGUUAAUCCUUCCUCAAAGCAUUAUGUUCAUUAUCUCUGACUCCUGGAAAUUCUUUUCUUUUUUUCUUUCUCUUUGCUUUUCUUUCUUUUCUCCCUCCUUCCUUCUUACCUCCUUGCUUCCUCCUUCUUUCAUUCCUUUCUUUCUUCCUGCCUCUUUCCUUCCUACCUCUUUUUCUCUUUCUUUCUUCCUUUCUUUCUUCCUUCCUUCCUUUCUUUCUUUCUCUUCCUUUCUUUUGAUCUCUUUCUUUCUUUCUUUCUUUCUUUCAUUUUUCUCUUUCUUUCUUUCUUUCUUUCUGUCUUUCUUCCUUUCUUUUUUCCUAUCUUUCUCUUUCUUUCUUUCUAUCUUUCUCUUCCUUUCUUUCUCUUUCUUUCUUUCUUUCUUUCAUUUUUCUCUUUCUAUCUUUCUUUCUUCCUAUCUUUCUUUCACCUUUCUAUCUCUUUCUUUCUUUCUUUCUUUCUUUCUUUCUUUCUCUCUUUCUGUUUUCUCUUCCUUUCUUUUUCUCUUUCUUUUCUUUCUUUCUUUCUUUCUUUCUUUCUUUCUUUCUUUCUUUCCUCUCUAUCUCUGUCUCUCUCUCUCUAAAUUAGACUUUCAGGUCACUGCCAUCUCUUACUUAUUUCCCUGUCUUGCUGGCUUCUCCUUUUCAACUUCCUUUGCUCCUGCUUUAUCACUCCUUUGACCUGUGAACUGUUGAGGGUGUAGGCUACCUGGAGCCAUCUCACUGUCUUGUGGCUUUGAACCCCAUUGUUGUAUUGACAAUCCUCACAUCUCCAGUUUUCCCUGAUCCCUAAACUCCUGUACCAAACUUUCUUCUCAGCAUCUCCAUCUCAGUGUUUAACAGACACUUCAGUCAUGCCAUGCCACACAUGCUCCUUACCUUCCCCUCAACAUGGGGCUCUGCCUUCCCUUUCUCAGCUGAUGGCAGGUCUAUCUAUCUGUUGUCAACUCAAAGGCUUUGGAGCCCGAGCACCUGGGUGGGCUCAGUUGGUUAAGCGUCUGACUGUUGAUUUCCUCCCAGGUCACGAUCUCACAGUUUGUGAGAUUGAGCCCCAUAUCAGGCUCUGUGCUAACAGGGCAGAGCCUGCUUGGGAUUCUCUCUUUCCCUCUCUCUCUCUCUCUCUCUCUGCCCCUCCCCCACACACACUUGCCCUGACACUCUCUCACUCUCUCUCAAAAUAAAUAAAUAUUUUUAAAAAAGGACUUUGGAGACCUCCUUGACUUCUCUCUUUUCUUCUGUUUUAUAUCUAAUUCAUCAACCAAUCAUCAAUUCUGACUUCAAAAUACAUCCAGAAGGUGACCACUUCUCAUCACCUCUCUCACGAGUGCCCUGGUCCAAUCUUACCCGGAUGAUGGCUCCUUAACUGGUCUUUUUGCUUCUACCCUUAUUAUCUUAUACACACUCUCUUUUUUAAUACACUCUUCAUAGUACAGUAGCUAGAGAACUUAUUUUAAAACUCAAACAUGUAACUCUUUUACUCAAACCCCUCUAUUUUUUUAGGAGUGAAGGCCAGUUCCUUAAAAUCCAAGGUCUUAGAUAAUCCACCUGGAUAUAGUAGAUAUGCUGCUUUCUCAGAGCCCCUGCUGUUUCCCGACUCAAGCAGGUACUUUAGGAACUCUAGCUUUAACCCACGACCCGCUCGAGGGCACCUGUGGCUUUGGAGGAUAGUUCUGGUGCUAACCAAGGGAUCUGUAUCUCAGGCACUUCCCUUUCUCUGCCCGGGGACUACUCUCUGACCACUGGAUUGUGGCUCAGCCUACACAGGGCAGGCCGGGAGUACCAGGGAGGGAGGGGAGUACUCCAGCUCGCUCAUGCCCUGAUGGGGCUGUUCUGAGGUGUGUUUUUUCCAGCCUCUCACAGGUUCCCAGUGGGGCUCAGCCCCAGUGGCCCACAGUGAUAAGCCAGCCAACAGAACACUAUUUUUCUCUUUUAAGCUGGUAUAUAAUUAGAAUUUUUAAACACUAUUUUUUUUUUUAAUCUUUUUUUUUUUUUUCAACGUUUAUUCAUUUUUGGGACAGAGAGAGACAGAGCAUGAACGGGGGAGGGGCAGAGAGAGAGGGAGACACAGAACCGGAAACAGGCUCCAGGCUCCGAGCCAUCAGCCCAGAGCCCUACGCGGGGCUCGAAAUCACGGACCGCGAGAUCGUGACCUGGCUGAAGUCGGACGCUUAACCGACUGCGCCACCCAGGCGCCCCUAAACACUAUUUUUUUUAAUGUUUUAUUUAUUUUUGAGAGAGAGACAGUGCUUGAGCAAGGGAGAGGAAGAGAGAGAGGGAGACACAGAAUCCGAAGCGGGCUCCAGGCUCCGAGCCGUCAGCACAGAGCCCGACACGGGACUCAGACGCACGAACAGUGAGAUCAUGACCUGACCUAAAGUUGGACACUUAACCGACUGAGCCACCCAGGUACCCCAGAAUUUUUUAAAUGUUGACUCAUCAUUACUGAAUGAAUUAUUGAAAUUAAUUAGCCCAACUUUGUCAUGAUAGAUUAUCUUUUUGAUAUAUUAUUAGAUGAGUUUACUAAUAUUUUGUUUAGAAUUUUGUGUCAAAGUUCACUAGUAAGAUUAUCCUGGAAUUUUCUUUUUCCUACUAUUUUUUUCUCUUUCUUCCUGAUUUUGGUAUUAUUAUCCUACUUCAUUUCAUAAAAUGAGUUGAAGAGUAUCCCCUCUUUUUCUAUUCUCUGCAUGAAUUUGCAUAUGCUGGAAUUACCUAUUUGUGAAUGCUCUGGUAAAAUUCAUUUACUAAACCUUCUGGAACCAUGUUUUUUCUUUUUCAAGGUACAAUUUUAUGUACCAUUUGAAUUUAAUUAAUGCUAUGAGAUCAUUGGAAAUCUAGAUGAUUAUGAGUCAGGCUAAUCAUUUAUGAUUUUAGGGGUAUCUGUUUGCUUAAGCAGUCUUCAAAUGUAUUGGCAUAAAGUUGAUAAUAUUAUUCACAUUCCUAAUGCAUCUCCAAGUACUUCCCCUCUGCAGUUCUAAUAUUGUUUCUUUGUACUGUUCUUUUCUUAAUCACUAUUACCCGAGCUUUCCCUUUGUAAAUGUCUUUUCUUUUUUAAUUUUUUUUAACGUUUUAUUUAUUCUGAGAAACAGAGACCCAGAGUGCGAGCUAGGGAGGGGCACAGAGAGGGGGACAGAAUCUGAAGCAGGCUCCAGGCUCUGAGCUGUCUGUCAGCACAGAGCCUGGUGCGGGGCUCGAACCCACAAGCUGUGAGAUCAUGACCUGAGCUGAAGUCGGAUGCUUAACCGACUGAGCCAGAUGCCCCUGUAAAUGUCUUUUAAAACAACUUUUGACUCUGGUGAGCCCCUCGAUUUGAUCUUUAUUUUCAUUUACAUUAAUACCUGCUAUUUAUUACUUCCUUUCUUAUCUUUCCUUUAUAAUUAUUCACUUGUUUAUUUUUUUAACUUCGUAAACUGGCUGUUUAACUCAUUUCUUUUCAGAUUAUCUUCUUUUUUAUGGAAAGUAUUUAAGGCUAAGUAGUACAUGCAUUUCUAUUUCAGGUAUACAUACAUUUAAAGGCCUAAGUCGACACUAGUUUUUAUACUCCACCGUUUAUAAUACCUCGUACUUUUGUUAUCUUCUUGUGUUUUCUAAUAGCCUUGUUGUGUCAGUGAGUUAGUUAAAAGUAUUUCAAAUUUUGAUUUCUUAAUGUGUUUUUCUUUUAAGUUGCUCUUUGUUAUUGAUUUUUAACUUAAUUGCCUUAUGCUUAAAGAACAUGAUCUUAUGAUAUUAAUUCUUUGAAAUUUAUAUUCUAGUGUAUCGUCAUUUUCAUAAUAUUCAAUGUAUUUUUUUAUAGUUUUUACUUAAAUUCCAGUUAGUUAACAUACAGUGUUAUAUUAGUUUCAGGUGUACAAUAUAGUGAUUCAACACUUCCCUAAGACACCCGGAGCUCAUCACAAGUGCCCUCCUUAAUCCCCAUCACCUGUUUCACCCAGCCCCACCCCCACCUAUCGUCCAAUUAUCUAUCUAUAAUUUGUUCUCUAUAAUUAAGAGUCUGUUUCCUGAUUUGCAUGUCUCUCUCUUUUUUCCCUAUGCCCGUUUGUUUCUUAAAUUCCACACAUGAGUGAAAUUGUAUGGUAUUUGUCUUUCUCUGAUUUAUUUUGCUUAGCAUAAUACACUCUAUAGCUCCAUCCAUGCCAUUGCAAAUGGCAAAAUUUCAUUCUUCUUUAUGGCUAAUAUUCCAUUGUCUAUAUAUGCAUCUUCUUUAUUCAUUCAUUAGUCAAUAAACAUUUGGGCUCUUUCCAUAAUUUGGCUAUUGUAGAUAAUGCUGCUAUAAACAUAGGUGUUCAUGUAUCCCUAUGAAUUAGUAUUUUUGUAUUCUUUGGGUAAAUACCAGCAGCAUUUUUCACAGAGCUAGAACAAACAAUCUUAAAAUUUGUAUGGAACCAUGAAAGAUCCCGAAGAGCCAAAGCAACCUUGACAGAAAAAAGCAAACUGGGAAUCACCACAGUUUCAGACUUCAAGGUAUAUUCAAAGCUGUAGUCAUCAAAACAGUAUGGUACUGGCAUAAAAAUAGACACAUAGAUUGGGGCACCUGGGGGGCUCAGCUGAGCUUCCGACUUCAGCUCAGGUCAUGAUCUCACAGUUCGUGGGUUCGAGCCCCACGUCGGGCUCUGUGCUGACAGCUCGGAGCCUGGAGCCUGCUUCGGAUUCUGUGUCUCCCUCUCUCUCUGCCUCUCCCUUGCUCAAGCACUGUCUCUCUCUCAAAAAUAAAUAAAACAUUAAAAAAAAUAGACACGUAGAUCAAUAGAACACAAUAGAAAAUGAACCCAUAACUACAUGGUCAGUUAAUCUUUGACAAAGCAGGAAAGAAUAUCCAAUGGGAAAAAGAAUUUCUCUUCAACAAAUGGUGCUGGGAAAACUGGACAACAUCAUGCAAAAGAAUGAAACUGGACCACUUUCUUACACCAGACACAAAAAUACAUUCAAAAUUGAUUAAAGACCUAAAUGUGAGACAUGAAAUCAUGAAAAUCCUAGAGGAGAACACAGGCAGUGACCUCUUUUUUUUUUUUUAAUUAAUAUUUACUUAUUUGUUUAUUUAUUUUUUUAAUGUGAAAUUUAUUGUCAAAUUGGUUUCCAUACAACACCCAAUGCUCAUCCCAACAGGUGCCCUUGACGUCGGUCACAGUAACUUCGUACUGGAUAUGUCCCCUGAGGCAAGGGAAACAAAGCAAAAAUAAACUAUUGGGACUAUAUCAGAAAAAAAAAAAAAAAAGCUUCUGCUCAGCAAAGGAAACAGUCAGCAAAACUGAAACACAAUUUACAAAAUGGGAGAAGAAAUUUGCAAAUGACAUUAUCUGAUAAAGGGUUAGUAUCCAAAAUAUAUAAAGAACUUUUGUAUGUUUUUAAAGAAUUCUGGGUUCUACAGAAGUCUGUUAGUUCAAGUUUGUAUAUUGUCUUAAUUACCUAUAGCCUUACUGAUCUUGAUCUGCUUUAUCAGUUACUGAGGGAAUUAAGUUCCACAUAAUAAUAGCAAUUUGUCAGUUUUUAUUAGAGUUCUCAAUUUCCGCUUUAUAUAUUUUGAGGCUACAUUAUUAGAUGCUUAUAAAUCUAGAAUUGUUACAUGUUCCUGAAAAACAGUUAUCUUGAUAAAUUGUUAUGUCAUGACAAACCAUAAAGAGAAAUCUUGUGGUUUCUCUUAGCUUUUUCUUUGUUUUUCUUCUUUCUUCCCUAUUUUGAACGGAUACAAUUUUUUUCUUCAAUUGAUAGUUCAUUUUUACUGGUUUCCGUAGGAACCAUCACAUGUGUUUUACUUAAUAAGAUUAUAAUUAAUAUCUUCACCAUCGUCUCACACAAUACAACCAUAGCCUUCUUUAAAUAAAUUCCAAUCCCCCUGACUCCUAUCCUAUUUUCAAAUUACGUUAAAUAAUUCUUCCCCAAUUUUGAUAUUAUUAUUAUUGAUCUAUGAGUCAGGGUUUGUUUAGUUUGCUCACAUGUUAACCUUCUUCAUUUAUUAAUGUUUUUGCAUGUCAGACUUGCAUUUUGGAUGUUCUGAUUCUUCCUACAGCACAUUGUUUAGAAGACCCCUCAUGGGUGGGUCUAUUUGUAUAAAGUCUUUAUUUGUUGUAUUGUCUGCAAAUGGUUUGCUUUUCCUUCUGUUUUUGAAGAUAGAAUUGCUCACUUUACAGGGCUAUGUUGGCAGUUAUUUUCUUAUGGAUUCUCCUAGCCUUUGGAGAUGAUCUCCAGAGUCCCAGCUUCCUUUCUGGUUGCAGAGAAGUCCCCUAGCAGUUUACUACAUUUUCUUUCAGAUAAUAUCGUACUGUUUUCUAACUUUCCUUAGUGAUUUACUAAGUAGUGGAUCUUCACUAUCAUGUGGGCAGGUAUGGAUUUUCUUUUAUCUAUUUUGACUGGAAUUCAUUGUGGUGCAGAAAUGUGAGGAAAUUUUCAACCACUUUCUCUUUGAGUUCCUUGAUUCUUCCUAAUAUUUCUUUUUGAGAUUCCUAUUAGACAUAUGUUAGCCCUUCUCAUUCUAUCUUCCAUAUUUUUGAGUCAUUUUAAUAUUUUAAUUUAUCUUUUUGUGCUACAGUCCGAGUAAAUUCUGCAGAUCUCCCAGUUUUUCAAAUGUGUCAGUUUUGUUGUUUGGCCCAUCUGCCAAAAUUCUUAUUUUAUUUGUUACAUUCUUCAUUGCUAGGUGCAAUAAUUAGUUCUUUAUCAAAUCUGCCUGGUUGUUUUUGAUACGUUCUUGUUGGUUAAUCAUAGAUUAGAUACAUUCAUUUAUUUCUUCAAUGAUGCUGAAUUUAUUUUAUAUUUUAUAGACAUUAUUUCCACAAUUUGCAAUUUGAUGAGUCUGCUGUGGCUGUCCUUUUCUUUUGUCUAUUGUCUUUCAUUUGUUUCAUUCUUUUUAUAAUUAGUUCUUCACACGUUUUCUUAUUGCCUUUUGGAAGAAUGUGCAUUCAUAUGCAUUGGAGCCUUAUCUGUAGGCAUUCUUUGAUGAUGGAGUAAAGAUCUGUUCCUUCAGGAAAAUUGGUGUUUGCUUCCACCAGGAGGCAACCCAGACCACUUUAAAUUCUUAACCUGGUUUUGGGGGGACUAUAGCAGUAGGUGGAUUCAGGUGCCAAACCCACCCAAGGGACUAAUUGUUAUUACAACUUACUAUUCUUGUUAUUUGAAGGUGGAAUUGUUCACCAUGCGUAUCUAGGUUAAUGGCUAUUUUCCACCUUCAUCAAGAGCCAAGUCCAAGGAAGGCAACUUUACUUUUAGUUACCCUAGAUGAGGCAUUUUUUUCUCAUUAAUCUUCUCACUUGGGGCAUUUCUUUCUGUGGGCCCAGGCUUCUCAAGUAGUGGGGGAUGAUAUUUCCAAAUGUCUUUCUCACAUUGCGUGACCAUACGCUUCGUCACCAUUUUCUGCAUAGCCAACUGAAACCAAAGCUCCAGAGAACCAGGGAUUGGCAGACGUUCCCAGAAUAUCUGUUAGCAUCCGCUCGUGCUCACCUAUACAUAUAUUAUUUAUUUAUUUAAUCAUCUUGCCUGUGUUCAAAAUUAUUUUGUGUUUUUAUUUAUCUUUCACGGGAAGGUGUUUUUUUAAUUUAAUUAAUCUAAAUAUUGCAAGCAAAUGGAAACUACAUAAUGUCUUCUCAUCUUCUGUGCAAAAACAAAACAAAACAAAAAGCCCUCUUUCCCCAAACUUCUGAUGCCUAGGGUAAUCAUUAUGCUCAUUCUUGGCCAAGACUCAUUUAGUAGGAUAAUGUCGGCAUUUAGAUCAAAAUCCGUAGCAUCCAGUUACAGAUAAAUAAUCCAAAAUUCGUGGCUAUCACAAACAUUAGUAGAUAUGGUUUUGUUAUUGUCAGCUAGAAAGUUCUGCCUACAUAGUGUAUCUUCACAAGAUAAUUGAUUUUAUAAUAUUUUGUGCAUUUGUAUAAUGUGCAAAACCUGAUAAUGUAUCACACUCACUUCGAUAGUGGAAUUGCUAUCAGUUCUAUGUGGUUGUCCUGGAAACAGAAAAUUAAGGGUUAUAAGAUAAAAACGGUCCUUUUCUUCAUGUGAAAUGUAUUUAUCUUAACAACAAACCCUAAAAAUCUUCAUAAGAACUUUAAAAGUAAUCCUGGAGUUUAAGGAUGAGCUAAAAUGCUCUGGUUAUUUAAUAUUUUCUAAUUAUUGCUGAUGAUACUAGUUUUGUUUCUGCUCUUAAAGUUCCAGUUUUUUUAGUAUUAACCUUGAUGAAUACAGUAGCAUGCUUCGAAUUCUCUUUGGGACGAGUCAUGGCCUAUAUAAUCCGAUCACAAACACAGAGACCAAAUGGUAUUAAUACAUUUCUUCUGAAAUCUAAGAACAUUGUGAGAAGGGAAAUCCUUUUUUUUCCGUUUGAAAUUUCAACAUGGCAGUGUAGGAAAGAGGAGGAAUGUGCUGUCUUCUGCUGUUCUGUUAUUUUAUUUUAGGAUAAACAAAAGAGCUAUAACUUCCAGGAUUUCAGGUACCUGAAACAAGAGAGAACUUGGACUGGUUUGUGAUGUUGCCAAGAAUAGGGCUCAGGGUGAGUGGGAACAAAUGUAAUGGUGUCUUCUGCUGGUCUGUGUCAUGCGAGGACAUCAUAAGCCACUCUUUGAGGCAUUGUUCAGCACCAAACGACCCCUACUGUCGUCUGUCUGCAGGCGAUCUCUAAUCUAGAAGGUGUCAAAUACAGCUAGACAAAAGAGAGUUUAUGGCUUUGGCCAUAAUUUGGAGAAAGAGUUGUUUUCCACUCUCAAAACAGAUUAUUUAGUUCCCUGGAGAAUUAAAAGGUGUGGAAUUGGUUUUGCGAACAGUGACUGAACUGGUUAGUUACGGUAAGGCUGUGCGUGCAGAUUCUGAGAGGGGCCAAGGGACGGGGUCAAUUCCUCUCCUGGGACAAGGUGUCUGCUGAGAAAUACAGGAUCCUGGAAUGUCAAACAUAACUUAUCUAAAAGAACGGGGGAGAUAACUUUCAUUUUGGGUUUCGUGGAGGACCGUCAGAUGGGAGAGAGAGAGUGUGUGUGUGUGUGUGUGUGUGUGCGCGCGUGCGCGCGCAUGUAUGUGUUUAUUUUUUCCCGAAAACACGGAUCCCUAGAGAAGUGUUUCUCACCUUUGUGUCUUGCUACACUGGUGGGCUCUGACCUUCUAAAUUUCAGAGGCCGCCAGCGUUUUUCUUUCAUCUUGCUUAUGUGAUCUGGGGAUGAGAAACACUGUGCUGCGGGGCUGUGAAAAAUCUCAUAUUUACCACUAUAUGCGAUUUGCUCAGGAAUGGGGUCCACAGCUUUUAUCAGCUUCACAAAAUGGCUUGUGAUACCCUCCCCUUAAAAAAUAUUAAGUGAUUUAUUAUAACAGCCUAUCUUACAGAUAAGUCUCUUUAGUUUCCAGAAAUCAUGGCAUAUUUUCUAUAAUUCCUCCAACUUUUUAGUUAGGAGGAUAAUAAUUUACCACAGAUAAACAUCUACUUGCACUGUACUUGCAUUUCAGUAAUGAAGAAAUUAUUAUUGUUUGGACCUUCAGCAAUGAUGGAUUGGAUUUGGCAAAGCUUGAUGAUAUGACACACUAAACGCACUGAGACGAAAUUGCUUCAAAGUUGAUAAAGUGAAACAAAUGAAUUUAAACUUGAAAUGAACUUUAACAAAAGUCAUCCAUCUGAUUUUAGUUAUAAUUUACUUUGUAAAAGGACAUAAUAGACACCAUUGUAAUCUAGAUAGUAGAAGACAGUGUGCAUUUCUAUUCACAAGGUCAAAAAGCUUUUAUUUACUUAUACUUUCCCUACUUUAGUUUCAGAGUCAAGGCUUAUUUUAAGUUUUGGCUUGCAGUUGAAAAAAAGGACCAGACGUGUCCCUCAUUAAAUUAUUUCUUAAGUAUUUGCAUUUAAAACCUACAUCAGUUGAAAGCUGGGGUUUUGACUAUACGUCACGCAGAAACCAAGCCUGCCAACAGUGGAAGGCUUCAGUCUGCAGGAAUAAAUAACAUUUUUAGUAAAAGAACAUCAGAAUGAAAAUGUUAUAAAGCCCUGUAUAUGGUUUGGCUUAAGAUAAAAAAAUUUUUUUUUCUGUGUAUUUCACAUACUUAGACUAGUAAACAUGUACGAUUUAUACAAAGUUGUAUUCUUUCAUUAACUAAGUAAUAGGGAUUUAAAAUCUUGAGGAAAGAGAAAAUAACACACCAAUUAUUAUACUAUGAAAGUAACUGGACUGUUUUUUGCAGACUUCAAGGCUGGAUGGUACAUCUGAACAAUUUUUUCUUUUUUUUUAAUGUUUCUUUAUUUUUGAGAGAGACAGAGUGAGAGCAGGGGAGGGGCAGAGAGAGAGGGAGACACAGAAUCUGAAGCAGGCUCCAGGCUGCUCACCACACAGCCCGACGCGGGGCCUGAACCCACGAAUCGCGAGAUCGUGACCUGAGCCAACGUCAGACGCUUAACCGACUGAGCCACCCAGGCGCCCUAGAUCUGGACAAAUUUUUAAAAGUAGGUUGUUAUUUGUUAUAAUUGGAUGGGUUUUUUUUUUUACAAAAAAAUUGAUUUAUUCCAUAUCAAAACUAGAUGCAACUACAAUGUGGAAUACACUUGCUGUGAGAACAGGGGUGACUGGUUUGGGGUUUUGUAUUUUGGGGUAAGGUGUUCAACAAGACGGAGAAAGCAGGACCGACCCCUCACCUCCUUCCCCUUAUUAUAUAUGAUUGAAAAUGAUCUAGUUUUUUACAGAACAAGAAGCAUUGUGUCAUUGACAUACCGUAUAACUCUUCUUUCCUUUAUGUUACACUCUAAUGAAAUUUUGCUUGAGAGAUGUUGAUUUCUGAAAACUAAGUUUUCAGGUAAAGGACAUAUAUAUUUGAUAUAUAUACUUAUGUAUUUAUGCAUUUGAUACAUUUAACAUGUAUACGUAUGUCUUGCUUUUAUAUAUGUAUGGUUUACCUAUGUGUAUAUAUUUUACGUUAACCGUUUGGAUGUAUUUUCUUCUAAAGGAAAUCUGGACAGCAUAUAAAUAUCAAUGACCACAUUUCAAGAAUGAAUGUGGAAAAGUGGGAAACUGCUUAGUGCUUAUUGCAUUUGAUACAUUUUUCUCUUUUAAUUGAAAUUAUUUUCAACAUUUCUACUAGCGGUUGAUGUAUUCUUCUUCAGCUACUCCAAGAGAAGAUGUCAAGUUAUCUGGCGUAAGGUGAGAAGUAUUUUAUGUCUGUAAAGGCUGCCAGUGCAGAGAGGAUACACAGAUGUGUCAUGAUUUAAAAGAAACUCACUUAAGCGAGUAGUGUCAAUGGGUUAUAGAACUGCUGAACUCAUCUAAAGCAUUGUGGAAUAAAAUGUAUGAGAAAUAUAGUAUCCGUAAUUAAGAUCUUUAAUGAAUUGCCUUGUUAAUCCAUACAGUGUAUGCAUGUUGCAACAUUUUCUAGGCUUAAUUAGUGUACUUGAUGAUUAUGUUUAUUUUCGGAUGUACACACUGAUUAAGCAUUGUCCAUACACUGGAGCUUGAAACAAGAUCAGUCUGUAAAGUAGUACCUAGUCGCCUAACUGGGGACUCAAAAUGCAAAUAGAUCAACUUAUGUAAAAUUAAAUUAGUUCUAAUAGAACCCAUUUUGCCUGAGCAGCUGGUGUCACAUUAUAAACAGCGUUCUCUUGUUGUAAGAAAUAAAGGGCUUCUGUUGACAGAUCCUUAUAUCCUUUUAAGCUUAAAAAACUGAAUGCGUACAAUGCGAGGGUUGAACUGCAACUCUUAAACACAAGGAACCGUGGAGUAUGUUCGGUUAACUCACUCUAUUGUGCUCUAGAAAUGCAACUCGUUAUGCCAUUAUGGCAUUCGGAGGAGUGAGUGCCAGGUUUCCAAAUGCUUUUCAUCAAAACUCCUGUUUUUAGUCACUUCCAACUUUUGUGAAUUAUCUGUGAUGUUAAAGUUCUCCAGAUAGUCUUAGCUCAGAAAUUCAAAAUAAUCAUAUAUUCCAAAGUUUAUUGACUGCUUCUCUGCCUUAACUUGCAAAUGCUUUUCUGCCUUCUGUUUAAUGGUUACAUUCAAAAAGUCAAAUUUAGGAUUUGGGAAGAUAAUAGACCAAAAAUUUAUUUUAAAGUUACUCGCAACACUAUUGGGAAAGUGUGUGUUCAUUCAUUUGCAUAUUCCACAAACAUUUAUUGAACAGUUCCUGAUCCAUAGCAUACUCUGGACUUGUGUAAAAGACAGCUCCUGUACUCAGGGAGAUGGCGACUUCAUGAGGAAUAGAUUCGGAAGGUAGAUAAAUGACAAAUGUCAUUCUGGAUGCCAUUUGGAGGUAUUCAUAGUGCACUGGUGGAGAACAGAGAUCCUAAAAGGAAAAUUAUUGCUAUAGACUACAUGGACAGUCAUUCACACAACUUCUGUAAGAUCUAUUUCCUGGAAAACCGUAGAGGUCAUGAAUCCAUGAGUUUGGGGGGAGAGAGAGUUGGGAAAAAGAUAUUACGUGGUGAUAUUGUGUAUCCAUUGAUAAGCUACCAGAUGGUAAGCGUCAUAGAGAACAGCGCCUUCAGGAGACUUAAGAAAUAUUCAAUAGCCCUAUGCUUCAACAUUCAAAGGAUAAAAUGACAAAAGACUCUUGCAUUAAUGGUGGCAGUAUACAUUGGUGUUACCGUAGUAUAGAGCCGCCUGGAAGAAGGUAUCAAAUACUUUAAAUACAUUUGGACACUUUGGUGAAGUAUUUUUAUUUUUGAGAACCUUUUCUAAGUAAAAACCCUAAAAGGGAAAAAACAUUUCCAACCAAGGAUUGUUGUUGUCCAACCAGCGUUGUUUAUAAUGGAGAAACACUGAAAAAACUUUGUCAUGCGACCGGGGAAGACUGAGCAUCCCAUGAGAUAAACAUUUGAUAAAAUGAAGUUGGUUGACCCCGUCCACUAAAAUGACUUUUACAAAGACUUGAAAAGAUUUGGAAAAUGCUAAUUCUAUGAUGUUAUGUGAAAUUAGCAGGACACAAAUUGUGUAUGCAAUGCAUUACGAAAAUGUAAAACAGGAAAUAACCAUUUUUUUUCCCAUGGGAGAAAUUCUGGAGGGAAAUAAAACAGAUUAUUAUUGUUCUUUUACAUUUUUAUUUUCCAAAUUUUCUCGAAUUCCAUUUGUUGAGGAGGGAAAAAAACCUAUUAAAAAUAUAGACCAGCUAUAAGAAGUAAAAAUAUGGUUUUGCCAUGAUUAUUGAAUUUAAGUUUUUAAGGGCUUUCAUGUACUCACUUGGCAGUCUUCAUCCCUGAACUUUGAGAGAAUGUUCCAGAAGAAAGGGCCAGUAAUGAAAGGACAUUAAAUUCUGGGUAAGAGAUUCGGUAAAUAACCUGGAAAACUUGGCCCAGAGCAACUUCUGUCAAUUUCUUCAUGUAAAAUGAAGAGCUUGUGCUAAGUGACUUCUAAAGACCCUUGAACAUCUCCCAUUUGGAUUUCAUGAUCCCACCAUGAAAUUGGCAGUGCAGAGAAGAGUGUCACUCCCUUCUGAUGCAGAAGAUACGAAUACUCAGACUCCAGAUGGACAGUCACUCAGAGGAGAAUCCAAGCAAUUCCACAGUGCACUGUAGUCUGCCCAAAGACCACUCCAAAGCGUGAUUUCCAAUCACAUUGAACCACACCUAUUGGCACUGAACUCAUACCAGCCCAGCUGCUCAUUGGCCCAAAGGGCAGUAAUAAAAUCAUGCCUUCAUGUAGUGCUAACAUACUAUUAUGUGACUUGCUAUUAGUUCUUUAAGAAGCCUGGUAUCCCAGGAUAUGCUAAUUUUGUACCUUAGAAUUGAGCAUUAGGGUAUGUACCUGCCUUCACCAUCUUUGUGGAGAAAAUCAGCAGUCAUGCUGUGUGAGAAUGCAUUCACCCAUUUAUCCAUGCAUUAUGGUUCAUUUUGUAUACUUUUUUAAAUGUUUAUUUAUUUUUGAGAGACAGAGUGUGAGCAGGGGAGGGGUAAAGAGAGGGGGAUACACAGAAUCAUAAAGAGGCUCCAGUCUCUGAGCUGUCAGCACAGAGCCCAACGUGAGGCUCGACCCCACGAACUGUGAGAUUGUGACCUGAGCCGAAGUUGGACACUUAGCAAACUGAGCCACUCAGGCGCCCCAAUUUAUGGUUCAUUUUAAAGGUUUCCUAGGAAUAAACCCCCAGUUUACAUCCAAAUGGAGGAUGAUGGGUCAUCUUUCAAGGUAUACAGUCCUGGUUAGGGUCUUGGAUCUUCUCCAGAGUGUGGGUGUGUAUUUAACUGACAGCAUUAGAGAGUUUCACUCAUGAGGAAGUAUCAUUGAGGCCAUCACCACCUGGCACUGGUCUAAAUCUUCUCCCACAGAAAUGACAUUUAGUGAUGAGUACUUGACGGGCAUUCUAGAAAUGCUAAAAUUUAUUCGUAGAUUGAGUCACAACAGCAAAACUCUAUCCGGUUUGGACUCCGUGUGCUAUAGCUUGAUGUGAUCAGCCUAUACGGAGAGGCAGUGUGAAAAGUCCUGUGUCCUGUGAGGGUAUGGCUGAGUACACUGCCCGUCGUGUUAUGUGGGGUCUUCUUAUGACUCAAAAGUCCAGCCAACUUCAGCUCCAGGAGCAGCUGCACUUCUCCCGAGCAAUGGGCCUGUUGUAAUGUCACAGGUACUAUGAGCUGUGUGACUGCUGUCCCUGCACACUGCUGUGAAGAAGCUCAUAGCAAUGUUGCUGGAAUACCCACAGCAAGGGAACAGGGCUUUCUGUCUGCAUUCUUCAGCCAUAUCCCUGCGUAAUUUUAUAUCCCCCAGCUAGAUUUUUCUUUCCUUUACUCCUUCUUUAGAUUUACUGUACAUUCUUGCAUUUUAUGAAUUCUUAUUAAUAUUUAUUAUGAUUAUGAUUACUUUGAGAGUGAGAGUGAGAGUGUGCAUACGUGAGGGAGAGAAAGGCAGAGAGAGAGAAUCUAAAGCAGGCUCCACACUCAGCGCAGAGCCCGAGGCGGGGCUCAGUCUCACAACUCUGAGAUGAUGCAUGACCUGAGUCAAAAUCCAGAGUCUGAUGCUCAACUGACUGAGCCACCCAGGCACCCUGCAUUUUAUGAAUUCUUAUAAGUUGCUUUAAGUUCUUUCUGGAAUGAACAAUACAUUCGUAAAUAAGUAAAUAAAUGAAUAAAUGGUCUUCUGUGCUGCAGCAUCAUCACUCAGUGACCUGGAGGCCAGGCCGGCUGAAUGUUGGGCAAGGUCUUCCCCCUCAGGCGUGUCCUUAGUCAGCUCCAGAUUUUGAGACCUGUCGAGGAAGGACGUAGCUUAUAACUUAGUCAACAGUUACUACCAUAGGUGAAACACGGUAGCAAGUUGGAUAUGAGGAGACUUGGGAAGGCCGCUUGUGGCUGCUGUCUGCAUUAACACUCAGUUUUUUGAAAAUGAAGAAGGAGAGGGAUUUGUUUUUAUGCGUACAGACACAUUCACACUGGACCAAAAUGCUCUCUGAAAUUUCUCAAUAUUUGAAUGUUGUCAUCAUCAGCAGGUAGGUAGUGAGGGAUCCUUCGUGCACUCUUCUGUGCCCAAAAGGAGCUUGCUGGUGAACAGGAAGAAAUGACAAUAAAUUAGCACAUUUACAUUUCGGGGUGAGCUAUGAUCAUUACACUUAUUUUCAUGGGCUGUUUCCUUUUAAUCUCACUCUGAUCUCAGAUGUCUAUGCCCAGAUGAAUUAGGCACCGAGAUGAAAGGCCGGAAUGAAACAGCAGUUGAGGGAAGCCCAGAGAGGAUGCAUCCAAGAUAAGCUUAGGGCCCGGGAGCCAGAGAAUGUUCCUGCUCUUUGCCACUGAGCCUGACAGCCGUGCAUUACCUCUGGACUCCCAGGUGAAGCGUGUUCACGUGAAUACCCUGCUUAAAAUUUAUAUGCGGCCAAGAGAAUGCAUAACGCUCGUCUUAAAUACAGGCUGCAUAGUGAUGAUUCUGCCGUGUGUUUUGAUUAUUUAAGAAUAGAGAUAGAUUUUCCCAUUAGGUGGUUUCAUGUUCUCUUAACCACUCUUACUGCUCCUUGUUAUUGUCCCCGCAUAAUCACUGAAGAUUGCAGCCCCAGAUCACUGUCUUCCCCUCCAGCCUCCUAAUACUACUGUUGGCAAUAUGGCAGCCCAUCUCACACACUGGUCUCUCAUUCCUUGGCCUCCCCACCCCACUGAUCUUUUCUUCUAUCCCCCUCAUGGUUCAUGCUCACAUUAUGCCCAUGACCGUGUCAUCACCAGUAGCUGCAGUGUCUCAGAAGUCUACAUUUUAGGCAUCCAUUCCUGCCUGAUUACUUUUCCUUCUUUCAUGAGCAUGGAUGCCAUGAUGCAUCAUUACACGCCACUGAGACCACCCCAGCCCUCACCCCCACCUUCACCCUAUCGUACUCACCUGUUUAAAACUCAGUCCUUCUUAUAACCAGCCCCACCUCAACUCCGCAGCUGCACCAAAGCAGAAACACAGAAAUGGGACUGGUCUAUGUCCUGGCUGUUCUCAAGCCACGGCACCCCCUUACUUUUCUAAAUAACAGUGGAAAGUGGAAGCUUCCUUUGCUGUUCUGAAUAUGUACAUUUCCUUCACUGUGCAAUGGAUUUCACAUCUUCCACUUCCUUAAGGGGUUCGUUCUAGUUACAGUGCCCUUUUCCAUUUCAUCAUCAGCUUGUCCUCUCUUCUGUGUCAUUCCGUAAGAACAAAAUGAUACAUCGUUUUUAAACAAAUUUUCCUUGACCUCAUCUCCAACUACACUUAUAUUCCCAUCACUCGGCUCCUGUACAUGGUCACAGUAACACAUCUUGAUAGAACCAUCUAUUGUCCUGUCACCACUUCUGUGCAUCUCAUUUCUCCUCAGUUCACUCCAUGUUAUUCAUGUUCCUAAAACUGCUCUUGCAUGGUCUCUAUUGACCUCAAAUUGCCAAUUCAGUGGUUACUCUCGUCUUCAACUCAUCUGACCACUUGCCAGUAUUUGAUGUAUUUGAGGCAUCCUUCUUAAGCAACUCUUUUCUCUUGAUAUCUGUGAUAUCACCUGCUCAGUCUCUCCUACUGGCUUCUCCUUGUGCUCUUCCCUAAGUAUUAUUUUGUCUCAUAGUGUGGUUGUUGGGUCUCUACCUUUCCCUACAGUGACACUUUCCCUGGGGAAUCUUAGCUAGUCCUUUUGGCUCUAAACACGAUCUUCAUGGCUAUGAUAUCCAAGUUUAUAUCUUCUAAAUUGGAAUUUCUGCUGAAAUCCAAAGUAGUAUCAAUAGGUAUCUUAAGUUUGGGAGAGUAUCUUAAUUUUAAUAAUUAAUUUUAAAGACAACCUUUAUUUUCCCGUACCUAUCAAAACUUAUUCCUUCCAGUUUCCCUGUCAUAAAUGAACUCCCUUCUAUGCAGUUGCCUGGGUCCAAAAUAGGAAGUAAUUCUUAUCUCAUUUCAACAAAUUAUCCUUGGAUUCUAUCUCUAAAAUAUUUCCUGAAUCUGACCAUAUUUCUCUAUCUCUGCUCCCGUUCUAGAACAUAAACUACCUUAUAGCUUCCUGGAUUAUUUUAACAGCAUUUAAUUGGUCGUUUGCUUGUCCUCUGUCUUCCCUCAGUUUGUUCCCAUGUAGUGUCUAGAGUGAUCUUCUAGACGUGUAUGUAAGUCAGUCUGUGUGUCUCCUCUAGCUGGAGCCUUCUAGUAACUUCCCCUUGCACUUAAAGUAAGUCUAAGCACCUUGCCACAGCUUAAGCCCCAAAUCAUCUGACCUUACUUCCUAUUCUGCCCUUCGACCCCAUUCCUUCUGCUCCAUGGUAAGACUUUCCUGUUUUUCUGCUUAUUCUGGAAUUCAGGCUCUUUGUGACAGGAACUUUGUCCCAUUCUUUGUAGCAUCUCCGGAACAUAGAGUGGUGCCAGGAACAGAGCAAAUACUGUCAAUACUGAUACUGACACAAAUACUGAUAAAUACUUGUCAAACAUAUGCACCUGUAGAGCUUAAAACCUAUAUCUUAAUAUAACCUUAAGAAACCGGAUACUUACAGAAUUGACUUUUACAGUCAAUUUAAUUAUUUGGUGACUAAGUAUAGACAGUUUAUAUUCUAUGACACUUGAUGAAAAUAUUUGUAAGAUGUAUAAGCAAUCUUUCUUUUCUUAGUGAAUACCUAUUUGUAGACAUUUUCUUCUUCUCAAGACAAAACACUGAAUUAUUUUUACUCUCUUGACUGUUUUAUUUUUAUUUUUGGUUGUUUAAAAAAUGAGCUCUUUUGAGUUUAACACCAAGUAUUCUUUUCUUAUUUACACAUUACAAUGUCAUAUAUUUAUAAUGAGAUAAGUCAUUUAGAUGAUAUUUAGAUGAUGUACAUACUCAAAUUUUGACCCUAAAGGUUUUUUUUUUAAAUUCAGUGUGUGUUCCCUGCUAGAACAAUAAGUAAUAUAAAGUGAAAUUGUCUAUGUGCAGUUAAAAUGAGUUGGGUAGAGAGCUCGUGCGGAAAAGUUUGCUCUUUAUUUCACAAUAACUGCUCCUUGUCUGGACAAUUUAAAAAAUUAUUAAGAUUUUCAUUAUGUUAACAUUUAUUUCUUUUUCUGCGUUCUCUUUAGCAAACUCUGUGCCUUUGCGAUGCUGCGACUAAUCCCAGGAGAUUAGAGAGGCAUAUUCAGGACAGGGUGGAGGAAGCAUUUUCUGGAAAACAGAUGAUGGCAGGAGAGAAUUCGCACACAUUGCUGGUGUUCAAAAGCCAGCUUCUCACAUUUCCCUUGAGUCAGUAUGUCUCCUCCAAUCUGUGUCUUAACUCUUUGAGCAUCUUUAGAUUCAGGUGCCCUCGGUGGUCUGGGUUUUGCUUUAAUAAACUUCCACUUAGUUUUUUUCUCUUUUUUUCUUUUAUUUAGAACUUUUUUUAAAUAUAUAACUUAUUGUCAAAUUGGUUUCCACCCAACACCCAGUGCUCAUCCCAACAGGUGCUCAUUUUCAAACCCAUACCACUUUGGAGACAGUUAGUUUUUUACAAAUCUAAACAUACUUUUACCAUACGCUCUACAGUUGUCUUCCUCGGUACCUACCCAGAGGGGCUAAAAACAAUUACGUCUCACAAAAAUCUGCACAUGGGUGUUUGUGGCAGUUCAUUGCCAAAAACUUGAAAGCAACCAAGAGGUCUUUUGGAAGGUGAAUGAUAUAUCUCGACAAUGGAAUAUUAGUCAGUGAUUAAAAAAAAUUAGCUAUCAAAUCAUGAAAUGAUGUGGAAAAAACCUACAUGCGUAUUAUUAAGUGAAAGAAGCCAAUCUGAAAAAGUCUAUAUACUGUAUGAUUCCAACUAUGUAACAUUCAGGAAAAGGUAAAACUGUGGAGAUAGUGAAAAGAUUAGUGGUUGUCAGGGGUUGGUGGGGAGGGAGGGAUGAACAGGCAGAGCACAGAGGAUUUUUAGGGCAGUGAAACUACUCUAUAUAUUAUGAUGGUGGAUACAUUUGCCCAAACCCAUAGACUAUAUACCACCAAGAAGGAACCCUAAUGUAAACUGUGGACUUUGUGUGAUAAUGAUGUGUUAGCAUCAGCUUGUCUGUUGCCACAAAUAUACCACUCUGGUUGGGGGGUGUUGAUAAUGAAGGAGGCUCUAUGUCUCUGGGGGCUGGGGAGAUAUGGGAAAUCUUUGUACCUUCUUUUCAAGUUUUCUGUGAACUUAAAACCUCUCUAAAAAAGAAAGUCUUAUAAAAAAAACCUUUUUAAUUAAAAAAUGAUUUUCCAUUGGAAGUCCAACAAGUAUCAUUUCAUUUGUUCAUUUUGGAUCAGUGGUUUUGAAAUUUUGAACUUUUAACAUUAUUGACCUGUUUGGAACAAUUACCUUAAUGAAUAUUUCUUUCUUAAUUUGUAAGGCCUUUUGGAGACUUAUUAUUUAUAAAUUCCAUUUGGCUAUCACUUUUCUUAACAUCUUAUUUCUUAAUGUUUAAGAAAUAGGAUAUCCCUACCCCCAGCAUACUGGGGCAUAAAUUCAGCUGGAAAAUGUCACUAUUUAGAGAGUGUAAAAUAGUCUUCACUUUAAAAAUCUGUAUGGUAUUAUAAGAAAUUAGAAGGGUUGGGGCGCCUGGGUGGCUCAGUCGGUUGGGCGUCCGACUUCGGCUCAAGUCAUGAUCUCGCGGUCCGUGAGUUCGAACCCCACGUCGGGCUCUGUGCUGACAGCUCGGAGCCUGGGGCCUGCUUCGGAUUCUGUGUCUCCCUCUCUCUCUGCCCCUCCCCCGUUCAUGCUCUGUCUCUCUCUGUCUCAAAACUAAAUAAACGUUAAAAAAAAAAUUAGAAGGAUUAAAUACACACAGCAAUGUAGUAACGACAAAUUUCUUCACAGUAAUAAUUAAAUGCGAGGAACAACAUUUUGCAUACAGAGCUCUGCAAAGAUAGAAUGGAUUCCCUCAACCCUGUCACCUGAGUGCAUUCUCUUCAAGGGUGUUAGCUGGCACAACUCUAAGUACUAGCCUUAGAAGACUACAAAAUCUUCUUCCAAAGGCAAUGGUCUGUGAACCUAUCUUAACUUUUGGGGAUUAUGUAGCUUUUUUUUUCUCUGAAAAUUUCAAAGUACUUUUGAGCUAUCCGUGUAUCUAUCCGGGAGAUAUUUCAGUGGAGAAGAGGAGCAAACCACACUUUCUGUCCGUGUGUGGCAGAAUAAUCCGAUGUACUCACACCGCAGUAUGCGAAUUGCCUAUCAGUUCCUCAGUCUGGAUGUGGGUGGGAAACGGACACCAGCAUUUGCAUCAUUGUACCAGAAAUUUACACCGUUCGUUGUGAUGCUCCAAAGAGGCAGAAGAAGCCUUUCACAGAAGCACUGAGGCCUCAACAGCUUAGCUCUCUAUAUUCGGGUUUCUGGAGAAAAACCACAACCAGUAUAAUAGCCUGAGUACAGGAGUAAGACAAGUUUUAGCAUCUUUGGAGAAAAGUAUUCUGGGAGACAGAGUAACAUUUAAUGCCUCUCCUGUUUCAUUAUGAAAGUAUCUUUGAUAUAUAACAUUAUAUAACUUGAAGGUGUACAUCCAACAUGUCAAUUGGAUAUAUAUUUAUGUAUUGUAAUAUGAAAGCCAUGGUCUCUUCUAAAUGAAGUCUAGAGGUUAAAUCAAUGUGCUCCCAGGCAGGAAUGAGCAGGACCCCUUCCAUAAAUGGCGAGAAGCUAACCACACAGUCUGUGCGUAAAGAGUGAAGGUAAGGUAGCUGAUGAGGCCCACUGAGGUAAAAUUAAGAAGGUCCGAGUGGUACUAAGAAAUUUGGACUUAAUUCUACAGAUACAAGAAACUUGUAAGCAGGGGAUGCAUUUAUUAGACUAACAGUAGCUGUAUAAGGAAUCCACUCAAAAAUGUACAUUGACACAAACAUAAAAAAGUUUGAUUUUUUAAAAUCAUAACAAUAGUCUUCACAGUUCUUGCUUCAUAAGGGAAGUUGGGGUUUGGUCUGUGCAGUCAGUCAAGACUCUGAGUGACUGGGGCCCCACCAUCUUCAUCACAUGGCUUUUGAGGUCAUCUCUGUGCACUUGGUGUAAGAAGAGCUUGGGGACGCAGUGUUGGGGCAGUUUAUAGGCUGGACUGGAAGUGACAAACGCAUCUGCCUUGGUACGCAGCCAUACUCAACCUCAAAGUUGGGACACACAGCCUGGUUGUCCCCGGAAGAAAAGGGAAGCCAUAAGGAGGGCCAUAACUGGAUACGCUUUGUAGAAAAAAGUGCUGGAGGCAAAGAAAGAAUGUCCUGGAAGGAGGCUGUCAGAGAGAUUGGGUAUGAAGACAUGUUAGGGCUCUGAUAGUGGAUGAUGAGAGCUUGAAACAAGGCAUUGGAAAGUACAGUGAAAGGAGUUUGUGAAGGACUGUGACAGUUGGGAGAACGCUAGAAGCCUUGUCGGAGCCCAGGGUUCCGGUUUUGGGGGGGGGGGCUGUCGUAUACAGCCAGUUGGAAGCAAGGUGACUAGUUGGUGACUCAGCAAGAUGAGGACUUUAAAAUCUGCAUUUCCUGAUAAGAUUGAGAAGGUUUAUGUUUGGGACUUAACCCGAAAUGGAACGAACAAUGAGAAUGAAAAGCGCCUUGGACCUUAUGCCAGUGCAGUGGCUAAGGAGGCUCAUCAAACAAACUUGGCAUUUUCGCGCUGUUCAGAGCCCUCCCCUGUGCUGUCAAACAGAGAUGAAAACUGAAUGAGACAGCCCUGAGUUCACACCACAUUUACCAUCCGUACCUCAUUUCCUGGGUGUGUGUCCAGAAUAGUCUCUGGUCAUGACAUCGGUUCAGCAGAGUCUAAGAAAAAUGUUGUGUGAUCUCUGGAAACACAUUCACCCUUUUAAAGGGCUUUGCAAAUGAUUUAGAUGUGUUUUCUCUUUUUCUCGCCCCUUUAAAAGUCAGUGGCAGCAGCUGGGCAUUCAGAGUGCCAUGUCGGUCUCACCUCCCAUCCGGGGGGAUAUUCCGAGCGUUAGCCAACAGCCUUGUUUGUUUUGCUUGGGCCAUUCUGAAACCAGCCUUUCGCUCUUGCUAUGUCUUUUCUUUUUGUUGUUUUAAAUGCUAACUGUUCAGUCAUGAAGACACUUACUUCAAACACAUUUACAGAACUAAUUGUGGAAGCCACAGAGAAUCCUUUGUUUGAGACAUUGUGGUCUACUCUGUCAAAUCACAGUAAGAAGGAAACCGGGAAGUCAAAUGAUCCGUCUGCAAAAUGUGGGUUUUUUUCCUAAGUGGAAUUUAAUAGGCUUGUCUUGCCCUUCUGUGAAGAGGGAAAUAAACUGAUUAUUAUGGUCUGAAUGUUUGUGUCCCUCCCCCAAAUCCAUAUGUUGAAGCCCUAACCCCCAAUGUCAUGGUAUUUGGAGGUGGGGCCCUUGGGAGGUAAUUAGAUUUGGGUGGCGUCAUGAAGGUGGGGCCACCAGUUGGGAUUAGUGCCCUUAAAAGAAGAGAAAGUGACUAUGCAUCUCUUUCUGCAUCAUGUGAAGACAGUGAGAAAACAGCCAUGUGCAAGCCAGGAGGAGAGUUCUUACCAGGAACUAAGUCACCUUGAUCUUGGAUUUCUCGGCCUCUAGAACUGAGAGAAAUAAAUGUCUGCUACUUAAGCCACCCAGUCUGUGAUAUUCUGUAAUAACAGCAUGAGUUAAGACACUAGUUUAAGGACAAAUUUAUCUAACUAGAAGAAUUGCUGUGUGUGUGUGUGUGUGUGUGUGUGUGUGUGUGUGUGUGUAGAAGGAGGGAGUAUGCAGAGAAAUGAGAAAUCAAGGACGCACACACCUGGAAUGACUUUAUAAAUGCCCCGUGUACUUAUACUGCUGGUCUUUCCAUGGGAACAUGACCCAGGACAAGCAAGCGUGCUGAGGAGGAAGUGGAUGAGCACAUCACCAUGACGACUCUUUUCAGAGCACCGAAGUCCAUGACCCAAAGCCGCCAUUUUGCCACAUGUAUAAAGUAUAUAAAGAGAACUUACCAAAGACUUUAUGCAGCUGAGUGAUGGUCCACGUCACUUGGUGAACGAAAACAAGGCCGACUGAAAGUGAGCUGGCCACCAAGUGCAUAGACAAUAUGAAAUUCAGCUGCUUGGUGACAAAAUAAAAUGUUAUCUAUCUGACAUUAAGUCUAUGUUGCAAAUACAUCCAUAUACAUGUAAGAGAUACAGAGGCAAGUGUAAACACAGGUGUAGGUAUUGGCAUAGGUAUAGUCAGAGAUAUACACAUAAGUAGAGAAGUAUAUAAGUGUAUAUAUACUUGUGUAUAUAUAUGUGUGUGUGUGUAUAUAUAUAUAUGUAUAUAUAUAUACACCAUGAUUCUCAGCAAAUAUUUUAUGCUUCACUAUAUUUUAAACUAUAUUUAGUGUUCAUGUGGUUCCUCAUAAACAUAAACACUUGACAAAGGAAGAUCUUUAAAAUUUCUUAUUGAUUCCAUCCAUUUUACAUGAAAGAUCUUCACUUCCUGAAGGUAACAGCUUUGUAAAGGUGUAGGAGACACAGAAUAAGAUGCAAAGGUUAGAGGCAAACCUCUUUCUCUGGCGUCAGUUUCUUGCAAAAGCGCCAAACGGUAAAAGGUAAAAGGGAAAGAAAGAUCCUUAGUGGUUGCCCCUGGUCUGAUAUGAUGUGCAGAUAGGAGUGACAUUGGCAGUUCUAGUGGUGAAGAGUGUGAACCUAGGGGCAGAGCACCUGAGGUCGAGUCCUACUUCAGUAACUCUACUACAGUAGGUACCUGGGAAAUUUGGUGAGAGUUUAGUGCCUCGGCUUCCAGAUUAAUCCAUGAAAAGCACCUCCCAUAAGAUAAGCACGAAGACAAGUGUUAGCUGCCAUUGCUGUUGAUAAUGGUAUCACCGUUACAGGAAUCAUUUGAGCUAAUAUGUAGCUGCAUUGGGGAUAUCUCAUCAUCCAUUUAUUAUCAAAAUACCAUUUGAUUCUGUAAUUUUCCUUAUAUCUGAUUCCAUUUUGCUACAUUUUAUUGGCUAUAAGUACAUCUACUUUUGCAAACAAUUAUAGCAGAUACCCAGAGUCCAUAUGUCGAGAUUAAAAAUGGGAAAUGUGAACCAGAUGGGCAAUAUUCUUAUGGCUGAGCUUGCUUCGUUUGACCUCAGGCAGGGGGUGGAAUUUAGGUGUUCCGUCUACACCUGACCCUCACAGAGCAUGCCCACAAAUGUUAGUGUGAAAAGCGGAAGACCUAGAAGUCGAACCUGUAGACCUUGCAGCAUCACUGAACUCUGGUCAACCUGACCUUUACUACCAGAACCUGAGGCACAUCAAAGAAAACCUAGCCACUUAUCCCCGGGGAGCCACUGCUGACUUCCUUGGGAGAGAGUCUGAACCACCAAGGCAGCCUCGAUCAGGGAGGAUGAACUCCCUGUGUCAGACCGCUCUAGUCAUUCCUAAGUCGCUUUCAGUGGGGGAGCCGGGGAGCAAGUAUGACCAGCACCUUGAGAAAUCCCAUGCCAAGUACUUGUAAAAUUUUAGAGCUAGAGGAUUUCUUUUUGGUCUCUCUAGGGAUUACGCCAAUGCUGGACAGUUUACUGUGCCAGGCAGCAAUUAGCUUUUGAGUUUAAAAUGCAUUUAAAUGGAACUUUCAGAAUUCCAAAAUUAGCUUGACAUCAUGCUUAGUGGUGAAAGACUGAAUUCUUUCCUUCUAAGAUCGGGAAGCAAAAAAUGAUGUCUGCUUGUGUCACUUCUAUACUAUACUGGAUGCUCUAGUCAAGGCAAUUAGGCAAGAAAAUGAAAUAAAAGUCAUCUGGAUUGAAAGGAAAUAGGAAAACAAUAUCCAUUUGCAAGUGACAUGCUGUUGUAUAUAGACUUGUAUACAGAAAAUGCUGGGCGCCUGGGGGGGCUCAGUCUGUGAAGUGCCCAACUUCGGUGUAGGUCAUGAUCUAAUGGCUUGUGAGUUGGGGCCUCGCGUCGGGCUCUGUGCUGACAGCUCAGAGCCUGGAGUCUGUUUUGGAUUCUGUGUCUCCCUCUCUCUCUGCCCUCCCCACUUGCUCUCUGUCUGUCUGUCUGUCUCUCAAAAAUGAAUAAAUAUUAAAAAAAAGUAUGAAAAGAAAAUGCUAAGGAAUCCACUGGAAAAAUAAUUAGAACUAAAAAAGUUAAGUAAGGUUUGAAGUUACAAAAUAAAGUUAAAAAUUAAAUAUAUCUCUAUACAGUAGCCAUAAACAAAACAUGAAAGAAAACAAGUUUACAUAUAGUAACAUCAAAGAGAAUAAAAUACUUAAGAGAUUUAACAAGAGAAAUGUAAAACUUUGAAUACUCCAACACAUUGUUGAAAGAAAUUAAAGAAGGCCUAAAUAAAUAGAAAGAUAUAUUCUUGGAUUGGAAGUUUCAAUAUUGUUUAGAUGGCAAUAGUAAGCAAAGUGAGCUACAAAUUCAACACAUUCCCUUUCAAAAUCACAGCCGGCUUCUUUGCAGAAAGUGACAAGUUGAUCUUAAAUUUCAUAUGGAAAUUCAAGGGACUCAUAAUAGUCCAACCUUGAAAAAGAACAAAGCCGGAGGAGUCACACUUCCCAAUUUCAAAAGUUACUGUAUUCAAAGUAGUGUGGCACUGGAAUAAAGAUAGAUGUGUAGAACAUCAGAAUAAGAUAUAGAAUCUAGAAAUAAAUUCCCACGUAUGGUAAAUUGAUUUUCAACAAGGGUUUCAAGACGACUCAAAGGAGAAAGAGUAAGAAUCACACAGAGAAAUUGGAUUUCAUCAAAAUUAAAAACCUUUGUGUUUUAAGAGACAAAAUCAAGAAACUGAAAAGACAACCCAUACAAUGGGAGAAAGUUUUGCAAAUUAUAUAUCCAAUAAGGGACUUGAAUCCACAAUACAUAUAUAGAGAAUUCCUACAACUCAAUUACAAAAAAGACAAAUAACACAAUUUAAAAAUGGACAAAAGAUCUGAAUAAACAGUUCUCCAAAAAAGAUAUACAAAUAACCGAGAAGCACCUGAAUAGAUGCUCAGUGUCAUUAGUCAAUAGGGAAAUGCAAAUCAAAUCCAAGAGAUACCAAUCUACAUGCCUUAGGAGGGCCAUAAUAAAAAAAAAAAAAAGACAAUAACAAGUGUUGGUGAAGAUGUGGAGAAAUUAGAACCCUAUACACUGCCUAUAGGAAUGUAAAAUGGUGCAGCUGUUUUGGAAAACAACCUGGAAGGUCCAGUUAAACAUAGGGUUACCAAAUGACCCGGCAAUUCCACUUCCAGAUGUAUACCCAAGAGAAAGAAAAACAUAUCUUCUCACAAAAACAGGUAAGUAUGUGUUAGCAGCAUUAUUCGUAUAUGUCCCUCAGCUGGCAAAUGGAUAAAUCAAAUGUUGUAUGUCCAAACAAUGCACCAUCAUUCAGUAAUAAAGAGAAAUGUAUGGAUACAUGCUACUACAGGGAUGAAACUUAAUGGUAUCAUUCUAAGUGAAAGAAGCCAGUUACAAAGGGAAAGAUACCGGAUAAUAUUGUGAAAUGCCCCAAAACGCAGAUUCGUAGAGACCGAAGGUAGAUUAGUGGUUGCCUGGAUUUGAAGGAGGGAAUUGGCCAGUAUUGAAUGGAGAGUAAGUGACUGCCAACAGUUAUGGCAUUUCUUUUUGGGGUGACAAAUGGUCGCAUAACUAUAAAUAUAUUAAAAAUCCUUAAACUGAAUGCUUUAAAUUGGUAAAUAAUUUGGGGUACCGUUUAUAUUUCAAUAAAGCCGCAAUUUAAAAAUUUUCCAAUAUUAGAUGAUACGUAUCUUUCAGUGUUAAUAGUAUCCAUCAAAAUUCUGAAACUGAUCAGGUGGCUCAUGUCUCAGCUAGAAAUACAUGUUGUCAUCAGAUGUACCUGGGGCAACAUCGUUUCCAUCUUGUAAGGGUUCACUAAUGGUAUAACUGAUACCACAGUAAAGGGAUUCGUUUGAAAGAGUGGCAUGUAAGGGACUGUAUACUCCCUGUAUGGGGAUUUUCAUAUUGGACAUCGGCUGUUCCUAAUUUGUCCUUGCACUGUAGUAUUGCCUUUAUUUUAAAAAAAAAUUUUUUUUUAUUAGUUUUCUUUAUUUUUGAGAGGCAGAGAGAGACAGAGCACGCAUGGGGGAGGGGCAGAGACGGAGGGGGAGACACAGAAUCCGAAGCAGGCUCCAGGCUCCGAGCUGUCAGCACAGAGCCCGACGUGGGGCCCGAACUCACAAACCGUGGGAUCAUGACCUGAGCCGAAGUCGGACACUCAACCGACUGAGCCACCCAGGCGCCCCUGUAGUAUUGCCUUUAAAUAGCACAGUGAAAUUUUGCACUAGGCAGUUAUACUAUUUACAAUGCCAAAUGUAUUGCAAAAACCUUGAUGGAUUGAUAGCCCUCAUGUUAGGAAGGAAAGUGAGCCUAACUGCACCCACCCCCUCACAUGGCCCAUAGAUCUACUUUUUUUAUAUUUCUAAUGUAAUUUAUUUAUUUUGUGAGGGAGAGCAGUGAGCAGAGGAGGGGCAGAGAGGGAAGGCGAGAGAGAGAAUCCCAAGCAGGCUCUGCACUGUCAGUGCAGAGCCCCAUGUGAGGCUUGAACUCACAAACCGUGAGAUCGUGACCUGAGCCAAAACCAAGGGUCGGGCGCUUAACCGACUGGAGCCACCCAGGUGCCCCCAAAUGGAACUGUUUUUAAGGUCAGGUUGUAAAGUAUUUAAUGUUGUACCCAAUUUAAGGAAGGAGUCGACUGCUCUAUUUUAAUUAAUACAGACUUGGAGGACAUUAGCAUAAGAGGCUGAAGGAAUUCUGUCCCUGGGCAUGUGCUUCCGAUUCCUUGGAGGGCAUGUGCUCAGAAGGCAGGCCAGGGCCAGCCAGAACAGGUGGGAGGUGGGGAGGGCAUGCCUUUCAUAAAACCAAAACCGGGUAAGGGAACGAUGGGGGGCAAGGGUCUCAAACUAUGUAUUUAGGUCCUAUUGGAAGAGAAGACUAUCUUUUACCUCCCUUUUCCCUCUUCUGUACAGAGAGCCUAGCACAGUGUCUCUGAGGUUUCUUACAUGUUGAACGGAUGUGAGAAGGUUUAAAUUCUUUCUAAAGACUUUUCAUAGCUCUCCUCUAGUAGGGCAGUCAGUUCUUACUCAUGUGUUUUCUUUUCCUUUUCUAUUAUAGACAGAGUCUGGUGAGCUCUUAGGAGACAGCCAUGGUGGUUUUUCUUAAAAACUGCUUUUAAGAAAAGUGAGUGGACUCAAACUUUAAAAAUGUGGCUGUGUGGUUCAACUCUACAAACAAACAAAAGUGAAAUCUUCAUUUUUUUUUUUUUAUUGGUUCGGAGGAAAAUAUUGCCAAGGGUGUUUUAAAAAUAGUUCUGGGGAAAUAUUUGGAGACAAGACUCUUCACUCAGUGUUUCAGCCUGACACGUUUCGUGAGAGCCCCACCUGUUUUUGUGAGUUUGGUAGUCAUUCCUUAAAAUGUAGAAGGGCUCGUUGGAAAUUCUGAAGGAUCGGUUGUUUUUCCACUAUUUAAUUUAUUUAAUACUAUUGGGGGCGGGAGAAACCCAUCAAAUAGCCACUCGGAGUCAAGGCUUAAAGCAGCAGCGUGAAAAACCUCCCCGGUAAGGACGGAGGACGGCGCACCCCGCAGAGGGAAGGACAGCAGCGUCCAGUCCUGAAGCCAGUCCUGGAGACCCGGCUGUGGGACUCUGAACUAAGAGACCAUUCUGUGUGCGACGCACACGGAGUCUGGUGCAGAAUAAAGCUUUGCUAAGCUCCGCCCAGAAGUGUGGUUGCCUUUGUCAUUUUAAUUGGUCUGUGUUUGUGAAGCGGGGCCUCUAUUUACUUGUAGCUUGGGGCUUGUGUUUACCAAGCCUGGUGGAGGCCAAGUGACGGGGCUCCUGCGAGCUCUCCCGCUGUAUCUUGAGGCACUUUUCUUUUCAGUAUCUGUGCCUGUCUAAUUCGUGAGCUUCUGUGAAGCAAGCACAGGAGGGUACAAGGCCUACAGGGAGGAAUUAUACCUAAUUACUCAAAUAAUUGCUAGGCUGUUGCCUUCUUAGUCACUGAAAAUAAUUUCCAGGUCCCUGGCUUUUAUAGAUAGUCUUCUAGAGGCAGGAGGACACAGCCCCCUUUUUAACGCAGCCCAUUCACUCACAAAAUCAGAACACUCGAGCCUGCAAAAUUAAUAAGCACCACUUCCAUUACAUAUAUUUUAGGUUGUUGUUGCCGUGGCGAUAAAGUCAGGGACAUUGAAUCUCCUCUGUUGAGCCAUUGUUAUCAUCCCUGGCCAUCUGCUGCAGAGGAGUGAUAUUCGGUCUCAUUUGCAUGAUGACUGAUAUAUGGGAGGUUUGGAAGGACAUAUGCCACAGCAAUCAUGUGAUGGAAAUUAAAGUGAAAGUUUUGGGCCCAGAGCCGAAAAAAAAUCUGUGUAUGCGCAUGAGGCUGUUGAUGUGCAAAUGUGAAUCAUAUUGAGAAGGUCUGAAUAGGGAGGUGUGACGUAAAGAGGGGACACAAACGGAGGUGCUUAUCUCUAAGCAGUCAAAGGCACUGGAUGUCAUAUCAUGGGAACUACCUUUCAAAGACACAGCUUUAGUGUUUCCGUUCAGCACACAAGGGAGGCGAGAAAUAUAAGUUUUGGAAACAAACAAAAAAGUAAGUUUAAAACUUUGGAGCCGCGUACUGUUUACGCUGACGUUUAAGGCACUCGGAAUUUUAGUAAGUUUUCAUGUCUUAAGUUGUAACGUUUAGUUUUGUUUCUGGGGGAAGAAAAGACACUACUAAAGGCUGAAGUUUAGGAGUGGUUGAUGGUUUUUCUGAUGUUUGUUUUUGAACUUCUCUGGUUUCUGCUGUGAUGUAUAUAUACUUGGUCAUUAUUUUAAAUGCUGUUUCUCUCUCUCUCCUUUUCUUUCUUUCCUUUUUUUUUUUUUUUUUUUUGGUAAAAAACGUUAUUGUAUCUGCUUUGAGAAGGAUUUCAGAAUAAAAUGCCAUGGUGCAAUUGCAUUUAUACUGCAUCAGUAACACUUUUGUUCAUAUACAUUUUUGAAAUGUGCAAAUUUGCAACAGAGAAUAUUUGAUAUGAAGUCAUACUUGCUACACUUUUUUCUUUGCGACAGAAAAAUUACCAGCAAGAUCCCACAUCUGACAUCUCACUAGAAUAGAGGAGAUCUUUGGCGGGGGGGAGGGGGGCUGUCAACACAAUAAUAUCAGUUAUUUCUAUAAAUGAAUAACCAACAUCAAAAGGAUGGUUUUGUUGUGAAAAGUCAAAAUUCUGGUAGUGGCUGCACAUAGGCAAAGAGUUUAUGGGAAGUCCCGAAGAAAUUUGAAUUGAUAAGUAUUGUAUUUAUAAUCUUGUCUUUAAAUGUUUCGAGAAAUGAAUAAGAACAGCCUCCUUAAAAAAUGAUACGGUUCAUUUUUUGAUAAAUGCAGAUGUCAGAAGACUCUUUAGAAAGUUAAAAAGUAAUAUUAGAAAAGGCUGAAAAAUGAGAAAGACUUAAUACUAGCCUUGAACAAAAUUUUACAGAAGGAUGAGUUCAGUGAAGUAAAAGGAGAGAGAAAAUAUACCCUGAUAAACAGGACUUUGCCUCAUAUUCCUUUCGUCCUAACAAGGCAUUUAUUAAUCGUGCUUGCUUUGAUACACGUGAAAAUAAUAGAAGUCUCGUAAAAGGGUGUAGUGAGCUUUUUUUUCAGUUUCAAGGAACAAAGCAGCUAAUAGCAAAGUAUGUAAAAUAACUUCUCCAGUAUUGAUUUUUGAAAAGAUAGAGGCUUCUCGUCAGGAAAAGUUAUAUCAAAUCUCAUCUUAGGCCAUAACUAGCACUACAACAUCCAGGAAACAAAAAAGAAAAACCAAUGGUGAACAAAUCUUGAAUACAGUUGUGUAUGCUAUUUUUAUGUUAGAAGAAAAGUAAAUGAGUUCCAGGGAAUAAUCAGGUUCAUAGUCUACAAUAAAACUGAAACUAGACUUUGUCUUCUUUUUUUUUUUCCUUUCAGCUAUCAUCUGCAUAUGAUCUUACUUUUAUGUAUGUAACCUAAGAUUACCAGUGAUCUUUUUUCUCCUUCUUCUAAAUAUUCAAUUAGUCAGUGGUGAUUAUGAUGUGGCCUUCUUGGCUUACUCCAAUAUUAGAUUAAUAUAGAUUUCUUGCCAAAUUAGCGGAAAUCACUGUUGCACAUAAGAGUGACUCACUCUUUUUUAGUUGUAUUCAUGUUAUAGAAGCAGCAUCGUUUUAAGCUUAAAAGCUUUUUUAUAUUUUAAAUCUGGAUAUACUGUACCUUGGAGAGCAUAAGGUGGUUGUAUUUAAAACGUUUCCACAGAACACAUUGGAACUUUUAUGAGAUUCUAAUUUAGUUAUGUUUAAAGGAAUCCUCUUUUUUUUUUUUUUUUUUUUUGAAAAGUGGUCGUUACUAUUCUGCUCUAACAUCCAUCAGUAAGAUUUAAAGUUUCCUGGUUCUUUUUGAAUUAGACAUUUGUAAGUGUAAAGAACUUGAAAAGGAAGAGAAAUGUUUGGAGCUGUCCAUGGUAGCAUGUCUUUAAAAAGUAAACAGUUCUAUAAAUUGCAUAUCUACAUACUCUGUGGAAUUGGCUUGAUUACCCUUUUUAAAGGUUGGAAUUAAAUUCUUAUUAGAUAAAUUAACCUGGUACACACAGUAGUUAGUUGCAGAAAAUGUAACUAUGGUACUCAUCACUAAAUUGCAAAACUUUAAACUUCCAUAAUGUUAAUCAGUGUUCCUGUCUACAGCUUUAGAGUGCUUAUGAGUAAACAAACAAAAAUCACAAUCUAUUAAAUAUAUAAUUCUUUAGGUUGACAUUAAUAUGAGAGCUCAGUGCAAAUAGUUUCCAUGGUAGUAGGGCAAUGUGAGCAAACAUCAAAAAAUGUAACUUGCAUGACUUUAUUGCUCUUGAAAUUAAUUCUUGUCCUUAUGUGACCUGCCAUGUCUGCUAUAGAAAUCUAAAAGAUCAUAAUUGUUUGAUAUGAAAUGCAAAAAGAAUAGUUAAAUUGAAAGUUUAACAUCAUGAAAUUCAAAAUCCCAAGCGGUAUAUAAACAUUAAAAGAAACUUUGGACUGCUAAUCCUAGGAAAUGAGUUUUAUGGAUUGAAUUCAACAAGGCUUCAGAAAUGGUUCCAUCUGCUGCCUAGCAGCUGGCGAAAGGAUAAAUUUAAUUCAUUAAUUCAUUUGGAAAAAAGGAUCCAAGUAGUAAAGACUUCAUUGCUCAUAAUGCAUAUAGGUGAAAACACAAACUGAAAGCUGGUCCAAUUGAUCAUCCUAGAUAAUGAGCUACAUUUUGUCUUCCCUUUUUUGGUAAAGGUCUUAGUGAUUGAGUCAAUACGGUGUUGAUUUUAUGACAAUAACCAAUCAUUUCCAAUCAUUUCAGUGAUAGAAAAAAACUCAGGGAAAUUUAAAGUCAGUCACAGUUUUUAAUGUAGGGGGUUGUAGGCAAUAGAAAUUAUGCAUUUCUGAUUUUGUGCACUGUAUACAUGGGUAGCAGUAUGUGUAUCUCUGUUUAAAAUAUAUGCACAUAUAUACCCUUAGUCAUAUACAUUCUGAAUCACUUCGAUGAACUACUUAUGUUAGGUGGCAUUCUCCCAUUUGUUGAAAUAAUCACAAUUCUUGGGUACUCAAGAUCAAUAUAAGUAAAGCAUAUUUUAGCUUCAAAAUUCAUAGUUACUCAAAAGUUGCAAGGUUCAAAAUAACAUUUGUUUUGUUUUCUUAUCCUUCUACACUUCAAAUUAUUUGCCUCGGUCUCUGUUUUCACUCACAUCCUGCAGAGGACUUCAAAAGAUACCAAGUUGUACAUGAAGUAGGCUUUUCUCAACUCCUCUGCUGUUAGGCACUUUGACAUGGAAAAAAGAUCUCGUUGGCUACAUUGCCCAGGACUUUUUAGUAUCUUUAUGUAAAAGUAAUGGAGGUUUAAUGCCCAGUUUCUUGAAUCAUUUCAAAGAAGUCAAUGUGAUGAGGCGUGGGAAAAGUUAAUGUUGAAUCCUCUUUAACUUAUGAUUGUAUUGGUGGAUUUUUUUUUUUUUUCCGUCUGCCAGCAUUUUAAUGAGAGUGAGGUUUCCCUUAGAAAUGUAUAGCUUGCCUCUCAGGCAAGGUAAAUGUUUCCUGGUUGCCAGUUAAUUGAUCCAUGAUAGAGAUAAGAACAUCCCUGGAAGGUAGGCGGCUGCAGCGGCCUGCAUACAUUUUAGCACUUCUUUUUGGAUGGUGAUUUCAUGAAUGGUUUUUGACUUUUCUUUCUCUGUGGCCCAUAGCUCACUGUGGUGGGUUUGUUGGAUUUACUAUAAAGAUUCUGUCUGCACCCUGUGGGUUGGGUUAAGAAUCAGGGUUUAUACAUUUACUUGUACUGUUGCAUUGUUUAUACAGCUUUGGUUUAGUUUUGAUCUUUUUUUUUUUUUUUUUUUGCCUUUGAGGCUCUUCCACAGUGUCAGCUGCUGACUGAUAGUAGGAAAACGGCCUCGUGGUGUGAAUGAAAGGGACCUAGCGGUUGGUAAACAGAGAUAAGGAAUAAAUAGAGCACAGGCAAAAGGAGAUAGUUCUGUGGGGGCCCAGAUUGCUGCCAGUCUGUUCAAGGGAGAUGCAGAGGCUGUCCUUUUCCCAGAUUAAAUUAGUGUGCGAAAUCUCCAGUGACCUCCUCCCCUUCUCCCCAUACUCUUUAGCCAAGCUGAACAGCCUCUGCUGUAAAGUAUUCAUUUUAUCCAGGGACAAGCUGGACAAUAGAACUCUCCCUGAUACUUAUGGACAGCUGUCCUCAUUCAUAGUGCUCUCAGUAUUUCAUUUUUCAUAGGAGUUAAAAGGGUUUUUACCUUGUAACUGAAAGAGGGCAUAAAUGCAACUUUGCCAGUUCUGAGGCUGCUGGGGCAGGGGGUGGGACGGAGGUGGGGGUGACUUUGGAGUGAGGAGAAGCUGCUAAGGAGAGCAAUUCUUUUUUGUUUUGCUAAUAUGAUUAUCCCAAGGCAGAAAUUACAUUCUAAAUCGGGGUUCCUCGCAAACAGAAAAUAUCUUUGAUUCUGAAAGUUUCCUAAAAUUAAGGUCACCAGUGCAAGCUAGAUAAUUCAUCUUCGCCUGCUCUACCCUUGUUUUGGCUAAAUAUGCAUGCGUUUUAUUACCUGCAAAUAACCACCCGUAAAUAGUAAGCCUGUAAGAUACCUCGGUAGUCCCAUAUAUUUUUUUCUUUUUUUUUUUAGUGAUUUACUGCAAAUAUAUUCAGCAUUUGACUGAUUAAAUAGACCUUCGGCAACCUUGAGGGUCACUGUGUAGAGUAUGUACAUAGAAAAUGCAUCAGCCCAUUGUACCCUGGCAGCUAAUGAGAUUGGUCGUUAAGUAAAUGACACAAAGCCUACAAAAAAAGCUUAGCAGCUCACUAGAGUAUCACAGAGUGUCCCUGCACACCACACAACGACACAAACACUGGACUAACCUAGCCCACCCCUGCUUUAUUCUACAUCACUGCUUCCCUGAUGUCAGCGUGAGAGGCAGAACAAAGGCUAGGAGGCACGGGUAAGUCAGUCUGGCAAUUAAGCCCUAGGGAGAAAGUAGAACAAAUCUGAGCCUAACCGUGGGGCUGAAAGUCCGGUUCUCGACAAGUAGGUCAGAAUGAAGGGAUUUUGCUAUCACUUCUGGAAAUGUUGCUUCAGUGAUCAAUGCUCUUGCGUUGUUGUUAUUGUUGUUUUGUUUUGCCGUUUCAUAAAAGUUUUUGAAUUUCAGAAGUAAAGUGUACCCCAGAAUGCAAGUGAACUUGAAUUUGGGAAGGUAGGCUGUUUGUGGGAGAGACGGUGCUUUCACAAAUGAUGACCAUUCAGGUGUGUGUGCAGGUUUGAAAAACUUUCAGAGGCAUCAGGCAACUUUGAUUUUAGUUAGUCCUACUGCUUUUAAAAGAUGAUGGAAACCUUGAGCAGGAAUGCGUGCAGUGAGGUUCAUUCUUGUCAACGUAAAAUCGUCCCAUCUGCUAAGGUAUAUUUAAUUUCAUUUGUGGGAUAACCAUUUCCUUGAUCAGUAUCUUAAAAAUCAAUCCAUCAAACGCAACAAAACAAGAAAAUAAAGGCGUCUCUGUUCUUCCUGUUUCCAUUCCUCUUGGAUCUGCAAAUAAAAUCAUUGCUGCGAAUCUGUAAUAUUGAAUAGGAUUAGUGGUUAUUUGCUUGCUGUACUUGGGAAAAAAAUCAGAGCUCUCUGACACUGAGCAGCAUUGACUUACUGUGUCCCUUGGAAAAAUGCAUUUGCAGUGUUGAAGUAUAACAUUGCAGGAUCCUUUGGAGAAAUAUGGCAACAGGAAGUUGCCAGAAAGUCUUAUUUGCCUUGCUGAAAUGUCUGUCUGCCUUAGACUUGUGUACUCAGAGGACGUUUAGUUCAAGAGAGGAUGAUAUUGUUACAAGACAUUCAGGUAAAUGAAAUAUUUUAUUCUGAGAACUGCCAGCUUAGCGGAUUGUCAGUGGCUUAAUAAACUCUGACAAUCUCACAGAAAACAUUUUAACAAGUAUUGUUAACAUAAGGGUGGUGUUUUUAAAAUGGAUGGAUUCAUAGUAUCAGUGUCAGGAUUGAAUUUUUAAAACCACUGUCAUUUAAUAUUAGAAUGGCAUGUCCUAAUCAUUUGUUCAUAAAUUAAAACUCUCCAUAUUAUGCAGAAAUCAGUUUGCUAACUGGCAUGACUUGCCCUGAAACAUUUUUAUUUACAUAAGAAUAUAGAGAUUUUAGGAUACAGAAUAAAUCACUUAUUAUUAAUAUUCACGAGAGAUUCAUGAUAGAGGUUUAUAAUAUGGUCUGGGUGACCAGAGGUCACAUACUUCUUCCUUUUUUUUUUUUGGUCUCAAAGUACUUUUCUUCUUCUAAAUGUGUUCCCAACAUUCACUCUAUUUAUAUAAUUCAUUUAAGACUGUGUAUAUAGUAUAUAGCCUAUAUUAUGUAUUACAAACUCUAUUAUUUUUCUAGUAACCAGAAUUGGGAAGGAAAUAAAUUUUGUGAACAGGUAUGACAGUGUCUUAGUAAUGCCAAGUAAAAUAUAUGUGGGGAAGACACACUACAAUUUUACUAAAUUAAGAUCUUUCUCACAAGUGAUCUCAUCAAUGUGGGAGAAAUCAUGGGAAAAGCAAGCUAUCUGACAAUGGCUACAAUUGCAACCUACCAAUUUUAGUUUCAAGUAGAGUUAUGCAGCUAAUUUCCUCUUCCAGGCAUUCUAGAUAUACCGGGGAUUUUUUUUCUGUUGUGAAGAUUUUGGAUUUGGGUCUCAGGUAUUACAAGAUAUUUUUCUGUACUUGCUAAUGUUCAUCAUAUUAAUACAGGAGUGAAUUGUUCCGAAAACACACAGUCCUUCUGGUUGGCUAUAAAUAUUUUUCCCCUGUCCUCACCAGUACAACAAAGGGUGGGAAAACUUGACUGAAGUCCGUGCAGUUGCCUCAGUGUGGACAGAACCGAGUGGAACUUUCACAGAAAGGUAGUUGCUAUCCCUCAACACAAAAUAGGGCUGUGUUGUAAUUAAGAUGAGAGGGCACAGAUCAUUACUUUGGCUGAUUUGAACUUGUUUCUCUAAGUAUUAUUCUUGAAUUUGAGAGAGUUUAAAAAAUUUCAACUAUGGAAAUACACCAAGAAAGUGGAUUUAUCUGCUUUAUAACUUUUUUCUUUAAAGAAAUUUAAGGAACUUAAUUUCUGUUGACAGAAGGAACUUUUAUUUAGAUCCACUUAUUUGACAAAUAAGUAUUACUAAAACUACGUGGUUCAAAGGAUUGUACUGGGUGCUGUGGGUGAUAUCGGAACCUCAUUCUCACACCUAAGGGUCUACGAUCUAGGAAGAACUAUAAAGCGUUUCCUAGAGAAGAAGCCACCAUAGGUGCCACAUGAGCGACACAAGCAACAAGAGAAUCUACGACAUCCCCUUCUCAAGUUCAUGUGUUUGAGACCUGGUUCCACAAUUUACUAAGUCUGUGGCUGUGAAUAAGUUAUUUAACUUUUCUGGGCCUUGGUUUCCUGGUCUGUUAGAUGGGGGGGCCAGGGUAGAUAAAUCUUGCCUUAUAACUCAUGUGAAAAUUAAAUAAGAUAAUGUAUCUAAAGUCCUUGGUAUAUGGUAGGUGUUCAAAAAGUGUUUGUUUUUUAACUUUCACUUGGAGUUUGAGACAAUAAUUGGGCAUCCCAGUAUCAUGUUAUAUACUCGCUAUACGUCCGCUUCCAUCAGUACAGAACUCUCUCAUGUUUUCCCUUCCAGAGCCUUAAAUGUUGUGAGAUUCCUUGAAGGAUUGUGAAAAUUCCAUUUUACAUGGCUGAGUGCCCAUAUCCAGUCUAAGGUAACAAGUUAAACAUACUAAGUGUAACAUUAAGUAUAUAUGAUUAAAUUGGCUUAUUGUGCAUACUUUUAUUAAUGGCAAUCAAAAGUAUACAUUAGAAUUUCAUGACAUUUCAACUUUAACUUUCUGUAAGCGGAAAUACUUAAUUUUAUCUAAUUUCAAAUGGCAUAUCUAUAAUUUAAGUAGUUAAUUAUAGCAAAGGUCUUCAGGUAAUAAGAUUAUUAGGUUUACCCCUCAUUUCUUUUUUUUUUUUUUUAAUUAGUAUCUUUAUUAUUUGCCCCUUUAGGAUUUAUUUCAUAAGGUUUUGGCUUAGGUGGUUUCUUUUAGUUGAUACUUUGGAUUUGGUUGAAAAAAAUUCCCUUUCCAAAGACAUUAUGAUUGAAAAAUAUUUUAGCACCUGCAUAAAGAAACUUGAAGAUAGUUUAUUGUCGAAUGUCUUAAAAUUCCAUUUCAAUGAACUCUUUUUUUUAAAUUUCUUUGUAAGUAUUUGAAUGUUGUGCUCUCAGGUUUUGCGUCAAACAUAUAAGCUUCUGGGCAAGAAUUACUACUUUUUCGGUUUAAUUCUCCAGACUGUGAUUGUAGGAAUAUCUGUUCUCAUAGGAUUCGACCUGCAACAUAUAAGGUGCAACUUUGAGAGAAUUUUGGAGCUAAGAGCUCAUAAAUCCUGUAUAUCCACAAGUAAAUUGGGUUGACCCACAAAACUGUCAAUGCCUUCAAAGUCUUAUUAGUAACUUAUUUAUACUAUUGAAUAGGGUUAUCUACAACAUAUAAUAGCUUUGUAGAUCAGAACAUUUUAAUUUAUUUGAUUUAUGUAGUGUAAAUACGAAGGGGCCAGAGCUAACUGCACAGAAUACACGUUCUCCAAAAACUCCCACAUAUUAUAUUUGUUGGUCUGUCAUAGUGAACUGCAUGUUAAUUGAUACACUAUUGAAGAGAUACACUUGGUAAUUCCAUGAAAAACAUUUACAGUAUAAUUUCAUUAAAAAAUGAGUAUACAGAUUUCUGUGAUACAUUUUUCCACUUUUUCCAAAAUUUAAAACUUUAAUUUCAUUUCCUAAAUUUUGGGUUUUUUCCCCAUGAAGGAGAAACAUGGCUAAAAGCCAGUAAACCUUGCCUUAUCUUUUUUUUCAAAGGUAUCACGUAUGUAUCCAGUUUCUGUAUGAGUGAAUUCAUGCUUGGCAUGAGACAAAACUUAGUUAUCGAUACUUAUAAUGUUAUGCAGAAAUGAAAUAGUUAAUUAUUUAGAUAGAAUAAGCAGUGUUUUCUUUCGUGGAAUGUAGAUUAAAGAGAACCAGAAAACAAAAAAUGAAAAAUUGUGUUAUUGAAAACCUAAUUUGUAAAGAAUGCCAUCAGCUAGAAAGAUGCAUCUACUGUUUGCUGUUUUGUUUCUAUGGUCUAUUUGGUAUGAAUUUGAAUGAAGGCAUUUACCUCUUUUAAAUUUUCUUCUUUCAAAUAUCAGACAAUGGUAGGAAUUAGUCGAAACAUUUCUAUUCUGGAGGGUGGAAAGGGGGUGAGAAGGAAAUGUGUUCAUGAAGAACAUGAAAUCAAGGAAAGAUUGAGGCUGACAAUAUGACUACUUUAGAAAGGGGGCAAAAAUUAGAGGAUGCAACCUAUUUUGUGCACAGCCCUUGAUCUUUUUGUGUGUGUGAAAGAUACCAGUGUCUACCAAAAGGGUUAAAGAAAAUGCAUUCUGUUGCAUCUGCUUACUAAAUCCCUUACUUUAGUAGAAAUUCAAAUUUUGUAAAGAUUAUUCGUUUUAUUGAUGCAUAUAAUUAUAAUCACAAGCCAUCUGCUGAUUUGGCAGGCAUGGUUAAAAUUCUCUAACUCUCAUAACCUUUCAAGUACAGUGCCCUUGGGACUCUAUUUCACUUUUAUAUUUUGGAAAACAUGUAGGGACAAAUAAGGGCGGUCAUCUGCAGAAUGUCAGACGUGAGGAAAUGAAAGGAUGGAGAUCGGGGUUGCUGUUGUGGUUAUUUUUAAUGGUAGAGGAAGUUAUUUUUCUCUUUUUUUCUUUUUUUGCUUCUGACUUCAUGAAGGAUUAUCCUAGAUUCUAUGAUGUAUUUGGGAAUUUUUUUUUUCCUAGGGAUUAAAGCUCUCUCAUUUUACUCCUGAAAGGCAGGUUCCAAGUCUAAACAAAACAAACAAAUAAAAAAAAAUCUUCCCAAAUGCUGCCUACAUUGGUUUUCACAGGUAAAUUAAGUAUAUUUCCCUUAGACUUUUUGAACUAAUGGAAUAUUCCAGCGGCUUUAUUUUUCUGAAAUACUCACAUUCAAUCGAAUAACCUUCCAGGCAUAGAUUUCAGAUUGUAAAACAGUGUGUGCGUGUUGAUGCCAACCUUUUAGCUUAAAGGUCAGAUUUUCAAAUAUUUUUUUUCUUUUUCUGCAUGAAAUUAUGUACUGACCGGAUUUCCCCUGGCAGGUAUCUUCGUGGGGCCCUUCCUUGCCACCAUAAACCUCUGAAGUUUGGUGAUGUUCCAUAGCUGAUUCGCUUACUUCCUUGGGAAUGUUUCUUCUGUAAUCAAACCAGGGGAUUCCAAGGGCCAGGAUUUGCAGAUUAGAGUUGAUAUAUAGGCCAUAUCACAGCAGACUACAAGUGAGCUGAGGGCAAUCUGAAAAAGCCAUAGGAUCCCAGGACUUGGCUUUGUCAAAUAACGGAAACGUGCGCAUAUACAUCCCCUGUUUCCCUCUCUCUCUCUCUCUCUCUCUCUCCCUCACUCACACACACACACACACACACACACACACACACACACGCACACGUGAAAUCAUUGACCCAAGAACUAUUCUUAGGGUUUGGCAAAUUAGAAAAAGAACUUUCGGUACAAACAUUAUGCAUAUGAAUUUUUUUUGUAACAAUGAUGAUACGUAUGACAAUAUGAACAAUAAUAUUUACCAGGUGCGUACACUGUGCCACCCAGUGUGUUAAGUUCCUUGUAGGUAUUAUAUAAAUCAAUACCCAUGGUAUUUCCACUCGUAUUCCCUUUUUGCUGGUGAGGCAACUGAAACCGAGAGACAUUUUAGACAUUUUUCCUUCGGUUACCAGUCUCCAAAUCUAUGCUCUUAAUCUGUUCCUAUGCUACAUGGUGUCUGGGCACAGAGUGGGGUGGAGGGGGGUGGAAGGGGCAGAAACAGUGUCAGCAACGUCGUAUCAAAUGACAGUGGGUCUCAAGUGUGCCUGGGUUGCACUCAUAGUUAAAUAUCAUUAAGUAGUCAAAUGAUUCUGACUUGACAAGUUGCUUCAUUUUCCUUAUUGAUAGCAUCUGUCAUAUUAAGAGUUAAUGCUGGGUAAACCCUAUGCUCCUUGUCAUUCCCCAAAUUCUAUAACUCUCUGAACUUUUUAUAAUGCAAACAUCCCAGCAGUUUGAAAGAUAAUUCAGAGACAGCCUAAGCCUUUAUUAUACCUCUCUAAGACAUCCAUAUUUAGCAUGCCAAUUAACCUUGGUUUCAGAAGUAGCCUGUGCUAAGAACCAUAUGAGCUGUAGCUCUGAUGCUAAACAUCAGAUCAAAAGUUAAACAUUUGGCCAAACAGCCAGAAAUCUUGCUCGCAGAAUCUGUGAGCAUCAACACAGAUACUUAGAAGCAUCUGAUAAUUGAAUUCUGCCUCUGAGUACUUUGGUGUCAAGCAGAAGACAUGUUUUGUUUUGUGUUGUUUUUUCUAUUUUAUAAUGAUAACAAUGACACGGUGCUAACCACCCUCUUGAGUACUUUCCAUCUAUGAAUUGUUUUAAUUCACACAACAACCACGAGCAGAGCAACAACCUAUAGGGUAGAGUGAAGGUCUGUCAACGGCCCCUUUUUACGGAUGAGAAGACUGUGCCACGAGGAGGCGGGGCAACCAGCCAGGGAAUCCGGGGCUAUAGGGUCAGGGCUCCCACUGACCCGAACAUACGUGGCCUCGGGUGUGACGUACCAACCUCUGUACAUUUGACCUCUGAGCCUUCUCUCUGUGGGUUGGUUAAGAUUUCUCUUUGCUUAAAAACUAUUUCAAAACAUAGAUUGCAGUUUGCAGAUAUGUUUAGACACCGUAAUAUUUAUUUUUGUAUUUUAGAUCUCGAGCAGUUACUGUCACAACACUCAAAUAGUUUCCUUCUAUUACUAUGGAAGAUUAUCGUCAAAGCAUUUUUACAUCCUUUGCAAAUACCAUGUUGAAAAUAUAAUACUAACUGAAAAGAGCCAACUUAAUAAGAUUUGACAAAAAUCCUUUAGAAGAGAAACUAUAUUUAAAAUCAUUUUAUUCUUGGGCGCCUGAGUGGCUCAGUCAGUUAAGCGUCCUACUCUUGAUGUUGGCACAGGUCAUGAUCUCACGGUUCUUGACAUCAAAUCCCAAGUAAGGCUCUACGAUAACAGUGCAGAGCCUGCUUGGGAUUCUGUGUCUCCCUCUCUUCCUCUCACCCUCUCUCCCUCUCUCCCUCUCUCCCUCUCUCCCUCUGCCCCUCUCCCGCUUGUGCUGUCUCUCUGUCUCAAAAUAAAUACACUUAAAAAAAUAAAAUAAAGUCAUUUUAUUCUUCUCAGAAUCUGGCAGAGAAGCUUUGAACAUGGUGAUAAUUGCACAAGUAAUUGUUGUAAGAAAGAAAGAAUGUAAGAAUAAAGACUUUUAGUCACAGCGGAACUCUUCCUAGGUAGAUAGCGUAUUAAGUUCACAAGAGAUUAAAAUAGUUUAUUCAUCUGGGUAUGAUUUUCAGAUAUUGUUUGCAUUUUACACGUACUAAAUUUUCCAAGAAAGCCAAGCACCAAGAAAUUGUGAACAGGUUACCUAGGCUUGUGUACCACUGUGGCCUGUGCAAAGGUAAAACAGGAUGUGGUCACAGGCAGUUCCACUCUGCCACUCAACCUUGAUGUAGGUGGGGCCAGGGCAUCUCAUCAGGUUUUGUCAAUUCUGUUUCUCCUCUGAAAGGUAACGUUAUGGCCUGAAGAACAGAAUGACCACCUUUGCUUCGCGGUAGCAUUAUUUCAAAGAGGCAUUUACAGAGCCUUGAAUUCAUCCAUUCAAAAUAUUUACUAAGAACCCACUAUGUUCCAGAAGCUGUGGAAAGCAGUGUAGACAGACAUAAACACUGUAAGAUCUCACACCAUAGUAGGUGACACAGCACAUUGCUAUUCAGAAUACAGUGGGACCUAUGCCAUGCAAGAGGCAAGCCCAGGACAUGAAUUUGAAAACUGGUCAAGAGUCAUAAAUGACAACCAUCUGGCUUGGAUUACAUAACCAAGAUAAGAGAUUCAGAAGGAAGAGGUUAUUUACAGGAAAAGAUGAUGUACACAUUGAGUACAGACAAACAGGCAUGAUGUUGAGUAUACAUUUGAUCAGUGGAUCAGAAAUUCAAGAGUGAGACAUGGGGUGGAGAGAUGGGCAUUUGGAUGUGGCUUCCAAGGAUAAUAUAGGGAGAAAAGGACCCAAAUUAGAAACCCCAGGGAAUAUCAGUAGAUAAUGGGAAAACAGGAGGAGAAUCCAUGAAGAAGGAACUUAGAGAAAGCUGAAGAAAUCCAGGAGUGACAAAACAAAGACGUGAACAGUUUCUUAAGGAAAGCAAUGACUUAAGACCACAGACUGAAAAUGCACGACAGGCUACUCCAAGUAGGAAGCCACUGGUGAUCUUAGAGAAGCUUCAGUGGAAUGAAGGGUUUGAAGCCAGAUGGCCAUGAAUUGCAUAGGGAAGGGAAGGUGACAACAAAAAGUCUCGAGGGAUUUGAAGAAGUUUGACUCUGAAGCACAGAGACAGCAAUAUAGAGAGGAGAAAUAUGUUUAUAUACUGAUGGAAAGGAACCAGAGGAGAGAAGAACACUCAAAAGUUUGAAGGUCUGGAAGGAAAACCAACUAGAUGAAGUAGGAAGCAAAUGUAACGGGGCUCCAUGGAGAACCUACCCUUAGAAGGAAGGAGAAAGCCUCUUCCUCUACAACUAGAGCAAAGUUAGGAGUGGAGACAGAAAUAUACUUGUAAGUGUAGAGGUAAGAGGCUAAGACCAUUCAGAGUUGAUAGCCUCAACAUUCCCUGUGAAAUCAGGCAACAAAUUCUAAAUCAUCUCUAUGUGAAAUGGUUUUGUAUGGCAAGUGCCUUGAACAUGGUACUUUGUAUUAUUACACUCACAUCCUAUUGUUAAAAACAAAAGGUUUUACCUGUUAUGUGUAAUUGAUACUGACACAGUAACACAGAAGACUAAUGGGAACCAGAAGAGCUGGGGACUUUCCUCUCGGAUUUGAACUGUUUUAACUUAGGAAGGGUGAAGGGGAAGUGGGGAGUGUCCUCUCCUCCUCCGUGAGGAGCAAGGAGUGAAAAGCAGGAGGAAGAGAUUGGCUUUUCUCCAGGCAGGACAGUGUCCAGCACGUUAGGGGCAAUGAAUUUGGAUCAUAGCAGGCAGCGGACCCAUUUCUGUGCUUAAUGUCUCUUCUUUUGGUACUUUUUUCCUUAUUUUAUCUGGGAGAUAGAACUUCCAACUGUUAGCUUUCUUACUUUUACCACCUCUGUCCCAGACAAGGUCCCGCUUUUCAUACCCGGAUGACGCUGUGGCCUAGAAACGGGUUUCCUUCCUUUCGCUUCUCUGCUCAAAGCCAUUCAAGGACAUCCUAUCACACUUAAAAUAAGGUGCAGAUUCCUCAUUCUAGUCUGCAUGGCUCCACCUGUUUUUAUAAAACAGCUUUAUUGAGAUACAAUCCACAUACCGUACAAUUUGCCCAUUUAAAGUGUAUGGUUCAACAGUCUUUAGUAUAUUCAGGGCUAUAUAUCCAUUGCCACGUUUUUCUUCCCCCAAAGAAACUCUACACCCUUUAGCCAUCACCUCCACCCCAGGGUCUAGGCGACUACUAAUCUACUUUAUGUAUCUGUAGCUAUGCCUAUUCUGAACAUUUCCCAUAAAUGGAAUCAUGCAGUAUGUGGUCUUUUUUUGUGACUGGCUCCUUUCUCUUAGCAUAAUGUUUUUCAAAGCCUCAUCUGUGUUUUAGCACAUAUGAGUACAUGAUUCCUUAUUACUGAUGAGUAAUACUCCCUUGACUGGAUAUACUUAGUUUUAUCCAUUCAGUAGUUUGUGGACAUUUGGGUUGUUUCUGCCUUUCCACGAUUAAGAAUAAUGUUGUUAUGAACAUUCCAGUACAGUUUUCUGUGGACAUAUGUUUUCAUUUCUCUUGGGUAUGUACCUAGGAGUUGAAUGGCUGGAUUGUAUAGUAACUCUAUGUUUAACCAUUUGAAGAACUGCCUGAUUGUUUUCCAAGGCGGCUGCAUUGGAAAACACCAUGCAGUAAAAUUACGUUUCCACCAACAGUUCUAUGGAGGUCUGAUUCCUGUACAUCCUCACCAACACUUGUUAUUGUCUGUCUUUUUCAUUAUAGUUAUCCUAGUGGGUAUAAUGUGGUAUCUCAUUGUGAUUUUGAUUUGCAUUUCCUUAGUGACUAAUAAUGUUGAACAUCUUUUCAUGUGCUUAUUUCCAUUUGUAUGUCUUUUUUGAAGACAUGUCUAUUCAAGUCCUUUGCCCAUUUCUUUUUUUUUUUAUUUUUAUUUUUUACCGUUUAUUUAUUAUUGAGAGACAGAGAGACACAGAGCGUGAGCAGGGGAGGGGUAGAGAGAGGGGGAGACACAGAAUCCUAAACAGGCUCCAGGCUCUGAGCUGUCAGCACAGAGCCCGACGCGGGGCCCAAACCCACAGACUAUGAGAUUAUGACCCGAACUGAAGUCAGAUGCCCAACCAACUGAGCCACCGAGGCGCCCUUUUUUAUUUUUAAUGUUUAUUUAUUUUUGAGAGACAGAGAGAGACAGAGUGUGAGCAGGGGAAGGGCAGAGAGAGAGGGAGACACAGAAUCCAAAGCAGGCUCCAGGCUCUGAGCUCUGAGCCAUCAGCACAGAGCCCGAUGCAGGGCUCGAACUCAUGAGCCAUGAGAUCGUGACCUGAGCUGAAGUCAGAUGCUCAGCUGACUGAGCCACCCAGGUGCCUCAUCCUUUGCACAUUUCUAACUGGGAACUUUGUCUUUCUAUUAUUUUUUUUACCCCCCCCAUCUUUCUAUUAUUGAAUUGCAAUUGUUCUUUAUAUAUUCUCAAUAAGAGGGCUCUGUUUUCACAGAGCACAUGGUUUUUCUGCUCUUUCUCAAAUGAAUAAAGAUUAUUCCUUCUUCAAUCUGAAAUACCCCCAACUUCCAGCUUGCAUUGUUUCCCAGUAGUGCAUAUCACUGCUUAGAUUGCUCUGUAUAUUUAUUGUUUCCUUGGCUUUUGGUUUGGCCUCCACACUGGAAUACAAUUUCUGCUGUCUAUCCCUGCUUCUCUGUCACCGACCUUGUGAUGAUGAGAGACUGUUGUGAUAAAAUACUUGCACCUUGGAGGUAGAAUUCAGUUCCCUGCACUGCUCCUCACUAGCUGUGCAACUCUGGGCAAGUACUUAACUUCUCUGUUUUAAUCAACUCAUUUGAAGUAUGAGAAUAAUAAGUAAUCCCUCAUCCAUAUCAUUGUUGUACAAAUUGAGUUAACAUCUAAUAUACAUAAAACAUUUAUAGCAGUAUCUAUCACAAAGAAAUAAUAGAAUUUAAAAAGUUGACAAGUAUUUUUGACUGAUACUUAAAAGAAUUUUCCUACUGUUUAAUAUCCAAAGAUUUAAUCAAUCUUAUCAACACAUGGCCUCACCAUGACCACACAGGGUUAUGAAUUGGGUACUACCUACCUGUGGGCUUUGCCUAAGGAGUGAGUUUGGGAUCAUGGAAUUUUGUAGAAUUUCUACGGUGUGCCUUGCCUUUUAUGUAUGAUUUAUCAUGGUAAUCCUCACAGCUCUAGAGGGAGGUUCUGUUAUCACAGCUUUUUAGAAGAUGAAGAACCUGAUGAUUAGGGAGGUUACAAAGUUCUGAGAUCUAGAACUAGCAGAUGUCAGAGUUAGGAUCCCAGCUCGUAUUGGUGUUAGUUCUGUGACAAAGCAUGGAACCUUCUAAAUCUGCCUUGGGCCAGGGCUCAGGAUCUCCUGUCAUUAACAAAUCAUUUCCAGGUCAUUUAUCACUGUCUUCCCUAUAUACUGGCUUUAUGAUUUUUUUUAAUGUUUAUUUAUUUUUGAGAGAGAGAGAGAGAGAGAGAGAGAGAGAGAACUAGCAGGGGAGGGGCAGAGAGAGAGAGAGGAAGCCACAGAAUCUGAAGCAGGCUCCAGGCUCUGAGCUGUCAGCACAGAGCCCAAUGUGGGGCUCAAGCUCAUGAACCUCAAGAUCACAACUGAGCCACCUGGGCACCCCAUGGCUUCGUGAUUUUUUAAGCCAUAUUUCAGUGUCUUUAUUAUUUUAACACUUAUUACUGAUUUUCUGAACAUUCUGUGGAGCCUAUAUCUAGUCUAAAUGUGGCACAAAACAUUCCUUGACUUCAUUCUAUCCUUGUAGGUCUUUCUACGCUUUGCUCAGAGAAACACAUAGUUGUCCAGCAUCAUGCUGCCUUCUUAGCCAGUGCUACAUAGCAGGAAUAAACACUGGCAUCAGACAUGCUUUUGAGUACUAGCUCUUACUGACAGUGUGACCUAGGUUUGCGCAGCUUCCGGGACUAACAAUGAUGUCAACCUCCCUAGGUUGUUGUGAGGUUUAGAUAAGAUAACAGAAACAGAAACUGCCUAGUCUGGUGCCUGAAUCAGUGCCGACGCACAAAUUAAUGGCAGCGAUAGCUGAAAGCCUCAUCUGGGUUUUGUUUUUACCUUUUCCCUCCUAAAUGUAUUUCACUCAAAGCAUCAUCUACUUCUUUCUGUCCUCACCACCUCCAGUAUUGUAAUUCGAGAUCAGUCUGCCUCAUAGAACAUUCAUUUAUAUUUUCAUGGUCAAUAUUAUGUUUCUUUCAUUAUCUUUUUAUUUUAUGGUUUUUAAGAACUGCUCUGUGUACUCUUUUUAGGCAUUUCUAAUGUGCUACUCUUGUAAUUUUGACAUGUGGUUCAACUGGCAGUGGCGUUUCUUAAAUUUCAAUACCCCCUUCCCUUUGUGUCGAAUCUCUAGUUUUGUGUGUUAAAGAUAUAGUAGUAUUACAUGUGCUUUUUGCCCAUUUUUUAAUUUGUCAGAUUAAUCUCAAUUUGGAAGCAAACUGUUUGUAAGAUUAUUGUUUUCUUCUUUUGAUGUUUAUUUAUUUUGAGAGGGGGUGUGUGCAUGAGCAGGGAGGCCAGAGAGAAGGACAAAGAGAAUCCCAAGCAAGGUGCAUGUCCAAUGCAGAGUCCAACGUGGGGCUUGAUCCUGUGACCAUGAGAUCAGGACCAGAGUUGGAUGCUUAACUGACUGAGCCACCCAGGUGCCCCUAAGAUCAUUAUUUUCUACUUCACUAGUCAUCAGAUACACCGUCAAUAAUUCAAUAAUCUACUUUAGAGCAUUGCAUCUAUUACUCUUAGCUAAUCUAAACGUGUGUUUUCACCAGCACAGCUUUUUGCUACACUGUAUGGCUAUUUUCGUGGCUCAUCUCUAAAUACUACAUUCAUUGUUUUACUAAAAUCCCUAUCACAGAGGCAGUGACUUAGUAUAGUUCCUGUUUUCUUAAUUAGUCCCCUGGUACUCAGUCAGCAUUCUUGUUGAGUAUCUUUUCUAUGAAGGGAAGCCAAAGGGAGGUUGUCCUUGCCCUGCAGGAGCGUCUUGUCUAGAGCAGAUGACGUACAUGUCAACAGUGACUCGUCCUGGUGGGCCAGGUGCUGUGAUAGGUGUAGGCGAAGCUUCCUAUGGGAACGCAGAGCCAGACCUGAAGCAGGAGGUCUUAACAAGAUGGAAGGAAACCCAUACAGGUUCCUCUGACAUAGAGCCUACGUUUCACGAGCACUCUUAUCAUUCGCGAUGACAACACAUUGUGUCUGUGAGGUCUCUAAAAGCAGGGAUCCCAUAGUUCUUCCAAGACACUUUCUUCCCGCACACGCUUUUUUGGGAAAAACGUAAGGCGGCCCGAAAAUAUGUAACCUGUUACCUCUGACAGCAAACUAAGGUCAGAUUCCCUCACUAGUCUGCCACAGCUAAUGAAACACUGUAAUAGGGAGAAACCGAUUGGCCAAUGAAAACCAACAAAAAUAACAGACUGGAAUUGGAUAAGCAUAGGACAAAAUGCCUGCUGUGAACUGUACUAACCUCUGAUUAAUCACAGGAGGCAACUAUAAAACCAGAUGUUCAAAUGACCAAAGGCACGUAUUUAGUCGGAUUCAUUGUAACCCUUAAAAACCAUCCAAGGAGAAAGACCCGUUAGGAGCUUGAUAGUCACAUGCAGGUUCAGCCCAUGACAACAGUGUGUAUUUUCAUUCUAAAUGGGUAUGAUUGUGAGUGCUUUACUCCAACUAUACAUGCUGCUGUUUGUGCUUUUGGAGGAGAGUUCUCAUCAGAGCCAUCAGGUGAUUCCCCCAUGUUACCAAGAAAUAAAUUCAACACCCACAUCUCCUCAAAGAUUUUCAUUUUAUUGCCUCUCUGAUUUGUACAAUGGUUAUAUCUGUUCUAUUAGUGUGGCACACACCAUAUAUCCCUCUCUACUCACCUGUUGAUGUAAAGCUCUACCUGUUGAUGUAAAUGUUUUCCCUCUCAUCUCCAGGAAGGUUUGAGUAAAUAAGUUAAUGAACUUAUUAAAUAAUACCGUUCUAUAUCAAGAGGGUUGGUUACACUGAUAUUAAUCCAAUUCCUUAUUUGUGACAUUAUCAUUUUCUUGCAUUUAGAUGAGAUUGAUACUUUUAUUUAUUUAUUUAUUUAUUUAUUUAUUUAUUUAUUUAUUUAUGUUUAUUUACUUUUGAGAGACAGAGACAGAGACAGAGACAGAGACAGAGACAGAGAUAGAGCACGAGCACGAGAGGGGCAGAGAGAAAAGGAGACACAAAAUCCAAAGCAGGCUCCAGGCUCUGAGCUGUCAGCACAGAGCCCCAUGAGGGGCUCGGACCGUGAUAACAUGACCUGAGCCAAAGUCAGAUGGUCAACUGACUGAGCCACCCAGGAGCUCCGAGAUUGAUACUUUUAAAGUAGCUUCGUUAAAAAAAAAACACAAACAUCAGUGAGAUAGCAAACCCCAAUGAGUGAUGGCAAGGAUUCAGAAGGGGCAUUGAUUCUUUUUAAAAUCUUUCUCCUGUGCUUACUGAUAUUUCUUACAUUGUGCCAUUGUCUCCCAGCUUUACCGGAGUAUAAUUUAAUAAGUUCAUGUUUCAGGAUACUGAGUAGUUUUUCCUGGCCUGAAUAAAUCAAUGCGGAAGCAUCUAACUUCUGCUCAGUGAGAAACUUGGGGUUUGGGCGACUCACCCUUCUCUCUUUACUAAAUCACAUUCAGCAAUGUUUCGUUCCAUAAUUUACCUUAUUAUCAACUGGUUGUAUUCUCCUCUUCCUGAAACACGUAUUUUUAUGAAUGAUGUUGCAAAAUGCCCUUUUAAGAGCUUUAUCACUGAGAUAUUUACAUGAACAGAAAUGCAAAUGUAUUUUUAGUAUUAGACUAAAAGGUUUUUUUUUAUCUUUCAAGAUUUCAGGAUAGUGUGUUCCUCAAAAUAGCAAUGAUCGAAAAAGAACACUUCACAUGGUGUAUAUAAGAAACUUGUUGUACCCGUUAGAAAUUGCCAGAAUUUACUAAGGCUGGUAAAACGUUGAAGUCUCAAAGAAAUUUGCAUCAUUGCUUGACAUUAAAAUUUGUUUUUACGAUAUAAUUUUUGAUUAAUUCAUUCUCAUAUUUUAUUUGCUUUUGGCAAGUUUAAAUAUUGUGCAGUCUUAGACUCAUAAUCUGUGAGCUUACAUUUGAUAAUGGCACCUGUAAUGAAGAAGUACUUAAUUGCUGUUUCUUUCUUGACAUGAAUGGCUUCCUCUGAAGGGAAGAUCACGUUCAAUAAGCUAUAAAGUGGUUCUCAGAACGUGUUUCAGAACAUUCACGUUUUCUCUGUUUCUUCCUAUCAUAAACUAUUAAGAACAGAGCAAGUAAACAUCUCUAGAAUAGAGUGGAAGUGCUUCUGUUCCGUGUAGAGUAUUUUGCCUUUGGGGAUUACGAUUCUUCAGUGCAUUUAAUAGUGACUGUCUAAGGCAGUGCUUCUCAACAUGUGAUUGACAAACCAUCAACACCUGCAUCAUCUGGGAACUUGUUAGAAACGUAUAUUCUCAGGCCCCGCUCGAGUACUGAAUCGGUAGCCUGUGCUUUAACAAGCCCUCCAGGUGAUUCUGACACCGGCUGAAGUUUAAGAACCGCUGCUGUGACACUCCACUAUUCAAAGUGCAGUCCUGGAAGCACCUGGACCCUCAUUAGAAAUGCAGGACAUCAGGGUGUCAGAAUCAGGACCCGCAUUUUAACAAGGUGUCCAGGUGAUCCUUAUGCAUAUUAAAAUCUGACAGCCACUGAUCUAAGGGUUAAAGCAGGAAACUUACCAGUGGGAGCGUGUCCUCUAUUCUGAGGCAUUUUGGAGGCUGUCAAAAUGGACCUCAAUAGAUACUUUACGUUUUGUGUUGCCUCUCAGUUCCCUCUGGAAUUAAAAAGGGGGAAGAGAUGUGUGAGCCGCUUGGCUACGAUGUUCAAAAAUACAUAAAGGCACACUGUGUCUACAUUAUGAGAUGGAGGACAGAACCAUUAUCUGGGUAGCAGAGCUAUUAUCUGUGUGAUAAAUCAUAUGUGUGUAUAAAUGUAUGUACAUGCACACAUGCCUGUAUACAUAUCACGCGAUGACCUAGAAAUAUUAGGUGAAGGCCUAGUUUUCAGGUCUAAAGUUCUCUGAAAAUUCAAUUUUCUCAUUCACUUUUGAUGUGCAGAUAAAUCUGUGUUUUCUGUCCUUUUGUUUUUGUUUCACGUCUUUUUAUCUUAGAUUACCUUCGACCUUCUAGGAAUCUUUUUAGAAAGUCUUUUUACCAGUCAAGGAAGUUGCGAACUUUCAAGGCUCCGUCUCAUCCCCAUAGGGUCAUUGUCACGAUGCUAGGGAAUAUCCGUGAGACAAAACUACGCGUGGGGGUGACGAAGUUUGCCUCUUUCCAAGGAUCUGGCCUUUUACACAGACCGCUGGUGAAUCCAGUGGCCUGGGAGGACAAGAAUAGUGGACCCAGAAAAAUCUUACUUGUAAAACAAUGUCUUUAGCGUGGAAAACGCAUGAAAAUUAAAGGAGUAAAAAAAAAAAAUCCUUUGAAGUCUUUGCACAACAAACACCCCCAUAUGUAAAUAGGACUGUCACUCGGUGUUUGUCCACAACUAGAGCUCCAGAUGAACCAGUGUAGUGCGCGGUGACAGGAACAGCUGACUCAUUAGCAGAGAGCAGUGAAAGGUAAUUAACCCUGGGAAAAGUACAGCUGCCGUGCGGGCUGUUCCUUUCUGUAGGAUCUGAUUAGAAAUUAGUGUUAAACCACUGAUUCUUUUUUUUUUAAAGACUUUCACUCUCAGGUGUGUCCCUAGAAAAGGUUCUCAAAUGUAUUUAUAUACAAAAGAGCUCAAACCUAAAAAGCAUUUUCUGAAAACAGCAGACACCUGUUUUUCUUGUCGAGAGGGAGUUCUUUUGAAUGAAUACUAUGUUUGAUGAUUCAAGAUUGGUAGUAUCCCCACCCAUACUCUAAUAGUCAGUAUGUAAAUCACUCAAAAGGAUUGUUUUAUAUAGUUAAUAAGCUGUAGAUAAUUGCCAUUUAAUUAAGUUUUCUCUCUCUUUUUUUCUCUUUCCAUUUUUCCUCCGUCGACGCUUCUCAUCACUAGCAAUGGAAACUCUCCAGUUCAAAUCCAAUGAAUAUUAGGGAAGGUAAGUGAAGACUAUUUAAAAAUAAACUUUGCCCUCAAAGAGAAGAGAUUCCCAACUUUUCACCAGCCUUCAAAAACUUGAGAAAUUCAGGAACUUCAUUUUAGCGGACAACCAAAGAUACUCCGUUUUGCUAAUGUUGGUAUCAUCAUGGUAAUUUGUGUUAUAUUCAUUUUUUUUUUUUUGAGGGUGCAUACACUUACUCAUCCUGAUUGUGACUUCGCAUGGCUCAUAUGAAGAGCAUUAAAUCUUUAACACAGUCAGAAUUCACGUAUGUAGCUAAAAAACGUGGUAGACAGAAUAAUGCCCCCCCCUCCCCCCGCCCACAAAAGAUGUCUGUGUCCCGGUUCCUGAACCCUGUGGAUACGUUACGUUAUGUGGUAGGAGGAGGGUGACGAAAUGAAGAAUUUAACGAUGGCGGGAUUAUGCUGAAUUAUCCAGGUAGGCCCAAUUAAUCAUAUGUUCCAUAAGAGAAGGGUAGGGGAAUGAGUCAGGGAGAUGCCACAUAAGAAAAACUCAACUCAACCCACCAAUGCUGGCUUUGGAGACAGAGGAACACAGCCAUGAGCCAAGGAAUUCAGCCACCUCUAGAAGCUGAAAACGGAACGGCUCUCAGUUUACAGCCAGCAAGGAAACAGGGACCUCAGUCCUGUAACAGCAAGGAACUGGAGUCUGCCAACCGCCCAAAUGAGCAAGGAAAUGAAUUUUUUCCUGCAGCCUCCAGAAAGGAGUGCAGCCUGAUUUGAUUUGAGCCUAGUGAGACUGUACCAGACGGUGGGCCUGCAGAGCUGUAAGAGGACAUACCUGCAUUGUUUUAGGUCCAUAGGGUUUUAGAAAUUUGUUACAGCAGCAAUAGAAAACUAAUACAGAAGAGAAGCCAACCGAGAGAUGGGAUGUAUUUUACAGCCGGCAAUAUAAAUCCCGUGAAGAAUUUGCUGUGUGUGAAUGGAGAGGAGAAAGAUCCCUCAAGAGGCUAAGACAGGUGGUCUUUAGGAACUGGAAUAUUCAUUUCGUAGAUCCUAAUGACGGUUGCCAUCAACUCUAAGAUUUCUGUCUUCUGCUUUGCAACCCUCCUCCCCGCCAUAGACACACACAAAAAGUCUUCACAUGAUACUUUUGUAAAACACGGUGCCUGUAUCAUUCAAAGUGCCAAUGAGUGCCUAGCUUCGUUGGAAUGGUCAGUGAGUCUGUGUUUAACUGAACAAAGGCAAAAGGAGUGGAAAGUCGGGGGACGGAAGGCCAGGUCCCUGCUGCAGAAGGAAAGCUGACUUGACAGUCCCUAAGUAGGCUGAGCCUAGUGCUUAGCAGGAGAUGGUGAUCAUGGGGAGCCUGGUUCUACCCCCGGCUACCUGUGUGAGCACCGCUGGGUAGGGCAGCGCGUUCACCUGGUUUCCUUACGUCACGUGUAAAAUGGACAACACCGCCUCAGAGGCGCAUGGUGCCGACUAAGGAAGAGGGCGAGUGAGUACUUACCCUAGUGCCUGUCACGUGAUAAGAGUUCAGGGAGGGUGAGCUAAAUUUAUUUAGAAACACCGUGUCACUUUACUAUUUUGAUUAAAAAAAAAAAAGUAGAUGGGGCGCCUGGGUGGCUCAGUCGGUUGAGCGUCCCACUUCUGCUCAGGUCAUGAUCUCGCAAUUUGUGUGUUCGAGCCCCGCGUCGGACUCUGUGCUGACAGCUCAGAGCCUGGAGCCUGCUUUGGAUUCUGUCUCUCCCUCUCUCUCUCUGCCCCUCCCCUGCUCAUGCUCUGCCUGUCUCUGUCUCUCAACAAUAAACAUUAAAAAAAUUUUUUUUUUUUUAAAGUAGAUUACUUUUGUCUUUCCUCAUGGCUAAUGCCAUUUUCUCUCCAACACACAAGUGAUCAGGUUGGAGUGUAUGGGGAGACGUUGCUUCAAAUAAAAUGUUUGAGCGCUUAAUAGUCAGGUUUUUCUGUCACAUGGUGAAUAAGAAAAGUGAGGAAUAAAAAACGGAAACUGGAAAUAGUUUACAAAAAUUAGAGAUCUUCCUACAUUGUUUUCUUGACAAAUUUGGAAAAAUAAGACUAUCUUCUAAUUUUACCUUUGCUUUUAUUCCCAUAAGAGGGUCAAUUUAAAUCACAAACUAUCGGGGCGCCUGGGUGGCGCAGUCGGUUAAGCGUCCGACUUCAGCCAGGUCACGAUCUCGCGGUCCGUGAGUUCGAGCCCCGCGUCGGGCUCUGGGCUGAUGGCUCAGAGCCUGGAGCCUGUUUCCGAUUCUGUGUUUCCCUCUCUCUCUGCCCCUCCCCCGUUUAUGCUCUGUCUCUCUCUGUCCCAAAAAUAAAUAAACGUUGAAAAAAAAAAUUUUAAAUCACAAACUAUAACUUUUCAUAUAAAUCAGAUAAAAGUAGACAUUGGGGAAACCUGACCAUAAAUUCUGUUACAUUUCGUGCCUGCUCUUGUUUGAAUUUUUCGGGAGCUGACAUUUUCAACAUGAGGGAAGACAAAAUUAUAAAAUCUCCUUAGCUGGGAGAGCAAUCAGAAAAAAUCUAGAGAGUUCCGGAUGCUUUGUGUCUGGGAUGUUUUGUAUUCAAAUACAAUUAAUGAAGUAUUAUCUCAAGCAUCUGAAGAAUAUUCUUUUUGAUUUAACUCAGUAAUCGUCUACUGAGUACCUACACCGGCCGCAGCAUUAUGUCGCAAUGAAAGGUCAACAGGACACAGCCUCUCGCUUCCAUGAGCUUAUACUGACGCAGAGAAGGUCAAAGGGACAUGAGUGAGAUAAUAUUAGACCCAACGGACAAAUCGAGAUGAAGGUGCCAUCAAAACACUGUUGGGAUGCAGAAUUCUGUGAGAUGCUGUCACUCGAUCCACUACACGAGCGACAAAUCCCUUUUUUGCAGACAGAUUUUAUAGUUCUGACACUAAAGGGGACAGUUCCUUUGAAAGUUACAGGUGAAAUGAACAGAUUCUAAACAUUUAAUUGUAGCUAUUUGAUUUUGACCGUUUAGUCUUCUUUGACCCUUGUGUAACUAUAUAAAGUUAUGGCUGUAAUACAUUGUUUAGCCAGGCCAAGUACAAUGUCAACUAUUUGUAUCUUUUCAAUUGGCCUUUGGGGACAUUUAUUUAUUUUAGUCAAAGUUCUCUGAAUCUCUCUAGGGAUGAAUUCUUCAGGAAACAUCAUUUUCGAGAAGCUUAUCCAGUUUGGUCCCAUUGUGCCCUCUGCCUCCCUCCAUAAUCAUGCUUGCCACAUCUCACUGGAAUCCUCAAUUUGCUUGUUUGUACUCGUGAGGACAAGAGUUGUGCUUUAUCUGUCUCUUCAUGCUGACUGUUGCGUAUGGGGCAAUCCAUCGGUUGGUGCUCAAGAAUUGUGUAUUCAGCCAAUAAUAAGUAAAUUUUUCCAGGAGAAAUAUACUUAUAUUAAAAGAAUCUGUAUUAAAUUAAACACUGCACUGAGAAUAAGAUCCAAGGAUCAUUCUUCAAAAAUCCAGUGCCCCACAGGCCUCAACAAUUGAGGGUCAUGUCACUUGCUCUGUAGAUUUCAGUAGAUUUUCCCAUUCCAUAUUUCAUAGUCAGAUAAUAAAGAUAAAUGACUCUAUCCUUUUCAUUUAAAUGUACAGAAUGUGGUGAAGAUAUUAGUGAUAGUUACUGUUGGGAAAAACAGCAGACUUGUGGGGAAAAAUUCUUUAAAGGUCUCUUAAAAAAUGGAUCAGGAAAAUGGAACAUGUCUAAGCAUUAUUCUAGAGCAUAGUGUAUAGCAAUCUAUGUAAUCAAAUAGAUUAAGUAGAGAAAAUUCCCUUUCCAUAACAUAAAGGGAAUUUUUGAAUCAACAAGUGCCCUUUGAACUUUAUUAAAAAUGUUUUGACCUUGUAAGGUUGUUUAGUGUGGACUCACCCAAAAUAGCACCUUUAGUUGCAACACAAGCCUUGAAGUUAAGUGGUUAGUUUAAUAAAACAGAGUUUCCGUAGUUACCACAGGAGAACAGAGGAUAACUUUUAUUUCUUUGGCAGUCAGGAAGGAGCUUUAGAAAAAAGAUUAAGCAAACAGAUCCAAGCAGGUUCAUUAUGUGGGGUUCACACCUGAUUGGCUUUUUGAAAGAGGAAACUCUUGAUGUAACAGGAAAUUAAAGUUUUUGCCACUAAAAUUAAGAAAUGUGAACACCCCCUUUGGGCAUUUGCAACUUGAUUUUGAGUCAGAAGGAAAGCUAGUUUAAGAAGAUAUCUCCAAAAGGUAGUUUAAGAAGAUAUCUCCAUAUCAUCAUCCAGAUAAGAGAUGCAGUUUUGCUCACAGCAUUACAUUAAUAAACCAUGCCGCAAACAAGUGGUUAAAAAAGCCCCUCUAGAAGACAGCGAUGCCUUGUUCUACAUGACAGAUCAGACAACCGUGGGGCGAACAUUUUGUUGAAAGGCCCGAUGGAGGGCAGGUGGACGUCCAUGCUGGCGAAGAUGCCUCCCUUGCCAGCUUCAUUGUUUUCUCAGCUUCGCCUUGAGAUGCGCUGUCUCCUAGAGCUAACGGAGGUCGCUUUCCGUGUUGUCCUCUGCUGUGUCUCAGCCGAGGAGUUCUUCCCGGUUGACUGUUGAGAAACAAAAUGAUGUGGUUCCACGGAUCUCACCUUCAGCUCCUGAGCCUUUAAAGCAGCAGUGAUUAACAGGACUUUUACAAAGUUUCUGUGUAGUUACAAGGACAGUUUCAAUCUUCUGUCAUUUUUUUGCAUUAGCUAUGAUUAUGCUUUUACCACAAAAAUGCAUUUGUUUUAAAGGUAACAAUACAGACUAGGAGAAUAGCUUAUGUUUCAUCUAUAUUUAUCAGCACUCACUGUACAUUUGUGUCUUCAUUACCAGGAAAUAUUAAGGGACAUUGUGCCAUCUAUUCCUGUUUACAGUUUAUUAUGCAGAGAUAGGAAACACUUAGCAUGUAAAAUGAAUGUAGAAAUUAUUCCUGGAUAGAAACACGGACAUUUCCCACUCGUUGGCUCUUUCUCCUCCAUCACCGGAUCAGAGUGUAAUUGUCAGUAAUCAGGCCUGCUUGCUGCUGAUAAAACCACUCUGAAUGCUAGCAGCCUUCUUUGUGUGAUGACUCAAUUAUUCCAGAAGUGCCUCAUCAAAUCUGCCCCAUCAGCUGGGCUAAUAAAUAAGGAGAAGAAACUGGCCCCCCAAAGCAAAUUAUAAAUCCAUUUGCAUUAACCAUUUCGCUGGUCCAUGAUCUAGGCAGAAAUAAGCAUGGCACAUUGUGUUAAGCUUAUUUGAAUAUGUUUAUAAUGUUUACAGCAUGCAACUUUUUUUUUCCCACAAGGUGUUGGAAUUAUCAGUCAUGAAUGGCAUCUGAAUGCAGUUAUGUUAAUUGCAGCAAGGCUUUAAGUAUCUUCGAGGGCUAUUUUGUUACUUAAAUCAGGUGAAAGUGAAAUCUUCCUGCAGGGAGAAAUAUGGGUGUUGCACAAGUUAUUGGCAUUGCUUUCCAGUUUAAGGAGAAAAGGCUUGUGUUUAAUUUUUGCAGGUACUGGAAGGACAAAUACAAAUACUGUAAUGACUGCUGGUACAAGUACAAUUACUUUAUAUCUAUCACAGUGGAAACCAGAAGUGAUUUUGAUGCUCUGUAUGACUUCAGCAAUUUGCAAAGCAAAAAUUGCAUUUUCUGGGAGGAGAUCAGAGUUGCCAUAGCACUCCUUGGACUUAAAAUUCCUUGAAAGAUUCUAGAGGGCGGAGAUAUCAAAAAGCCAGGCAAACCAGUAAAAAUCAGUUAAAUCCACGCAUGGAAAUGUUGUACAUUGACAGAUCUUAUUUUUAUUCUUUUAAAAUGACAAACUACGCUGAGUGACGGGAAGGCUUUUUUAUAGUUGAACUUCAGUAAUCCGUCAGGGAAGGAAAAAAUGUUCAAAAUGGAUCACGAAAGGCAAUUUGGUUGCUAAUAUCAAAGAAUUAGUCUUGCUGAAGACGUAAGGAUUUAAAAUCCAGACGUUCUCCCUAAAAGUGAGUGAUACCGUUGACCCACUUUGGAGUAGGGGCUGGUCCCUCUGCAGAGUAGCUCCCCCUUUGCUGAAGCUCUUUCCACCACCCCCACUAUCAUCAGGAGCUGAAUAGGGGUUGAUGGUAAAAGGAAAGCUGGUGGCCAGUGAACAGUGUUUAUCUUUGCCUAAAACAACUUAGACGAAACUCACUGCCCCUCUUCAUUUGCUCCAGCCAGCGAAGCAUAUCCUCUAAUCUCAACCUAGAGAGCUAAACAGAAAGAAGUCGCCUUUGAUGGCGUGAAUAUACGGUGGCGAUAGGCUGACAUAGUUUUUGGGUAUUGAUUUGGAAAUAUAUAAUCUGUGACUAUGAUGGAAAAGCCAGUUGUAUAGCUCAUUGGUUAGACAUUCCAAAAUAAGGGCUUUGGAGUUUCAUUAGAUAUUUAAUGAAGCUACACGGCGAAUGGGAAAACAAGGAAUUUGUCUAGGGAACUAUAUCAUUCAGAUUUCUACAGAAUUUGACGCUAAGUUAAAUUAUCAUGCUGAUUCAUAUAAACAUACACCUGGAAACUUAGGACUGUGAAAAGUAUUUGCCUUAGGGUUCAAAAAAAAUGAACUGAGCCAGGAUACCCUCCCUCCCCGCCCCCCCCCCCCCCCCCCCCCCCCACUUUCUUCUCAUCAUUCCCCCUAAUGAACAAUCGGUAAAGACUUGAUCUUUGAAAAGCGAUUUAGGAGAUUAAAGCUAUUAGAAGUUGUGCAGACACGGCCUCAAAUAAUGGCCGUGCUGAGGUGAAUAUGCUGGCAUCCUUCUGGUUUUAUUUUACUCCUGGAGAGACUUAAGAGUGGUCUGUCUCUGCAGCUUAUAUUAACAUUCCAAACUUCCGAGAGGACCCGGCCGUGCGUUUCCAUCCCGAGUGAAAUACAGCGGUCUGGUUCCAUCAGGCAGCAAAUUCCAAACAGAAAUGGGCGGAGGUGGUGAGCUCCUAUUAUAUUAGUUAGUACUUGUAGGGCUACAAGUGUAAUAGGCCUUUCAUAUUAAAUCUAUUGGCCCUGCCAUCAGAUUUUUCACUUUAGUUGGGAGUUUUUGUGGGUGUGUGUCUUUUGUUGUUGUUGUUGUUUUUAACCAUAAGCCAACGUGUGGUUCUCUGCUUAAGGAUACAGUGGGCAUAUACAUCGUAUUACUUUAGGUCAUUCACUCCCUCACUCCCCCCACCCCGACCACCUUUAAAAUAUAAUCUGAUAUACCCUUUGAAAAAAACCACAGAGCAGAUCCAUUCUAUCGUAUCGUUGGUUGAAGGGACUGUCUUUUUCAGAAGCAAGUAUUCACCCAUGAAGCAGCUGUAAAGAACUAAGAGGCCCUAAUUAUUGGCAUAUAGUAAAGCAGACAAAUGAAAUACUUUGUGAUGACUCCAUUUAACAAGUAAAGCCACGUCUUAAUUAGAGAGCACAUUUAAGGACUCUGUAGCCCAUUAGGCUACGAACCCUUUGGUGCUCGGCAUGUAGUUUCACCUUUUAAGAUUGGGUUUCAUAAACAUCUGAGCUUUAAUGGAAAAGUGUUCAUCCUGGUAGGGGGAUAGAAUUAACUGUGUUGCGAGUCGUGGGAAGUUGGUCAAGAUGCCAGGCCUUAAGUUCACUGUUCCAGAAUGUCUAUUUCCUAUGCGUAUAUGAGUUAGUCCUCAAGUUUUACAAAAUGGUUUAAGAGCAGUGAAAGAGAUUGAAGUAUGGCAAUUGAUAAAAAUGUUUAUGGUUUUUGAAUAAGGUAUCUCCCUGAUGUAACAAUAGGACACUCUUAAGGAACAGAAGGAACCGAUUUCAGUGGAAGAUUCCUUUUAGCAUCAGCCACCAGUGUGUUUCUAUGAGCGGGUGGGUGGAGUUAUGAAUGAUAGGCACGUGCACUGGGGAGCCUCUGAAAGGCUCGAAUUUCCCGUUUGUAUUUGGGCGUACCUGGACUUCUCCAGCCCUUUUGUGUCAAAUCAUAUUCCUAAACUUAUAUUUUGUUGGUGCCCUCCGUGCACUUCUCCAAGUCGAUCUCAGCUGUGCUGCCUUAACUCUCCUCCCCAGGGAGGGGAGAGACAGCAGAUGGGGUUAGGGCAGAGGGCUGAUGCAUCUGACAGCAAACGGCCGGGUUGUUGAGUGGAAGCUGCGAGCGUCAGGAAGCUACUUUUCCCCUGAGAACCAACUAACCACUGAAGAAAGUUGAAAAUGAGCCCUUUGAGAAACGCUAUUAAAAGUAGUAAAAAAUUGCAAUUGUGCAGAUGAUGUGCUGCUGUGUGCUUAUUCGGAUGCUAAUGAGUUUGACAUUAGGGAACUCACAGGGUUUACAGCUACUCCCUUAUGUGAUUCAGUUCUUUAUUGGCAAUCUUUGAGAAAAUAAAUGGAAAAUGUAUUGCUAAUAAAUACAUAACACGAUAGGGUAUUAGACAAAAAGCCAUUACUUUCAGGAUUUAGAAAGAGCUUUGCUCACCAGUGUGACUGUUUUCCAGGAUCUUUUGUUUUAGGUUAGAGUAUGGCAAACAAAAGGGAAUAGGCAGGUGGAAAGCUUCGGGACUCUUUCUGAAGUGAGAGUGAGGUAGAGGAAGCCAAACGCAUUUCCAGAGAAAGCCCCCCUCCCUUUUAUCCCCCUCGGUGGCAAUCGAAAACAAACUAAGAAUUCCCAAGCCCCUGUGCCACUUUUCAAUUCUUACAUCAUGUGCAGUAAUCUGCUCUAUCACUUGAGAGAGUUUUAUACCUAUUUUUCCCCAGGAACUACGGUUGCUGACUUGCGUUGAAGAAGCAUCUGCUUAAUGUCUGGUCAAAGCUUACAAGUGAUCCAGAAAUCUAUGGUUAAAAAGCCAAGUACUUCACAAUCUACUGCAAAGGGGGAAAUACAGGAAGAUAGAAAUCUUCUGCAAGGAAGGUUGGUGGCUUGUGUUUGACACAAUAGCAGAACUGCCGGAUGUAAACUCUUUAGAUGCGCAUUGAUAUAUGUGCUAUUUGUAUAAAUAGCCCCUCUCUAGGAGGCUGAGUGCGCUAUGCUGAACUUCAGAGUUUCCUCUCAAGGGCCAAGUGGCCUAAAGACAGAUUCUGUUUCCCAGCCCUGAGACCAAAUAGAGGAGAAGCAGCUCUGCGUUCUAUGGGUGCAAAGUAAACCAACGGCAAAUUGUUUCUAUGGAAAGCGGGUUGGAAUAUUGGCAAAUAGCAUGAUUACGACAGCCUCAUUAAAGAGAGCUCUAAACAGCAAAAGGAUGAAUUUUGAAUCUGUCUUUUGUGACUUCUUGAGUAUAGUACUUUCCAAAUCUUGCCUGAACUUUUUUUUUGGUGGUUAAAAGUAAAAAUACCAGUAAUAAUAGAGAGUCCCUUUUACCCAAUUUGUCUAUAAAUUGAAGACGAUAUAUAUAUAUGUGUGUGUGUGUAUGUAUAUAUAUAUAUGUCAGUAAUAGAAACAAAAAUGAAUUUGGCUACCUUUAAAACCGUAAGAAUCUUUUUCUGAUUGAUAUUGUAGCAUAAAAUUUUUCUUUCUGUUUAGAGUUAGAGCCCAAGCAAAUUACAGGUAAAAGUGUCAGUGUGUUGCCCAUUGUCCACUUCAGGGUUUACAGCUGGUCUUCUGUUUCAUUUGUCCUCUCUGCUGUGCCUCCUUUCUUUUCUUUUUUUUUUUUCCUCAAUAGAAUGAAUUUAAGGACUUCUCACUAAAGUGGACAAACA
rnacentral:lncRNA from 1 species